CCAGAGACCCUCAGAAACGCAGAGAAUACUAUAAUCAAGGAAACAAAAACCGAACCGAAGAUCCCCGGGUCCAUAACCGCCACCUCUCCGCAGCUAGCACCCCAAACUCUUCAUCAACCACCCUCCCACGCACAAGCACUGUGUGGGUCAACUAAAGUCAACACUCGCCCAACAGAAAGUCUUCAGAGCAAAAACUCCCCGGAAUUUCCCAGGAAAGGGAAGCCAUAUCCUUGAAUUUGAAUGCGUUGGAGAGGAUUGGCGGUGCCGCGGAGCAUAGAGGGAGAGUUUGGUUACACUGGCCGAGCAAACAGUCCCAAGUGAAAAAGUCCGGGGAUUUUCCGGGAAAACGAACCUAUAUUCGUUGAAGUUGAAUUUGCAGGAGAGAAUUGGGGGAGGGGGAGAUAGGAGAGGAGGAGAGUAGUGGUUGGCAAUGGCGGAGAGGGAGAGUCAAAGGGGGCGAUGGUGGCGAAGGGUGGAGGAAAAGGUUGGAAAAUUGAAAGUAAAUGGUUGGGAAAAUGAAAGGAAUUAAAUAAUAAAAAUAGUGGUAUUGAGUGAUGUCUCAUAAAAUAAAUAAAUAAACCGAGAAAGAGAAUGAGAAGGAAGACCAGUAACCCGGUCAAAGACGCCCACCUGUCAUCAGUCCACCCACUGCCGCCGCCUCUAUGAGAAAAACCCACACCACCCAGGAGCCUUACUUAGUCAGCACACCCUGCGGUUCCACAGCAUUUACGCACUCACUGCCUCCACCAAAAUAUGUGUACAUAUUUCUUUUCUAUUUUUUUUUUCUUUCUUUCUUUCUUUUUUUUUUUUUUUUUUAGUCUUUCAUUCAAAUUGUUUGUAUGAUUUUUUUUAAACACAUGUAAAUAAAUGCAAAAUAAUAAUAAUAAUAAUAAUAAUAAUAAUAAUAAUAUUUACGUUAUUAUUCCCAUCAUCUCUUUUACCAUAUGCCCAUAUGGCAUGAAACCAUAACCCCAGUAUCUUCUAAAGAUCCAUCCAAACAACUCCUGGAAGAUGGUAUACAUUUGUUUCCCAUAUUAAAUGGUACAUCGUUGUUACCACAAAACGUAUUAACGGUAUGUUUCAAAACACUUUUUUUUAUAAUUUUUAUUUUUUUAUAAAAUAGAGUUUGUUGAAAACUUAUUUCAAAAACUAUUCAAAGCUUGUUUGGAACUAUUUCUCAAAGUAGCUUCUUUUUACCAAAAUUUGUUUUUCAAAUUCGAAAAACACUUCUUAAUAAUUUUUUGACAAACAACAAGUUUUUGAAAGCUUGUUUUGAAAACAUGGAGAACAUAUUUUUGUUGUUUUUAAAUGUUUUUCCUUAUUUUUUAAGAUCUAUUUUAAAAAUAAUUGUAUAAAUAUAAAAAAUAUUAAACAUAAAAUACAAAGAAAAUAUAUUUUUAAGAAAUAUUUAAAAAUACAUCAAAUAGAUUAAAAGCAUUCUAAUUUAUGGAACAAAUUUUUGUUCUAAAAAAUAUUAGAGAACUAUUUAUAAAAACAAUUUUCAAAAACUGUUUUUUGAAAACUAUUUUUGAAAAUAUUAUCAAUCUAGUCAUAACAUUUUUAAAUGUUUUGAUUUUUUUCUGAGAAUUUAUUAAAUUCAUGUGAUUAAUAUAAAUGUACUUUUAAAGUUUUAUUAAAUAUAAAAGAAGUUUUUGUAUAAGCUAAAAUAGAACUUUUACAAAAAUCAAAAUUCUCCUAUAAGAUAUCAUGGUGUCUCUAUUAAGAAUUCCUGUUGUCACCAACUUUCAUAAACAAUGACCCAAUCCACAAGGAUAUGUGACCAUGCACCCUGGGAUCUCACUUAUAGGUCAAAGUCUCUUAUUGACUUUGGUACAAACUUAACAUCCUCUCAAGGUUGAAAGUCCAUACAAUAUAGUAGCUCAGUGAAUUAUGACAAUUGAUACCCUUACAUCAUGAUUCACCAUAAGUUCUAUUCAGUGUGCAUCACAUACACUAGUACACUCACAAUGGGAAAAUUAUCGUGAUGACCAAGACAAGUUAUCCAUCUAAUUAGGAGGUAGAACACUAUUGGGAUUAAGCCCCUAAAAGAAAGACAUGAUGUAACGAAGUCAGACUUGACUAUCUUCUUACUAUCCAUUUUAUGCAUUGAAAUUAAUUUGAGCAUUCAGUCCAUAUCUCUUACAUUAUACAUGACUUAGGUGCAUUAGGAGUUGCACAAAGGAUAUAAGUCAUUAGUUUCUUAUAAGUAGAUAAUUUGUUUAUAUUCAGUUCAUGGAUUUGGGCAAUCCAAUAAAGGUUGUAGUACACUACCUCCUAAUUGGAAUGAGACUUGUCUUAGCUGUCGGGAUGAGUUUCCAAUAGUGAGCACACUAGUGUAUAUGAUGCACACUAGACAGAACCUACAUUGAAUCAUGACGUAAGACUAUCAAUUGUUAUUGAGCUUGUGUUGAAAUCAACAUGAGGCUUUGACCUAUAAGUGAGAUACUAAAGUGGUCAUAUAUUCUUAUUGAUCAUUGUUGAUGAAGGCUGGUGGUAACAAGUAUUCUCAAUAGAGGCACCAUGAUAUCUCAUAGGAUUGAGACAAUGUGUCCCAUUGGGUGAUCCAAAGGAAAUGUGAUCACGAAAUCUAUGAUUGUAAUACUUCCUUUAGUGGAAUUUAACAUAUGCUUCUUAGAGUUAGAGUAUGCUAGUUGAUUACAAAAUAAGUAAGAUCUAUAACUUAAGAAUUUGAUAAGUGAUCUUGGUAGGUGAUAGCAUUACCUUAUUAGGUUACAAACACUAGUUUAUAGGGAGUCUACAUACAAUGGACAAUAGGUCACAUACCCAAGCUUUGUCUCGUUGUUAUUUACAUAAGGGUGCUAGCAUGUAGUUGAUUCUCUUUAGUGGAAUCUUGAAUCAACUUCAAAAUUGGAUUAUGAAGGAGCUAAUACUCCUAUGGGUCCCAAUAGUUCCCAUUCUGAGCUCAUAUACCAUGAUGACAUGUUUAUAAUGGUUGGAUUGGUUCUCAGUUCAUUUUUAUGCAUAAUGGCAUUUUGGUAAUUAUGCAAGGUUCCACAGGGGAUAAUAAACAAGUUCUUUGAAUUGGGCUAAUCAAUUAAUUAGAUGACCUUGUGUGGCUAAUUAAUCAAUUAAGAGCCAUUUUGAGUUAGAUCAAGUGACCCAAGCCUUGGUGGCUUAAGUCAGUUAAGCCCAAUAGGGGAACCUUAUAAAUACCUCUUAGGGAUUAGGAUUCCCAUCACUUUUUAGUGUAAAAGUCGUCUUCCACCUCUAGAGAGAGAAAGAGAGAGAGCCUAAGAUUCCUUCCUUCCAAAACCCACACUUUGGAGUGUCAAGAUCAUGGUUUAAGUCAUUGACUAGAAUAUCUUGGGUGUAUGAGACCUAUAAGCAUAUUCUUCACCGCUAGGAAUUGAUCUGAGAACAUCCAGAUCUAGGUAUGAGUUUCAAAUCUCUAGAUCUUUAUUCUAAAAUGGUUUUUGAAGCCAUUUUUUUCGUUAUGUUAGAUCUAAAGAUUCUUAGGAAUAGAUGCAUGCACCCUACGAAAUUCAGGGAUAGGGAAUCGAGAAAUUCAAGGUUCCCAACAACUGGUAUUAGAGCCCUAAGAUGGGUUUUUUCAUGUCAGAUCUGUUCCCAGGGUGUGCUAACUUUAUUUUGUAGGGUAUUCUGAUUUAUCCCAUGGCCUUAGGGAUGAAUGUCUGUGGGCUUUCAAUAUAACAUGAUGGUUAUAAUUAUGAUUAGAUUCUUUGUUUUCUCUAGAUUAGGUUGUAUACCCCAUAAGGGGUAAAGGAUUUUUAUUUCAUUGUAAUAAUAUUUUCUUUUCAAUAGAUGAGUUAUAAGCUCCAUUAUAGGAGCAUAAGAAUUUUUAUUAUUGUAAAAACUUCAUCUUUUUAUUUCCAUUUAUGGUGACCCAAGAGAAAAGAAAGAAUCUUUUUUUUUUGUAAUCCUAUGGUGAUUUAAGAAAAAAAAAAUAUUCUUGGAAGUUCUUGUUUUGAGAUCCAUGGGAACACAACGACAUCAACUUUAACUUAAAAUUGGGACUAUCUCCCAUGAGUUUAUUAGGGUAAGCCGCAUAUGGUUUUGAAGCUUGGGAAUUUAGAGUGUCAAGAUUGUGGUUUAAGUCAUCGGUCGGAAUAUCUUGGGUGUAUGAGACCUUCAAGCAUGUUCUUCACAACUAGGAAUUGAUAUGAGAACAUCUAGAUCCAAGUAUGAGUUUGAAAUCUCUAUAUCUUUAUUCUAAAAUGGUUUUUGAAGCCAUUUUUUUUCCAAUGUGUUAGAUCUAAAGAUCGUUAGGGAUAGAUGUAUUCACCCUACGAGAUUUAAAGAUAGGGAAUGAAGAAAUUUAGGGUUCCCAACAACUGGUAUCAGAGCCCUAAGGUAGGUUUUUGUGUGUUAGAUCAUCUCUAGGGCAUGCUAACUCUAUUUUAUAGGGUAUUUUGGUUUAUUCCAUGGCCUCGAGGACAAUUAUAUGUGGGUUUUCAAUAUAACAUGAUGGUUAUAAUUAUGAUUGGAUUCUUUGUUUUCUCUAGAUUGGGUUGUACAAUCCAUAAAGGGUAAAAGAUUUUUAUUUGAUUGUAAGAGGUUUUUUUUCCCCUAAUAGAUGAGUUGUAAGCUCCAUUAAAGGAGCAUAAUAAUUUUUAUUAUUGUAAAAAUUUUAGUUUUUUACAUUCAUCUGUGGUGACCCAAGAGAAAAUAAAGAAUCUUGAAGUUUCUUUUUGUAAUCCUAUUGUGAUUUAAGAAAAAUAAAUAAAUAAAUAUUCUUGGCAACAUGGUGGCAUCAACUUUAACUCAAACUUGAGACUAUUUCUCAUGAGUUUUUUGAAGCUUAGGAAUUCAUGAAUUCAAUGCUUUAAAUGGAUCACAAUUCAAAGUUGAAACAAGGGAGAUAUGACGAAUUGAAGCAAGGCUGCACAAAGAGCAUGAUAACACAAUGAUGUUGACUUUGACUCAAAAUUGGGGCUAAGUCCCAUGAGUUUCUUAGGGCAAGCCAUAUAUGGUUUUCAAGCUUAAGAAGUUGGGAAUCCAACACUUUAAACGAUUUGCAAUUUGGAAUUGAAACAAGAGAUAUAGUCGAUUGAAGCAAGGCUAUGCAAAAAUCAAGUUGUUUUAGGAUUAAGUUCAGGCCAAAUUGUUUUUGGUUGUUUGGUCAUUUUCUUAGGCUCAUUAUUUUGUGGUAAUUGGGUGUUUUAGGGUUUUUCAAUUUUUACUAAACUUAAUCUUUGGCUAUAAGGCUAUUUUAGUAAUUUGGAUUUUGUCAUAAUUUUAAUUACCAAAUAUGCAAUAAAAUCCAUAAAGGCCAUGAGAAAUAUUUCUAUUUAAUUAUUCCCUUGUUUUUAUUAUAUGUUAUCUUUAUUAAUUACAUAUGUGACCCUAAAUAAUAAUGGUAUUAUUAAUUAGAAAUAAAUUUUUAUGAAUUUUUCAAAAUUAGAUAACUUAUUUAAAUUGGAAUGUGCAUGGUUAGAAAAUUUUAUUUUAAGAAAAAAUAAAUUCGAAAAGGAUCAAGAACUUUAUUUCCCUUUUAAAAUUAAUUUUUAGAGAUUUUAAUUUUAUUUAAAAUCUUCUCAAAUCUUUGAGAUCUCUGAGAAUAAAAUCUUUCUUUUAAGGAAAAGCUUUUAUUUUCCAAAUCUUUAUAAAAUAAUAUUUUUCUUAUUUUGCAUAAGAUUUUGAAAUUAAAGAAAAUAAGUUAAUUUUGGAAAUUAAGAUAGAUAAUUUAUAAUUAAGAAAGUUACCAAAAUAAGUGUUUAAACUGUUAGCCCAAUGGUUCUCCUAAUUGUGUUUUGAUGAUAACAAAUCAUGGUUAAGUUGUUAAUUGUUUUGAAUUAAAAAGAAUUUCAGGUUUUAGUUAAAAUUCAAAAGGAUAUUCAAGAAAUUCAUCAUAGGACCCAAUGGAUGCAAGAUCAACACAAAUGGAAGACCCUUUAAUCAUAGGAAAUAUAUGUAAGAUGAAUACAUGGGUGCACUUAGGAUUUUCAUAUCUUUUCAUGCAUAUUUAAAAACUUGGUUUAUGCAUCAAAGUUAAAUUUCCAUUAAAACCCGAGUUUUAACAUAUGAACCUUAGGCAAAUCGUUUCAAAUUUUGCAUAUUCAUUGACCUAAAGACCUUACUUAAGUGUUAGAAGUAAAAAAAAAAAAAAAAAAAAAAAAAGAUAGGUUUUUGAGCAAAAAAUAGUGAACCAAUCGAGGCACUGGACAAUCGACUCAACCGAUUAAGGUACCAAUCAACCAGUUACACUUUCCCGGUCAAGGUCCGGUUGAGAGAUGCAAAAAUCUUCUCUUUUUUCUAGUAGCCUUGCAUUUUCGAUUAAUGGUUAUGCUUUCUUGGUCGAGGCCCGGUCAAGGCUUAAUGGUCACCUAUCAUGCAUUUAUUGCCUAACGGCUAGUCAACUGGUCAACCCCUUGCUCGACCGAUUGAGGCUACUUUUUGGCAUUUUGGCUCCCUAGGUUAGAAAUCUAUAAAUUGAGAGCUUCACUUCAUUUAUGAGCAUAAGAACAACUGCAUUUAUUUGUUUACCUACCUAUUCUUCAUAAAAAAACUCUCAUUCUUUUCUUAGUGCAUUAAAUCUUCACUUGCAUAUUCCUUAGUGCAUUCUUGUGAUUCUUCCUAGUAUUUGAGUUGUAUUUGAGCCCUUGCUGAGCUAGGUUGAGAGAUUUAAAUUUUUUAUUUGAGUGUUAGAAGUUUCAAGUGAGUAGAGACUUGAAGGGAUUGUGUAAGAACUCAUUGGAGUUAGAAUCCAAGUGUACAGGUGUUGGAAGCUUGGUUAAAAUUUCAAGUAUAGUGGAACCUUCACUCGUUUAGGAGCUUAAGGAGAGUGGACGUAGGCAAGGGGUGUCGAACCAUUAUAAAAUCUGAGUUUGCUUUUUCUAACCUUAUUUCUUUAUAUUUGUGCUCUUUUGCUUAAAUAUAUUGUGUUUGAAAAAGAUUUUUUUAAAACCCAAUUCACAUCCCCCCUCCCCCUUCCUCCCCCAUUUCUUGGGUAUUUUCCUAAUUAAGAUUAUUCUUUGUUUUCUUAAUUGGUAUCAGAGUUAGGCCUCAUGUUUAAGACUUAAUCGUCUAAAAGGAAAUGACUAAUCCAUUAAACUUAUCUCACAUUGAAAGUUUUGCAACCAAUAGACCUCACUUUUUUACGGGAACUGAUUAUCCCUAUUAGAAAACUAAAAUGACUUGGUUUCUACAGUCAACCAAUUUAGACUUAUGGGAUGUCAUUGAAGAUGACCCAACUAUUCCUUCAAGACUAGUUGAUGGAGUCACAGUUCCAAAACCCAAACAAGAAUAGGAUGAGCGUGAUAAAAUAAAUUUCCAAUUAAAAGUCAUUUAUACUUUGUAAUGUGCUAUAGAUAGAAAUGAAUAUAAUAUAAUUUGUCAAAGCAAAUCGGCUAAAGAAAUUUGGAAAUUAUUUGAAGUAACUCAUGAAACAAAUCAAGUUACAGAGUCAAAAAUCAAUUUACUUGUUUAUAGUUAUGAAUUGUUUUUUAUGAAAGAUAAUGAAACUAUUGUUGAGAUAAUCACCAGGUUCACCGAUAUUGUAAAUGGUCUUAAAGCCUUGAGAAAGACCUACAAGGAAUUGGAAAAGGUGAUGAAGAUCUUGAGGUCACUUCCAUCAAAGUGGGAUGCAAAGGCCACCGCAAUUCAAGAAGCCAAAGACUUGACCAAGCUACCUUUAGAGGAGCUCAUAAGGCCAUUGAUGACAUAUGAGAUCACUUUGGCAAAGAAGCAACAAGAAGGAGAAGACAAAAAUAAGAAGAGCAUAGCUUUCAAGGCUACAACUAAGAAAGAAGAAGUUAAAGAAAAAAAGAAAGUGAAAAAGAUGAAAACUAAGCCUUCAUCACAAGAAAGUUCAACAAGUUCACGAGGGGUGAAAAGUUUAGAGGAAGAAGACUCACUUCUAGAAGAGACUCCUCUAAAAAGGAAUCUUCAUCCAAUGGUGACAAGAGAUGAAAUGAGAAAAGAGACUUGGUGUGCUUCAAGUGCAAGAAACCGGGACACAUUAAAUAUGAUUGUCCUCUCUACAAAAGUGAAGCCAAGAGGAGAAAUAGGAAGAUAAUGAUGGCAACUUGGAGUGAUAGUGAAGAUGAAUCCUCCAAAAAAGAAAAUGAAAAAGAAGUGGCAAACAUGUGCUUCAUGGCAAUAGAUGAACUUGAUGAGGUAAACUUUAACAUUAGCUAUGAAGAUAUACAUGAUUCUUUUGAAGAGUUGUAUGAAGAUUUUGAAAAACUUGGUUUGAAAAAUACUUUUCUCAAAAAGAAUGUUCAACAACUUGAAAAAGAACUUGGAUAAGUAAAAGAAUUUUUUUCAAAAUUUGAAGAUUCUAAAACUUAUCUUCAAAAAGAGAAUAAGAUUUUAAGAAAGAAAAAUGAAUUGUUGAUCUUCUCUCUUUCAAUCUUUUCUUGUGGGCAAAAAUAUUUUGAAAUGAUCUUAGCUAGCCAAAAAUGUAUCUUUGACAAACAAGGGCUAGGAUUCAAAUCCUUAAAGAAUUAAAAGUAUUUUAAGAACUAUUUUGUAAAGGAAUUCACAAGUGCAAGUCUUUACGCUACUUGCAACUUUGGUGGAAGAGGAAGACACAUUAUUAGCACAUUCUCUCUAAGAAAUGGUUCUCAAAAGAGUUUAAAUGCAAAAGAUGAGAAGAUUUGGGUUGAAAAAUCCAAGUUCACUAACACUCAAGGACCCGAAAAGAUAUGAAUACCUAAAUCAACUUGAGUUAUGUGUUGUAGGGAUCAAAGAAAGACAAGUGGUUCUUGGAUAGUGGAUGCUUAAGACACAUGACCAAAGAUAAAUCCGAGUUUGUCUUUCUUUCAAAGAAAAAUGGAGGAUAUGUUACCUUUGGAGACAAUGCAAAAGGAAAAAAUCAUUGGUCAAGGCAACAUUGGUAAUGACACAUCCUCUCUCAUUGAAAAUGUUUUAUUAGUAGAUGAUUUAAAACAUAAUCUUUAAAGCAUUAGUGAACUUUGUGACAAAGGUUUUAAAGUGAUUUUUGAAGUAUCUCAUUGCAUUAUCAAGGAUAUUCAAAAUGAUAAAACCAUCUUCAUGGGCCAUAGAUGUGAUAAUGUUUACACUAUAAAUAUUUAAAAAUAUGAUGGUCAUGAUAGAUGUUUUUCAAGCAUGCACGAUCAAAGUUGGUUGUGGCAUAGGAGGUUAGGACAUACUAACAUGGAUCUCAUUUCACAACUUAACAAAAAUGAACUUUUUAGAUGCCUUUCCAAAAUAAAUUUUCAAAAAGACAGUUUGUGAAGCUUGUCGAGUGGGAAAGCAAAUCAAAAACUCUUUUAAAAACAAAAACUUCAUUUCCACUAUUACUCCACUUGAGUUGUUGCAUAUGGAUUUAUUUGAACCUUUGGGACACCAAGUCUUGGAGGAAAAUCUUAUGCUUAUGUUAUUGUGGAUGACUUCUCUAGAUACACAUGGAUGUUGUUUUUAAGCCAAAAGAAUGAAGCCUUUUAUGAGAAUUCAAAGUUUUGCAACAAGGUUCAAAAUGAAAAAGGUUUUGCAAUUACUUGCAUAAGAAGUGACUAUGGGAGAGAAUUUGAAAAUAUUAAUCUUGAAAAUUAUUGCAAUGAGCAUGGAAUUGACCACAAUUUUUCAGCUCCUAAAACUCCUCAACAAAAUGGGGUAAUUGAAAGGAAAAAUAGAACUAUUCAAGAAAUGGUAAGAACCAUGCUAAAUAAAAACAACUUACCAAAAUAUUUUUGGGCCAAAGCGGUUAACACCUCUUGUUAUGUUUUAAAUAGAAUUUUAUUAAGGCUCAUACUUAAGAAAACUCCCUAUGAGCUUUGGAAAAACAAGAAACCCAACAUUAGCUAUUUCAAAGUCUUUGGGUGAAAAUGCUUUAUUUUUAACACCAAGGAUAACCUUGGAAAAUUUGAUGCAAAAUCGGAUGUUGGAAUUUUCCUUGGUUAUUCAACUUCAAGUAAAGCUUUUAGAGUUUUCAACAAAAGAACUAUGGCUGUAGAGGAGUCCAUCCAUGUUAUUUUUUAUGAAUCUAACAAUUCUUUCCAAGAAAGAGAGAGUGUUGAUGAUGAUUUAGGUUUGGAGACCUGCAUAGGAAGAUUGAAAAUUGAAGAUAGAAGACAAUAAUAAGAGAAGGAAGUGAAUCCUAAUGAAGAAAGAUCACCAUUGGCUCUACCCCUUUCCUCAACAAGUGCAAGGUGAAUCAAGCCAAGACCUUCCUAAAGAAUGGAAGUUUGUCAUCAAUCACCCACAUGAUCAAAUUAUAGGUAAUCCAUCUAGUGGGGUAAGAACUAGAUCCUCUCUUAGAAAUAUUUGCAAUAAUCUAGCUUUUAUCUCUCAAAUUGAGCCUAAAAAUAUAAAUGAUGAUUUAGAUGAUGAAAAUUAGAUGAUUGCUAUGCAAGAAGAGAUAAAUCAAUUUGAAAUAAGUGAAAUAUGAGAAUUAGUACCAAGGCCUUCAAAUCAAUGUGUUAUUGGAACUAGAUGGGUUUUUAGAAAUAAAAUGGAUGAAAAUGACAUAAUUGUUAUAAAUAAAGCAAGGUUAGUCGCCCAAGGGUUUAAUCAAGAAGAAUGCAUAGAUUAUGAAGAAACCUUUGCCCUUGUAGUUAAGUUGGAAGCCAUUAGGAUGCUACUUGCCUUAGCAUAUUUUAAAGACUUUGUUUUAUAUUAAAUGGAUGUGAAAAGUGUUUUUUUUUAAUGGUUUUAUAAAUGAAGAGGUGUAUGUUGAACAACCACCUGUCUUUGAAAAUUUUAAUUUUCCUAACCGUGUUUUUAAACUUAAAAAGACACUUUAUCAUUUGAAACAAGCACCUAGAGCAUGGUAUGAAAGAUUGGGCAAAUUUAUUUUAAAAAAUGGUUUUUAAAUGGGUCAAAUUGACACAACUUUCUUCAUAAAAACCAAAGAAAAUGAUAUGCUCUUAGUACAAAUAUAUGUUGAUGAUAUCAUUUUUUGUGCUACUAAUGUCUCUCUUUGUGAAUAAUUUGCUAAGUGGAUGCAUAGUGAGUUUGAAAUGAGCAUGAUGGGAGAGCUCAACUUCUUUCUUGGACUUCAAAUCAAGCAACUAAGGAAGGAACCUUCAUCAAUCAAGCAAAGUAUAUUAGAGAUCUUCUCAAAAGGUUUAACAUGGAGGAAACCAAGACAAUGAAGACUCGAAUGAGCUCAUUAUGGACCUGCAUUUUUCAUGUGCAUCCCCACUUGUUGGUGAGACUCGCAUUUUUAAGUGAAAAAACUAUUUUUUGAAAAGUUGGAGUUGUCACUUAUUUUAUUUUAUUUUAAAAGGGAAAAUAAAAUAAGAAAGAAAAACCCUAAAAAAUAUGACUCCAUAGUUUUGGAAAAGCAUGUCUUCGAAAAGCCCGAGUUUAGGUCCGGGGAUCAAACUACCUAUUAGGAAUGUGCCUAAAAGAGAUAGCACCCCUCUAAGCCUUAAAGAGGUCUCUACUAGCUAACUUGAGGGAAGUAUGAUAAUUAAUCAAUUGAUUAUGGAUACCUAAAUAGGUUAAAGUGAUUUUAAAAUUAUGUUAAUUCUAGCAUGCUAAAUGAGGAUUCAAAUCACAAUCAUAAAGAAAGGUUAGUAUGCGUACUUGGAUUGCUUCUUAAGCGUUAUCACAAGAUAUCAAAGUUAGUUUGACAAUAUAGUACAACAUACCUCAUGCAUUCAAUCCAUUCAAAUAAUCAAGCAAUAAAUCAAAGCAAUCAAGACAAUAUCAAACAUGAGAGUAUUCAUACACAAAGUUUGCAUAUUUAAAAAAUUAAAAGAGCAGAGGUGUAAGGGACGUACCUGGAUAGCACACAUAACUUACAAUGUGCUUGCAUAUAGCUAGAGAGGGUUAGCUCACAAGUAAUAACAAAUAACUAUGACAAUAAACCCUAAUAUACAUGGUAUAUAUCCAACUCAAAUGAAAUGGUUUGAGUCUAAAGAAACAACAACUAUCACAUAAGACAUGCAUACAAACUCAUUGUUAAAUUUAAAUUAAUGUUCAAGAUAGCUAUAAGUAUCAAAAUUAGUAACUAGGACAAAAACAUGCAGCAAGGGGUAGAAUAGUUGCAUUCACUUAAAAAAAUCCUAAACAAGUAUCUAAAAACAUUAUUUUGCCAUGAAAAAAAAUAAAAUUGAACAACAUCCUCAUUAUGUCUACAUUAGAGAAUAAAAGCUAAAACCAAGUCAAGAUAUGCCAAACAAUACUAGGUUAAAACAUAAGUUAAACAUUAUACAUAAUUUCCAGUAUGCUAUCAAAAUUGAAGCUUUCACAAAACAAAUGUUAAAAAAAUAUUUAGGAUGCGAAUUAAAUUGCAAAAAAAAAAAAAAAAAAAAAAAAAAAAAAACCAAUUCUAGGGAACAUAUACUACAUAUCUAGUCUAUCAUCCAUGUGGCCAAUCAAUCAUUUAAAUAACAAAUUUAAACAAAAAUGCCUAAAAUUUCCAACAAGUCUAGAACUGGGCAGAAAAUAAUGACAUGCAUAUACUGAAUUUUAAAAAACAUGAAAAAGUCUCCUAAAAUCAUACAAAAAAUCAUACACAUCAUUUAAAGUGUCUAAAUGACAUAAAAAAAAAUAAAGCCAAGGUCAGAGAGCACUCAAAACUAUUUUUAAAACACUCAAACUCAUUAGUUGUCCAAAAUCAAUCAUGUAUAGUAGAUGCAACUUUGAAAAAACAUAUCUCUCUAGAAAACACAUAUUUCAAUAUUGUAGGUGUCAAAAUUCAAUUUCAGGAAGUUAAAAUUUUACGAAAAAUAUCAAAACAAAUUUACAGAGUCAUCUAAUAAUUUAUUUUCUCAAAAACAUUUCAAGUGUCCAGAAUUGGGUGAAAACAAAAUCACCUGAAAUUCUCAUUCAUAUCUUCCAUUUCAAAAUUGUUUUUUAACUCAAGAAAAGUUCUAAAUUCAUGUUCAUGAUGCCAACACUAUCAUACGAUCAUUAGGAAAAUUUUAGAAACAUCAUAAAUAGGUCAAAUCAAAUUUUCUUUUUAGAGAUGCAAUAAGUUGAACAAGCUAAUGAUAAAAGGCUUUUAAAAAAUGAUUUUAUGUAGGGAUUCCACCAAUUCCCCAAGUGAUAUACAUAAAUCUAACCUAUGGAUUCCCAUCUAUUUGGGACUAGAAGCUUGGAUUCAUGUUUGACUCAAAACUAAAUUUUUAUUGAAAAUAAAAAUGUGCAAACUGAAUGAGAUAUAGUUGCAUUUUUUUGGAAAAAAAAAAGAUUUCGAUCCUAAAGAUCCUAGAUGAAUUUUUAAAAUAGAUUUUCAAGGGGAUCUUUUGAGAAAAGCAUUUUCUUUUAAAACGAAAGAAAUUAAUUUGAAAACUACAAAAUAUAAGAAACAAAAUACCAAGCAAAACAAAAGAAAACAAAAUCGCAAAGUAAAAUUUUUUACAACUAAUGAAACUAAAGUGGUGAGAUAGGGACCAAUCAUCAUUAUUUUCCGAUGGCCUCCGAAGAUUAAAUUUGACAAAAAAAACUACUAGACCAAUAAACUAUUAAUAUUUAGAUCAAAUAAGCUAAUAAAAUAUCCAUCAAGAAUUAGCAACUAGGAUUCAAGAAGCACAUAAAUUAAGAAUAACAAUCAAGAAUUAACAUAAAAUCAACUAAAGACACAAAUGCCGUUAAACUAAAAAAUAAAUUAGGACUAUAUUAAAUCAUAAUUAAACUUUAUCUAAUGGGAUUAAUUAAACUAUUGUAUUAAAAUCACAAACACAUUCAAGGUAAAGAACAAAUUAAAACUAAAUUAAAUUGUAAUUAAAAACAUGAACUUUAUUUAAUAUGAUUAAUUAAACUACUGAAUUACAAUCACAAACACAUCCAAACAAAAAUUAAAAUUAAAAAUAAAUUAUAACUAAACUAAAUCAGAAUUAAAACUAUAAACUUUAUCUAGAAGGAUUAUUUAAAUUAAUAAAUUAAAAUUACUAACACAUUAAAACUAAAAGAUAAAUUAAAACUAAACUAAAUCGGAAUUUAAAAAAAAAAUGAAUGUAAUCUAACAAGAUUAAUUAAACUAAUGAAUCAAAAUCACAAAUACAUCCAAACUCAAGAAUAAAUUGAAACUAAACUAAAUCAGAAUUAAAAAAAAACAUGAACUUUAUCUAACAGAAUUAUUUAAACUAAUGAAUUAAAAACACUAACGCAUUUAAACUAAAAGAUAGAUUAAAACUAAACAUGAAUUUAAGCAAAAUUAAUGUUAUGAACUUGAUCACAUGAAUUAAAAAUAGACCUAAACUAAAAUUUAAACUUUCAAUAUCUUUGCAUGAAUUUAAAAAACUAAACCAAAAUUUAGGCUUUCAAUAUCUCACAUGAAUUAAAAACAAACAAAAAAACCAAGAUUUAAGCUUCCUCAAUUUAAUACGAAUCAAAAUCAGGGCUAAACAAAAAAUUAAGCUUUUUUUAAUUAAAUAUAAAAUUAAAAAAUAAACUAAAAUAAAAUUAACUUACUUUUUCCAAAUAUGAGUGAGGGCUGCAAAGGGAUUUUUUGCAGUACAAGCCUAUGCGUGGUGCUGCAAAAAUGGGUUGUGUCUGCUUUCCAAUGCUGAGAUGCAACCGCCUUUUUUCCUCCCAAAAAAAACCUGGUGCUGUUCUUUAAAAAAAAAAAAAAAAAUCUUCAUGAUCCCCUUUGAUUCCUCCCACUUGUGUAGCCUUCCAUUGCCUUUUUAUCUCCUAGUGCCCAACUUUCCUUAAACUCUCCCAAAUCAUGAUCUCCUCUUUCCAAACUUCCUUUUCAAAAUUUAGAACUUCUCCUUUUUAUUUUCAAAAAAAAAAAAAAAGAAUGAUUUUCCAAUCUAAAAUUAAUCUCACACUUAAAAAAAAAAAAAUUGAUUUUCCAAUUUAAAAAAACUAAAUCUCAUUUUUUUUUUAAAAAGAAUUCGGUGUAAUUUUAAAACUUAAUUUCAAACUUAUCCCCUCCUUUUAGAUAAACAAUAUGAUUUUCCAAUUUAAAACUUAAUCUCUCACUUUUUUAAAAAAAAAAUAUCUGAUUUUCCAAUUAAAAAAAAAAAAACUAAAUCUCAUUUUCAAAAAAAAAAAAAAAUCUGAUGUCAUUUUAAAACUUAAUUUCAAACUUAUCCCCUUCUUUUAGAUAAAAAAAAAAAAAUAGUUUUCCAAUUUAAAACUUAAUCUCUCACUUAAAAAAAAAAUUGAUUUUUCAAUUUAAAAACUAAAUCUUUUUUUUAAAAAAAAAAAAAAAAAAAAUAUUCUAAUGUUGACCCUUUCUUUUCCAUUGGUAAGUUUCCUUGUAAAAGCAUCAAAUUUAUUAAAUUAAAUAAUUGAAUGAAUAAAUAAAUUAGAAAAUGAUAAAACAAUAAUAAAUAAAUAAGUUAAUUAAAAAAUAAAAAAUAAAAGAAAUAAAAAGAAGAUAACAAAUAAAAAUAAACUAGUGAUCAAUAAUAAUAAAAAUAAGAAUAAAUAAAUAAAUAAAUAGAUAAAUAAAAAAAAAGUCAUGCAAGCCAUGCAACCAUGCAAAUAAUGCCUAAAAGGUGACCUAAGUAUACUUAAAGUGGGCCUAGGUGAACCUAGAUGGGCUUAAGUGACCUAGGUGGGCCUAAUGGGUCUAUGGGUGUCCAAAUGGGCCUAAGUCGGCAUGGUAUGCCUAAAUGGGUCUAGGUGAACCUACAUGGGCCUAAGAGUGCCUAAAUAGGCAUAAGAUGCCUAAAUGGGUUAGGACGUGCCUAAGUAACCUAAAUGGGCCUAGGUGAACCUAGAUGGGCCUAAGGUGGUGCCUAAUAAGUCAAGUGUGCCUAAAUGGGCCAAGUAUGUCUAAAUGGGCCUAGGUGAGCCUAAGUGGACCUAAAAUGUGUCUAAGUGACCUAGGGCAAUCGGGAAAGUGUCUAAGUGACCUAAACAUGCCUAAGUGUGCUAUCCCAAAAGUGUACCUAAAUGAGUUAUCCUAAAAAAAAAAAAAAAAAAAAAAUCCUAAAUCUAACUCAGGGCUUCCAAGGGUCACAAUGAGGGGCCAGAUAAAACCCUCAACCAGAGUCUCUAAAGUGGCUCAAAAAAGGUAAGUUGUAUGAAUAGCAUUGAGCCACAAGGGAAUCGCUAUGGUGUACUGAAAGAACACCUAAUAGAGCAUGUGCUAAGAGGACAAAAUGGAAGAUCUACACUCAUCCAUCAAGCUUGAUAAGGAUGAGAAAGGUAAAUCCAUUGACCUUACUAUGUAUAAAGGCAUGAUAGGUUUUUUGCUAUACUUGACUACUAGUAACCCGAUAUUUUGUAUAGUGUAUGCUUGUGUGCUAGAUUUCAAUCUUGUCCUAUAGAAUCUCAUUUGAGUGUCAUAAAAAGAAUUCUUAAAAAUUUGAAAGGAACAAUAGACAUAGGCUUAUGGUAUCCUUUUUCAUAAUGGAAAAGACGGGGUUGAAAUAUCUAUUAAUAUUUCUACAAGGAGUAUUUUGAUUGAUUUACCCAUUCAAAGCAAUUUACAUGAGGGGUUCAAUUGGUACACGCAAGAAAUAGGCUAAUUCAACAGUUUUUUGUUCCAUUUCUAAUGGCACUAGCACUUCCGCGUAAUAACUCUUUGGUUUUUCAUAUGCCGAUUUUGUCGGUUGUAAGGUUGAAAGAAAAAACACUAGUGGCACAUGUCAUUUCUUAGGACACUCACUUGUUUCAUGACAUAGUAAGAAACAAAAUUCGAUAGCUUUGUCAACGGAGGAGCCAAAUACAUAGUAGCCGGUUUAUGUUGUGCAAAAAUUCUUUGGAUGAAAUAAACACUUAGUGAUUUUGGUUUAUCUUUUGAGCAUGUUCUUAUUAAAUGUGAUAACACUAGUACCAUAAGCAUAUAAAAAAAUCUUGUGCAACACUCUCGAACUAAGCAUAUAGAGAUUAGACAUCACUUUCUUAGAGAUCAUGCACAAAAAGGUGACAUAACACUUGAAUUUGUGAGUGUUGAAGAUCAACUUGUUGAUAUCUUUACAAAGCCUCUAAGUGAAAAAUAAUUUGCUAAUAUUAGAAGACAACUAGGGGUGAUUUCUUUAUGAUCUAAUGCUUGCUUAUGAAUGCUUGAUGUCAUGCAUUCUGAUUACUUGAAUUUCAUAUCAUAUGCAUCAUAUAGACAUAUGCUUAGAAAAUGGUUAUUUUUUGACGAAAAAUAAAAAUUCCCUUAGCAUUGGACAUAAAAAAAAAAAAAGAGGGGAAUUCAACUGGAAAAGGCAAGGAAAUGAUCAAGAAUGAAAAUGUACGCAAAAAUGGAAAGUCAAAAAGCAUUGACCAGGUGGUUGACCAAUUGAGGACUAAUCAACGAGUUCGUCGAGGUUGGGAAUUUUAAGACCCUCCCACGCUUCAUUUUCUGCAUCGUUUCCUCUGGUUCUUCAAGGGGUUUUGUUGCAAUAAGGGUCUAGAAGAGGUUUUGGGGUUAUUUCUUGCUGAUAGAGCUAUCUUGGACACGAAUUUACAAGUCUAGGACGGAUUUGGAGGUUAGGGUUUUGGUUUUUGGUUACCUACUCUCUCCACCCGAGCUUCAUUUCAUUUUUCCUUAUUUCUUUUAGACUUCCAUGGCUUCUAGACAAGAGCCAAAUGCAACUAAGGCUCAGGGCAAGCGCCCUAUUGAGUCGCCACAACCAAAGGUACACCAAAAUAUGCGUUUUGACACCGCCUUGUUUAAUACCGUAGAGGAGUGCCAACAGUACAAACAACAUUUUUUCUCACAGAUGUGUAGUUUUGGGGAGAAACACCAACUUUACUCAGCUUCAGCACUUUGGAUUUGAGAGAUUGUUCACUCAGAUGGGCUAAUUGUCGACUAUUACGAUUUUUUAGCCGAUUUUUUCGAAAUCAUAUCCACUGUUAGAGGAGUUGAGAUUCACCUAGACCUAGAGAGCAUUUGUUGUAUCUUUGAUGUUUAUCCUAUUGGACUCAGAGUAUAUGAGCCCAAGAUAUGGCCCACUGUGCUAGGAUUUGAGCCUAGAGAGGCUAUUCAAAGGAUUUGUGAACUACCAGAUACCCAUGGGAUGGGCAAACCCUCAAUACACAACUUGACGGUCAUCAGUAGAGUGCUACAUCAUAUGUUCUGUUUUAUUUUCCUACCAUAGGGUGGACAUUGAGAUGAGGUCUCCUAUUACGAGGCAUUCCUUAUAAAUUCUAUUCUAACUAGGAGAUAAAUUCAUUUGGGAUAUUUGAUUAUGAUACACAUGAUUGCAUGUUGCGAGAACAUGACUCAUGUAUUCCCCUAUGGUCAUUUCCUUUCCAGAGAAUUCAAGGAUGCCAACAUUGACCUUAGUGGAGAGACGAACUUUGAGGCCCCUAAUAUAUAUGACACAUAUGAUGAUCAGUUUAUGGGAAGAAUGAAAUUUGAGAAGGCUCUAGAUGGUUCUUGGAUCAUAAAAGCAAAGAAAACACAACGAUAGGGACAGGUACACCCUGGAGUUGAGGAGGAGGUAGAGAUUUGACAGAUGAAGGGUGAAGUAGACCCUCAGGAUGGCCUAGACCCUCAAAGUGGGCAACUCAAUAAGCCCGAGCUUGAUAUUUCCCUACUUCAAACUGAGUUGAUGAUGACUGAGCAUGUUUUUACAAAGGGACCGUCCACUCAGCCAUCAUACACCGAGCCCACUUAUACUGAGAUGCCAUAACCUCAUGCACCUCCUGCUCCUGAUCAUACUCCUUGGAUGGAUUUAUCAUCUCAGAUCAGCUCUCUUGGUACUCACAUGGAGGAGCUUGCAAUUGUUAGUGACACUCGCUUCUACUCUAUGGAGAAUAUGAUAGACUAGCAUCAUAUUGGGUUCACUUCUCAGUUUGAGUAUCUCCAGUAGAGGAUUGAUCAUAUUGAGGAUUGCAUGGAGCGUCAACAUGAGGAGAUGAUGGCCUACCUGCGUUCUGUGUUUCCACCUCCACUUUCUCAACCUUGAUCGUUAGUUGGAAACCUCAUUUGUCCAAUUUUUAUGUUGCCAAAGGGGGAGAUAUUUUACCAUCUAGGAGGCUAGAUAUAAUAGGCUCAUACAUGCAUAUCAUUCUUGUGACAUACACUUUUUGGAUCAUAUACUGCUUAUCUUUAGAUAGUGAUACAUAUGAUGUACUAAUUGAUACACUUGACAUAUAAUAUAUGAUAUGCCUAUGUAUUUGAUGACUUACAUUGGAUGUUCCUUUUUGCAAUACUCUCUAACAUGUCUUGAUCAUCUUGCUUUAAAUUCUUAAAUAUUAAUUGUUGAUCCAUGAUUGGUUUAAGGGAGAGAUUCUUUUUCCUCAUAGAUAACCAAGGUUUGUCAUCAUAAAAAAAAAAAAGGAGAUUGUUAGCCCAAGGGUUUUCCUAAUUAUAUUUUGAUGAUAACAAACCAUGGUCAAGUUGCUAAUCGUUUUGAAUUAAAAGGAAUUUUAGGUUUUAGUUUGAAAAUUCAAAAGGAUAGUCAAGAAAUUCAUCAAAUAACCCAAUGGAUACAAGAUCAAGACAAAUGGAAAACCCUUUAAUCAUAGAAAAUAUAUGUAAGAUGAAUGCAUGAGUGCACUUAGGAUUUUCAUAUCUUUUCAUACAUCUUUAAAAACUCGGUUUAUGCAUCAAAGUUAAAUUUCCAUUAAAACCCAAGUUUUAACAUAUGAACCUUACACAAAUUGUUUCAAAAUUGGCAUAUUCAUUGACUUAAAGACCUUGCCUAAGUGUUAGAAGUAAAAAUGAUAGAAAAUAUAGGUUUCAAGCUAAAAAUGGUGAAUCGAUCGAGACAUUGAUCAAUCGGUUCAACCGGUUAGGGUACCGGUCGACUAAUUACACUUUCCCAAUCGAGGUCCAUCGAAAGAUGCAAAAGUCUUCUUUCUUUUUCCAAUAGCCUUGCAUUCCCAGUUGAUGAUAAUGUUUUCCCGGUCGAGGUCCGGUCAAGGCCUAACGAUCACCUGUCAUGCAUUUAUUGUCUAACAAUUAGUUAACCAGUCGACCCUCUGCUUGAUCAGUCAAGGCUACUUUUUGGCAUUUUGGCUCCCGAGGCUAGAAGUCUAUAAAUUGAGAGGUCCACUUCAUUUAUGAGCAUAAAAACACUUGCAUUUAUUUGUUUACCUACUUGUUCUUCAUCAAAAAGCUCUCAUUCUUUCCUUGGUGCAUUAAAUCUCCACAUGCAUAUUCCUUAGUUCACCUUUGUGGUUUUUCCUAGCAUUUGAGUUGUAUUUGAGCUCUUAUUAAGUUAGGUUAAGAUAUUUAAAUUUGUUAUUUGAGUGUUAGAAGCUUCAAGUGAGUAAAGACUUGAAAGGAUUGUGUAAGAGCCCAUUGAAAUUGGAAUCUAAGUGUAAAAAUGUUGGAAAGCUUGGUUGAAGUUUUAAGUAUAGUGGAACCCUCACUCAAUUAGGAGCUUGAAGAGAGUGGACGUAGGUAAGGAGUGCCUAACCAUUAUAAAAUCUGACUUUGCUUUCUGUAACUUUAUUUCUUUAUAUUUGUGCUUUUUUUUGCCUAAAUAUAUUGUGUUUGAAAAAUAUUUUUUUAAAAACCUAAUUCACCCCCCGUCUUGGGUAUUUUCUUAAUUAAGAUUAACCUUUAUUUUCUCACAAACCUUAAAAAAAAAAAAAAAAAAAUCAGUAUUCUGAUAUUCUUAGUAAAUUUUCAUGAGAAUUUUUUUCUCAUAUUAUUUAUUUGAAUUGGUUGUUGCUAAUGAGAAUGUUAUUCAUUUUUAAACUAUCCACUUGGUUAUGUAUAGGUGGUUCUCUAGGCUUCUCCCCACCCACUCCCACCUCCCUUUCCCAAGAAAAGGAGAAUUACACCUAUAUAGUCCUCCAAUCUCCUCUCCCUCUAAGAGGAUGAGGAAACCAUUUAGUUUGAAUAUAGGUAGUUCAAGGAUAAAGAAUAAAAGAAAAAUUCUUUUAGCAUAAGAGUCUUAGUUUAAAAGAAAAAUAACAUAUUUGGAAAAUCUCAUGAUAGAGAAUUUAUAAUAAGAAGGGUUGUCAAAAUAUUUUUUGGAAACUUUUAGUAAUUUAAUGGAGACAUAAUCCAAAAUGCAUUGUUUAAUUCCUUUUAAGGACAUAAACAUAUUUGGAAGUUUUUUUAUAGAGAGUAUAUUAUCCAUUAAGAAAUUACUAAAAAGGUUGUGAUUUUGGUAGUACUUAGUGAAAUAAAUUAUUAUGAAGUUUCCACGAGAAUAUUUAUUGCAUUGGAAUGGUGUAAGGAUAAGGAAAGUAAAUUUUUAACCAAUUUUGAAUGUGAGAAGUUGAAGUUCCUUUCUUGGAUAAGUCACUCUCAAGAUUUUCAAAAUCUCAUAAAUUGGUAAUUUCCUUAUUACACAAGAGUUUCUAAUUUAGAAAAUAAAUAUUUUGAAAAUUUUUGUUAGAGAUAAUUUAUCAUUAAAAGAUUAUUAUCAAAAUGCUUCAUAAUUUGAUGGAAAUAAAUUUCUUUGAAACAUUUGCUAAAUAAAACAUUUAUUAAUUGGAAUUGUAUAUAGAAUGAGAGGUUUAGAAAAAUAGAUUUAAAAAUUUUGAGAGUAGAUAUUUUAUCAAAAUUCAUUUUGAAAAAUAUUCUUAUGGAAAUUUUAAAAUUUUCAUGAUUGACAUGCUCCUAUUAGAAUAGCUUUCUAAUUAGGAAAUGAAUAUUUUUGGAAAUUCUCAAAGUAGAUAAUUAUAAUUUUUAAUUCUAAAGCAGAAUAUGAGGAGAUGAAAAAAUGUUACAUUUAAAACAAUUUUAAGAAUUACUUACGGUUUCACAAUUUUAAUAAUUUUAAGAUUUAUUUAUUUUUGACUUGAAAUAGUUUAAUAUUAGGAACUAAGUUAGAAUUGAGGGAAAUUAAAAAAUAAAAAAUAAAAUUGGAAGAGGGUAUGAAAAAUCCUCACAUUCUUCGUAUCUUUCUCAGAUUCUUCAUACCCUCCUCAUUUUACAUUCUUUUUAAUUAUAACAAUUUUUCAUAUGAAGUUAUAAUAAAAUAAAUUAAUAAAACAGUAUUAAUUUUAAAAUAUUAAUUUGUUAAAAAUAAAAUUACAAUAUUAAUUACUCGUGUUGCUACAAUAUAGGGAUUGUUUUUAAUUUUAAGAAUUAUUUGUUCACUUCAAAUUAUUGAUAGAAGAUUUUAAAAUAAAUUAUAAGAUUAUAAAUGAUUAUUUUGACAUGUUUUAGGGUUAUAAGUUUGUGUAAUAAAAUAAAGGGAAAGUGAGAUUUGAUUCACUAAUAUGAAAAUAUUUGGUAAAAAGAACUCCAAAUAUUUUAAAUUAGUAUUAACUUCAUCUAUUUAAAAAUAAUUUAAAAUACAUGCAAUUUUUAAUGAGUUAUUCAAUUAUUCCCAAAAAUGUCAUUUUACUUGUUAUGUCAUUUAAAUCAAUUGACAACUAGACUCCUCCAUAUAAAUGUUUUCAAACAAACACCACGUAGGAUUCUUAUUUUAGUUUCCUAAAAGUUUAGGAAAUAUUGUGCAAAAAAAUCCUAUUUAAAUAGGAUUAAUACAUAUAUUUUUUAUUACAUAGAAUUUUAAGAGGAAAUAUUGUCAAACAAAUCCUAUUUAAUCAUAAUUACCAAUUCAAAAAGUAAUAAUGUUGUUUAUUAAAUAAUAAAUAAUAAAUUUAAUAAUAUAUAAUUAUUUUAAUUAUGAUUAAUUUAUUUAAUAUAAAAUAUUUAUUUAUUUAUUUUUAUACUAUAUAUCAAAGUACAACCAUAUUGUAAAACAUUUUAUAUCUAAAAAAAUCUUACAACAAAUUUUAUUCGCUAUUAUAUUAAACAAUUGUUAAUAUUAUAUAAUAAAUAUAAAUUUAUUAUUGGUUUAUUUAUUAUCAAGAAUAUGAAUUUAGUUUUAACUUAUUACUACUAUAAUAAACUCUUUUUUUUUUUUUUUUUUUCAAAUUCUUACUUUACAAUGUUUUUAGAGAAAAAAAAAUCCCAAAUAAUAAAAUAAUAAAAUAAUAAUAAUAAAAAUAAUAAUAAUAAUAAAAUAUCUAAAAAGAAGGAAAAUAUCUACAUAAAAGAGUCUAGUUAUCAAUUGAUUUGAAUGACAUGACAAGUAAAUGAGCAUUUUUGGAAAUAAUUGAAUGACUCAUUAAAAAGUGCAUGCAUUUCAAAUUAUUUUUAAAUAGAUAAAUAUAAUACUAAUUUAAAAUAUUUAAGAUUCUUUUUUCUAUAUAUUUUUAUAUUAGUGAAUCAAAUUCCACUUUUCCCUCAAAUAAAUAGCAAUUAUUAUUUGAAUAAAUUUUUUUUGUUGGAUAUUCACUAUAGAAAUGUGUAAAUAUAUUUUUUUUAAAUUACAUUUUUUCCCCAUAAAUAAUAUCAAUUAGAAAGAAAAUAAGUUUGUUGUAACAAAUGUUUAAAAAAUUUACACUUAAACAAAAUGUUUGAGUUAAAACAAUGAUUUCCUUAAAUAUUGAAAAAAUAAUAUGAUUUAAUAAAUAAAUUUUCUUAUUUUAACAAUCAAAUCUUCAACUUUAGAAUGUCUUGAUCACCACAAAAUUCUUCAAAUUUCUCAUUCAUCACUCCAUUCUCAAACCCUCCUUUGAUAUUCUCCAUUCAACUUUGGUAUGGAAAAAAACAAUUCAAAUGGAAAUAAAUUUCCGGAAUCAUCACCAAUCGGACUUCCAUGUAAUUUGGAGCGUCAAACAAGUAAGCAUCCAUAAUACUAUUUUUAGUAUAUUUUGGUGGGUCACAAUAAAUUUGAAAGCUUAAUAAAUGAAAAUUCAAAUUCUUACAUUAUAAUGUUUCUAAAGAAAAAAAAAUCAAAUAAUAAAAUAAUAAAAUAAUAAUAAUAAUAAUAAUAAUAAUAAUAAUAAAAUAUCUAAAAAAAAGGGAAAUAUCUACAUGAAGGAGUCUAGUUGUCAAUUGAUUUGGAUAACAUGACAAGUAAAUGAGCAUUUUUGGGAAUAAUUGAAUAACUCAUUAAAAAGUACUCAUAUGUUUUAAAUUAUUUUUAAAUAGAUGAAAAUAAUAUUAAUUUAAAAUAUUUGAGGUUCUUUUUUUCUAUAUAUUUUCAUAUUAGUGAAUCAAAUCUCACUUUUCCUUAAAAUAAAUAGCAAUUAUUAUUUGAAUAAAUUUUUGUUGUUGGAUAUUCACUAUAGAAAUGUGUUUUUUUUUUUCAAAUUAUAUUUUUCCCCAUAAAUAAUAUCAAUUAGAAAGAAGAUAAGUUCGUUUUAAUAAAUGUUUAAAAAAUUUACACUUAAACAUGUGAGUUAAAACAAUGAUUUCCUUACAUAUUGAAAAAAUAAUAUGAUUUAAUAAAUAAAUUUUCUUAUUUUAACAAUUAAAUCUUCAACUUUGGAAUGUCUUGAUCACCACAAAAUUCUUCAAAUUUCUCAUUCAUCACUCCAUUCUCAAACCUUCCUCUUUGGUAUUCUCCACUCAACUUUGGCAUGUUUUUCAUUUUUCAAACUACGGUUGAUAGGUGAGUUAAAUAGUAUUUUAAAUUUUUUGUCACGUUUAGCAAAAAAAAAAAAAAAAUAUCUUAAUUGGUAUCUAAAUACUAUUUUUGGUAUAUUUUGGUGGGUCACAAUAAAUUUGAAAGCUUAAUAAAUGAAAAUUCAUUUGUAAGAAGUAUAAUAAAGUGAGAAACAUAGGAUUGCAUCCAUAAUACUAUUUUUAUUUAUAUUUUAUAGAAAUAUUGGACAAAAUAUUUUCACUUAAAUUUGUUAAUUUUUUUUGUUUUUUUGUUUAUAAGUUGAAAUACCAAUAAAAUAGUUUACAUUUUACAUUUUCUAUAAUUUUAAGAUUAAUUUUGUAAACUUCAAAUACAAUAUAUAUAUAUAUAUACUAUUUUCAAUUAGAAUUGACAUAAAUUAUGAAAAAAAACAAGUAAAAUAAAAAUAAAUUCCGAGAAUCAUCACCAAUGAGAAUUCCAUGUAGUUUGGAGUGUCAAACAAGUAAGCAUCGACAUAAACCUGUUUCUUUUGCUUUAAUUUCCUUCCUUUUUCUUUUUCUUUCUUUCUUUAAAUGCCUACUUUGGAUUCUUGUCCGUUUCCUUAGACCACAAGAAAUUCUCUUCAUUUGUACAAGAAAAGCCUUACGCCGAUGUAAGCAAAUAUUAAUUGUGAGAGUUGGGAGAUUAGGUUUUUACAGCCAAAAUGUCAGCAGAUAUUCUUCAGUUUUUGAAGAACAAAUUCAUGGAUGAAUUGGAAGAAGCAGAGGAGGAACACCCUCCACCUCAUGACAUCCCCCUCCAUUCUUAUUUUCUACAAAUUCGAGAGGUUCUGAAAGCUAAAAGCAUCAAGCCGUCGACAGGAAUGAAGGAUUGUCUUUACGACCUCAGCAUUGCAUUGACCGACUGCGUGCUCUUCCUGGAGAAGCGCAAAAUGAAAAUCAAAAAGGAUUCCUCACAAGGGCAAGAGCAAGAGCAAGGGCAGGGGCAAGGGCAAGGGCAAGAGCAAGGGCAAGGGCAAGGGCAAGGGCAAGGGCAAGGGCAAAGGCAAGGCCACUACUCUCUGCCUGAGCUAUGGUUUCUGUGCAAAACAAAAAGGAAGCUGAUUCACAUCAAGAAAAAGCUGUUUGUUGCUACAAGCCACCCAGUAGUACCAGAGCAGACUUCCCUUUCUGCCGUCACGGAUGUAGCCACAACUUCUUCUUCUUCUGGCUCUUUAUCAUUUGAUGGACCAAUGAUAUACGGUUAUAGUGAAUCUUACUUUAGAGACCAAGUCAAAAAUAUAGAAAAAUUGGUUCUGGGUACAAGUGAAUUGGAUGAAGAAGGAUUUAGUAAGGAAAUUGGAAUUGUGGGGAUUGGGGGUUGCGGUAAGACCCUUGUGGUCCGAAUGGUUUUCGACCGAAGUCGUAUGGCCCAAAGAAUUUGGAUCAAUUUACAAGCGAUACAAAAAGGAGAAAUAGAUUUUAAGAAGAUUCUCAAGGCUAUGCUGAAGCAGUGUGAUGAUGGGCAAAGAGAUUUUGUGGAUGGUAGUGUGGAGGUGGAGGAGGAGGAGCUAUUGGAGGCCCUCUGCAAAGCAUUGUGGAGUAAGAGUUAUUUAUUAGUGUUUGAUGGAAUUUGGGAUAUCAACCUGGACUGGUACUUCAGGUUAAAGGAGAGACUCCAGUGGUGUAACAAAUCAAAUCAGAGCAGAAUCAUCAUCAUUACAACCAGACUCCAUGGCGUGGCUAAGAGGAUGGUUGGGCCCAAUAAUUUAUAUCGUAUGCAGCCCUUGUCCAAUGAGGUUAUUUGGGACCUCAUUACGUGGACUGCAAGUUCUCUUCCUCCGGAGCAUCCCAUUGUGGUGAAAAUGAAGGAUGAAAUGAUAUACCAUUCUCAUGGUCUCCCGUUAGCUGCAACAACGUUCUACUCUAUUAUGGAGAACCGAACCUAUGGAGGGGAGUAAGUUUCUAUGCUUUCAGCUUGAUUUUUACAUGUGCAUGCCUCUGCUUUGAUUUUCACAUUUUUCAUAUACUAAUCACAUGUAUAUCAUAAUCACAUUGUUGGUAUAUAUAUAUAUUUAAGAUUUUUUGAGAUUUAAAUAAGAACUUGUUUACAGUAUAAUGUAUUGAUUAAUACUCUAGAUUUUAUAUAUAAAUAAGCAAUCAAUUACCAAAUAACGUAUUAAUUUAAAUACGUAUUAAUACUCUAGAAAAAGAAAACUUAAUCAUGAGAAAAAAUGUUUUGUUUUUAAUUUAAAUAAAGAUAAUAUUUUAAGGAAAAAUAACUGAUUUUUAAUUUAGAUAGCAUAAUAUAUAUAUGACUAAUUAAGUCCUUAUUUUAUAUUAGUAUUAUUUUAAUUCUUUUUUUUUUGCCAUUCACGUGCCUAUCAUGGUUUUCUUUUUAAAAGAUUAUCCUUAUUUUAUUUUAAACUUCUUUUUUUUUUAAAUAAAAAAUAAAAAAUUCUAAGUGUUUUGAAUGGAAAAUCAUAUUCACAGGGCAAAAAGCACUCUUGCCUAAUUUUUUAAUCUCUACAUGUUUUUUUUUCUUUCAUAUUUCUUUUACUUUUUUUUGAAAGCUUUUUAUACUUUUGUAACUUCCUUUUUUUCAUUUCUUAGAAAUGUUAAAAUAACUAUUUUGAUACAUUUUUUUUCAGUAUUUAUCUAUAAUGUUUUUUUUUUUAGUUAUAAAAAUUAUCUUUUAAAAUUUUUUAUUUCAUUUUUCCUAAAAUUUCUAAGAAUUGUGUUUACAUACAUAACAAAAAGAAUUUUUGCCUCUUUUGUUGAAUUUUGUUUUGAAUUACUUCAAUUUAUAAAUAAUAUUUUAAAAGAUUGAAUUUGAAAAUUUACCAAUUUAUAGUUUUGAAUUGUGAUUGAAUAAAUAUAUAAUUUAUAUUUUAUUAAAUUAAAAAUAUUUUAUUUUAGAAAAUUUAAAAUAUAUAUAAAAAAAUUAAAAUCAAUAAUAUUUAUUUUUUCAUAGUUUAUAUAAAGGUAUUAAUAUUUGAAUUUUAUAUUAAAAAUGGAAGAUAUAUAUGGCGUAUUAUUUAAUAAAUUUAAAAGAUGUUAGAUUGUUUUAGUUAUAUUAUAAGAAUUUUUUAUAAUCCUUAACAUAAGUGAGGGAUUUAAAUCAUCUACUCUAAUGAUCCUGGGGAUUAAAAGAUGUUUAAAACCCUCAUUCAACCAUACUCAUGGCUUUCCAAUUCCUAUUUUCAUAUACUAAACGUGUAUUAACUGUGGCAGUUGGGAUGACAUACAUGAGUUAGUACGAGAAAGGAAACUAGUAUUUUAUGUAAUGAUCAACCCCAAAGACGAUGCCAAUCAGGGGAACGAUUUGCUCCUAUCUCUUCGUAGCAUCUGGGGCACAGAAUCAUUGGUUAGAUUUUAAAGCACCCUCAAGAUUGAUUCAGAGGAUUUGUUUUAGUGCUGCUUUGAAUAACUUUACUUUUCAGGUUCCUGACAUUUCAGAGGUUGUUCCUCAAUUCCCAUUACAUCACAUUCAAAAGGCUUUCGGAUUGAGAAGUGAGUCUGAGGUUGUAGACAGAAUGAGGAUAUUGGUAAGUUGAGUAGUUGUGAUCUUUAAGAUUUAAUCUUGUCUCAAAUUUCAAUUAUAAGCCUUCCUUUGUACCCUCAAAACGCACCUGGGAAUUGUGACUCAAUUGGCCCCAAUUUGGGCUUCGCCUCUUAAGAAUUCUAACGGGGCGUCAUUCAAACUCUAGUAAUGCUAGGAAAAAAAUAAAACAAAUUGUUAAGCUCAAACUCAAACAUAAUUUUAUCUCAUCCGACCCAUACCUUAUUAAUUAUUUCAAAUAUUCACAGAAAACUAAAAUCAUAAAUCACUCUUAAUUACUUAAAUUAUCUUAUAUUCAAAUUUUUAAUCCACUUAAAAUAUAAAGUUGCUUAUGUUAAUUUAAAAAAUUACAAAAAAAAAAUUAUUAAUUAGCAUAGAAAAUUAAUUUUUGUAUGAAUCAUCAUUAUUCGAGUUUGUCAAUAAUUAUAAAAAUAGAGAUAUAAUUAAAAUGACAUAAGCGAUAUAAGUGAAUAUGACACGAGUGAAAUUAAAAAUGGAGAAUUCUCUCUAAUUGAAUAAUUAUUUAUUCUAAUAAAAUAUUAAACAAAUUCAUUAAUUAUUAUAUUAAAAUCUUUUUUCUUUUAUUUAUCAUAAUUACUAUAUAUAUAUGCUUCACUAGGUUUUUGGUGGUGAUGUUACAACAAAUCGGGUUUUACAAGCAGUUUGUGAUAUGGAACUCCAUCCGACACCGCCAAUUGGUGUGAUGCCUUUGGGAACACAAGUUAACAUUUCAAUUUCUCUUGGAUGGGUAAUACAAUAAUUAUCAUCUUUUUCAUAUAAGUUGGUAGCUUCAUCCUAUUUAUAUUACAUAAAGAGAUAACGCAUAAGUUAACUACUUGACAGGGAAAUCAACUUUCUGAUACAGAUUCUAGGCCUGUAUUUUACCUUCCUAAAUUAUAUGAUGCUGAAGAGAUAUUGAUAGACAGGUAAUAAAGUUUGAAUGUUACUAACAGAAUGAUAAUAUAUAUAUUACCAAUUGCCUCACUAUAGUCCUUUACCUUUGAGCUUCAAUGUGAUCAACAAUUAAAAAAUAGCAUUACUCCCUUGGCUGAGCAUUUGGUACAUAUUCAAAAUUUUAUUUUGGGAUAGAACCAAUCUAUUUAAUUAUGAUUCAAUUCUUCUUAAUCCACCACUCAUGGUCCGAGAAAAGAAAAAAAAAAAAGACUUCCAUUGGUUAUUAUUAUGUAAAAAGAUGUGCCUUCUUAAUUCCUUCCAUUUUGGUUGGUGACAUGCUCCAUGUCCUGGCCAUUUAAACCUUGACGGCCCAAUUGCUUGAUCUUCAAUAACAUCUAUCUAUCUCCUCAUUAAUGUGGUUAGAUAUCUGCUACAUUAACCUAAUUUUAGUUGGUUCUAAGCUUGGAAAAUUAUAGUUCUUUGCACUUGAGCCACAAUUAAUCUGUUAGUCUAUUGAAUUAUUAGCUAGAAAUGGAAGUUUAGCUUGUAACUUAAUUUCAAGUCAUAAUUAAUUGCAAGUUAGGAUCAAAUAAACCUUUUAAAGUCAAUAAAAUAUUUAAUAUUUCUCCUUGAACAAAACCUUAGGCAAUCCACUUCAUUUAUAUAUAUAUAUAAUCACUUGUUUCUGACUAAAUAAUUCCAUAUUAAGCAUCCUUCAAAUUGGAGCACCAUUUUGGUGCAGCUUUUGGGCUGCCCAAAAGCUCUUUUUGAUUCUUGAAGUGCUCUAUAGUGUUCUCUAUUGCACUCAAACUCCAAAACACUUUCAAGUACAAGAUUUUGGAAUUGAAAAGUUCUUUCUAGUGGGAUACUUUUGUGGAAGUCUUUUUAAUGAGAUAGGUUUCAAAAAAAAAAUUAUAUUAAAUAGUACUCUCUUUUGAUUUUUUUUAUAUUAAAUAAUACUCUCUUGUUUAGAUAGAUUACUUCACUAAAAGUUACUAAAAUUUAUAGUUUAAUACAUUAUGAAUGCUUUUGCAUUAAUAUGAAAUUGUGGAUCUGUCUAGACAUUUCUUGACUAAAGAGCAUUAAAAUCAUGUGAAGAGCGGGUUGACUUUCCAGUUUUUUUUUUCGCUUAAUGCAACGUACAAAGCAUAUUGGCUUUCUUUUAAUUAACUCAAACACUGAUCUAGUACUAACUAGAACCAUCUUAAAGGAAAUCGAUCUGAACUCUUUAUCAUCUUGAUCAAAUUCUAUCAAGUUUAUCUUUUAUCUCUCUUUGAUACACACUUUAAUAAACAUGUGUGUAUCAAAUCCUUACUCCCUGUCAUAACUUCCGUUGUGCACCACACUCCUAAAAUAUCAUUGUUACCUUUGUGCAUCACAAUCUUGUCAUGUGCCAUAAUCCCAUCAUGUGCUAUGUACUUAAAUCAUUUAAACACUUCAUCAUUGCUACCUUUUAGGAUGUAAUAAGUGUACAAGAGAAGCUAUGGUUAUCUUGGAUAACGAAACCACAUUUCUUGUAUCACAUUUUGAUGAGAGAACAAAUUGACUCUACUUUCAACUAUAAUUCUUUCUAUACUCUACUUAUGUGUGUUAUUCCCUUUGUCUCUUCUAGAAUUCUCAAUUUGAGCUUUGAUACCAAUUUGUCAUACUAGUGAAAGCUUUAGUGCUAAUAUAUUAGUGUUAGAAUACAAAGAUAAAAUAAACAACACACAACUGUUAGAAUACAAAGAUAAAAUAAACAACACACAACGGAAUACAAGGUUUUAACAUAGUUUAAAAGCCAUGCCUAUAUCUACUAAUAAGAGAAAUCAUUCUACUAUAUUAUAGGAAAUAUUACAAAAGGUAGAAAAAUAUAUACCAAUAUUAAGCCCUAAAAAAUCUUAUAUUUCUUUGUUCUUUAUAUCCACAUCUUGAAUCUUGAACCUUCAUUUCACUAGGUGUUUUCUUAUUAUCCUCAUAUCUCUAUCUAGCAUGUAGGCAAACCCAUUUCAUCCUAUUACUUUUUCCCCCAUAUGACCUAGAAUAUUUAUAAAGACAUUCCUAGUAAUUUUCCUUAUUCUAUAUAUAUAUAUAGAUGUGGAAUCUUGAACCUUCAUUUCACUAGGUGUUUUCUUAUUAUUCCUCAUAUCUCUAUCUAGCAUGUAGACAAACCCAUUUCAUCCUAUUACUUUUUCCCCCAUAUGACCUAGAAUAUUUAUAAAGACAUUCCUAGUAAUUUUCCUUAGUCUAUAUAUAUAUAUAUCAACAUAGGAAAUCUUCUAUAUAAUAUUCUUCAUAGAAAUGAGUAUAUAUUAAUUAGAAAUUUGAGUUACAUUCCACCACCGACUAAGGUAUACAUUUCAUAAUAGAAGAUUACCAUUAUUACACAUUCUUAAAUAAUUGGUAUUUGAUUAGUUUGAGUACUUUGUUUUAUGGUAAUUAAGAAUUCACAUUCUUGUUCUAAUUCUUGUUGGAAGUUUCCAAGGGCCAAAUUUAAAUGAUUUUAUUGUAUGUUACUUAUUGCUAAUAUAGUUGAAUUUAUUCCAGUUGGAAUUUUGUAGUGAGGACAUCAAUUCCAAAUUGUCUUGAGAUACCGAAUACUCUUCAUGUUCGACAUGUUUCCGAAGACAACUUAUUACACAUGGUAAUGUUUUGUCAUAUAGCAUUUUUUAAAUUUACAAAAGAAUAAAUAUGUUGCUUGCAAAUUGAGAACUUUUCUUUUGCACAAAUAAUUAAUGUUUUAGUUUUCUAUGAUGCAUAUGCUUUGGGAUCAUUAUCAUUUUUGUAGUUGUAUCAAUAUUUUCUAGUAAAUUUAUUAACUUAUAGCAUAAAAUUUGUAACUAUAAUCAAAGUAAAAAGCCAAGCAAAAAUAUGCUUGGACCAUCAAUCAAUGGAGUUAAAGUAACAUUAAAAGGUUUAAUAUAUAUAAAUAGAUAUAGCUAAUAUAAAAAUCAAUUAGCACAAUGGACUUACUAAAUAUUCAUACUUUUAUGAAUAUGUCAAAAAUUUAAUCAUGAGUACCAAGGUACUUCAAUUCCACUUCUUCAUUAUGCAUUUUUUUUAAGAAAAUGAUAUCUUUUUGUCAAUUUUUUUGUUUUGAUCAUAGAAUAUCAUAUUUUUUACCAAUGUAGAUGCUAAUUUAUGGUCCAUGUGGAUCUUAAUUGGUUUUUCUUAUAGCAUGUUAAGCUCUUUUAUUAAAAUUUUGUCAAAUUACCUAACAAACACAUUGAUUGAUGUCAAAUAUUGUAGGGACAACAAAGUAGAAAUCAAAUUAUGUCUGAUAUUUGCAUCAAUUGUACUCUCCAAUCACUCAAUUUUGUGCUACCUUGCAUAUGCUCAACUUUCUUACAUUUUUUCUCUAUUUUUUAAUGGUUUGCAACUAUUUUGAGUGAGUAAGUGCAUGUAAAGGAGCUUAGUCAAAGUAUAAAAAUGGAGUGAGAAGAGUACAAGUACAUGAAAUAGAGGAAAGAAUGCACAAAGCCGUUUUCCAUUUUGGGCCAAUGACCCAUGGUGCACAAAAUUGCAACCUCCCCAUUGCUUAUUGCCACUUUGGGUGCCAUAAUUGGUCCUACGAGCCAUGCUUCCUAAAGGUGGUGUCCUCUUUGUUAAAAAAAAUUGUUUAUGCUUGGACACACUUUUUUAGCAUUUUUCUCCUAGCCUUUAGAUCUUUGGGCUUAAGAUGCCUCAACAUGUCUCUACGUUAGGACAACCUUGGAAUGGUAUAAAUAUCCCAUUUUGCAAUUGUAGAGGGGUUGGUCUUCUCCUUCGGAAGGCCUCUUUGAUAUAUUUCUAGGGUUUAGAUUUCUUCAUGUUUUAGUUUAGAUUAAUGUAGUCCCCCUUUUGAUGUAAUCUUGCUUUGGAUGUUUUCCUCUAUCUCUCGCUUCUGUGCUUGGAUAAAUUUUGAUAAAAAUCAAGUAUUUUAUAUUUUUAUUCUCUUUGUGUAGAGCACAUGGUCAUGAGGAUAUUUAGUAACAAUAUUAUCUUGAAAAUAUCUAUCAAAUACUAUUCCAUACUCUUGACCCUUACUACUUUAAGCCAUACAAAGCUUUUUUUACAAUUCAAAACUUUAUUUUUGUUUCUUUUUACGUUAUAAGCCAUGAUUUGUUUCAUAUAUAAUUUUUCUUCAUGAUAUCCAUUUUAAAAAAUUGAUUUUGAUCACAGUUUAAAUAAAAUUUCCUUGUAUUUUAAUCUAUUAAAGAAAUUAUAACUUAUGGUUUCUAUAGAUGGUAACUAAAUAAAAUUACAACAUCAUGAUCAAGGAUUAAAAUAUCAGAAAUUAUGAAAAUCUCAAAUUUUAAAUUUUACGAAAAUAUUAGGAAAUAUAAAAAAUAUUGAACAAAAAUUUGGAAAAAAAAAGACAAAAAUUUAUGAAAAUUACAUAAAUAUGAAAAAAAAAAACUCAAAAAUGGUAAAAUAGAUAAUAAUAAUACACAUGGUAUCAGAGCUUAUUCUAGGUUAUUGGUGUGCUUGGCAAAAACUUUGAGUGCCACCUAUCCUUAUUUUAAGUUUUUUUGUGGUGUUUUGAUUCCUCGGGUUUCAUUGUUGAUUUCGUUUUUAGUUGGUUCAUCUCCAUUUAUCACUACUAUUAUGUUUGAAAUAUUGGACCAUACUCCCGCUAUCAGUUCUAUUAGGGCAACAUUGAAAGCACUACUAAGCCAAACCAUGAGGGAACUAUAGAACUUCCAAGCUGCUUAGCACCUUAUUGAAAAGAAAUAUCUUCAAUAGUCUUAGUUGGUAAGGAAAACUGAGUCAUUUGAUUGGCAUAGGACUAAAGCUUGGAUAUCCAAACUUUUAGAGCUGGAAUGAAGAGGAUUCCAUAUCAUGUCUUGGUUAUGGAAUUCAGUGUCCCUUAAAAUUAGUGGAACAUGUUUUUUACAACAACUAGGGAGGUUUACAAAGUCAUUCGACAAACCUAUUCAAAGGUUUGAGAUUGUACUCAAAUUUUUUAAAUCAAGGUGAACAUUUCAACUAUAAAACAAGGAACCAGAUUUGUAAUUAAAUUUGCCAAUAUUAUGAAGAAUUUGUGAUAGAAAAUUGACUACUACCAUAACAUUCAAAAUUAAAUGUAGUGAAGAUGCAAUAGUGCAAAAAAAAUAUUAUAGAAAGAGAAUGAAUUUUUGAAUUUCUUGUUAGGCUCAAUGUGGAGUUUGACCAAGGGCAAGUCUAAGUUUUGGGAAAAGAGGAGCCUCCAUCCAUGAAUGAAAUCAUCUCCAUCAUUCGUGCUAAAGAAAAUAAGAGAAGUGUGAUGCUCAAACUGUCUUUUAUUCAUGGUUCUACAAAGCCACACAAAUUCAACCCAAAUCUUGUUAGAGAAACUAGACCUUCUAAUGAGUUGGUAAAAAAUCUCAAUCGUGAAGGACUUUGGUGUACUUACUACUAGAAGCCCCAACACACCAAAGAGAAAUGUUGGAAACUUAAUGGAAAACCUUAAAACUUGAAUUGGAAUGUGGGAAAUAGAGCAUGGAAGAAACAUAAUCAAGAAAUUAUGGCAAAUUGUGAAGAAAGCCCUCGAGAAAAACAUAGUUUCAACAAUGAAGAAUUUAGAAAACUAAACAAAGAAGAGAUAGAAAGGUUAAGAUAUUUUUUGGUACUUUGAAUAAACAAUCAAGUAUGUGUUCUUUGACACAAACAAGUUUUCUAUUUGUCAUACUUUUAAGGGCCUUAGAUUUGUUCUUCAUUGGCUCUUGGGUCAUUAACUUCGAAGACAUAGACCACAUGACCUACUCUUCUCUUAAUACCACAAAGCUCGAUUUAAACCAAUUCUCAAACAACAAUGAAUUGGCAUCAUUCUGCUAACACUAGUCUAGAAACUAUUGUUAUAAAACCAUUGCAAGUUUACUUAAGGAGAAAAAUAACCACCAUUAAACCCACACAUAGUCAAGAGUCUAAACCAAGGCUAGACAAUAGUUUUAUCUCUCCUAGUACUUCAAAUGUUGACAAUGAUCUUGAUUUACCCAUUCCGUUUAGGAACAUUUUCUAUCAUUAUUUAUGUCAUUUAAUAACUUCUCCCAAUCCCACAAAAAUCCUCACUCAUUUGUACAGCAAAACCACUCCACAAAACCUUUUUGAGGCACUUAAUAAUGAGAAGUAGAGACAAGUCAUGUGGGUAAGAUAGAGGCCUUACAGAAAAAUAGAACAUGGGAAAUAAUAGAGAUGUCUAAGAGGAAGAAACCAUUUGGGUGUAAAUGAGUAUAUCGAAUAAAGUAUAACUAAAAAGAUAUAAGUCUAGGUUAGUAGCAAAAGGCUAACACAAACCUAAGGGGUUGAUUACCAAGCAACCUUUUCUUUCAUAGCUAUUAUGAAUAUCGUAAGGGUGUUAUUAUCAUUGGUGACUAAUCUUAGUUGGAGCUUACAAAAAUUUGAUGUAAAACAAAAAUGAAUUUUUGCAUGAGGACUUAGAAGAAGAGAUCUAUAUGGAAAUUUCUCCAGGAUUUUACAAAACUCUUGGUAGAACCAAUGCGUGAAAAUUAAAGAAAACCUCAUAUGAAUUAAAACAAUCUCUAAGAACAUGAUUUAUGAGAUUUUCUAACGUGAUGUUGGCAAUGAAAUACAAAGUCAAGGUGACCAUACUUUGUUUAUUAAGCAUUGGACUUCAAAGGGACUGAUAACUUUGUUCGUAUCUAUGGAUGAUAUUAUUAUGAUUGGUAAUGAUCCUAGAGAAAGGGAGGCUCUUUGACAGUAUUUAACUAGAGAAUUUGAGAUUAAAGAACUUGUUAGAUUGAAGUAUUUCCUAAGAAUCAAUGUGGCUCAUUCCAAGAAGGGUAUCUUUGUUUCAUAAAAGAAAUAUGUGAUUGAUAUUCUUAAAAAAAAAAACCAAGAAACUUGGAUGUAAGCUAGUGGACAACCCCAUAGAACCAAACCAUAAAUUAGUAGNNNNNNNNNNNNNNNNNNNNNNNNNNNNNNNNNNNNNNNNNNNNNNNNNNNNNNNNNNNNNNNNNNNNNNNNNNNNNNNNNNNNNNNNNNNNNNNNNNNNNNNNNNNNNNNNNNNNNNNNNNNNNNNNNNNNNNNNNNNNNNNNNNNNNNNNNNNNNNNNNNNNNNNNNNNNNNNNNNNNNNNNNNNNNNNNNNNNNNNNNNNNNNNNNNNNNNNNNNNNNNNNNNNNNNNNNNNNNNNNNNNNNNNNNNNNNNNNNNNNNNNNNNNNNNNNNNNNNNNNNNNNNNNNNNNNNNNNNNNNNNNNNNNNNNNNNNNNNNNNNNNNNNUUCGAGUAAUGACUCAUGGAAAUUUGUGAAUUGUAUGGCUAAGAUUAUUUUAAAUGAUCCUAAAAUCAAGUAGAGAUACCCUAUGAGAUUCUACUGUGAUAAUAAGUCUGCAUUCAACAUCACUCAUAAUUAGGUACAAUAUGAUCAAAUAAAACAUAUGGAAGGAGAUUGACAUUUCAUAAAGAAAUAAGCUAGAUAGUGGUUUUAUUUGGACUCCAUAUAUUGAGACAUGUGACCAAAUUAUAGAUGUUGUAACUAAAGAUUAGCUAAUACCAAAUUAUAGACAUGUGUUUGAAGUUUAGGUCCUAUAAUUUAGGAUUUUUCUCAUUUUAGGACUCUUCUUGUACAACUAUAAAUUAGUUAGGACUUUUUCUCCUUUUAGGACUCCUCUUGUAUAAUUAUAAAUUAGUUAGAACUUUUUUCCUUAAAACCCCUUUAUGUACAAUAGUAAAUUAGUUAGUAAGAGAUUUGAAUUACCAUGUAUGUAAGGAAUUUCUAACUUUUUUUGAAGAGGUUUCCAUUCUCUCCUAUGCAUCCUUAAUGGCCUCACAUGUUUCUUGAGUAAGGAUUAAAUUAUCAUUUAUUGCCAAAAUUUUAGAUGAAAUAUCAGCUCUCUGUGGCAAUGCAAAAAAUUUCACAAUUUUAUUUUCGACUAUUGAAUUUUGCCACUUUUUUCAGUUUUUUUUUUUUUUUUUAAAGUUUAGAUUAAUUGUUGAUCAAUUGGUGAUUUUUUUAUCAUAUGUCACCACAUCAAUAACACCUCUAAAAUAUAAAAUCUCUCUUGUAUGAAUUGAUUUAUAUACUUCAAACUCUAGUACUCACUAUGACUUUAAUGUAGUUGUUCAUGCAUACUUUUAGAGGAAUCAAUUCUACUAUCAUUUAAGUUUGCCCAAAUAUUAACUUAUUAGGAUUUAGGGUUAUUGACAUGGAAAUUCCUACAGAAAAGUAGAUUGGGAAAACGUUGUAGAGCAUAACAAAACUACAUUAGAAUAUUACAACUUUAGAGAAGUGGCCCAAUUAACUAUGGAGAUAGAUCUUAGAAUCUAUAAGGUACACAAAAUAAAACCUUAGUUAGCAAUAAUGAAAUGCUAACAUAGUUAAUCAAUAUAUUGGAGCUAUAUAUAGAAAUUCUUUAGAGACCAUAUUGUCAUGCCAAUAAUUAGGUGUGACCUAACCAAGUUAUUUCUACCAAGGUUCUUCUUUGCUACACUCCAAUGCACGACAAAACUAUCUAAUAUUUUCCAUUCUACCAUAUUUAGCUUACCUCAACAAUUGAUAAGAUUUUAUGAACUUUUCUAAAAUACUACUUUUAAGAUUAAUAAAAUUUUAUUUUAAUAGAUGAAACACAUAUUUCAAUGGGUGAAAACAUUUUUAUACUCUUUUUUAUUUGCUAUGGUACCUUUACUAUAAAAUAUAUCAUAUUAGUUGUGAGAGUUUAAACUUGCUCCACCUUUUUUCGCCAAAUAAGUCUAGAUAUUGCAAGUUAUGUAUAUGGGAGAGAGAUUGUGAUCUAUAUCAUAUAAGUUAAAAAUGUAUAGUUCACAUUUUCUUUACUAGCUUCAUGGUAGAAUUUUCUUUUAUUGGUAAAUUUUUUUUUUCCUUUCUCUUUUUUCCUAGUGGGACUCCAACCUAUAAUCAUUUAACUUUGCUAAGUGAGUAACUCUCCUUAAACAUCCAUAAGCUUUAAUUUCUUCUAAAGCAAUCUUAAAUUUAGAAUAAUCAUUUAUUAAUAAAUAUGUCAUUAUUUGAAUUAAUACUUGAAGUGGAUAAGAUCGCUUAACUUAUUAAUUUGUACUUCUUAUGAUGAUAUUUUACCAGGGAGGUGACAAAGAUCUUUGUGGAAGAUUUUGGAACUAUCUUAUAAUAGGUAAUGGGUUUAAUUUUCUUGUACUUUUUCUUUUCAUAAAUAUUGUGCAAUUCAUUAUAAUAUAAAUGUUGUUAGGAAACAUAAGUUGAAAGAAAUUUAAUAGUCUUGAUAUGAUAAAACUACCAAAAGAGAGACAGGAGAGGGAAAGAGGUAGGUAGUCCAUGAAUUAAUCCUAAGUUCAAACUUUAUUACCCCACUACACAUGUGCUCGAAAACAUAGGUUUAACUAUUGAGCCCACUCUGGCUCAACAUAGCAACUUAAUUGGUGUAAAACACCAUGAGUGUUGCCUUGACCGUAGAUAAUCCACUAAAUAUGAAAAUAUGGUAUAUUAGAUUUACUUAGUUGAAUAAAUACNNNNNNNNNNNNNNNNNNNNNNNNNNNNNNNNNNNNNNNNNNNNNNNNNNNNNNNNNNNNNNNNNNNNNNNNNNNNNNNNNNNNNNNNNNNNNNNNNNNNNNNNNNNNNNNNNNNNNNNNNNNNNNNNNNNNNNNNNNNNNNNNNNNNNNNNNNNNNNNNNNNNNNNNNNNNNNNNNNNNNNNNNNNNNNNNNNNNNNNNNNNNNNNNNNNNNNNNNNNNNNNNNNNNNNNNNNNNNNNNNNNNNNNNNNNNNNNNNNNNNNNNNNNNNNNNNNNNNNNNNNNNNNNNNNNNNNNNNNNNNNNNNNNNNNNNNNNNNNNNNNNNNNNNNNNNNNNNNNNNNNNNNNNNNNNNNNNNNNNNNNNNNNNNNNNNNNNNNNNNNNNNNNNNNNNNNNNNNNNNNNNNNNNNNNNNNNNNNNNNNNNNNNNNNNNNNNNNNNNNNNNNNNNNNNNNNNNNNNNNNNNNNNNNNNNNNNNNNNNNNNNNNNNNNNNNNNNNNNNNNNNNNNNNNNNNNNNNNNNNNNNNNNNNNNNNNNNNNNNNNNNNNNNNNNNNNNNNNNNCAAUUGCUUUUUCAACACUUUUGCAUAUAAUUUCCAUACCAAAAAUGCAUCCUUACCUCGAAUUUGAUGACUUUUUUACCUUCCUAAACUCAAUUCUAUAGUAGCUCAAAGUUUUUUUAGUUGUUAAGACCUAAGAAUAAAUGCAUCUUAAUUAAUAAGAAAUGGAAGAAACUAGUCAAUAUAAAACUAAUACAUCAAUAAUAUCCUCCUUUAAUAAUUUUGUGACAAAAUAAAUAAUUAUAAUGAGGCUCCCCAUAGUCUCAUAAAAACCUUACUAAAUCCAAAACAAGUUCUAAUCUAAACUAGUUAUUAUGCUUGCAUGUCUCUUUAUAAUCUAUAUACUUAAAUAAUAUACAAGUAAAAAGCAUAGAAUGGCCAAAAAUAGAAUAAAUAAAAAUACAUAAAUACAAUCAAUGAACUCAAAUAACAUUUUUACAACCUUUUACUCCUUUUUUUUUUUCACAAAAAUGAAAAUAGAAAAAAAAAAUGCAUGAUUAGGCACAUAAGGAAAAUAACCAAGGAAAGGUCUAUAACAUGCCUGUGUAAAUUGGAGCAAUAUCCAAUAUACAACCUAACAUGAAUCAGAGAGUAAAUAAAGUAACAAAAGAUAAUCCAAAAUACAUAUUGAGAAAACAAAGGCUAUGCUUAGUUAAGAAAAACACCCAAAAGGUGGGGUAGGGGGGUGAAUUGGGUUUUUAAAAUCUUUUCAAUCACAACAAAUUCAAACACAAUAUAAGCAAAAUAAAGAGAUAGAGUUUAGAGUUAUAGUGGUUCGGCAUUUCCUUGCCUACGUCCACUCUCCUCAAUCUCCUAACCGAGUGAGGGUUCCACUAACUUGAAGCUUCAACCAAGCUUCCAAUCUUCUUACACUUGGAUUCCGACUCCAAUGGGUUCUUACACAAUCUCUUCAAAAUUCAAACCUCUUGAAGGCUUAGACACUCAGAUUUUUACAAGAAAUGAUCCCUCAACCUAGCUUAAGGAUAGCUCAAAUACAAGACAAAGCUAGGAUGACACACAAGAGUGCACUAAAGGAUAUGCAAGUGGUGAUUUAAUGUACUAUGAAAGAAAUGAGAGCUUUUUGAUCAAGAACAGAUAGGUAGGCUAUUGAAUGCAAGUGUUCUCUUAUCAAUAAAUGAAGUGAAGCUCUCAAUUUAUAGGUUUCUUAGCCCGGGAGUCAAAAACAGCAAAAGGUAACCUCGUUCGGUCGAGCUAGGGGUGACCGGUUCACUAGCCGUUGGAACAUUUAAUGCAUGACAGGUUACCGUUGCCUCGAUCAGACAUCAACCGGAUCUUGACCGGUAAGAGAAUCCCCUCGAUCGGGAAAAGAAGGCUAUUGGGAGCGAGAGAAACUUUUUGGCCUCCCUCGACCGGUCUUCGAUCGGACGAGCACAACCGGUCGACCAGUUCCUCAAUCGGUUGAGCCGGUUGGCCAUAAUCUUGACCCAUUGAGCCUUUUUGGCCCCGAAAACCUAUUUUUUUUUAAUUCCUUUCUUUUCUAAAACUUAGUCAAGGUCUUUAGGUGAAUUAUUAAGCCAAUUAUAAAACAUUUUGCCUAAGGUACAUUAGUUAAAAACUCAGGUUUUAAUGAAAUUGAAGUUUUAAAGAAUAAACCGAGUUUUCUAAGUUGCAUGAAACGUAUGAAAAUCCUAAGUGCACUCAUGCAUUCAUCUUACAUUAGUUUCCUAUGAUCACAAGUCUUCCAAGUGUCUCGAUCUUGUAUCCAUUUGGUCAUUUGAUGAAUUUUUGAGUUUAUGCCUGAGAUUCUUAACCAUUAAACAAAUUAGUCACUUAACCAUGGUUUGUUAUCAUCAAAACCCGAUUAGGAGAACCCUUGGGCUAACACAUAUAGAAACUCUCUUUCUCUCAACCUAAUACAUUAAGAAAUUUAGAGAUCCAUGUUAGGAAGAGGAAAAACAUGGGUACUCACUCCUCUGAUCACAAUGAAGUUCAAAAUAAGUCCUCAAAAAUUCCUUAUUUUCACGAGGAGGUUUAAAUAAUUUCUUAAAUUCCUAAAAAUCAAGAUUCAAAACUUUUGAACACUUUUGGAAUAUCUAAACACUAACAAGGAUCAAAAUUUUCUAUCCAAGAAAUUUCUUAAUACUCAUAGAUUUAUAAUUUUUUAGAAACUUAGCCCUAUAUAUAUAUAUAUAUAUAUAUAUAUCUUGACAACAAAGGCAUGAUAAACUAUGAGCGGAAUCAAAACAAUUUUGAUUUCAAGAAGACAAAAGAUUAUCUAUAUUUAAAAAAGUAAAUAAAACAUUAGUGAAAAAACUAAAACUUUCAUUUUCAAGAGAUGGAACUAUUAAACACAUGAAAUUCUCAUUUCAUCUCUCCUUACUAUUUCAACCACUUAAUUUAAAGCCCUAAAGUAGAACUCAUUUAAUUUAAAUUUCAUCUGGUCAGAUGUUUAUUUAACAUUACUUAAUUUCUUUCACAUAGAUAUACAUACAUAUCAUGUGAUUUUAGAAUUUCCCCAAAAUUUUAAUCUCUGCUCUUAAUAAUUUCUAAUUUCUGUAAAGGCCAUAAGUUAUAAGCAUUAAUCACAAACAUUCAUUACACCUUUACCAUAAAUUUUAAGGAUUUUUCAACUUUUGCAAGUGAUAGCUUUCAAGCUUAGAAUAAUGAAACUAAAUUUAGAAUUUGCUAAAAGUAGAUUUUUCACUCCCAAAAUUAUUUUAAUAUUUUUAAAAUCACAAAUGAAUGAAUUAAACAUGAUGAACACUCUAAGAACCCAUAAAUUAAGUUGAAGAAAUAACCUAGUUUGAUUCCUUCUGAAAACUAGGAAGAAAUAGAUUCUCAUAACUUUAAAACUUUAGGAACCACUUAAAUCACAUUAUGAAGUAUUCAAAAAAAUAUUUACUCUCUAGAUCAAUUAUAAUGUUUCUAAUCAUGGACGGAGAUAAUAAAUUCAAGUCCAUCUACCCUAAAUUCCAUGAAAUGCCGAAAAAUUUUAAGAAAACAAUAACUUAGAGUAUUUUAGAUCUUCUAAGGAAUAUGAGUCUAGAUCUUAGAACCCUAAAAAAAUUUCUCCCUUAAAUUCAAAAGCCUAAAAUCUAAAAGAGAUACAAUCUUAAUCUAGGAUACUAAUCCCUAUGGAUUUCCUAAGGUUCUCAAAUCUAAGAGCAUCUAAGGGAUAAGACACUCCAUAAAGAAAAUUACUUCAACUAAGCAUCAGGUCCUAAUCUCAUAAAUUGAUAAGCUCACCCUAAAUCUUACACCUAGACUCAAUAAAAACUAACUAAAAACAAAUUUUGAAAUUAAAAAUAAAAUAAAUAAAAUAAAAAAAGACAAAAAGACUUAAGAACUCCUAAAAUUGCAUAUUAUAGGGAUAAAUGAUGAAACAUUAAAACUAAACCCUAGGCUAUAAAAAAAAUAUGAUAACUAAGAGGAAGCUCCCAAAGAUUUCCUAGAGGAUGAAAUAGUAAGAGAAUUUGAAGAAAUGGACUUAGAACUCACUAGACCUAAACCUUGAGGAGUAAUUAAGUCAUCUUUCUUGAUCCAAAUUUAUCUAGUCUUAUGAUUAAUGCUAUAUUAACCUUUCCCAGGCAUAAAUUGAGAUUUACUCUCCCUUUUAAUAUUCAAGAUUUGAUUGCUAAAGGAGUUUGACUCACUCAUUAGCCCAUUGACAUGUGUUUAGAAGUUUUUGAAGAAACAACCAUAGCACUUAUUGCCAACAUGUCUAGAUCUAUUGCAACUUUGUCUUUUUUGAGGUUGAUUCCCUAGAAGAGUAACUUUCUUUAUCUUUCAUAAAAGAAGUCUUUCAUUCAUAGGAAUUUUAGACUUAGUUAUGUAACCUAGGUCUCUUUUAUCUCCAAAGCCCUAAUGUUUUUAUGUCAUUUCAUUUAAGAUCUUAGAGUUAGAGUGGAAGAUUUUAUUUUGACUUCCUAAUUUAUUUUUCCAACCAUGUCAAUUUAAGAUUAACGACUUAUUAUUUUCAAGAACAAUGUGAAAUUUAAAUGCAAAGAACUUAAUUUUACUAAGAAGAUUUUGAUGUUCACUUAUUACUUCCUUGAUAUUGCCAUCCAUGUCAACUUUUUUAUAUUCAUAGGAAUUUAAUUUUUCUUUCAAAUCAAUUCUCUCAAAUUCAAGACGUUCAAUGAGAGUGAUCAUUUAUUCAAGAUCUUCUAUAAUUUCAUAUUCUCAAUCUUUAGUUCAUAAUUCUCAUAAUACAAUGUAUUGUAUGCCUCUUGGAGGUUAUCAAAAUCUAAUUUUUCCUCACCACUUGAUUCAUGGGACUAUCAAUUUUAGAGGAUGUGGGAAGUGAGACACUAGCAACAAGAUUGUCGUUAUCUGCACUUUCAGUUGAUCCCAUGGGCUCAUUAUCAUUAAAUUCAGAAUCACUUUAAGUCACUUGCAAUGUUUUCUUUUUUCUUUUGUUUUUUUAGGUGUAGGGCAACUAAAUCAAAGUGUCAUUUACCCUUAUAGUUGAAACACUCAACUUGAGACAAUUUUACUAACUCCUUUUUUUUUUUUUUUUUUUUUUUUUAUAGAAAGAUUUCUUUCUUUUUUUAGCCAUCUUUUGUGUUCUUAUUUUGUAUUUUCAUAAAAAAAUUUAAAUUUUUUAAAAAAGGUUGAAAUUUUUUAUUGAGUGAGAACAUGUUCACUCUCAUCAUUAUAAACAUUCUUUUCUUUUGAGGAGGUCUUAAAAGCUACACCUUUAGAUCUCCUAGGGGAUGGUAGAGUCAUCUCAUAGGUUUAAAGAGAAGUUGCAAAUUCAUUUAUCAAGUCAUAUAUUUACUUUGCUUUACUGUAGAAACUUUAGUCUAAAUCUCUUUGGGAGAGAUCUCAAGAUUUUCCUAACCAAUUUGGACCCAAAGAUCUCAAAAUUAAUAAUAUCAUUGAGUUCAAUGUAGAACUCAAAGAAGGCCUCAUCAUAUUUCAUCUUAAUGUUUUCAAACUUAGCAGUCAACAUUCAAAGUUUAGACAACUUCAUAAUGGAAGUGUUCUUAUGACUUAUUGCUAAGGUAUAACAAGCCUCUUUAACACAUUUGCAAGUGUCAAGGACUAAUCUCAUUGAAAAUAUAAUAAAAGGCUUUGACAUUCACCUUACUCUCUUUAUUAUCCAAUUUAUCCUCCUCUUACUUGGGUUUUAAUUCAAAAGGAUUACAAUAUUUUAUUGGGGUAACAACGAAACUCAAUUGUGUUCCAGACAAGUUCUUCUAGUAUUUUCUAGACGAACUCCAUUUUAGCUUUCUAGUGAGGGUAGUUAUGCUCACAAAAAAAGUGGAGGACAAUUAAUUUAAGUACCCUCUCUUCACAGACCAAGACCUGUAAGAAUUGUUCAAAACUUGAUUUUUAAAACCAACUUACUUUAAUACCACUUGAAAAAUGAAUUUUGUAGUCUUAAUAUGAUAAAAAUAUUUUUUGGAGAUAAUGGUGUGAAAAGGUAGUCCUUGAAUUAAUCCUAAGCUCAAACUUUAUUACCAAUUUUUAGUUUGUCCUUUUUUAUUAAUUAUUCAAUGAGAGCUUAUCAAUCCCAUGGAUAGAUGAUAAAUAAAAUCAAUCACCCAAAAUCACAUGGAUGUAACAUAUAAAAACCACCUACCUACUAUGACCAUAAUUUUCAUGCUCACAUGCCUUUAGGAUCACCCAAGGGAAUACAUUGUCUCAAACUUAUAAGAUACCAUGGUGUCUAUCUUGAGAAUACUUGUUUUCAUCUAUCUUAGAGUGUGUUUGGUUGUGAUUUUAGGAAACAUUUUUAACUUUUUUAAUACUUUGAAUGAUAAAAAAUUCAAGUGUUAGAAAGGUUAGAAACGUAUCCUAGAAUCACUAUCAAAUGGGCUCUUGAUCAACAAAAACCUAAUCCACCUAAGGGUCUCACACAUAGGUCAAAACCACUAAGUGCCUUAACACUAACUCAAUAUUCUCUCAAGGUUGAGAACUCAUAUAGCAUAGUAACUUGGUGAAGUCAUGACUACUUGAAACUCAAUGUCAUUAUUCACCAUAGGUCAUGUCCAAUGUGUAACCAUACAUACUAGUGCAAUCACCAUGGGAAACCUCAUCCCAAUGACCAAGACAAGUCAUCCUUCCAAUUAGUAGGUGGUGUUUUACAACCUCAAAUGAAUUUCCUAAGUCCAUGAAAUAGUUGUGAACCACUUAUCUACUUGCAAGUAGCCCAUUCAUGACUUGGAAUUUUCUAUGCAACUCCUAAUGUACCCAAGUCAUAUAUAAUGCAAGUGAUAUUAGGCCUGAAUGUUUAACACGAUUACUGCACAAACAAGAUAGCAAAUAGGAGACCAGAAUCAUCUUUAAAUAAUAAUAAAAUUUAUUUAUUAUUAUAUCAUGUCAUGAUUUUUAAAGGCUUUAUCCUAACAAGAUGGAUGCAAAUAUUCCAUUGUGAUUAAAGUCCCCUAUGAAGAAAUAUGUCAUCGACCCCCUUAAAAAGAGAUAAGAAUGUUGUACUACCAUAAAGCUAUUGAUACCUUAAUUAAUAUAGAGAUAGUGAUGACUUCCCUAUUGAUACCAAACAUACUAGAGGCUUUUAAGGAAAGUUUAUCGAUAUGUUGUAUAGUUGGCUCACACAGUGCUUAUACUUGUAAGGGGUUAGCCAAUUUAUAUAUGCACAUGGGAGGAGAUCUAUGGAUGACAUAUACUUGAUUGUGAAUGGAAAAAUCAACUAAUUAUAAAGAAUAAUGAGAGAUUACAUAUGCACAUAUGUGUGUAUAAAUACAUACACUUGAAGUCAACUCUAAGAAAAAAUCUCUUGCUUAUUAAAUAUGAUGAUUUAUAAGGGAAUUUUGUACAUUUGUAGAAAUAGAAUGGUGGAGUUGUUAUUAAUAAAGACAAUUUUGGAUAUGGUACUUAUGUUGAGAGAGACUAAGUAGCUUAGAAGAGAAAGUUAUUUGGUUUCCCCUAAUCCCAAGGUAGCUUUUAUAAAUAAAAACACUCAUGAAGCAUGUAAGAUAUUUUGUUUGAGAUUUUUUUUUUUUUUUUUUUUUUUUUUUUUGUGGUGAAAGGGCUUUUCAAUUAAAUUUUUUUUUUAUAAAAUUUUUGUGGUUAUAAGUUUGUCUUGCUCAAAAUCUAAUCUAGAAUGAUUGAAAUAAACAUAUAUAUACUAAUAAAUUAUGAACUCAUCUAGAAAAAGUCAAAAUUUGAUUUAAUUUGAUUUUCAUUUUUUUCACAUUAGAAUCAACUUGUUGGUGUCUUGGUUAAAAAUGCGAGUAGUUCUAAUUUUUCAUACUACACUUGAGAAGCUAGCUAUGCAUGUUUAUAGUUCAUUUUAUAUAGGUGGACAAAUUUAUGUUAUUAUUCUACUUGAAUUUUCUCAUUGUUAAGUCAUCACAUUUCAUCAUCUAUAGUACAUACUUUGGUUUUCAAUUUUAAACAAGUGCAAAAUAUGAUUUUAGUGAUGAACAAUUCACGUUGAGUCUUCUUCAUGGGAUGAGUGUUUAUAUUCAAGUAAUAAUUUAUCACCCUUACCUUUAUCCAAAUAAAUUUAGGAAUAUUUUAACUUUUAGGCACAAUGAGAGUACAAAUGAUAUUUAGUUCCUUGUGCAUUAGAUCACAUACAAUAAGAAUAAGAUGAUUGUUUAUACCAUAUGCCUUAACUAUAUGAUAUUAUAUCUUUCUUAUAUUUGCAUUAGGGUUGGAUGCUCAAGAAUUGUUUGAUGCUUCUCACUUUAAAUCUUGGCCAAGGUAACUUUUUUAGGCAUAAUUUCUAUCAUUGUGAUAUUAUUAUAUUACUAUUUUUAAUUAAUUCUCUAUGCUUUAUAAUAAUUUUUCCGAUUUAGUGUAAUAAUCAAGGGGUAGAUGUUUACUAUUUGGAAUGCUUUGUGAUACAUUAUUAACUUGCUAAUUAAUUUGGAUGGAAUGAUAGUAAAAGGUAAGAACGUUUUUAUUUUCUAUAAAGACCAUACCACAGCUUGAACUUCUAAAGUUAGUGGAAAAUGAACUAAAAACAUGUGAAUCAAUGAUCGUAUGUGUUGCCAACAAUUAUUUUAUCAUUAAUAUAGACUACCACUAUAAAUAUUAGUAAGAUUUAAAUAUAUAAUACAAUACCCUUGAAUUUUGUGAGUUCAACUAAAACUUGAGAUGAAUGGGUACGAUUGAUUUCUAUAAANNNNNNNNNNNNNNNNNNNNNNNNNNNNNNNNNNNNNNNNNNNNNNNNNNNNNNNNNNNNNNNNNNNNNNNNNNNNNNNNNNNNNNNNNNNNNNNNNNNNAAGGUGACUUAUUAAGAGUGUUCAAGCAUUUCUAAUUGGUUAUGGUAUGGAUCAUAUAUUUUUCCCAUAAUUAUAUUUAAAAGUGUAGACCUUACUUACUAUAUUAAUAUUAUUUUUUAUUAUUUGAAAAAAGCAUGAAAGGAAUAACUUCAUUGAUGCAGGAACAUUGCUCUACCUAUAAGUGUUAAAAUCAAGGAUCACCAACAUCAAUGGAAGAAAUUAAACUUACCUCAAAGGUAAAUUAAUGACAUUAUUUUCUACCAUUUUUGUCAUGAGGUUGACAUACAUUGUAACUUCCAUCUUUGUGUCACCCCAUCUUAGGAUUGGUGUCACAUGCAUAUGUGCCUCUAAAAUAUAAGAUGAGACUGAAAAAUUAUCUAGAAUAAAUAACGAAGAUGUGAUGAGUAUCCAUGAAUCUCUGCCUUAUUUCUACCAUGAAAAUGAAGAAACAUCUUACAAUAUUGGAAAAUAGAAAAAGGAUAUUGCAAGGAAAAAGAAAUGAGUUUAGCAUUUUUUUUAAGAAUAGGCAUUAGUCAAACCUUUCAUCUAGAGUUGAUUUUCUUUAAAAUUUGAAUUUGAAGAAUGUAAAAUGUUCAAAGAAUAAGUAAAUGUUAAUGAAUAUUAGAUAAAAUAGUGAAGCUUAAUGAAGAUUUGGGAACAAUUAUUAGAGAUUAGCUAAAAUACUAAAGUUGAGUGAGGAUAAGGAAGGUCAAAGUAAUUUAUAGAAAAGCAAGACCUAUAAUUUUUUAAUUCAUCAAUAAAAUUUUAAAUCAAAAACUAAAAUGGAUUGUGACCAUCCUUAGAAAAUCCAAACAACAAGGUUGAUCCCUUUGUGGAUCAUUUUUCAUGCUCAAUAAUAAAAGCAAAUGAUGAAAUGAUUUUCAAAUGUUUUUUGUUAUUUACUAAUUCUUCAAUACAUCAAUACUAGAUAGCCUCCUUAACAUGAAUAACAAAUAUAUUUUCAGCUUUAUAUCUUUUUCAUUUAAAAAGAACGGUCAUUGAAAAUAUCAUCCUCCUUGACAUGACCAUACAAAAUUUAAUUACAUUAUAUCAUGCAAUGUUAUUUUUUCGGACUUCCACUUUUUGUAAUUGAUCUAUUGUUAGCAUUUAGUUCUCAAUUGAAUGAACAUCAAUAAUAUUUCUAAUUACUUUUUUCGUAUUUAUAGCAUAAGGUCAAUUGUUUGUCUUAACAUGCCUAGCUUCCCUGGUGGACUAGACCCUUGGGGCAAACCAAAUUUUAGGAGAAAAAAAGAGGUGAGCUUUUGAAAGUCUUGUUUUACAUUAAAAGAAAUGAAUAAUGGAAACAUUUUUUUUUUCAGUUUCAUUCAAGCUAACUUUAUCUUUCUUAAUUUAAUUGUUUUAUUGAAAAUUCUAAUGGGGUUGUAAUUUGCAGAGAAACUUUACAUCAUCUUUUGUAGACGAUGAACUUCUUGAGAUAAUUGGAUUUAGAGAUUCAUGGCAUGGGGAAAUUUUUCUUCCUUUGAAUGACCAUGGGACUCGUCUUGCACAGGUUAGUUCUAUGCAUGUAUAUAUUUUUUUUAAUCAAACCAGGCCUAAAACAUGUCUAAAAUUGAUCAUAUAAUUUUUGUUACAACUAUAUGUUAUAAUAUUAAUAAGUAUUUAAAGUUUUAGUUUUAAUAUAUAAUAGUGGUAGUGAUGAUGAAACUAAUAUGUUAAUAAGAUGCAUCUUCAAAUAUCAAGUAUAGACUAACUUCUGUUUUUUCUUCUUCCUCUUCUUUGUUUACUUCUCAAUUCAGGCACACCAAAUUCGCUUUGAGCUUCACAAAGGGGUAGCUAAGCAUAUUGACAUGAAUUUUGAUGGGACAAGAUGGAAACAACCUACCCCUAUUGGUGAUGACAACUUCCUGAUUGAAAUCUCUUAUUCAUGUAAAACCAAAAUGCUUGCAACUUCAGCUUCAAAAUGCAAACACAAAUCUAAGUCCUACUCCAAUUAAAUCUUUUCAACAGGGUUGAAAUCUUCAGUGAGGUUUUCAUGCUAAACCUUUAUAUGAGGAUAACAUGAUAAAAACUUUAUAUGUAUAUAUAUAAAGCCAAAAAUAUUUGAUGGGUGGAUAUUGAUGAAAUUAUAUUUCAUUUAAAUUUAUAAAAUAUAAACACUUUUAGGUUUCCUUAUAUAAACUUCUUUGUUAUGGUAUUGAUUUAUAAAUGUCGAUUAUACAACCUUAUGAUGGAUAUUUUAAUGAUUUCAUAAAAAUCAAAGCAAGCACCACAUGAGAGAAACUCUGAUAGUCAAGAUGAAGCUACUAUUGUACCAAUUUAUAGAAAUGCCAACUUCACAACCAUAUGAUUGAAAAAGUAAACUAUAAGAAAUCUUGAAUAUGAGAGAAUUCUACAUAACCAAGAAGUUCUUCACAUAACCAUUUGUCAUUGACUUUGACUUUGGAUAUUUGAUUUCAUUUAUCACAUACCUAAAGCACUUACUAACUUUGAAAACCCAUUUCACAACAUUAGUUUUAUGUUCUUUUGUAAUAUCAAUCACUUUUCAUUAGCCAUUUUGACAGGGUUUUAUAUCAAAUUGUAGAUUUGGCUACAAAGUUCAAGUUUUUAUUUAUGAAUUUUAUGCAUCUAACUUGGUAGGUUAUCAAUUGUUGGGAUAGAGCCCUUAGAAGUAUGACAUGAUGUAUUUAUGAGUUUUUAGAUUCACUUUACUAUCUCACUUUGACAUUAUGGUUUAUUUUAGCAUUCAAGACUACAUUAUUUGUAAUAUACAUGACUUAGGUGCAUUAGGAGUUGCAUAAAAAAUUGAAGUCAUGGUUCCUUGUAUUUUGAUGAGUAGUUCACACUUAGUUCAUGAACUUAAGCAAUUCAUUUGAGGCUGAAGUGCACUACCUCCUAAUUGGAGAUAUGACUUGUCUUAGUCAUUAGAUAGGUUUCCCAUACUGAGUGCACUAGUGUGUAUGGUUACACAUUAGACAAAACCUAUGGUGCAUCAUGAUGUUAGCUAUCGAGUAGUCAUGAUUUCACCAAGUGACUAUGUCGCAUGGUCUCUCAACCAUGAUAGAAUAUUGAGUUAGUUCUAAGGUCUUUAUAUUCCCUAUGGAUUGAGUUACUAUUGAUUAGGAUAGGUAGCAAUAGGUAUUCUUAAGAUAGACACCAUGAUAUCUCAUAGGUUUGAGAUAGUGUGUCCUCUUAGGUUAUCUUAAGGACUUGUAAUCAUGAAAUCUGUAGUCAUAUUAAUUCCUUUAGUAGAGAUUGACAUAUGCUCUUUGUGAGAUAGAUUAAGUCAAUUAAUCAAGUGAUAUGAGGAUUUGGGACUCAAGGAUGGUAGAGCUAAUCUUGAGAGAGUGAUGGCUUUCACUACAUUAGAUUAUGGAUAUCGGCUCAAAGUCCAAUGGAUAGUAGGUCACAAACCCGAGGAAUUUAUUAAAUUAGCUUUAAUCAAUUUUCAUCUUAUGUAAUGUCAUAGAUUAUUGGAGCACAAUUGACUUUCUUUAAUGGAAUAUUGAGUCAACUUUAUAAUUAGAUUCUAAGAGACUCGGUAUUUUCCUAUGGGUCUUAGUGAUCCCCGCUUGAGCUCAUAAUCUUUGUUGGCAUAAAGUUUUAAGGUUUUAUGAAGAAUUGAUCAUUUAUGUGUAAGGACAUUUUGGUAAAAAUGAAAGAUUGCUUAAAAAUUUAUGAUUAAUUAUUUUGAGGUUUUUUUUUUAGAUUAGAUUAAUUAAUUAAUAAUUUAACUUCAAUAUGAAACUAAUUUACAAUUAUUAAAAUUAUACAUCUAAGUUAAUUUGUCAUUAUUCUUAAACUUUAUAAGUAACAGUACUAAUUGAAAUUAAAAUUAAAAUUGAAUUAUGCAUAUAUAUAUAUAUAUAUAUAUAUAUAUAUAUAUAUAUAUGAUAUUAAUUACACAAAUCACUUUAAUUUAACUUUAAUAUAAAACUAAUUUACAAUUAUUAAAAUUAAAAAUCUAAGUUAAUUUACUAUUAUUCUUAAACUUUAUAACUAGCAUUACCAAUUGAAAUUGAAAUUUAUUAAAAUUAAUUUGACAUUAAUGUUAAAAUUAAUCAAAUUAGACCAUUAAUUUAAUUUCUUUAAAAUGAUUGAAAACAUAUUAAUUAGAUAAUAUCAAUGAAACUAUUGUAUUUUUCACAAUAUAAUAUUAAUAUAUUACUAACUAAAAAUAAAAUUGAACCAUGCAUAUAUAAAAGUACUAUUUAUUAUAACAUACCUUAGUUAGCCUUGAAUUGGAGUUAAUCCACAAAUUCAACACCAAAUUCCCAAAAUUAAAGAAUUUUGAGAGAAAUUACAAAUAACUAUUGGAGCAAUAUAAGAUCAAGAACCUUUCAAUUCACUUGUGCAUGAAAUGGAAUGAAAUUUAGGUAUUUAUAGAAAAAAAUUUGGUCAAACUAGUCUUGGAUGGUCAAAAAACCAUUGCCUUUAAAUUCUAACCAUUGGAUCAAAAUUUAGAUGAAAUAUGGCCACUAAAUCUUCAUCUAUCUAUUGGAAACCCAUCCUAAAUGUUGGAUCAAGUCAAGAUUCAUUUUCCACCCUUGGAUUAUAAAUUUGACCGUUGAAGGCCUUCUUAAAAACAUGAGUAAAUUUUAGCCAUUGGAUCACCUUGGGUGAAAUCUAGCCAUUGAUUAAAGAAGGGAGAAGCACUCGAAACAUUGCUAACUUUUUGAGAAAAAAUCAUCUAAAUAUUAUAGAUUUCUUGCAACUAGCCCGAUUCUUGGCGAUGAAUUGUCUAUUUUAUCGACCACACUGAUAUAUCACUGAUAACCCGACUCUUGGUAGCUUGGCAUGUAAGGGUAUCAACAAAAUUUAUACCUAAGGUCCUUACACUAAAGUAGCAAAGCUACUAUAGCAUAGUGGCUCUAGGAUCGAACACUGGGAAGGGUUUUUACUUUAACUGGUGAAGUUCGGAGGAUGGAGUGAACUUUUCUUAAUAAAAAUUAGGUUAAGAUGAAAACAUAAAAAGAUAAAGGUGUUGUAAACUAAACUAACAUGAAAAUAGGUUAAAAGAUGGAAAAAGAAGUUUCUCAAAGCUUUGGAUAGCCAUGCUUAACUCACUGUGUAAAAAUGGAGAUUUUGGGACUUUUCACCUCGAGUUGAGGAAGUAACUAAGGUGAUGCUUACUUCCCGAACUGGUAUGAGUUUAACAACUGAGUUUUAGUCAUUGAAAACUUACAAAAAGGGUAGCUGAACCUCAUAAAUGCUCUUUUAUUGGUAUAGGUCAUCUCCUCGACUUGCAAUACAAUGGCUCGUAGGAGAUAACUAAUGAACGUCAGUGGAUCUAACAAUAAGAAUCCACUGAGACCAAAAUGUUAUCAAGUAUUGGCCAUUCAAAGUAAGUCAGAGGGAUUAAAAGCUUUACUUUGAAUGAAAACAUUUAUGACACUCAGCUAUUUACAUUUAUGGCUUGGAAAUCUCCAUCCUGACACGGGAGCUUCACAUGGCAUCCAUUACUUCAAGAAACUAAAAGGUUUUAGCCUCUCAUUCUUGGGGAUUUCAUCCACCAAGGAUGUUUGGCUACUAAGAAAAUGAGAAAGAAAAGAGAAAAGAAGCGUAUGAACAAAAGUGCUCUUAUAACUUAUAAAGUUACAGGUUACAAGAUGAUCGUGUCUGAGGCUCUUCACCUCUAUUUAAAGACAAUAAAAAGCUAAAUUACAAGAGCUAUUACAAAAGCAACCUUUUCAUUGGUUGAUUACAAGGGUAAAAUAGGUAUUUACAAAGCUAAAAGUCAAGCAAAAUAUCUUGGAGAACCGGCAAUGGAAUAUCAUCAACAGCGUCUGAAAACAAGGGAUUUCAAAGGCAUUUCGCAAGGUGGUUUCUUCAUGGUGCGAAAUGGCCAAAUUUCGCACCAUGAGGAAAAUCCUUACGAAAUUUUGGCAAGGUGAAAUUCACCUUGCGAAAUUGAUCAUUUGGCAAGUGAAUUGCCUCCCCUUGCGAAAUGGUGUUCCCAUUGCUUGUGGUCGUGUUUCCACUUGAAAUUCAAGCCUGUAAACGUCCAAAAUCCUUGCUUAACUCGCCCAAGUAGCUCCUCCAUCAAUUGGCAUGCUUGAAUUGGUUCAUAAGCUAAUGAAAAACAUGUAAACUUGCCACUAAAAAUGGCUAGAACUAAUUACUAAGGAGCUUAAUGAAUUAAUUAGGUUAAAUGAAUAUGAUUACUACUCAAAGGUGCUUAAAACCCUUAUAAUUAGGUCUACAAAAUAGCACUUUUUGAUAGUAAUCACAGCCCCCAAUCGACUCAUUGCUAGUCCCUUAGCAAUGGAGGAGAUAAAAACUAAGCAAACAUAAUAAUAUACAUAAAAGAUGUCAUGCAAAAUACUCCAAAAAAUAAUUGAGUGGCAUGACUGAUAUCAAAACACAUCUCACAUGGUGAACUAAAGAUAUGAAGAUUCAAAAUGCAAUAGGAGUUGUCAAAGCUAAAACUUAAACAAAAAGUACAAAGAGUGGAGAUUAUGCAAUUAAGUAUCAAAAGAAUCUCUACUGUCAAGGUUCCGGAUCAAACUCUUCCAUAAUGAGCUAAGUGUUAAUGAGAUUAGCUUCCGGAUAUAGUAUGUACAACUAUCCUCUCCCCCCAACCUAAGCUUUUCUCGAACUUUGGCAAAAUUAACCAACUCUUAAUAGGUUAAGAAUGCACCUUCUUAUUCACAAUUCUUUUUACUCACUAAACUUAACCAAUUCACCUAUGUAGCAAGUAGAGGAUCGAUGACUCCCAACCAAUCAAGGUUUAGGGCAUCGGGUUUUAAAGGCUUUCGCCACCCCUUCGGAUCAUGCUUAGGUUUCAAGGAAAGAAUAGAAGCUUUUUAUUAUUAUUAUUAUUAUUAUUAUUAUUAUUAUUAUUAUUAUUAUUUUAAGACUCAUUGGUCUUUUUGAGGUGUCCCAACACUAUUAAAAAGAGGUUAAGUAAUGAACCAAGUCAAAAUUUUCCUAAGCUUAGAGGGUGAGAAAGUUUUACAUCAUAUAUCCGGGAUCUAAUGUGCACGGUGUGUGUAAAGCUUGAAAUGGAAGAAAUAAGUUCGAAAUCAAAGAGGGCUUCAAUAGAUUAUCAACUUUGAAAGCAUAAAACAAACUCUAAGACUUAAGUAAUUAAGUUAAAACUUGACUUAUCUUAUUUUAUUUUGAGAAAUUAUCUUUAACAACCAUAGAGAAUGAAACAAAAAAUUUUGAAAAAGGUCAAAAAAUGCUAAAUCAACAAAAUAACUAACUAAAAUACGAAAUACUUACUUCCUCAACUCUCCCCCCAACCGAGAUGAACAUUGUCCCCAAUGUUUCUAUCGAAAAAGACGAGGAAUGAAUGAUAUACCUUAUGGUGAUGUGGUAUUCAAGGCGUGGGAGUGCAUCCACAUGAUUCAAAAACCAUAAGAAACGUGAGAGAGGAAAUAAGAUACAAAAAAUGAUGCUUAUAUAAACUGAGAGAGUUGAGUACAAGAUAUAAGCAUGAGGUACAUACAAUCUCAGAAUAUAAAACAUGUAUCAUAUACAAAAAACAUAUACAAAAUGGAGAUAGAAAUAUCCAAUCAUGGAUGUGGCUCCUGAGGUCGAGGAGGUGAUAUGCCCAGGUGAUGGUGGAUCUGAGAGAGCAUGGCGGAGUGCUGGUCCAGGAUAGUUGUAUGCUGAGCCUGAAUAGCUGUAUGCUGAGCCUGAAUAGCUGUAUGCUGAGCCUGAUGUGUCUGUAUGGUAUCCAUCUGUCGUCUGAUGGCCUGCAUCUCACGGACUAAGGUGGCCUGAGAGGCGCUCAAUGAGUGAAAGGACGACAUGAGAGCUCUGAACUCUGUAGUGGAGACAGUGAUGGAUGGCCUGGCUGAAGACUCAGCAUAGGUUGGAGCAGGAGUGACUGGUGGUGUGGGAGUAUCAGUAGUGCAAGUCAUUGGAGAAGGUACUGAAGAAGAAGGCUUUGUGGUAUGUGGGUCCUACUCUGGUGAUGUCUGUAUUGUAGGUGCUGAGGCUGCUGGAGAAUCGGGAGGCGUUGGAGAAGCUGGAGGCGCGGGAGCUAAUGGUCUAGGGAUACCCUGGUCCAUGGGUGAGCGGUCUAAGAAAUGGGUCCAACUCUCACUGGUAAAGAGCUCUUGACAAUGAUGACGACGCUCUAGGUGGGGCUGAGAAGGGUAUCCCAUAUCCUCUAAGACCUGAGAGAUCAGCCUUGGAAAUAAGAGUGGAAUAGUACCAGCUUUGCGUAGGCGCUUCCUAUGCACCUUCUCCUCAAAAUAGGUAAGAGCAGUCAUGACUAGAUGGUGGGGUCCAAAGUAGAAUCCCUCAGAGAUGCGAUAAAGCGCAUCUAGGAUAGCACUUCUCCUUUGGACGACAUGCUGGAGUGGAAAAAGAUUGGUGCGGAGCACCAAAUUGAUAAGUAACAUCCGUGGAGGAAGCUCCCUCCUCAAAAUGGUCCUACCAGUGACUCUACCUCCUGAUAAGGUAGACACCAUGUCGGGCUCUGAAUACUGAGAUCAAUGCCGGAAGGAACCAAGGUCCUCAGGGAUAGGCGGAAAAUGCAUAACGGCGGCUAUAUCUCGGGCCUCUAAAAUACCAUGCUGGCCAUCAAUAAAAAAAUAAAUGGCUAUGGGGUCCUGGACGCCUCUAGUAGUCAUAGUUUGGUAGAAAUCUAAGACUACCCUAGGGUAAUAGAAGGACCUAGGAGUCAUAAAUGGCUCGAUGUGGUACCUCUGCAGAAGGCGGUAUGACUCCUCUAGCUCUGGUAAUAGGCGGAGAGUCUCAUGCUCCAUACAGAUCUCAUCGUGAAAUGGCCUAUCUCUGAUAUGAAGUUUGAAAAUGAAUUUAAAAAGAAUCAAAUCCUUGGUAAGCAUGAAGAAAAAAUUUCGCAAGGUGAAAAUUCACCUUGCCAAAUUUUCGCACUGGUUACUCCCCUUAAAAACCAAUCCCGAGAGGUUGCAUUUUGAUAUUUGCUUUGAAAACAAUUUCGCAAGGUGAAAAAUGACUUGUGAAAAUUUUCGCACUGGUUACUCCUUGCGAAAGUGCAAUCCCGAGAGGUUGUAAAUUGCAUCUUGCCAAAAUAUGCAUUUCGCAAGGUGAAAUUCACCUUGCCAAAUUUUCGCAAGGUGAAAUUCACCUUGCCAAAUUUUCGCAACUCACUUUUUGAGUUGCGAAAUGGGCUUUUAAGCUUGGACUUAGAUAUAUUUCUCCCCUAUUUCACCUUUCUCUCCACAUUUGUGAGCUUGUGAGCUUUCGUACCUGCUAUUGGACAUCAAAGCUCCAUUAAAAACAUAAAAAAUCAAAAUCAAAACUAAGAAACCUAAACAAAAUAUGUGCAAAAGUAUUAAAAAUGCAAAGUAAACAAGAAUGUAAUACUAAAAUUAAAACAAAAAGAGAUGAGCACUUAGCUUUUCAUGCUAAGCUCAUCAACUUACCACACUUUCUCAAGGAUGUGAUGGGUCAUGGAGGAUGAGUACCUCCUUGUCACGGGAAAAUGGCUCGAUGUAGGGCUUGAGUCUUUGCCCAUUUACCUUGAAGGUCUUUGCACUUUUUGAGUUGAGUAACUCAAUUACUCCAUGUGAGUGUACUUGGUGGAUGACAAAAGGCCCUACCCACUUUGAUUUGAGCUUUCCCGGAAAUAGGUGAAGCUUAGAGUCAUAUAGCAAGACUCUUUGUCCCUUGAAAAAUUCUUUCUUGGUCACCAACUGAUCAUGCCAUCUCUUUAGCUUUUCCUUAGCUAUUUUUGAGUUGAGAUAGGCAUCAUUUCUCAAUUCCUCAAGCUCAUUCAAAUCCAAACUCCUCUUUAGCCCAACCUUAGUUAAAUCCAUGUUGAGCUUUUUAAUGGCCCACCAUGCCUUGAACUCAAUCUCAACGGGAAGAUGGCAAGCUUUGCCAUAAACAAGACGGUAUGGUGACAUCCCAAGGAUAGUCUUAUAAGUCGUCCUAUACGCCCAUAGGGAAUCAAUGAGCUUAACAGACCAAUCUUUCCUAUUGGUGUUCACCACCUUCAUCAAGAUGUUCUUAAUUUCCCGGUUGGCUAGCUCUACUUGGCCACUCAUCUGAGGAUGAUAAGGUGUAGCUACCUUAUGCUUAAUUCCGUACUUGGCCAAAAGAGCUUCAAAGGGCUUGUUGCAAAAGUGAGUGCCUCCAUCACUGAUGAUUGCUUUAGGCACUCCAAACCUCGAGAAGAUGUUUUCUUUUAGGAACUUGAGAACCACUUUGUGAUCAUUGGUUCUACAGGGUAUAGCUUCAACCCACUUUGAAACAUAAUCAACUCAUACCAAGAUGUAGGAGUGGCCAAACGACAUAGGGAAAGGUCUCAUGAAGUCUAUGCCCCAAACAUCAAAAAGAUCCACUAUCAAGAUGGGGUUCAAAGGCAUCAUGUUUCUCCUUGAAAGCUUGCCUAGUCUUUGGCACUUAUCACAUCCUUUACUUACCUCAUGGGCAUCCUUAAAAAGUGAGGGCCACCAAAAACCCGAUUGAAGAACUCUCAUUGCCGUCUUUUGAGAGGCAAAGUGGCCUCCACAUGCAUUCCCAUGGCAAUGAGAUAGGAUCCCAUGCUUCUCUUGUUCAGGCACACACUUCCUUAUAAUUUGGUUCGCACAAUACUUGAAGAGAAAAGGCUCCUCCCAAUAAUAUGCAUGGACCUUGGCAAAGAAAUUCUUCUUGUCCUGAGAGCUCCAUUCACUUGGUAUUUCUCCCGUGACCAAGUAAUUGGCAAUGUGUGCAAACCAUGACACUUUCUCCAUAAGCAUCAAGGAUUCCUCAGGGAAAUCAUCAUUUAUGGGAAGUUCAUGGGUGUCAUGAGCGAUGUUGAGCCUUGACAAGUGGUCAGCUACCACAUUCUCAACACCUUUCUUAUCUCUGAUCUGGAGGUUGAACUCUUGAAGCAAAAGUAUCCACCUAAUCAACCUAGCCUUGGCAUCUUGCUUGGUUAGCAAAUAAUUCAAAGCUGAAUGAUCCGUGAAUACCACAAUGGAAGACCCUAUCAAAUAAGCUCUGAACUUAUCCAAAGCAUACACCACAGCAAGUAAUUCCUUCUCAGUGGUGGUGUAAUUCCUUUGAGUAUCAUUCAAAGACUUGCUUGCAUAGUAGAUCACAUAAGGUUUACCAUCUUCUCUUUGUCCCAAAACAGCCCCAAUGGCAUAAUCACUUGAGUCACACAUCACUUCAAAUGGCAACUCCCAAUUUGGUGCUCUCAUAAUGGGCGCUGAUGUCAAGAAUUGCUUAAGAAGCUCAAAACUCCUUUGACAUUUAUCAUCCCACUCAAACUUGGCAUCCUUCACCAAUAAUUCACAAAGAGGUUUGGCAAUCUUGGAAAAAUCCUUUAUAAACCUCCUAUAGAACCCGGCAUGCCCAAGGAAUUGCCUUAUUCCUUUUACAUUGGUGGGAGGUGGCAACUUCACAAUUAGUUCCACCUUAGCUCUAUCUACCUCUAUACCCUUCUUUGAGAUUACGUGCCCAAGAACAAUACCUUGAUUUACCAUAAAAUGGCACUUCUCCCAAUUGAGUACGAGGUCUUUCUCUAUGCAUCUUUUCAAAACAUCUUCAAGAUGUGACAAACAAUCCUCAAAAGAAGUCCCAUACACAGUUAUGUCAUCCAUGAAGACUUCCAUGAUUCGUUCAACCAUGUCACUGAAGAUGCUAAGCAUGCAUCUUUGGAAGGUAGCAGGAGCGUUGCAUAAUCCAAAAGGCAUCUGCCUAUAAGCAUAGGUGCUGAAUGGACAAGUGAAGGUAGUCUUCUCCUGGUCCUCCACAUCAAUCUCUAUUUGAAAAUACCCGGAAUACCCAUCCAAGAAGCAAUAAAAAGGAUGCCCAGAUACUCUCUCAAGGACUUGAUCCAUGAAAGGUAAAGGGAAGUGAUCAUUUCUCGUUACUGUGUUCAAUUUCUUGUAGUCAAUGCACACCCUCCAACCAGUUGUGAGGCGUGUGGACACUUCAUCUCCAUUUUCCCCCUUGACUACGGUUAUCCCGGACUUCUUUGGAACAACUUGGGUUGGACUCACCCAAGUGCUAUCUGAAAUGGGGUAAAUGAUGCCCGCUUGAAGAAGCUUCAACACUUCAGCCCUUACUACCUCUUGCAUAUGAGGAUUCAAUCUCCUCUGUGGCUGACGAGUUGGCUUAGCUUCCUCCUCCAUAUAAAUAUGGUGCGUGCAAAUCAAUGGGCUUAUCCCCUUCAAAUCAGAAAUUUGUCAUCUGAUGGGCUUCUUGUGCUUUCUAAGGAUUCUUAGAAGAUUGUCCUCUUGUGAAACGGUUAAAGAAUAAGAAAUUACCAUCGGGGCUUUAUUGCCUUCCUCCAAGUAAGCAUACUUCAACUCGGCAGGAAGGGUCUUCAAUUCAAGCUUAAGGAUUGCAUCCUUAGCUUCUUUCAUCUCUUCCUCAUUCUUGAACAAAGGGAGGAUCACUGGCUUUUGUCUCCAGUUUGACAUAACGACAUUCAUUCCCAUGGGUUCAGCUAACCCAUCAUCAAGAUCUUCAUGGAUUUCAUCUAGAUUCUCUUCAAACUGAUCAAGCAUACUCUGAUUACAAUGCUCCUCCACCAGGGUAUCUAUCAUACACACUUCUUCUGGGUCCUCAUCUUCUUCAGGAUGGAUGUGCUUUUGACAUAGAUGGAAGAUGUUGAGUUCCAAUGUCAUAUUACCAAAAGUGAGUUGCAUGACCCCAUUCCUACAAUUGAUGAUUGCAUUGGAUGUUGCAAGGAAUGGUCUUCCAAGGAUGAUUGGAACAUAGUUGAUCCCUUUGACAAUGGGAUCCGUAUCAAGCACCACAAAAUCUACUAGAUAGUAGAAUUUGUCAACUUGAACCAAUACAUCCUCUAUUACCCCCCUAGGGAUUUUCACUGAUCGGUCAGCUAAGGAUAGGGUGAUCGAUGUUGGCUUGAGUUCUCCCAACCCCAGCUCCUUGUAUACAGAGUAUGGAAGCAAGUUAACACUUGCCCCCAAAUCAAGCAAUGCCUUCUCCACUUGGGUUCCUCCAAUAUUGGCUGAGAUUGUAGGACACCUCGGAUCUUUGUAUUUGAUUGGAGACUUGCAUUGGAUUAUAACACUCACUUGCUCGGUUAGGAAGGCUUGCUUUGUAACAUUGAGUCCUCUUUUCACAGUGCACAAGUCCUUCAAAAACUUUGCAUAUGUGGGUACUUGCUUGAUCAUAUCAAGUAAAGGAAUAUUCACCUUCACUUGUCUUAGCACAUCAAGAAUCUUAGAAGCAUUCUUGAUCGGUUUCUUCCCACGCAAGGCUUGAGGAAAUGGAGGAGGCAUGUGCUUCUUCAUCAUGCCUUCCUUUAAAAGAAUUUGAGGUUCCUCAUCCAUGCUAGGAAUGAUGCUUUCUUUCAUCUGAACUUCCUUUCCCUUUUGUUCUUUCUUCUUUUCUUCUUUUCUAUCAGCCUUGUCUUCUUUGACUUUCCUCUGAUCAUGCUCCGGCUGAUGCACUUCCUUACCACUUCUCAAAGUGAUAAUAGCUUGCAUGUCCCUCACCUUUGAAGAAUCCUCAUCUUUGGAUUCCACUUCAUUUAUCCCCUUAGGAUUUUGGUGAGGCUGAGAGGGAAACUUCCCUUUCUCAUUGACAGUGUUCAAAUUUGUGAGUCUUGAGAUGGAAUAUUGGAUGUUGUCAAUUUUCUGAGACAACUCAUUAUGCAUCCCAUCUAUCUUCUUGUUCAAUGUACUCUCUACGUUGUCAAUCUUCUGAUUUAGUUGAGAGUUGAUGGAUUUUUGCUCACUCACAAAGUCACCCAUAACCUUGCUAAGGCUUAUGAGUGCUUGCUCAACUGAGGAUUGACCUUGACUCUGUUGGCUUGAUUGGGCUGGUGACUGAUAUGGGUUUGGCCUUGGCUUCCAUGCAAAGUUUGGGUGGUUUCUCCAGCUAGAGUUGUACGUGUUGCCAUAGGGAGCAUUUGAAUUUGGCUUCCAUCGGCCAAUCAGGUUAGCUUGUUCCCCGAACAUUUCUCUUGCUGCUGGAAUGGUGGGACAUUCUUCCACCAUAUGUUCAAAUGACUGACAUAUGGAGCAAGGAUUGGCUUGUUGUUGAGGUUCUGAAAUAGCUUGUGAUUCAUGCCCGAUUGGUGUCUCAGCUGAUUUGUGUCUAGCUGGUGCUCCUUGAUUGAGGGAUUAAUCAACAAAAUUUAUAACCUAUUACACCAUAUACUAGGGUAGCAAAGACAAAGCUACUAUAGCAUAGUGGCUCUAGGAUCGUUCACUGGGAUGGGUUUUCACUUUGCAAAUGAUAUUAAUUCAAAGCUGAAUUGGUGCCUUUUCAUUUCAAGGUUAGCUUUAAAAGAAAACAUAAUCUUUAGCAGAAAAAGGUUUGGUUUUAAACUAACCAAAAGUAGUAACUGAUUUUACUUACAAAGAAAAAUGUUUCUUGGAGUUUCAGAUCACUAGGCUCAGAUUCCUCAUACAAAAAGGGAGUUCCGGUCACUUGUUUCUUUUCCUCGCAUUAGAGAAUUAACAUAUAGUUAAUUCUCUAACCGGUGUUGUACAGAUGCUUCCCAUUAAUGGGUUCAAACACUAAAUCCCUCUCACUAAUGCACCUUGCAAUGGCUCAUACCUCUCACCUAGCACUUGCCAUUCAAGGUGAUCUUUAACCUUGGAUUACCCGUCAAAAGCUCGCAAGAGAUAACUAAUGGAUGUCUCCUUGAAGUCCAAAAGCUUACCAAGUGUUGGCUAUUCUAGAAAAUCCUACCUUCAAGUCACCUCCCAGAGGCUCGCAAGAGAUAAACUAGUGAAUCUCCAUGGACGGAGAUCAUUUGCCUUACCAAGUGUUGGCCCAGGUGAUUUAAAGGCGUUUUAAGUUAACUAAAAAGAUAAAAACCAUUAACGGGUCACACUUUCUCUUCAUUAAAAACUAAAACAACAAAACUUCCAAUUUAUGCAUGUGGAAACUUACCCGGCUUUCCUCACUCCAAGAGACAAAAAGCCUAGCCCCUCAUCCUCUAAGGAAAAAUCCUCAGAGUUUGUUUGGCUAGCAAGAAAACUAAUGAGAAAAUAAGAAUAUAUAUGAAAAACAGAGCAAGUGCUCUGUUCGUUGAUUCUAUAUAUGAUAUAUCUAUCUAUUACAUACUUCUAUUACAGUGGAUGCAAGGGAAUAUAUAUAGAGACGUUUUUCCAACCUUCCUAACUAAGAAAUCUUAUGGUUGGUGGAUUACAAGGAGAGGAAUGGAAAUUCAUACAAAAAUAUCUGAAGAAAAACAUCCCAAAGUGUCGGUCGCAAAUAUCGGGAAGCACUAAGGACCAUUUCGCAGGUGAAAACGAGGUCUGCGAGAUUUCGCAGACAUCCAAAAAGGGCUGCGAAAUCACUUCGCAGCAAAAGGUUAUUCUCGCAGGGCUACGAAGUUGGCUUUCAUCUUGAGGUGCUCAGCUUCCAACUUGUGGCAUAUAUCGGGCAACUUCAGGAGGGAAUCCACAACACUGUACAAAAAGGCUGCGAAAUCAUUUCGCAACAAAAGGGUGAUUCCGCAACACUUUUGCAAAAUGCUUUCUUCAGCUUAGAGUGAUUGACUUGCAAUGGCUGUAACUCCUUCGUUUCAACUCCAAAUUGCGCACCGUUUGAAGGAUUGGAUUCUUGACUUCCUGAGCUUUGAAAUGGUAUAUAGCAUGUAGAAAAUGGACUUGGGAAAGUGCUCCAAAAGUGAAAAAGAAGACUGCAGCUGCUGUCCUCUAUUUUCUUCACUCUGUUUUCCUCUCUCCAGUGCUCUUUCCUUGCAUACUUUGAACGACUAAGGCAAAGGACUAUGAGGCUCCAAAUCUUGGUUUCUUCAUGAAUUUGAGCUUCCAAAAGCUUUUCCAUGAACUAUAUACAGCUCUCCCUCAUUCUUGGAUUGCUUUGGUGAUCAAAAAGCUAUCAAAACACCAAAACUUAACACAAUUUGAUUAGAAUUGAUUGCAAGGGUCCUUAACAUGUUAAUUGGGUUAAAAGGCAAUAACUACUACUCAAAAGUGUUUAAAAGAGUUAAUUACAAGCUAUCAAAUAGCACUUUUUGAGUAGUAAUCAGCUUGGACUUUGUGAACUUUUCUCAACUCCAUUUCCUCUAUUUUUCUAGCCAUGGCAGCUACCUUGGCUUUCAUCUCCAUGUCUUCACUCAGAUUGUACAUCCCCCCUCUUGACAUUUGCUGAACUGGCCUUUUCCCCAUUUCUCUGCUAUUGGGCUCAUCCCAUCCAUAGGAAACCUCUGAGACAUAACUUAGGAAAUCCAUAGCCUUCUCAGGGUUCUUGCUCAUGAAAUCACCCCCACACAUUGUCUCCAAUAUCUGCUUCAUUGAAGAUGACAUGCCAUCAUAAAAAUAGCUCACCAAAAGCCAUGUAUCAAAGCCGUGGUGAGGACAUGCAUUGAUGGCCUCCAUAUACCUCUCCCAGCAUUCAUAAAUUUUUUCAUUCUCACGUGCUGAGAAGUUGGAGAUUUGUCUCUUCAAUCCAUUUGUUCUGUGAGUAGGGAAAAACUUCUUCAAAAAAUCAGCUUGAAGUUCUGUCCAUGUUCUUAUGCUUCUCGGCCUCAAGGAAUUGAGCCAUAUCUUGGCUUUGUCCUUUAAUGUGAAUGGAAAGAGCUUCAACCUCAUAAGCUCAAUAGUUGUUCCCCCUUCUUGAAAAGUAUUGCACACAUCUUCGAAUUCCUUUAUGUGCGCAUAUGGAUUUUCACUUUCCAUCCCAUGGAAAAUAGGAAGCAAAGGCACGAUGUGUGGCCUGAUAAUCAAUUGCUCUGUAGGAGGAAUGAUGCAAGAUGGUGCACUCAUCCUCGGAGGGUGCAUCAUGUCCCUCAUGGACCUAUACAAGUUCGGAUCAUUCUCCUGCCCGUGUUGUGAAUGUUGAUCCUCUAGCUGAUUCUCCAUGACUUCCAAAAUAAUCUCUAAUUCAGUAGCUCGUGGAGUCUCUAUCCGCACUAACCUUCCCUCUUGGUCUCUAAUCCAAUAGGGCAUGCACGGAUUCAGCUGGAACAAAACAAAUAAACAAAACAAAGAAAAAGAAAAAAAAAACAGAGCAUGCGGAAGGAAAAACAGAGUAUAAAAAACAAACUAAAAAUGAAAGUUAAAAGCUAAAAGAAACUUAUCUAAACUAAGUUAAAAAUAUUCUAAAACUAAAAUAAAAAGUUAGUAAAUGAAAAAUGAGAUAGAAUUCACCUCACUCAUGAGAAGUCUCACAAGUUACCUCGGGCUGAUGUAUUCACAGUGAAGUAGCACCUUUCCCGGCAACGGCGCCAUUUGAUAACCCGACUCUUAGUAGCUUGGCAUGUAAGGGUAUCAACAAAAUUUAUACCUAAGGUCCUUACACUAAAGUAGCAAAGCUACUAUAGCAUAGUGGCUUUAGGAUCGAACACUGGGAAGGGUUUUUACUUUAACUGGUGAAGUUCGGAGGAUGGAGUGAACUUUUCUUAAUAAAAAUUAGGUUAAGAUGAAAACAUAAAAAGAUGAAGGUGUUGUAAACUAAACUAACAUGAAAAUAGGUUAAAAUAUGGAAAAAAGAAGUUUCUCAAAGCUUUGGAUAGCCAUGCUUAACUCACUGUGUAAAAAUGGAGAUUUUGGGACUUUUCACCUCGAGUUGGGGAAGUAACUAAGGUGAUGCUUACUUCCCGAAUUGGUAUGAGUUUAACAACUGAGUUUUAGUCCUUGAAAACUUACAAAAAGGGUAGCUGGACCUCAUAAAUGCUCUUUUUAUUGGUAUAGGUCAUCUCCUCGACUUGCAAUACAAUGGCUCGUAGGAGAUAACUAAUGAACGUCAGUGGAUCUAACAAUAAGAAUCCACUGAGACCAAAAUGUUAUCAAGUAUUGGCCAUUCAAAGCAAGUUAGAGGGAUUAAAAGUUUUACUUUGAAUGAAAAAAUUUAUGACGCUCAGCUACUUACAUUUAUGGCUUGGAAAUCUCCAUCCUGACACGGGAGCUUCACAUGACAUCCAUUACUUCAAGAAACUAAAAGGUUUUAGCCUCUCAUCCUCCAAGGAUGUUUGGCUACUAAGAAAAUGAGAAAGAAAAGAGAAAAGAAGCGUAUGAACAAAAGUGCUCUUAUAACUUAUAAAGUUAUAGGUUACAAGAUGAUCGUGUCUAAGGCUCUUCACCUCUAUUUAAAGACAAUAAAAAGCUAAAUUACAAGAGCUAUUACAAAAGCAACCUUUUCAUUGGUUGAUUACAAGGGCAAAAUAGGUAUUUACAAAGCUAAAAGUCAAGCAAAAUAUCUUGGAGAACCGGCAGUGGAAUAUCAUCAACAGCGUCUCAAAACAGGGGAUUUCAAAGGCAUUUCGCAAGGGGGAAGAUGAAAGGUCCAAAUUUCGCAAGGUGCCUAAAUCCACUUGCGAAAUUUUGGCAAGGUGAAAUUCACCUUGCGAAAUUGGUCAUUUGGCAAGUGAAUUGCCUCCCCUUGCGAAAUGGUGUUCCCAUUGCUUGUGGUCGUGUUUCCACUUGAAAUUCAAGCCUGUAAACGUCCAAAAUCCUUGCUUAACUUGCCCAAGUAGCUCCUCCAUCAAUUGGCAUGCUUGAAUUGGUUCAUAAGCUGAUGAAAAACAUGUAAACUUGCCACUAAAAAUGGUUAGAACUAAUUACUAAGGAGCUUAAUGAAUUAAUUAGGUUAAAUGAAUAUGAUUACUACUCAAAGGUGCUUAAAACCCUUAUAAUUAGGUCUACAAAAUAGUACUUUUCGGUAGUAAUCAAUCACCGAUAUUAUCCGAUUUUUCCAUCGAUCGAGCUAUCAAUGAGGAAUUUCACUUUAGGGGCCUCUAAUAUCCAAAAUAUCAACGAAAUAUCAAUAAUAUUUCAUGACAUUUCAAACCUCAAUCCUAUCCCAUCACUAAUUAAACAUGGGAUAGGAUAUGAUAUCCUUUCUCUUAUCCUAUCCCAUGCUAUAUCUAGCCAACCAAACAUAGCCUAAAAGUUUUUGUAUACACCUAACCUAAUUUUGGGAUAAGGAAGGGAGAGAUUCGAGUAUGUCUACAAAGAUCGCAGGAUUUUCAAGAUUUGCACCAUUCUCUUCUUCAAUUGGAAUUUAUUUGGGAACAUCCAUUUCAUAGGUAAUAUUUUUUAGCACCUAGAUCUAGAGUGUUAUUGUUUUUAAUGCUUUCAUUGCCUAGAUCUAGUGUUCCUAGGAAGAUAGUUGCAUGUACCUUGAUGAUUCAAGGCUUGGAAUGGAUUUUUCCAAUUAUUCCAAUAUUUUACACAACAAAGAGGAUCAAUCACCUUCAAGUCAUGCAUCAAGUUUUCAAUACAAUAAGCACCUUCAACUAAAGUUGAAAAAUGAGUUGAAGGGAUAAAUUACACAACCUAGUAGAGAAUGAUUUUAUGUUAAAAUUUAAGUUAUAAAGUGCUAAGUGAUGUAUUCAAUAAGUAUGUACAAUUAGUAGCAUAACAUUUCAAAUCAUAUGGUAUCAAUAAUAGCACCAUAAGCAUCAUCAACCAAGGAAAUUCAAAUACACCAAUCUCACAAUAGCAUUGGCCAUUUAAACUUGUAUUUUAGGGACAUAUAUCUAUACCCCUACUAUCUAACUAAGAUCUUCCAAAAAUAUGUUUUAGAUCUUUCACUCUAAGGUACUUUACUCUUCUUUCUAUAAGGGCUCUUACCCAAGAACUAUUGCUCCUUCAUUCAUUCACAAGUGCACCUAAAGCAAUGCUAAAAUCAGUUUUUUUUUUUUUUUUUUUCUAAGGGCUCUCACCCAACAAUCAUGCCUCCUUAAAUUAUAAGGCCAACCUUUCCUUGGUGUCAAUCUCUAUUUUUUUCUUGUUUUUUCCAAUUCUUAGUCACGUUCAAUACCAAUGCAGGAUUCACCAUUUCCUGUGCCCUAAAGCACCAUCUACAAUACUCACCAUUUACAAUGUUGUUUAUGCAUGAGUCUUAUGCUGGAGUUAGUUAUUUGCAUGGUUUGAAAUAUUAAUAAACACAAAUAUAUUGGAAAAAUAUUGAUGGAGAUUUUGACAAAAAUAUGGCUGAGACGAAAAUUAUGCAAAAUUCAUGGAAUUAUUUGGAAAAACUCCAAAAAAAAUGAUAAAAUAAGUAAAAAUACACACAUUAAAGUUAUUUUAUAAGUGUAAUUGAUAUACGUAUGGUUAAGGAGAAAAAUAUCGGUAAAAAGGGAUAUAUCGGUCUUAAUAAUUAUUUAUUUAUCUUAUCAAAUUAAUUUUAAUUUAUAAAAUAUUAGAAAUUCAUUAUUAUUAUUGAUAUAUCUUAGUAUUUUUUUUGAAUAAAUUUGUAUUUUUAAUAUUUUAAAAUAAAAACAUUCGAAAUUAAAUAAAAUUAAAAUGAUAAAUAUAAAAAAUUUAAAUGUGAAGUGAUAGUGUUUUUCAAAAUAGGAUUAAUGAGAUAAAUGAUAAUACAUUUAAUAUUAAAACUAUAAUUUAUUUAAUUCAAAUGCAUUAUAAAUGAUGAUACAUAUAUAAUUUUUAAAAUAUUUAUAUUUUUAUAUUUAAUUAUCAUAUGAAUGAUAUAAAAAAAAAGACUUGUUAAGAAAAUUAUAAUAAUGAUUUUUAUACUUUCAUUAAUCAAUUAAUAUAAAAUAUAAAAUAAAAUAAUUAGAAUUAAUUUUUUUUAAUAAUGAACUUCAAUAUAUUUAUUGUAAACAUAUAUUUUAUAAACGUGGACUUGGCCUAGUGGUAACCAAGGUUCAACCCAAGCCUUUUGGCCUAUGUUUGAACUUAUCGAUCUGUCGACCGACAUAAGCGAAAUAUCACUGAAAUUUCGUAACAUUUCAAACCAUGAUUAUUUGUAUAUAUGUAUCACAAAGUCCAGCACAUGACCCACAACCCACAAUGCAUCUUAUUCAUAUAUUUAAUAACUUCAUCAAACAGUCACCAACUUUGAAUUUUAACAUAUUAACUCCAUUGAGUAUAACUACCCAUUAAUAUCAUAAUUCAUAAGGAUUAAUAAAAGAUAUAUCUCUUCCUUCAUAAGGAUUAAUACUACUUUGUCAUAGGAUUUUAUAAGUUUUAAACUAAAAUCUUUCCUACUUGUGAUGAAAAUUACCAAGAUUCGCUAACUUAGAGUUACCUAUUCUAGCUUCAACCUUACUAGCUUUAUGUUAUAGCCUAAAAAAUUUCAUAUAGGAUAAAGAAAAAGAGAAGAAAAACUUAUCAAAAUUAGCCUCCCAACCUUUUAUAUCUCAGUCAAAGAGGUGCAAAUAAGAUGUUAUUAACUUAAACAACCCUUAGGUUUCCUUUGCAUGUGAAUGAUGAGUGUCCCUUACUUCAUUUUGCAUAUGCCACCAGUAUUUGCAUUAAGGUUUAUGUAGUUAGGUUGAAAUGAAGGCAAGUGGGUUGUUUCCAGCCACACAUUAGCGGUAAUGUUAUUAUGUGCUUAUAGAAUGUUUAUAACCUUGUGUCGGAAUUCCCUUAGGCUAUAUUUGGUCCCAUAAAAUUUAAGAGAAAAUGUAAGGAGAAGAAAAUAAAGAGAAAAAAAUAGAGUAAAGAAAAAAUGAAAGAAAAUAGAAUAAAAAAAAAUUUAAGCCAAUAAAUUAUUUUGAUAUGUUAUUUCAAACCUAUUUUACUAAUUUUCCUUCAUUAUAUAAAAAUUAAAUAAUUUUAAAAUACGUAAAUUUCUAAUUAAUUUUAAAUAUGUUUUUAUUUUAUUUUGUAUUUUUCAUAGUGAAAUCAAAUAUAAGAAAAUUAUUUUCUCUGAUUUUUUUUUCUUUAGUGCUUUCCAAAACCAAACCUAUCCUUAGGAAUUUGGUUGUUACCCUCUUUGUACAUAGGACAAUCAUAGAUGGUAAAGAUGAUUGAAUCCUUGCAAUAUUAAAUGGACCAAGGAUUGUUCUAGCUUUUAAUUGUUCUAGCUUAACACAUAAAUGUUUAAUAUUAAAUGGACCAAGGAUUUAUCAUUGCAUUUCUUUUUAAAAUGAUUAAACAUUCGUUGAGGUGUUGGAUUUUUUUUUUUUUUUUUUUAACUUAAUUCCAAUGGAACUUAACUUAAAACUAAAUAGUACUUAAUAUUAUUAAGUAUUAAAUUGUUUAUUUUUUAAUAUUUUAUUUUUAUCGAGUAUUAAGUUGUUUGUCUUUUAUAUGCUAAAAAUCAACAUCUUAAUGUAUUAAGAAAAAUAAUUUUAAAAUUAAUUCUUAUUUGAUCAAAAAUAAUUUAACAUAUUUCUAAAAAUUUUAAAAUAAUAGAAAUUAUUUUAAAGGUUAUUGAAGUUGAAGCAGUGGAAGAAGAGAAAGAAGGUGGUGGUUCAAGUAAAGUGAUGAAAUAAUGGGGAGACUCGUUAUGAUGACAAGGAUUGGGGGUUCAGAUUUUUGUGUGGGUUUAAAAAUGUUACUUUUUUCAUUAAAAGAAAAAUAAAUAUUUUGGUUUAAUUUAUUCAAUGAAAAAUAUUUAAGAAUAAGUAAUAAAUUAAAUAAAAAUUAAAAAAAAAAUUUAAAAUCUGAAAACAAAUUAUUUUCAACAACCAGUAAAACAAAAAAAACAAAUGUCCUAUAAAACUUUAACAUUUCAAUUCAAUCUUAUCUUUGAUAUUCAUAAUAACGAUUGAUUAUCCAGUAGAUUAUCAAUCAUUACUAGUGAAUUUAUUUCAAAUAUUAACUUCAAAACUUGCUUUCAAUAUUAAAGAUUAACCGUUAUUGAAAAGGUGUAUAAUAAUGUUCUUUUUUGUUUAGUUAAUCUUUUCUUGACUUAAAUCCUUUCAAAUUUCAACUUCCUUUCAUAAAUGAACUUCUAAACCAAAACCCCACUCGAGAAAUUACCGAAUAACAAAGAAUUGAAUGAUUUAUCUUAAUAAUGGAGUAAGACAAUUAGCAACUAGACUAAACCGGUGUAAUAAACCUUACUAGCCUCAACUAUAAGGCCAACAAUAAUCUAUUUAAGAAAUUCUACUUAUUAUUUAUAUUGUAAAUGAUCACUUCCUAAAAUAGAGCAUCUUGUGUUAUUUAUUUAUUUAUUUAAUUUUAAAUAGAAAUUAAAACUAAAUAGUGUUUAAUAGUAUUAAGGAUUAAAUUAUUUAUUUUUAUAAUAUUUUAUUUCUAUUAAACAUUAAAAAAUAAAGAAAAAUCAAUAUGUUACUUUUUUUAUUUAGAAAAAGUCAAAUAUUUUAAUUUUUUUCUAUUCAACCAAAAAUUUAUAAUAAAUCAUGAAAAAGUAAAUAAUAAUAAUAAUAAUAAUAAUAAUAAUAAUAAUAAAACACUUGUAAAAAAUAAAUUGUUUUCAGUAAAAAAAACUAAAAAAACAAACAUCCUCUUACUAAAAUUUUGGGUCAUUCGUAUCUUAGUUUUAUUCAAUUUUUCUUUAAAACAACUUUGUUAAUUUGUGGUCAAUUGAAUUGUUAUGAAAUUAAGGUGGUUUGAUAUAUUUUUAGUCAAUAAAUACAAGAAACUUUUUAAAUUGAUUUUGAGUAAGAAGUUGGAUUUGAGUGUUCCAAAAACUAAAGAUCGAAAAGGAAAAAAGAAAAAAAAACAAAAAAGAAUUUUUCAAUCAAAAUAAAGUCAAAAUUUUCCACCUUAUAUCAAUACAAAAAUUUUCCACCUUAGUUAAUCUUUUCUUGACUUAAAUCCUUUCAAAUUUCAACUUCCUUUCAUAAAUGAACUUCUAAACCAAAACCCCACUCGAGAAAUUACCAGAUAACAAAGAAUGGAAUGAUUUAUCUUAAUAAUGAAGUAAGGCAAUUGGCAACUAGAAUAAACUAGUGUAAUAAACCUUAAUAGCCUCAACUAUAAGGCCAACAAUAAUCUAUUUAAGAAAUUCUGCUUAUUAUUUAUAUUGUAAAUGAUCACUUCCUAAAACAGUGCAUCUUGUGUUUUUUUUUUUUUUCAAAUAGAAAUUAAAACUAAAUAGUGUAAUAGUAUUAAGGAUUAAAUUAUUUAUUUUUAUAAUAUCUUAUUUCUAUUAAAUAUUAAAAAAUAAAGAAAAAUCAAUAUGUUAUUUUUUCUAUUUAGAAAAAGUCAAAUAUUUUAAUUUUUUUCCUAUUCAACCAAAAAUUUAUAAUAAAUCACGAAAAAGUAAAAAAAAAAAAACACAAAUAAAAAAUAAAUUGUUUUCAGUAAAAAAAACUAAAAAAACAAACAUCCUCUUACUGAAAUUUUGGUUCAUUCGUAUCUUAGUUUUAUUCAAUUUUUCUUUAUAACAACUUUGUUAAUUUAUGGUAAAUUGAAUUGUUAUGAAAUUAAGGUGGUUUGAUAUAUUUUAAGUCAAUAAAUACAAGAAAUUUUUAAAUUUGAUUUUGAGUAAGAAGUUGGAUUUGAGUGUUGCAAAAACUAAAGAUCUAAAAGGAAAAAAAAAAUCAAUCAAAACAAAGUCAAAUUUUUCCACCUUAUAUCAAUACAAAAUGAAUCUCCUUUUUUUUAUGAAAAAAAGAAAUGAUAAGUUGAGGCACAAAUACCUCUAUUAAGAAAGAUUGUCGCCGUUAGAACUUAUAAUUCAAUAAUAAGCCUUUGGAAUUUAAUUUUUAUUCUCAGUCAAACAAAGACUCAUAGCCUUUAAUCAACCCAAUGUUGAAUUUUAAUGGAUUGAGGUAAAACAUUGCUCUUGAAUCAAAAGAGAUAAAACUCUAAUCUAUAGAUAUGAGAUAAGAGAUCAGAGAUCAUAGCAGUUGGUCCCACAGAAGCCAACCCUUGACCAGGCAUUUUAAGCCAGCCAACCCAACAAAAACUUGUUUUUCAAUAAAUUAAAAACAGCAGAAUAUUAAGUUCAAAUUAAACUCAAUUAAACUUGGGUAUUGAUAAUUUGCUUGUCUACGCUGAGAAACCAUGCAUUUUUUCCGCCUCUACAACACACAGGAAAACAGGAAGAAAUUUCAAAAUGGAAACUUCAUUUGGAUUUCAAAAUUUUGAUUUGAACAAAUUGGGGCCAAAUGACAUAUUUUUGAGAAUUUGCUUUAACUCUCUCAACUUAUUGUAGUUCAAUUUCCAUCUUGAUCUUUACCCUUUUCAUUUGAAGACCAGCAUUUUUCUGCUGGAAGAGUACUCAAAUCCUCACAUUCAAGGAGUGUUUCAAGUUUCCCACAUGAAGCACAUGCAGUCCUAAGGCAACUUUUCGGGUUCCAAGCUCAUCAACAAUGCUCAAAUCCUUGCAAACAUCCACCUUGAACCUCACCAGGGCUUCAGCUUUUGCAGUCACAAAGACUUUCUCAAAGCCCAGUAAGUGCUUCUGGGGUGAGUUGUGUACUGAUGGGGGAGAAGAAAAUAAGAAAACUGUAUGACUUCCGCUUAUGUUUCCCGCAUUGUUGACUCUUAGAUGGAUAUCAAAGGCUAAAUUCUGGCAACUUUCCUGCACAGCGUCCACAGACUUGCAUUUUGAUGAGUGACAACUGUGACCCUCCUCUAUGGGGAUGGAGACUGAUUUAGGUGCUUGAAUAAGGUGGUGGUUGAACUGGGUGUAGCUUAGUCCAUCUCCAAAUGUGUAAAUGGUUUCCCCAGUGUAAAACCGGUAAGUCCGACCAGGAUAGCCACUGGCAGGAUCUGGUCUCAUAUUCAUAUUUGUCAUCGGAACCUUGUCUACAUACGACUGAGGAUACCAUGUCGUGGGUAGCCUUCCACCUGAAAGAUAAUGAUUCAUGGUUAUAAGACUUAUACCAAAAUGAAAAAUGUCUGAUAAGUUGAAAACUAAUCCAAGGAGAGAUGGACUUACUUGGAUUGUAAAAACCAAAGAUCACAUCUGCUAUGGCAGCUCCACCAGCUUCACCAGGGUAACCGACCCACAGGAUGCUUGUAAUUUUGUCAUCAUUUUUAGCAAAUGAUAUAUCGAAUCCCCCUCCAGACAUUACAACAAGAAUCACGUUUCCUUUGGAUGCCUUGGCAACUUCUGUUAUCAAAAGUGGCUGCUGUCCUGGAAGCUGAAUGUUGACCCUGUCACGGCCCUCCGCCUCUAUAGAUUGAUCAAUACCGACUAUAAGAACCGUGGCAUCUGCUGCUGCUGCUAUUUUCUUAGCUUCGUCUAUUUGUGCAGUGCCACAUGCCACAUUGGAGCAUCCCGGCAAAUAUGUAGUUGCAACCAAGGCCGUUAGGCCCUGCAAAGGGGUUGUAUAUUUACCUGGGGUGCCUGCAAAACUUUCCAAUAAUAUCAGCAAAAGUAACAACACUUGAAUCAUUUGGCCACAUGGCUAGUUGAGGAGAAUGCAGAGAUACAUAGUGAGAUUGCACUAAUCAUUGAAUACCUUCAUAGUUUCCGAUCAUUGUUUUGGUGACAUUGGCAUUGGGUCCUAUUACUGCCAAGGUUUUGAUGGCAGUGGGAGACAGAGGUAGGGAUCCUUUGCUAUUCUUAAGUAACACGAUCCCUUGCCUGGCGGCUUCCCGAGCCAGCUCUUGGUGCUCUGAUGCUCACACAUCUUUUGGACCAAGCUUCCCAUAAAUUGCCUUACUUGGGUUGCCAUCAAAGAAGCCAAGUCGCAUCAGUGUAGCAAAAUUGUUGGAGACAGCUUUAUCAACUGCAGACUCAUCCACAAGUCCACCUUUCACUGCAGCUUCAGUGUGUUGGCCAAGGAAAGAUCCACAGUUGAGGUCCAACCCUGUUGCACUUCAGCAACAACACAAACCCCUUUAUCAACUAACCACUAAGCAUUUCUAUUUGCGUAAAUCAUACUAUUUAGUAUUGUUCAGAGUCAAGAAUUAUGCUGUAUUAAUGUACAUGAAGCAAUAAAUUUAAAGAUGUAAGCAGUGAAGUCACCUGCCAAUAUAGCCUUGGCUACAGCCUCCUCAGGUGUCUUGGUGUAGUGUUGAGAAUUGUAGAACACAUCUACUGAAUCACAAUCCGAAACUAAGUAUCUGCAGCAGCCCAAGAUUCAUGUAAAUAGCAUUAGCUCAGCCAAACUGUAAAUGGUAUUUAUAGAUUAGGUAGAACUCAUAANNNNNNNNNNNNNNNNNNNNNNNNNNNNNNNNNNNNNNNNNNNNNNNNNNNNNNNNNNNNNNNNNNNNNNNNNNNNNNNNNNNNNNNNNNNNNNNNNNNNCUUCCCAUUAACUUGGUUGUAAGAACACAUAACACUGGCAACAUUCCCAUCAAUAACACAGCUUUUGAAUGGGGGUUGAAAUGUAUCAUCCAUAUCUUGGUUUGUCACCUAACUCACCCAACAGAAUAUGCAAGAGUGUUGGUAGUACAAAACAGAAAUAUUAGUGAAAUGGAACAUACUUCAAACGAAAAUUACCACUGCAUUGAAGUGGAAGCAAUCAACUCCUUUCCAAUUAUCCAAAUCAUAGGCAGUAUAGUGUUUGCAGCAAGCAGCAACCUUAAGCCGGUCAGGGCUACCAUCAUCGCUUUGUUGCAGGCCUCUGACAUAACCUGAUGCAUACUUGCUUGAAAGCAGUGGGUCCUCUCCUGGAGUCUCCUGGCCUCUUCCCCAUCUGGGGUCUUGGAAUAUGUUGACGUUUGGGGACCAAAAUGUCAACCCUGCUAAUCCAACAUUGUACAUUGCUCUGGCUUCAGUGGAAACCACCUGCUCAUGACCACUGAUAUCAUCUUUCAAGCCAUUAAACAGAUAAAAAUUAGCUGUAAUUAACUUCAAAAGAUCUGGGUAUUAGAUUUUCCAGCACAUUAUACAGUACAGCAUCCCAUUAAUGUUGGGAAAUUGUCUACUUCAUACGUUUUGCAAAUGAAGCUGGAAGUCAUCCACAAAAGUCCUGUUGCAGGUGGAAGUUUUCAGGUAAAUUUAAAAUUCCACCUACUUCCUGUGACCAACCAUUAAAAGAUGAUAUACAUCUCUGGAGUAGAAAAUUGCCUGGAAACGGCAGAAAUACAUAAUUUCGAGCCCAAUAACUAUGGCUUCAGCUACUACAUCUAAACAAUUAUUUCAAUCAAUUUGAGAAAAAUCCUCAGAUUUUUUUAUUAUUUGAUAAUCUGUUUCACUAGUGAAUCAAAUUUAAGAUACAGGGGUGAACAGAGCAAAACCACAAUCCAAGUCCUUAAGACAACAAUAAUAGCAUAAGCAUAAUCGAAAUCCACAAACAACAAAGACAGUCAAAAUCUAAUCCAAAAAGUUCCCAAUUGGCCGAGCCAAGGAUCAUCAUGUAAAAAGCUUAUCCGAAUAGAACCCAUUAACUAUAAAGAAAUGAAUAAAGAACGCAAAAUAUGGUAGCCACUUGAUGUAGUAAUUGUUUAUGGUACACAAAGACAUGGAUAUAAUCGAAGACUAGACCUCCUUGUCUUGUUCAUGUGAUCAGGGGCUCCUUUUUUCUAAAGAUGGAAACAGAACUGAAUAUAUAGCAUACCUUUCUCAACCUCAUAAAUUUACUUACAAUCUUUGUCCCCCACCAAAAAAUACCCCAAAAUGCAAAUAUAAAUCCAACCCCAUUACUGAAUCCAAUUGUGGAAGCAAGCAAAUGUGCUCAUAUGCAAUUUCUACUAUCGAAAACCCAUAUCCAAAAUCAAGUUUUUGAAUCAAAAACUCAUUAUCUGGAAGAUCAAACAUUGGAUGAAGUGAGAGGAAAACAGGGAGAGGAGAGAAAUACUAGUAAAGGUUACCUUUCCAAUGGCUUCAAAGAGAGAUGCAUAGAAAGAGGCCGCAGGGAGGAUAACCUGAGGAAAGCUGCUGGCUCCAGGGACGACACUGUUGAAAUGUGUCCCUGGACCCACAUAAGAAACUCCAUGUAACGCCUGAGACCACCACUCAUACUUGGGAAUCCCAAGCCUGCUGACACGGGAAGCACUGUUCACCAAGAACCCAAUCUUCUCCUCCAAUGUCAGCCUCUUCACCAAAUCUGCGACCCUUGCGGCGUGUCCAAUGAAGUGUUACAGAACCCAAACUGCCCCAACGUGGGGUUCUUGUCAACAUCACAGGAAAAAACAGGGGAAGACUGGACCAAAACCCACUUGGGGCUCAACAAAAAAUAAGAGAAGCAAGAAAGAAAGCAUAGGAAAACAGUGACCUUCGGUGCACUGUUGAUUACAGAAGCCUUUGAAGAAUUUUACACCGAGCUUAUCUUGAAUGUAGUUUUAGUAGCAAGAGUCAGUUUCUCUUAUAAUAAAUUGGGUUUUAAACGGAUGUUUUUUAGCAGCCCGUGAUGAAUAAUGGGAGGGAGACACUGAAACUCAAUUAAAUGCGGUUGUUUGCCUGACCAGAAAGAAAGAGAAUCUAGUUGCUGCAGUUUGUAAAUCAUAUAAGAGUCCGUGAAUGAUCAAUUUUCCUUCUUUAAUUCAUUAAUUAAUUAACGUUUUUUUUUUCUCUCUUUUUCAGAGGACUGCAUUGUAUGGAGAAGCCUUUUUUGUUUGUUUGGAAGCUCUGUUUGGUUGGAGCAUGCGCAUAUACUCACGAGUCGUAUACACGGUUUUUUUGGAUUUUACCAUUACUCACGCGUGAGCUACAAUGGCUACAUAAUAGCCAAGCUGGAAGUGAAAGAAGAAAAGGCUUUUUCUGAUUUGGGGUUUCCAAACAUGGCCUUAGAGGAUGAGUAAACGUAAGGGGAACACCUAAAAACAAAGGCUCCCACAACUAUGACAUGGAAAAUUAGUACAAAAAUUGUGAAAGUUUCUGAAAAGUCUAUUCUGAAAAAAUAAAAGACUUAUUUUCAAAUAAUUUACUUUAAUAAAAUGGUCUACCUUGCAAACCCAAAAAACAAACAAAAGAAGAGAGAGAGAGAGAGAGAGAGAGUAAGCUUGUUGGGCAAUUGUUUUGAAAAACAGAUUUUUGUUCUCAAAAACAGAUUUUUGUUCUACACAACAAAAAUAAAAAUAAAAAAAUAUAUUUGACAACUAAAAACUAUUUUAUAAUAUUUUCAGUUAUUUUUUUUAGGCUUGUUUUAAAAAAUAAUUUUAAAAAUAUAUAAAAUAAUUAAAAAUAAAGUACUAGAUAUAACAAAUAUUUUUAAAAAUAUUAAAAACGGGUUAAAGAUAUUUCAGGUUCGAAAAUAGAUUUUUGUUAUAUAAAACAUCAUAAAACAAAUUUAAAAAAUUGUUUUUAAAAACUAUUUUUCAUAAAUAUUUUUUAAAAAAAUUUAUGAAGAGUUUUCUUUCAUUUUUAAAAUUAAUUCUUAAAGAUUUUAAUUUUACUUAAAAUCUUAUCAAAUCUUUGAGAUCUCUAAGAAUAAUUUUUUUUUUUUAAAAAAAAAAAGCUCUUGUUUCUCUAAUUCUUUUUAAAAUAAUAUUUUUCUUAUUUUUCACAAGAUUCUAAUUUAAAGAAAAUAAGUUAAUUUUGGAAAUUCAAUAUUGAUAAUUUAUAAUUAAAAAUUUUACCGAAAUAAAUUUUCAAAUCUAAAAAAAAAAAAAUUGUAUUUUGGUCUUCUUAGUAAAUUUUUAUGAGAAGUUUUUUCUAAGAUUAUGUAUUUAAAUUGGUUGUUGCUAAUGAGAAUGAUAUCCCUUUUGAAACUAUUUACUUGAUUGUGGAUAGGUGGUUUUCCAAGAUCUUCCCCUUAGAGAAGAAGGAAACCGUUCAAUUUGGAUAUGGAUAGUUCAAGGAUAAGGAAUAAGAGAGCAAUUGUUUUAACAUAGGAGUUCUAGUUUAAAAGAUAAAUAAUGAAUUUGGAAAAUCUCAUGAUAGAGAGUUUAUGAUAAGAAGGGUUUGCUAAAAUAUUUUUGGAAACUUUUAGUAAUUUAAUGGAGGUAUAAAAAAAAUUUGAAAAUACUUUCCACAAUGGAUUGUUUAAUUCCUUUUAAGGACAUAAACAUUUUUGAAAGUUUUUCAUAGAAAAUAUUUUAUCAAUUAAGGAAUUACUAAAAAGGUUGUGAUUUUGAUAGUAUUUAAUGAAAUAAAUUUUAUGAAGUUUCCAUGAGAAUAUUUUUUAGAUUGGAAAGGUGUAAGGACAAGGAAAGUAAAUUUGUGAGGAAUUUUGAAUGUGAGAAGCUAAAGUUCCUUUCUUGGAGAAUGCGAGAUAAUUUAUCAUUAAAAGAUUAUUACCAAAAGGCUUAGUAAUUUGAUAGAAAUAAAUUUAUUUGAAACAUUUUCUACAUAAAAUAUUUAUUAAUUAUAAUUGUGUAUAAAAGGAUAACUUUAUGAAAAUAGUUUUAAAAUUUUGAGAGUAGAUAUUUUAUCAAAAUUUAUUUUGAAAAACACUCUCAUGAAAAUUUAAAAUUUUCAUGAUUGAGAUUCUCCUAUUACACUUGCUUUCCAAUUUGGAAAUAAUAUUUUAAAAAAAUUCUCAAAAUAGAUAAUUUAUUCAUUAAGGUAAUUACUAAUGAUUUAAAAUGCUUUUAUCUAUCUUAAAAGAUUAAGUGGGAGAGGGCUUUAGCCAAAGGAAUCAAAGGAUAUGGAGUCUCCAUUAGGAUGAGAUUAAACAUGUUUAUAAUGGGAGCAACCACUCCACUGGUGGGGUUCCUUACUUGGUGACAUUGAUAGUUCAAGGAUGAUGGUUAUACAUUUAUUAUUGGAUAUGAAGUGGUUGAAUCACCCACCACAAUCCCACUUGCAUAAUCUAUGCCUCACUUGCAUAGUCCGUGUUGAUCUUGCCUUUAGAUACAUUUCAUGGUUAAGGUAGUGAGAUCAAUCUAAGAGGGUCUCUAACUAGUAAUAAGAUUAUGACUUGCCCAUUGUAGGCUUGAUUCUUAUGAUAGUAGGAUACUUUGCAAAAGGAUAUGUAGUUUGAAAGUACUACAUUUUUGCUAAAUUAAUUAUCAAUUGCCUUGAAUGCUUAACUAUCUCAUAUGAAUGGUUUUAUUCUUUGUUACAGAUAUCAUUUGGGUUAUUUAUUAUCACUCUUUUUCUCACUUUGGACCAAGCUCAACUAAUCAUUUGAACUUAAUUUUAUUCUAAAUAUAGUAAUUAAUUGUAUAGAAGCUAGUUUAGGUACAACUAGCUAUUCCUUACGAACUAAACUAGCAAAAUGAAAGAGUGGUAUAUCAAGGUGGUAUUAAAUGGAUCAAAAAACCAAGUAUCUAAUACUUGGAUCUUUGGAUAAUGUGUUGCAAUAGCAAUGCAUGCCUAUUACCAAGGAUUUUGAUAUUUUCUUUCUAAUCCACAAGCUAGAGGAUUUUGAUAUUUGGUGAUGAGGAUAUGUCAACUUAGACAAGCUACCCUUAGAACUAUUGUGAACACCAAAGUUCAUAUGAUCUUAAACCUUGCCAGUUUCAUUUAGAAUGGUUAAGGGGAUUCUCAAAGAACACAAGGGUGUUCAUAUGGGAGUCAAAGUUGUUUCAAGAUCUUCUACUAAGAAGAAUAACAAUAACACUAAAUAAGGAAAGUUCAGGAGAAGGAAUAAGAAAGUAAGCUCAAGGUUAGUUAAUUCCUUUGUGACUUUUUAGGACACUAGAAAAGGAAUGCCUCAUUCAUCUAAGGAAAAAAGGAAAGUAUAUAUCAUUUUGUCGCUAUUGAAUAUUUAGUAGUGGAUUUACCGUUUAUGGUGAAUAGAUUCCAAGCCUACUGUUUGUAAGUCUUUACAAGGUAUUUAACAAGUGAGAAGGUUAAAGGAUGAAAUUAUACUUAGCUUAACUUCAAUUGUAAGGAUAGUUGUGCAGGUUAAUGGGAAGUAAUAUUUUUUUCUUUUAUAUGUAUUCCAUAUCACUUUACCAAGUAAUGAGAAUAGUCAAAUCUUAGGAUUGAACUUAGUACUAAUUAAACAUUUGGUAUCUAGACCUAGGUUAUAUUAAUCUAAAUAGGAUCCAAAGACUGGUCAAGUCUAAACUCUUUGAUAUAAGAAAAUCUUCGAGUUUGUAUAACCUAUAUAGAUGGUAAAAUGACUAAGAGGACUAGAGCCAUGAAAUGUUUGGAGUUAGUGCAUACUGGCAUGAAUGGAACUUUUAGUGUCCAUGCAUGGGGAGGGUAUGGAUAUUUCAUCACUUUUACUGAUGAGUACUCUAGGUUUAGAUAUGUUCAUCACUUUUACUGAUGAGUACUCUAGGUUUAGAUAUGCAUGUGUAUAGGAAGUCCAAUGCCUUGGAUAAAUUCUUUUAAUCUAAAGUAGAAUUGGAUAACCUAUAAGUAAACAUAUCAAGCACUUUAAUUAGAUCGAGGUGGUACACUUAGUAAGUUUGAGUCUUUUCGUUGGAGCACGAGAUUAUUUCCCAUUAACGUGUACCAAGGUCUCCAUUACAAAUUGGAGAGGUGAAAAGAAGAUAUCAAACUUUGAUGGACAAUAGUGAUCAUGUAUAGACUUUUUAUUAUUUCCCAAAUUCUUUUAGGGAUAUGUCUUACAGAUUAUGUAAUACCUCUUUUUCUUUAAGAGAUAUAUUAGUUUAUGAGAUAUCCAAGAGGAUUUUAUGGAUUAUUACCUUUACAGUCAGAAUCAUCAUAAGGUGUUUAUUGAUACAAAUGUUAGAUUUUUUAUGAAGACUAUAUGAUAAGAAAUGAGGCAAAAAGUGAUAUAGAUUGAAUGAUACAUUAUAAGAUAGUCUCACUUUUGCACAAGAUACUAUGGAUCCAAAAGGAUAGAGACAUACCAUUCCUAUGAUUUCUAAUACAACAGUACCUGAUCAUCAUACUUAGAGGUUUAUAUCCCACAGAUUAUGAUGAAGUAUGAGUGAUUUUUGUGCUCAUUCUUAGCAAAGAGCUAUGAGAGGAUAAUUAGAAUCUUUGUAUUCUAACGAAGUUUGGGUUCUUGUAGAAGCACCUAAAGAGGUAAAAUCCAUAGGUGUAAGUUGGUCUACAAGAGGAACAAAGGAGUAGAUUAUGGAAACCUAAGUUUUAUGUAGCUAGUUUGUAGCUAAAGGUUAUAGUUUGAAACUUUAGUUCAACUAUGGAAAACCUUUUUAGCAAUAUCCAUACUCAAAUCCAUCAGAAUACUCCUAUCCAUUGUAAUGCAUCUCAUUUAUGAGAUGCAUCAACUAGACAUUUUCAUAGCAAAGAGUCUUGUUUGUACAAGAAGGCACAUGGAAGCAUGGUAAUGCUCUUACAUCUUGUAGGUAGAUGUCAAACUACUCAUUUUUGAAUGAUGUUAAGAUAUUUUCAUGAAUUAAGAUCUAUUUGUCUACUUAGUUACAGACGAAAAUCUAGAAGAAAAGCAAUAUGUUCUUAGGUUUAAGUUCCUUUAAGACUACAGGAAUAGGAAAAUUAAGUUAUAUCACCUACAUUGAUGAAUAUUUGAUCAACUACAUGAUGCAGAACUCCAAGAAGGGUUUACUACCAUUUGGUUUUGGAGUUGUCUUUCUUAGGAUCAAUGUCCUUAAACAUCUUAGGAGAGAGAUCUCAUUAAUGCAGAAUCAUAUGCCUCUGUAAUGGGUAACCUUAAGUAUGUGAUGCUAUGUUCUAGGCUAGAUAUUUACCUUGCUGUAAGAAUGGUAAGUAGAUAUCAAUCUCAUCCAUGAUUAGAGUCUUGGGCGAAUGUUAAACAUAUAUUCAAGUAUCUUUGGAGAAUAAAGGGAUAUAUCCUUGUGAGUCUUACAAUGAAUUAGUACUCCUUGGGUAUUAGGAAUUAGACUUUCAGUUUGAUGAGGACUCUCACAGGUUUAUCUGUAGGUAUGUGUAUACUCUAAAUGGUUUUUGUUACUUCUAAAGCAACAAAGGAAGUUGGAUGGCUUAAGAUGUUCCUUAUAGGAACUAAGGGUAGUUCCCUUGGUUAUAUCAUCCAAUAUCUUGUUUUUAAUAACAAUAGGUUGGUGGCAUAGUCUAAAGAACUAAAGUGUCAUUGGAAGAGAAAACACAUAGAAAUGAAGUACCACCAAGCCUAGUGAGAUAUUACAGAGAGACGAUAUGACUAAGAACAAAUUCUUUUUGUAGUGGUUAGUAUGCUUUUGGGGGCUAGUGAGAGUUUAUUGAGAUUGAGCCCCUAAAAUUAAGACAUGAAGUAAAAAAAAAAAAACUUGACUAUCCCUUUGCUAUCCAUUUUAUGCAUCAACAUUGAUUUGAGGAUUUAACCCAUAUCUCUUACAUUAUUCACUACUUAGGUGCAUUAGAAGUUUCAUAGAGGAUAAAAGUCAUGGUUUCCUUGUAAGUAGAUAAUUUGUCUACAGUUAGUUAAUGGAUUUGGGCAAUCUAGUAGAGGCUAUAAUGUACCAUCUCCUAAUUGGAGGGAUGACUUGUCUUGACCAUUAGGAUGGGUUACCCAUGGUGAGUGCAUUGGGGUAUAUGAUGCACACUAGAUAGAACCUAUGAUAAAUCAUGACAUAAGGCUAUCAAUUGUCAUAAUUCACCAAACUACUAUAUUGCAUAGACUCUAAACCUUAAGACGAUAUUGAGCAUGCACUGAAAUCAACAGGAGGCUUUGACCUAUGUGAGACCCUAAAGUAGUCAUAUAUGCUUAUGGAUUGGGUCACUAUUGAAGGAAGUUGAUGGGAAUAUGUAUUCUUAAUAAAGGCACCAUGAUACCUCAUGGGAUUGAGACAUCUAUCCCCUUAGGUGAUCCAAAGGACAUAUAAUUAUGAAAUCUAUGGCCAUAGUACUUCCUUUAGUAGAAUUUGACCUAUGCUCCUCAAAACUAUAGUAUAUUAGUUGAUCUAAUAAUAAAUGGGAUUUGUAAGUCAAGGAUUUGAGAGGCAAUCAUGAUAGUUGAUAACACUACUUUAUUAGAUUACAAACACUAAUUCAUGAGAGGUCUACAUGUAGUAGAUAAUAGGUCACAGACUCGAGUUUUGUCUUAUUGUUAUUUACAUAGGGUAUUAGAGUACAAUUGAUUCUCUUUAGUGGAAUGUUGAAUCAACUUCAGAAUUGGAUUCUAAGGGAGCCAAUACUCCUAUGGGUUGCAAUAGUCAUUGCUCUAAGCUCAUAUAUCAUAAUGACAUAAUUUAUGAGGGCUGGAUUAGCUCUAGGUUCAUUCUUAUGCAUAAGGGCAUUUUGGUAAUUAUGUAAGCUGCAUAGAGGAUAAUGAACAAGUUCUCUAGAUUGAGCUAAUUGAUUAAUUAGAUGGCUAUAUGUGGUUAAUUAAUCAAUUAGGACCUUUUUUGUGCUAGAUUAAAUGAAUUAAGCUUUGAUGGCCUCAAGUCACUUAAGCCUAGUAGGGGAAUCCUAUAAAUACCCUUUAGGGGUUAAGGUUUCCAUCAUUUUUUGGUGUAAGAGUCGUUUUCCACCACCACCACACACACACACACAAACACACACACAACCUAAGAUUCUACCUUCCAAAGCCCACACUUUGGAGUGUCGAUAUAGUGGUUUGAGUCAUCGGACGAAAUAUCUUAGGUGUACAAGACCUUUAGGCAUGUUUUUCAUUGCUAGGAAUUGAUUUGGGAAGAUAUAGAUCUAGGUAUGAUUUUCAAAUCUCUAGAUCUUUUUCUAAAACGGUUUUUGAAACCAUUUAUUUCCAUUUUGAGAGAUCCCUGAGGAUAGAGGCAUGCACCCUACGAGAUCCAAGAACAAGGAAUGGAGAAAUUUAAGGUUCCUAGCAUGCACUAUAGUCUUAAAUGGAUUGCCCAAAUCAAUGAAUCAAUUGUGGACUACUCAUCACUUUAUAAAGAACUCAUGAAUUGGAUCUUUUAGGCAGCUUCUAAUUCACCCAAGCUAUAACCAAUUGAUGCAUUAUGGGAUAAUAAAUAGGAAACUAAGAAACAUAGAUAAAUAAAUUUAUGAAAGAAUCUUAAUAUGUUACAUCAUGUCAUGCUUUAUAGGUCUCAAUCUCAAUAGGAAGUAGAAUGAAAGAGGUGGGGGAAUAUCCACCCAAAAGAAAAGGAAAUAAGAGAUAAUAUAAGCAUAGAAUGAAUGAAUGAGGUGAGGGGAGAGAUGAAGAGGUUAAUUGGAAAGCAAUGUCUGGAUGGAUGAUGAAUCAUUUUCGAAAGUUAUGAAGCCAUUUGAGUAGGGAGAAUACUUCAAUUUGGUUUUCAUUCCAAAAUUGAUUUUAAAGAACACUUGGAUUUAAACUUUGAUGUCAUUUGGAGUUAACUUCAAUUUUAGUUAAGAAUUUUGAUUUUCACUUCGAUUUUGGUGUUGUAGGAUGGAACAUGGAGAAUUUGCAUCCUAUUUUGGACCAAACAAAAUCAUAAUUUUGAUAUCUAAUUCCAAAAUCAAAAUUAGAGAUGGUAAUAGUGCAGGUUUGGGAUGAGGCACCCCUACCCAUUCUUGUCUCAAUCAUAUAAUUAUUUCUCAUCCUUGUUCUAGACUUAGGCGAGGUAAGUUGAUGUCCCACAUUCCCAUUGGAUAGCUCUAACAAUACUCGACUCACUUUGUUAAAAUUUUUAAUUUAAUUUUUUAAGUCAUUUUGUCUGAAAUUUUUUCAUUAUUAAAUGAGAUUUCUUUUUGUUACUUUAAACACCUCUAGUAAUUAUACUUUUUAUUUUUUAUGUACCUCUAAUAAUUAUACUUUUUAUUUUUUAUAUUUAUAUUUAUCGAGUUUGUAAUUGUAUAAUUUGUAGAAAUGUUAAUUUUUUGUUUUUAAAAAUAACAAAAAAUUAUAAAAGGAAAUGAAACAUAUAAAAAAUUAAUCUUUUAUUCAAUAUUUCAACAAAUUACAUGAAAUAAUAGGGAGAAAGAAAAGAUGAGAAUUGCAUCACUAUAGUUUGAGUAUAUCCUAACUAGGUUGACACCCACCUAACUAUCAAUCAUAUGCAUUACUCAAUUCCUUUUGAGACCAUGAGUGGUGGAUUAAGAAAACUUGAAUCAUAACUUAAGAAGCAAAUUAGUUCUAUCCCAUAAUAAAAAUUUGAAUAUGUACUUAAUGCUCAGCCAAGGAAGUAAUGUUUUUUUGUUAAUUGUUGUUCACAUUGAAGCUCAAAGGUACAGGACUACAGUGAGGACACAAUUCCCAACUACUUUUUCAGGGUACAAAGAAGCCUUAUAAUUGAAAUUAGGGACAAGAUUAAACAGGUGGAAAAAUUUUAGCUUGAAGAUCACAAGUACUCAACUCACCAGUAUCCUCAACAUGUCUAGAAGGUUAGAAUCGUUUCUCUCCCUCAUAUUGAAAGUCUCACGAACGUCAUCCAAUGGCAGUUGAGGAACAACCUCUGAAAUGUCACAAACCUGAAAAGUAAAACUAUUCAGAGGAUCGUAACAGCAGCACUAAAACAAAUCCUUUGAAUGAUUUUUGAGGGUGCUUUAAAAUCUAACCAAUUCUGUGCCCCACAUGCUACGAUUACAUACAAGCAAAUUGUUCCCCUGAUUGGCGUCUUCUUUGGGGUUGAUCAUUACAUAAAAUACUAGUUUGUCUUCUUUUAGUAACUCAUCUAUGUGCUUGAAACUGCCACACUUAAUACACGUUUAGUAUAUGAAAAUAGAAUUGGAAUAGACAUGAAGUGAACAAAGAUAUGAAAGAAAGGAAUUGAAAUCCUAAUUAGCAUGGAUUUUUCUAUUCUUUUCCUAUUCCUCAUUUGAAAAGUAAUCCAAACCUAUCAAUGAAUGAAAAAUUGAAUAGAUUUCUCAUCACUAUUCCAACAUUUUAAACAUGUGUUUAAGGUUGUUUUUUUAAUUAGUAUGUGGAGAAUGUCUUACAAUGAUCACAAGUUAGUACACAAUAAUUUUAAACUUAGGGUUACUUUUCUUCACAUGUCCUAAGGCUCGGUAUAAAAACACUUGGUCACUAAUGGUUUAAAAUUUAGUACCCCUAUAAAAUUUCUCUUUUAGAGGAAUUUUAGAUCGAAAGAUUUUAGGUAGGUGUUUAAAAAUUUUCUAAAAAAUAAAUUUAUUUUCUAAAGAGAAAAUUUUAUAAAACGAAUUUUGAAAUAUGAAACCAAUAAUGGCUUUAUGUAUUAACACUAAACUUAAGAUUGUGAUUGAACAAAAAAUAUAAAUAUUUAUUAAGAUUAAACUCCUUCUCCAUCCCAUUAAUCCUCCUUUCUUAAUUUGGCAUGGAUAAACUCUAUAUACCCACAAUUAGAGUACUAAAAGGUUUCUCAUGGACUACUACUAUCCCUCACUUAUGUUAAGGAUUAUAAAACAACAAAAUAAAAUAUACCUGCCUUAUAAAAAAAAUCUUAUAAUAACAACCAUGUAAAUAAUAUAACUAAAACAAUAUAAUAUCUUUUAAAUUUAUAAAAUAAUAGGACACAUAUAUAUAUAUAUAUAUAUAUAUAUAUAUAUAUAUAUAUAUAUAUAUAUAUAUAUAUAUAUUCCAUUUUUAAUAUAUAUUUUUACAUUUAAAUAUUAAGUAUUUUAUUUAUUUUAAUAUAAAUUGUAAAAAUUAAUACAUUUAUAUAAAAAUAUGAAAAAUAAAUAUUAUUGAUUUUAAUUUUUUUUAUAUUUUAAAUUCCUUAAUGCUAUUUUAAACUUUAUAAAAUAUAAAUUAUAUAUUUAUAAUGUUAUCUAUUCAAUUGUAGUUCAACAUUGGUCCUAUCAUUGAAUCGGUUAACUUUUCUAGUUCAAUACUUCUAAAAUAUUGUAUAUAAAUUUAAGUAAUUCAAAACAAAAUUCAACAAAAGAGGUAAAAUCUCUUUUUGUUAUGUGUGUAAACACAAUUCUUAGAAACUUGAUGAAAAAUCAAAUAAAAAAGUUUAAAAGAUAAUUAAAAAAAAAAAACUACAUAUGUGAAUAAUCAAUUUUUUUUUUUUUAUUGAGAGGAUAAUUUUUUAAAAACAUUAUAGAUAAAUACUAAAAAAAAUGUAUCAAAUAAUUAUUUUAACAUUUCUAAUAAAUGAAAAAAAAAAGUUACAAAAGUAUAAAAAGCUUUCAAAAAAAGGUAAAAGAAAUAUGAAAUAAAAAAAAAUGUAAUUCCAAGUAGGGAUUAAAAAAUUAGGCAAGAGUGCUUUUUGCCUUGUGAAUAUGAUUUUCAAUUAAAAACACUUAGAAUUUUUUUUGUUUUUUAAAAGUUUGAAAUAAAAUAAGGAUAAUCUUUUAAAAAGAAAACCAUGAUAGGUACAUGAAUCAAAAAAAAUUAAGACUUAAAAUAAUACUAAUAUAAAAUAAGAACUUAAUUAGCCGUAUAUAUUAUGCUAUCCAAAUUAAAAAUCUGUUAUUUUUCCUUAAAAUUAUAUUUAUUUAUUUUACUUAAAUUAUAUAAAAUAAAUAAAUUUCUCAUGAUUAAGUUAUCUUUUUUUUUAAAUUUUAUUUCACUAUAAAGAAAAAGAAAAUAAAAAAUUGAUAAAUAUUAUCUAUCAAUCAAAAUUUAUUCUAUUUAACUUUAUUUCUCUAUCUUUUCUAAUUACUUCUUUUGCAAACCCAUAUACUAGUAGUCAUCUUCAAGAAUAAUAAUGUUCAUAAUUAAUUAAAAAUAUGUCUUUAUUGUGAAUGCCAAUGAAGGAAAAUUCUAUAUCUUAAUGUAAAUAAUUUGAUUUUAACAUUCAAUAUAAGUCAUUGAUUAAUAAAAUAGUAAUAAUAAUAAUAAAAGAAAGACUAGUUAAGGAAAGUUUCUGUCUCCUUAGCUUGCUCAUUCAUCUCCUCUUACUCUAUUUUCUACAUGAAAAAAAUUCAAAAAUACUUGCCCGCAAUCUUAUAAGUUUUUUCCUAUUUAAAUUGUAUCUUUCUCCUAAAUUUUGUAGUCUCCAAAAAAUCUGAACAAAAGUCCAAAAAAAAAAAAAAAAACACCCACACAAGCUUCAAUAAUUUCUCAAAAAUCAAAGAACAAACUAAAAAAAUACUAACUAAAUAAAACCACUUGCAAAAAUAAAGUGAAAUUAUUUAAAAUUAUAAAUUAAUAGACUCUAAUGAAAUCACUUUUGGAAAAUAAUUAAAAUAAUCUAAAAUAUUAUAUUUCUUUUUUUUUUCCCCUUUUUAUAUAUUUUGUAUUAUUUUUUUCCAAAGGAACAGUACUACAAAAAUUGAAAUUAAUGACACUUUAUUUUAUGACGCUUUCUAAAAGUGUCAUUAUUGAGGGUAUACAAUGACGCUUAUAAGAAGUGUCAUAGUUGUAUUAUUUGUCUUGAUACUUAUUAUAAGUGUCAUUAUUUGAUGUCAUCUUUUUCCUUAUAACUGUGUAUAUAAUGACGCUUAUAAAAAGCAUCAUAGUUUUAUUAUUUACCUUGAUACUUAUUAUAAGCAUCAUUAUUUGAUGGGUAUGUAAUGACGUUCCUGAUAAGUGUCAUAGUUGUAUUGACUUUUAAAAUUUUUGUUUUUAAGUUAACUUAUACAAGUUUUGAUAUUAGAAUUUUAUUCUAUAAAUUAAUUAUGGUAAAUUGACAUUAAUAUUAAUGACAUAAAGUUGCUACAUUAAGGUUUUUUUAAAAAAAUUGGAUAUAAAUAAAAUAAAAUCCUAAUAAAUUAUUUUUUUAUUAUUUGAUAUUAAUUUUUUUAUAGUUUGUAUCAAUACAAUCUAUUUUCAUAAACUAUUUUUCAUUUUUAUUAAAUUAGAAAUUAUCUUAUAUUUCAUUUAAAAAUAAUUUGUUAAUUUAUUUGUGGACCACAAAAAAGUGGCCUAUUUUGAGCACUUGUUCGGGCCUUGGGCCACAUUUAUUGGGUUUAACCCUUUUAUUUGAGAAGGUUUUAUAGUUAAUGAAUAUAAAUUUGAAAUUAUUUAACUAAAAUGAAAUAAAUUAAUAUUUAAAUUAAUUUAAUGAUGAUUAGACUCACAAUAAAACUAAAUGCAAUAAGAAUAUUUAUAAAAAUUUUCUAAUAUUUAUGGGAAUUAAGCUCAUUCUAUUAAAUUAGUUUUUUUUUAAAAUAUCAAUAUUCAAAUUAAACCAACAUCAACCUAAAAUAUCAAAUAAUUAAAUAAUAUAAAUUCAUUAUGAGUUCAAUAUAUAAAAAUUAUUAUUGGAAGAUGAAAUAAAGAAUACUAUUUUUAAUUUAUUGAAAAAGGACAUGCAUGGUAUUUUAGAAUUUGUUAUAAAGUCUCCAUUGAAAACCUUAACUUUUGGAAGACAAGAAAGAAGGGAGAGAGCCACGGUUUUUAGUGAGAAAGAAGAGAAGAGAGAAAAACGCAAGUUUUUCUCAUCAUGCCCAGAUUUCAUCAAAGGUCCGAUCCCACUUCGUCCAUGGUCCGAUUGAGCUGAAAUUUGGAGGAGAGUUUCGUGACUCAUUUAUCUUCAAUCUGAACGGUGAAGAUCGGAUUUGGAGUUUCGGAAAGUCAUUAUAAAGAGAGAGGAGAAGAGAGAAAAACGAAGGUUUUUCUCAUCAUGCCCAGAUUUCAUCAAAUGUCCGAUCCCGCUUCAUCCGUGGUCCGAUCGAGUUGAAAUUUGAAGGAGAGGUUCGUGGCUCAUGUAUCUUCAAUAUUAACGGUGGAGAUCGGAUUUUGAGUUUUGGAUAGUCAUUAGAGAGAAAGAGGAUAAGAGAGAAAAACAACGGUUUUUUACAUCAUGCCCAGAUUUCAUCAAAGGUCCGAUGCCGCUUUGUUCAUGGUCUGAUUGAGCUGAAAUUUGGAGGAGAGGUUCAUAAGUCAUUAAUCUUAAAUUUGAACGGUGAAGAUCGGAUUUGAACGGUAAAAAACUUCAUUUUGACACUUUUUAAUCAUAUAUUCUCAAUUAUAUGAUAAGUAAAAAUAGUAAUUCCAUUAAUAUUUUAUAUUUUAAUAUUUUGCAUAACCUAUGCAUGAAUUACCUCAUGUUUUAUUGAUUUCACAAGUUGGUUUGAGUUUUUGUGGUUUGAUUUCAUUUGGUUCAAGUUAUACCUUGUUAUUUUGGAGCUAGUUUUGGGAGUGAAAAAUGGUGAUUCGUUGAAGAGAAGAGAGGCUGUGAUUUUUCUUUUAGGAGAGUAGAAGUGUGAAGAAAGGGUGGGAAUUUUCUAGGUAAGAGGAAACAAGAGAACAAGGGUUGUUCAAUUAAAGAUUUUUGAUAGAGGGAGGGAAGAAAAUUGAGGGAAGGAGCUGUGAGAGUAGGAGAGUUGUUUUGGGUGCUAGGCAAAAGGCAAGAAGUGAGAGUUGCUCGGUUAAAUAUCUUUGAUAGAAAGAGUGAAGAAAAUGAGAGAAGGAGUUGUGAGAGAAAGAAAGAUAGAGAGGAAGACAUAUGAAGACUAUGUUAAUUUGUUCAUGGAAAGAUUGAGGGAAGGGUUGAAAGAGGAAAAAAAGAAGGAAAGAAAAUAUAAGAUUGUUUGGUUGUUCAUGGAAAGCUUGAGGAAAAUGGGAGAAAGAGGAAAAAGAGAAGGAAAGAAAAUGUAAGAUUGCUUGGUUGUCCAUGGGAAAAUUAUUAAAUUUAAGAUGAAUGCAUAUUUCCUACCUCUAUUCAAUGAAAAUUAAGAGGAAAAUCUUUAGACAUUUUUUCUACCUUUUUCCUUAACAUUUUUUUCUUACAUUUUCCCAUAAUAUAUAAAAUUUCCCUUUGAAACUUUAUUUAUGUUUUGUUCUUUGGAUUGUAUAUUUGAUUUUUUGUUUUUUAGGUAGAAGAAUGAUGAAUAAAAUAUAUUUUAUUGGAGAAAAUCAACUAAUAAUGCUCUUUACAAUUUAGUUCUUGGUAAAUAACUCAAAACCCCAUUUAGAAAUUUAUUUUUCUAUUGCUCUAGAAUCACCUAAACUAAAAUAANNNNNNNNNNNNNNNNNNNNNNNNNNNNNNNNNNNNNNNNNNNNNNNNNNNNNNNNNNNNNNNNNNNNNNNNNNNNNNNNNNNNNNNNNNNNNNNNNNNNGUUUCAAAGGAAAUUGAUUGGCCAAAAGACAAGAAGUCAUAAUGUUGAAGGAGGUAGUGAUGCCGAAAAUCAUGAAGAUUACAUCAAAGUCAUUUGGAGGAUGAUCUUAUUUUUUAUAGAAUAUAGAUCUUAAUAGUUGUUGCACUAAUAUUUGUUCUUUUGUAGAAUUAGAAAUUGUUAUUGAAAUAUUUUGAUAUAAUUAAUAAAUUUGUAUGUAAGUAUGAAGUUACAUUAAUAGUUUGAUGUGUCAUUGAUAAAAUCUAUUAAAGAUGACACUUCUAUAAAUGUCAAGAUUGCUUAUUUCAUAAAAAUGAUAUCACUAGAAAAUGUUUAAAUAUGACGCUUCUUAUGAGUGUCGUUGUUAACAUUAUCCAAAUAUGAUGCUUCUUUAAACGUCAUUGAAAGUAUUUAUCAAAGAUGGCACUUCCUGAAAGUGUCAUUGUUGCCUAAGACAUACAAUGACAGAGGCGAAGAGGACGCUUUAGAGAAGCGUCAUCUGUUACCUUUCUUGACGCUUAAAAAACGUCAUUGUUUCCCAUUUUUCUUAUAGUGGAAGAAAGUUGCUACCCAUUAAUGAGAUAAUCGCAUUAUUACACAUAAUUUAACCCAUUAAUAUAUCACUCCAUUUGGCAAUUGAUUUCUUAUCUCAAUCAAUACAUUAAUAGUAAACAAGUUCUUAUUUAAAUCUCACAAAAAGUUGCAAAAAAUCUUAAACAGAUAUUUUGAUUAUAAUGGGUAAAUAUAUAUACCAACAAUGUGAUUAUGAUUUACAUGUGUUUAAGAGUAGAAAGAAUGUAAUUGGUGUGGGAAGCUCACCUCUGUCUCCCAAGCGUUGUCCAAUGCAAGGCAUAAGUGUGUAAGAGUCGUGUAUUCUUGUCUAUCUGGUUUGGCCUUAGGGUACCAGACGAACACAAAAACAACCGGGCAUUGCAUACGUUGCCUAAUAAGCAUUAACUAUGAUAGACAUUAAGUGCCUUGAUUGAUACAACCGUUACGAGGCUAAAGUGCUAGUUUUUAUGGCUCAUUAAGGUGCGAUAGCCGUUAUGAGCCAACAAUCAUUAACAUUAAAGACAAUAACACGCAAUCAAAGACACCAUUAAGACACUUGAAAAUACGUUACAUUUGGGAAAAAAAUAAAUAGCCACUUUUGACCACAAGAAAGGUAUACUACCAUUUUUUUCAAAAAAAAACCUAUCUUGCUUAAGUGUUCACUCUUUGACUUAAGCUUCGAAGCAACGUGCUCGAAAAACCCAUAUUGGCAUUCCUUUGUGCAGGUUGAAACAUCGUCUAAGUCUUGGAGGCUAGUCGAACUCAAUGUUGUUGGUUGUGCACCAAUAUUGGUGUCGUUUGUGGGAAAAGAAUACAAAAGCCUAAAAAAACACGAUGGCUAAUACACCUCUUGCAACUCAAUCAACCAAUGUUUAUAAGCGAUUCCAAGUUUGGCAAGAUAGAAUGGAAAGAAAGCAAGAAAAGUAUGAAUGGUGAAUGCAAUCCUUGUUUCGUCAAGCAGAACAACUAAAGCAAGAAAACCAAGAGCUAUAGGCUCAAUUGCCCAUGGGACAUCGUUUGAAAAGUCGUCGCACCCCUAGACAAUAGACAACUUUGAGAUGAGAUUAAAGUUAAACAGAGAGAGCUUCUCAAUAGUUCGUUAAGACAUCUCUACAAGUGGAUGAGGAAUUGUUUUCCAGCAGUUCCCCAACAUUACCUAAACUUGUGCAUUCCCCAACCAAUCGAACUCAAGCAGAAGAGGUUGUAAGCUCUAUUAGAGAAAAACGCAAAAUGGGUUAAAAAUGGGGCUUACAUCUCUCAAAGGCCUUAAAAGCACAUCUUAGAACUUAGAAGAAAAGAGUGUCAGCACCACCACUCAUGUCGAAGGCCCUAAAGGCACAUUUGGGCCAACCGAACAAUGAGACAUCACCAAGCUACCUACCUUAGCGCUCAACUCUAGAAUUGCCACCAGUAAAUGACCCGACAACGAAGACCCCACUUGGCUCCAUAAGUACACGGUUGGAUAACACACUUUCCACAUCGUUUGGCCCUCACAUCAUUGACUACUAACCAUCCAAAGGGUUCUUGGUGCCCAAGUUUACCAUGUAUGAUGGGACAAACGACCCUUUUGACAAUCUGAUGCAUUAUCGACAGUUGAUGAUGUUGGACAUUAACAACAAUGUGUUGCUAUGAAAGGUCUUUCCAGCCAGCCUUCAUGGUUUGACUCCCAUAGAAUUCUAUUAAUUCCUUCCAAGACAUCUUAGAGGCCUUUAUAGGCCAUUAUUUAUGUUCUACUUAGCAAAAGCAUAAUAUAAGCACCCUAAAGAACAUCAAGAUGCAGAAGAAUGAAUCACUAAAGGACCUCAUGAAGCGGUUCGGGCAAGUAGUGGUCCAAGUGGAGUCUUAUAGCAUGAAUGUCAUUUUACAAAUCUUUAAACAGAGCAUCAAUCCAAGCACCCCAUUUUUCGAGUCCUUCACUAAAAAGUCGCCUACGUCAAUGAACGAUAUGUUCAAAUGAGUGAACAAAUAUGUCAUGCUUAAGGAUGAUGUCUAGGCAAAAUCUUAGAAAAUCCUGGUCAUGAACUAGGUAGCCAAAAACAAUAAGGCUAGGAGUUCAAAGACUUCAAAUGGCCAAGUGAGACAAGACCACCAGAGGCAAGAAAGGUAGUCGCGACGAUAGCCACUCAGGCUCACCCCCAUUGACUGUCCCGUAUGAAAGAAUCCUCCAUUUGAUUUGAGAGCUGCAUGAGUUCAAGUGGCCAGAGCCUAUCAAAACUGAUCCAUCUAGAUGUGAUUGGAGAUGGCAAUGCUUUUUUCAUAAAGAGCAUGGGCACACCAAAGAAAAAUGCAAAAAUUUGCAUUACUUAGUGGAUAAACUCAUAAAAGUCUAACAUCUCAAGCAAUAUGUCUGCACCAUUGGAAACACUACAACGAGUUCCUAUUUCCCUCAUGGCACACCGAAUAGUGAUCAAUUACAUUCAUGGGGAACUCAUGGACGACAAAUAUCAUUCCAAAUGGCAAAGGAGGAGAAUGGUUCGCUCGGCCAUAGUAAGGGAAAGAGUGAGUGCAAUUCAGUGAAUGUUCACUAUUGAAAGUGCUCGGACAAUUGAUGGCCUAAUCACUUUCCCUUCAGUUGACUUUAAGCAGGUGAUUUUGUCACACGAAAACGUCUUAGUGUUAACACUAGGAAUCGAUGAAUUUGACGUGCGAAGAAUCCUAGUCAACCUGGGAAGUUCUAUUAACUUAUUGCAAAUGUUAGCUUACAAGCAAAUGGAUACUCAUCAUCUUCCUUAGAAAAUAUUGGCCAAUUUUUGUUUGAAUUCAAUGGGGCCACCACAAUCUCCCUAGGCGACAUUGUACUUCCCUUCCAAGCCAUCCCAACCAUUCUCAAUGUAUAAUUCUCUAUAGUAGAGGAUCUGUCACCCUACAUCGCCAUCAUGGGGCGGUCAUGGCUACACAAAAUGAAGGUCAUUCUAUCUACCUAUCAUAAGAUGGUAAACUACCUGACAGAAAUUGGGCAAGUGGAUUUGCAUGGAAACUAACUAACUACUCAACAAUGUUAUCAAGUGGUAAUAAAAUCCGGGCAUACUGGCCCAGCUGAAGACGAACCCAAGUCAUCAAUAAAAGAGGGGCAAUAACAAUUAUAAGACUAGGUCAAGGAUAGGGAUCCGUUGGCAAUUGACCCAUUGCAAUAGUUGUCUUUAUAAAAAAAAGAUGACCAGAUGACUUACGUUAGUUCUCUACUAAUUGAGGAUGAAUGUGAUCAUCUUGGCAACACGCUUCGCAAAAAUAAGGACAUCUUUGCGUGGAACAUGCCUGACAUAGACCUGGUAGUAGUCUUUCAUGAGUUGAACAUCCUUUCUGUUGCAUGACCUGUACAACAGAAAGUCCAUCAUUUCCAUCCAGAUCGUCAAAAAAUUAUCUAAACAAAAAUUGAAAAACUACUAAAAGUAGGAUUUAUCAGGGAGAUGACCUAAUGUGGUGGUAGUACCCAAGAAAAGAGGAAACUUGUGGGUUUGCAUAGACUAUACGAAACCGAAUGAAGCUUGCCCCAAAGAUAGCUUCCCAUUUCUCUGCAUGGAUUAGAUGGUAGAUGUCACUGCCAGACAUAGAAUGUUUUCUUUUCUUGGUACCACUUGAUACUAAUGUUUCCACCUAAUGAGUAGAAAAUGACUUUCAUUACACCUUAGGGGUUUUACUGUUAUAAAGUCAUGUCGUUUGGGUUGAAAAACGUAGGAGCUACUUACCAAUAGCUAAUAACCUGCAUCUUUAAGCCUUUAAUAGGUCGAAUGGGGAAAGUAUAUAUCAAUUGCAUAGUCAUCAAACACUAAACUCGUUUUGAACACCUCCUCCAUUUGGAAGAAGCAUUCGACUUCAUGCACAAGUACAACAUGAAGAUUAAUCCGCUAAAGUGCGCAUUCGAAGUAAGUGUGAGAAAGUUUCUCGGAUUCAUGGUGACAAAAAAAGGGAUUGAAGUAAAUCCGGUUGAAGUUAAAGUGGUGUUAGAAACUCCUACUAAUGUUCUCCAAUGAGUCAAUGCAUGGGGAUAAUUCAUCCCACGAUCCUCUUGUACUCCCAAAAUUGCUCCUCAUGAUGUACAGGAUGAAAAACACAUCAUCUCCUCAUUCAAUUUCCUCCUGAAUCUCCUAGAAUACUCCAGAAAAAUGCUCUAUAAUGAGUGACCAUUAUCUUCCUGCAACGUGAUAGUCUCCCCUUGAUGCCUUGCUAGUGACCUGUGUUCUCUACGAAAUUUUGAGCUUCUAAAAUUCUCCUCCAAUGUAUGAUAAUCUGUCUACCCCAAGAAGAGUCCAUAACCCCCUACUAGAGCCUUCUAGAGAGCCUCUAAAAAUGCGUGAUCUCUAGCGUCACCUCCCCACAUGACAACCCUCACUAACUUCAAAUGCAUGCAUGCCCCUCACAUAAGAAUUAUCUAGGAUGUGUGGUGAUCACAAUGUUUUAUGUGGGCAUGUAAUGGUGCUUUUUGGUACAUCUAGUGAAGGUUCUCCCAUGUUGCUGAUAGUGCCCCUCAAAAUGGAUCCAUGUAUGGUGAUGGGAAUUCUAUAGAAGACACGUGAUGCUUCUAUCAUGGUAAGAUGAUCAUCCACUGAUGAUAUUCUCCUCGUGAGGUUCCCAAUAGUGGUGUACAUGGAUCAUUGUGUCUUAAAAAAAAAUGGAAUCAACCUUGCACAAUUUCCCCAAAAAGAUAAAUAAGUUAGUAGACUAAAUAAAUAAAUAUAUAAGUAUCAAUUCAUGCAAUUAGGAAAAACUAAAAUCUCAACUCUCAUGCAAUUUUCUAAAAAAAUGAAUAAGUAAAUGAAUAAAACUAAUAAAAUAAUAAUAAUAAUAAUAAUAAUAAUAAUAAAAUAAACUAAACUAAAAAAAUCAAACACAUGCUAGUCAUACGAGCCAUGCUAUCAUACUUGAAAGGUGACCUAAGCAAGACUAAACAAACCUAAGUGAGCCAAGGUGUGACAAAAUGGGCCUAAGUAAGUCUAGAUCGGCCUAAGUGAGCCUAAGUGGGCCUAAGGUGUCUAAAAUGGGCCCAAGUGAGCCUAGGUGGGCCUAAGUGAGCCUAAGUGGACCAAGUGCACCUAAAAGCUAUCCUAAAAAUGAAGAAAAAACCUUAAGUCUAAAUUAAGGUUGCCAAGAGCACAAUGAGGGGUCAGAUAAAUCCCUCAACUAAAGUCUUUAAUGUGGCUAAAAAAAUGUAAGUAGUAUGAGUAGCAAUGGGUCACCAAGGAACUACUAUGGAAAACUAGAAGUGAACUUAAAGACAUGUGCUAAAGGGACAAAAUGGAGGGUCUACAAAUAUGCCCUCGGUAGAGAUCAUGAGUGUAGAGAAUGUGAGUUGAAAUACAAAAAAUGAGUGGAACGAAGUGAACUGUACCAAAGAACUAAAAGGAAAAGACCAGAAAUUUUGUCCUAGCACAUGAAGUGGCAAGGUCAAAAAAUGGGGUUGCAAUGACAAGCGUGGGAUGACAAUGAAGGGAGAAACGUGUAUGAUGGGUAGCAUAAAGAUGGAAAUGGAUGAAAAAAAAUGACUCAAGGUCAUGGAUGAGAUGAAUGACUCUGGGUCAUAGAUGAGAUGAAUGACUCUAGGUCAUGGACAAGUUGAACGACUCCAGGUCAGGAAUAGGAUAAACAAAUCUAAGUCAAGAGCACGAGACCUUAAAUAUGAAGGAGGACUCUAAGUCGCAGAUGAAAGAAAGGACUUUACAUUAGGAACUCUAGGCUUUAGAUGCUAUGAAUGACUCUAGGUCAAAAGCUUAGGGCUCUAAAUGCUAAUAAUGACUCUGGGUCAUGAAUGAAAAUAACAACUCUAGGUCAUAAAUAAGAAGAAUGACUUUAGGUUGUGAGAUCGAGGCUCUAAAUGCUAAGAAUGACUCUAGGUCAUAAAUAAGAUUAACGACUUAGGGUCGUGAGCUCAGGGUUGUAAAUGCUAAGAAUGACUCUAGGUCAUGAAUGAGAAGAACAACUCUGGGUCGUGAGCUCAGGGCUCUAAAUGCUAAGAAUGACUCUGGGUCAUAAAUAAGAAGAACGACUCUGGGCCGUGAGCUUAGGGCUUUAAAUGCUAAGAAUGACUUUGGGUCAUAAAUAAGAAGAAUGACUCUGGGUUGUGAGCUCAGGGCUCUAAAUGCUAAGAAUGACUCUAGGUCAUGAAUAAAAAGAAUGACUCUGGGCCGUAAGCUCCGGGCUCUAAAUGCUAAGAAUGACUCUGGGUCAUAAAUGAAAGAAGAACGACUCUGGAUCGUGAGCUUAAGGCCCUAAAUGCUAAGAAUGACUCUGGGUCAUAAAUAAGAGGAACGACUUUGGGUCAUGAGCUCAAGGCUCUAAAUGGAUUGCCGAUCAGGAUGCUUUCCGGCUCAUGGUGUUGAGUAGAGGCCACUCGUAAGUGGCUAGAAUGAUGAAAACAAAACAUCUCAGGGAUGUGAAGGAUACAAACGACUUCGGAUUGUGAGCUCAGGGCUUGGAAUGCCAUGAAUGACUUUGGGUCAUAAUACAAUGAGUAACUCAGGGUUAUGAUGAAUAGCUUAGGGCUAUCUAAACAGCUCAGGGCUAUGAGCUCCAGGCUCAGUGACUGAUCUGCUAGAAGGAGAGUGCGAUACGCAAACUCCAAGUCAAACCACUCAUGGGUGACCAAAUGAUGAAGGCUUAGCUCAGGGCUGGAAAGACUCUGGGUCUUAAGAAAAUGAUAGCUCAGGGCUACCAGGCUCAAGGCUAUAAGACUUAGGGUCUAGAAGAAGGAUAACUCAAGGCUACCAGGCUCAAGGCUUAAGAAGAGAGUGAUAACUUAGGGCUAGGAGACUCAGGACUUAAAAGGAUCGAAUAAAAAAAACUAACUCAAAAGUGGAUAGGAAGUAAAUGAGCUCAAAGUCAUAUACUCAAAAUGCCAAGGGUCGGACUACUAAACUUAAGAAGGGAAAUAUGCCCCAGUAUCUAGGGUGCUUGCACUACUGAAACAACUAGUAAAUCAAUCAUUAGCUGAAAUCAAUGGGUUAGAAACCAAUGCAUCAUCACAAACCUCUGAAAAAUCUAAAUUGAAAGAACUUUCUAUGUCUAAAAAGUUGCUCUGUCGAUGAAUCUCAAAAGGUAAAUCUCAAAGCGUGUAUAUCAUGGCUCAUCUAAAAGAAAAUCUCAAAGGGCACAAAACACUGCUCAUUUGGAUAAUCCAAUCUGCAAAGUAACAAUGGCAAAAACAAUCUAUUUCAUGAGCAUCUAGCUAAAUGAUCCACCCAUGCUUUUCGAGUGAAACCUGAUGUGAUCCAUCUCUAUCUGAACAAAUCUAUGUAGGGAGGUCCUGAUAUAGUCAAUCGUCAGAAGCUCUAGACUAGUACUUAAUCUAAAAUUAAGUUGGUCAUUGUCUUAAUCUCAAGAAUACUCAAAGAAAAUGGGAAAUAUGCCCCAAUAUGAGAUCUGAUGUCAGAGUCAUAAGGUAAAUAAGCAACAACGAUCAUCUAUCUAUGUACCGCUACCUGAACAUAGUCUCGCCAAGGAGAGGGGAAUAUGCCCCAGUAUGGUUAUCUAAUGUCAAAAUCAUGAGGUAAAUAACUAACAAUGAUCAUCCAUUUAUGCACAAUCUCAUCAAGGAGAGUGGAAUAUGCCCCAAUAUGGAUGUCUAAUGUACAACAAAGAAUCCGUCAAAAUCAAUCAAACAUCUCUAUAACCAUAAAUAAGGAUAUCCAUACCGUCCAACAACAACUAGGAACCUCAGAGAAAGAGGAAAUAUGCCCCAACGUGGAUAUUUGAUGCAUGACAAAAUGAUGAAUCUGAUAUCAUCAAUGAAUUGUCUCCAAACUCAAAAAUCCAUCAAACAUCAAUAUGCUAAGCAAGAGAGAGAAACCAAAUGCUUCCAAAAGUAUCUCCCGUAAGAGAAAACAUAGUAACGACUAUACUUCAACCAAUCUACAAAAGCUCAUCCAAGUGAAAACUGUCAAAGAUAAUGUCUAAUCUCAUGGCCUUAGGGUGGUCUUAAGACACGAGACGUAACAUAGGCCAGGGUGAAAAGGCAAAGAAACGAAAGAAAACUAGGCUCAAAUAUCCAAUGAUCAAACCCAUACCCUCGUGUAUAGUGUACAAUGCAUAGGAGAAUCUCAUGAACAUGUGAACUUAAGAGGAGUCGAUGAGAUUAUUGAUGGUGAAAUGAGAAAGGAGGAGAAAUGGUCAAACCAUUAGCAAGUCAUGUAAAUGAUGUGAAGAAAGGUGUCAAAUCGGGAGGGUAUAUAGGUGUUGGAAUGGCACGAAAAAGGGAAUAAAUAGUGGGAAAGAAGUGAUGGGAAAUCAAAUGAAGGUAGUGAGAAAGUAAAAAAAAUGAAUGAUGAGCAACACAUAUUAGUACAACAGAGGUAAUCAUAUCACCCAUAAUGGAGUAGUAGAGAAGACACCGAUUCAAAGACCUUAGUGAAAGGUUACUGAACUCUCAUACCUAUAAAGUAUAUCUACUCUGAUCCAAGAAACAAAUGAUCUAACAAAACUCAAAGCUCUCAUGAAAAACUCUCAUCCCUCUAACUGUAUAAUGAAAGUGACUCAAGGAGCGAAAAGUCAUCAUGGAAAACUCUCACAAACCCUCAAUGAUAAACCCAAUAAACAAUGCUCAAAUAGCAACACAUGCUCAAUGGAGUAGGAUAUCAAGUACAAACAUAUCACUGCGCCGUUUUUUUUUUUUUUUUGUAUGUGCAUAUACCCUAGUCAUCAAUAAAUCAUACUCCAAUGAGAAACUACAAGGAAUGAAUAAACUCUCUCAAAUCACUGAUGAACACAUGAAACCCCAUCCCAUGAGACAACCUCUCAAGCUAAAAUCUCUAAAUCAAUGCCAAAUGAUGGAAUGAAGGGAGUGGUACAACUACCCUAUAUGUAUCAAUAUGUGAAGAAUCAUCAUUCCAAGUGAAGAAAAUAUGAAAUGUAGCGACCAAUGAUAAAAGCCAUGAUUGAGAUGAAAAUAUGAAAAUAAUGGAAUGUAGUGUACAAGGUGAUGAAGUGAUAAUAGCAAGGAUGAGGAAGAUAAGCCUAUAAGUCCAAAGCUCAUGAGACUUUCCUAGCAAAGCGUAACUAUACAUCAAAGGGCCCCAACCCGGGUAUAGAAAAGAAAAGGAUAUAGCAUACCAUAUGGGGCUCAAUGGGCUAGCAAUGGUCUAAUAUAUCAAUAAAGAUGAUAAGGUGUAAGGCUAACCAAAAUGAUGGUCACCCAUCAUGCGACCAUAAUCUCAAACGUAAUACUUCUUCAGCUGAUCCACAUUAGUAGGCUUUGAAAACUGGUUUCCAUCUAAGUCAGUCAACCAUGUAGCCCCUUUUAGAGUCAACUCUCGAAUAACCUAAGGCCCACUCCAACUAGGUCUGAACUUUCCUCUGGGGUCUUCAACCAAACCUCUGAGAAUCCUCAAAACCAAAUCCCUUUUUGGUAAUGGUCUGGGCUUAACCCAUUUCUUGAAGGCACGAGCCAUCUUUUUUUAAUAGGUCUGAACAUGAUAUGUUGCUCUCAAUUUCCUCUCUUCUAAAAGGUUAAGCUAAUCAAAUUGAGCCUAGGUCCACUCUAUCUCAGAAAUCUGUUGCUCAAGGUUUACUCUCAAUGAACCUAUCUCUGUCUUGACUAGCAAAACAACCUCCAUACCAUACACUAGAGAGUAAGGUGUAGCUCUUGUAUAGGUGCGAAAAGAGGUACGGUAUGCCCACAAUGCAAAAGGGAGUUUCUAUGACCAAUCUCGAGAAGUCUCAACCAUUUUCCUCAAAAUCCUCUUAAUGUUCUUAUUUGCCGCCUCUAUUGCCCCAUUAGUUUGUGGCUUGUAUGCAAAUGAUCUGUGAUGCUGGACAUUAUACCUCUAUAACAAAGUAUCUACCUCAGCUCGAAAGUGCACCCCUCUAUCUGAAAUCAACUCAUGAGGAACCCCGUAGAGGCAAAUAAUGUGUGACUUGAUGAAAUUGGCAACUCUAGUAGAUGUCAACCUUGCAUAUGAUGCAGCUUCCACCUAGUUGGUGAAAUAAUCUAUGGUGACUAGGAUGAACUCAUGACCACUAGAAGAUUUUGGUGAAAUCUUCCCAAUAAUAUCAAUACCCCAUACUGAAAAUGGCCAUGGCGAGGUCAAAACAUGUAACUUUGAUGGCGUUGUGUGAAUGAGAUCACCAUGAAUCUGACACUUUAGGAAUUUCUAAACAAACUGACAACAAUCUGUCUCCAUAGUCAAUCAGAAAUAACUUGUCCUCAUAAUCUUAUGGGCUAGCAUAUGUCCUUCCAUGUGUGGACCACAAACUCCUGUGUGAACCUCUCUCAUCAUACGGCUUGCGGAAUCUCGAUCUAAACACAAUAGAAGUAUGCCAUCAAUUGAUUGCCUAUAUAGGGUCUCUCCACAAAUCACAAAUCUAGUGGCUAACCACCUUAGUGCUCUCCAAUCCUUGGUUAUGGCUACCUCAAGGUAUGUGUCAGAUCUGAGAAACUGAUAAAUGUCAUGAUACCAAGGUAGAUCAUCUUGGACCUCUAUCUCUCCAAUCAAACAACAAUAGGCAGGUGCAGACCUCAACUCAAUUAGUAAUGGAUGUACAACCACAUCAAUCGAAAUGUCUACAGAAGAAGCUAGAGUAGCUAAGGCAUCAGCAAACCGGUUCUGCGCUCUAGGCAAAUGAACAUAUCUCAAGUCAUCAAACAUCCCAACCAGUAACUCUAAAUAAGUGUGGUAUAGCCUAAGUUUUACAUCCCUAGUCUUCCAAUCUCCUUGAAUUUGUCUAAUGCCAAGCUUUAAUGUAGUCUCUAAACCAAGGAUAUAAGCUUCAUACUCAACUAUAUUAUUCAUGAUAGGAUGUCGAUCAGAGAAUGCCAAACGAACGAACCUCAGAAUAUGAUCACCCUAAAGGGAUAUCAACAUAACACCUAUCCCAUACCCUGACAAAUUGGUUACACCAUCGAGGUUCAUGCACCAUCCUGAUAAGUUAGUCAUAGUAACAAACUCCUCAUUUGGAAAAUCAUCAUCAAUUGGUCUAUUCUUAGAUGUUGGUAGUGAGGCUAAGUGAUCGACGACAAUACUUCCCUUAAUAGACUUCUAAGAAACAUACUGAUUAUCAAACUUUAUCAAAAGUAUGAGCCAUCUCAUUAGUCUACCAGUCAAUGCAAGUCUGUCAAAUAAGUAUCUCAACGGAUCUAGGCAGGAUACCAAGUGCACUGAAUACUCUGCAAUGUAAUGCCUCAAUCUCUUGGUAGCCCAAACUAGUGCUAAGUAAAGACACUCAAUCAUAACAUAUCUCAUCUCAUAUUCCAGCAUCCUCUUACUCAUAUAGUAAAUUGUUUGCUCCUUCCUUGAAUCAUCAAGUUGAGCUAACAUACAUCCCAAGGCCAUGUCUAAAACUGACAAAUAUAGAAGAAGUGGACGUCCUAGCAUGGGAGGCACUAAAACAGAAGGAGAAAGCAAAUACUCCUUAAUAUUCUCAAAUGUAAGUUGGCAAUCAUCAUUCCAAACUGUUGGCUGGUUCUUCCUCAAAAGACGAAAAAUGGGCUCACAUAUGUCUAUCAAUCUGGCUAUGAAACGACUGAUGUACUAUAACCUGCCUAGAAAACCCCUAAUAUCUUUCUCUGUCUUAGGCACAGGCAUGUCAAGUAUGGUUUUGAUCUUAUUUGGGUUGACCUCUAUGCCUCACUCACUGACCAUAUUCCUCAAUAAUUUCCUAUAAGUCACUCCAAAGGUGCACUUCUUGGGAUUCAGCCUCAAUCUGAAUUUUUGGAUCCUCUCAAAGAAUCUCUCUAGAGCUAAUAGGUGAUCUGCUCUGCCUCGGGAUUUCACAAUCAUAUCAUCAACAUAAACUUCAACAACCCUAUGCAUCAUGUCAUGAAACAAGGUAGUAGUGGCCCUCUGAUAAGUGGCUCUUGCAUUCUUCAACCCAAAUGGCAUAAUCCUGUAACAGUAAGUGCCUCACUCAGUAAUAAAGGUUGUCUUCUCCAUAUCCUCUGGAGCCAUCAAAAUCUUAUUAUACCCUGAAAACCCAUCCAUGAAAAACAACAUCGAAUGGCCUACAGUGUUAUUGACCAACAAAUCAAUUUGUGGGAAAGGAAAAUCAUCUUUAAGGUUAGUUUUAUUAAAGUCUCUGAAGUCAACACAAACUCUAAUUUUGUCAUCCUUUUUGGGAAUAGGGACGAUGUUAGCCAAGCACUCUGGAUACUCAACGAUUGAUAUAAACCCAACAUUGAGUUGUUUCUUAAUCUCCUCUUUCACCUAUAGACUCCAACGUGGGUGCAACCGUCUCAAUUUUUGCUUAAUCGGUCUGGCAUAUGGCAAAAUAAGUAAAUGGAGCUAGACUAUAGAGGGAUUGAGACCAGACAUGUCCUCAUAAGACCAUGCAAAGACAUCCAAGUAUGACAUGAGUAAAUGAAUAAGUCUAUCACUUUCAUAUAUAGAUAGGGGCGAACCAAUCUUCAGCUCUCUAGGCUGGUCCUCUGUGCCAAAAUCAACAGUCUCAACAUCUCCUAUAACAGGUGAAACUCUCUCAUCUAUGGGAUCUGAGUCAUGAUCAAAAGAGUCUAUAUCUAAAUCGGGUUGUGCAAUCUCAUCAUCUAUAUCAAAUAUCUGUGGAGUGGGUGAGUGGGGUGCAGAUAUAGAGAUACUAUUACAAGAGACAAGCGAAUACUAAAAAAAUACUCAAAUCCAUAAAUGAAACAAUAGAAACAUCGUUAGAGUAGGAGACAUAUCCCGAUAAAACAUCAAAAGAAAGAGGUAGGUCUACAAGGUUGGACACUUCCUCAACUGGGCUAACAAUGCUCUCAAACAAACUAUUAUCAUCCUCUAAAAGCUCUAGAACAAGAAUAGUCUGAGUCUCUUCAACAACCUUAGUGGUGGACACCCCAAAUGAUUACUACUCAAAAAGUGUUAUUUCAUAGCUUGUAAUUAACUCUUUUAAACACUUUUGAGUAGUAGUUAUCACAUUUUAACCCAAUUAACAUAUUAAGGACCCUUGCAAUCAAUUCUAAUCAAAUUGUGUUAAGUUUUGGUGUUUUUGUUAGUAAUUUGAUCACCAAAACAAUCUGAGAUUGAGGAGAGUUCUUUGGAAUCCCUACAAAAGAUGUCCGAACAGGGCGUCCGGACACACCAUCGGAGGGCGACGGAACGUGGGUUGUGGCAGGCUGUCGGAAUGACGUAGCAAGGCUUAGUAAAUGAUCCGGACAACACAUCCGGAAUUCUGCUCCGCCGACAUUCCACCCGGAUGUCUCACAUCCGGAAUUCUGCUCCGCCGACAUUCCACCCGAAUGUCUCACAUCAGGAAAUCUUCUUCGCCGACAUUCCAUCUGGAUAUUUCACAUCCGGCGUCUGACGUCGGAUGGCCGGAUAUUUCACACCCGGCCUAAUGCCGGAUGGCCGGAUAUUUCGUACCUGGCUUGACGCCGGAUGGGAGAGGAGGGCGUUUCAACUUCCCUAGUCAGACAUAUCCGGAUCUUCUGAUAGCGCUUACCCGGAGAGUUUCGCAGCUAUUUUGCACAGUGCCACGGUGUUCUCCUGAAGCUUCCCGAUAUGUCCGACCGACAUUUUGAGAUAUUUUUCUACACAGUGCCGCGGCGUUCUCCUAACGCUUCCCGAUAUGUGCGACCGACAUUUUGAGAUAUUUUGAGAUAUUUUGCUUUAGAUAUUUGAUGUUUAAAUCCCCAAACUCUCCUUGUAACCCACCUAUCAUAGGAUUCCUUAGUUAUUAAGUUUGGAAAAAGAGGUGAAUAACCUCUUAUAUAUAGUUUGUAAUUUUCUUUAGAAAAUGGUAUAUAGAAAAUAUGUAGAUCUGGGAGCUUGUUCUCAGAAAGAUGUAAAUCUGGGAGCUUGUUCUCAGAGACGCAUCCUUUGUACAGUUUUGGGAAGGAAAUAAAAUACAGAGCACUUGCUCUGCUUUUCAUAUAUAUUUUUGUUUUCUCGUUCUUUUUAUUUCUAGCCAAUCAAACUCUGAGGAUUUUUCCUCAGAGGAUGAGAGGCUAGGCUCUUUGUCUCUUGGAGUGAAGAAAGCCGGGUAAAUUUCCACAUGCAUAAAUUGGAAGUUUUGUUGUUUUAGUUUUUAAUGAAGAGAAAGUGUGACCCGUUAAUGGUUUUUAUCUUUUUAGUUAACUUAAAACGCCUUUAAAUCACCUAGGCCAACACUUGGUAAGGCAAGUGAUCUCCAUCCAUUGAGAUGCACUAGUUUAUCUCUUGCGAGCCUUUGGGAGGUGGUUUGAAGGUAGGAUUUUCUAGAAUAGCCAACACUUGGUAAGCUUUUGGACUCCAAGGAGACAUCCAUUAGUUAUCUCUUGCGAGCUUUUGACGGAUAAUCCAAGGUUAAAGAUCACCUUGAAUGACAAGUGCUAGGUGAGAGGUAUGAGCCAUUGCAAGGUGCAUCAGUGAGAGGGAUUUAGUGUUUGAACCCAUUAAGGGGAAGCAUCUGUACAGCACCGGUUAGAGAAUUGACUAUAUGUUAAUUCUCUAAUGCGAGGAAAAGAAACAAGUGACCGGAACUUCCUUUUUGUACAAGGAACCUGAGCCUAGUGAUCUAAACUCCAAGAAACACUUUUCUUUGUAAGUAAAAUCAGUUACUAUUUUUGGUUAGUUUAAAACCAAACCUUUUUCCACCAAAAAUUAUGUUUUCUUUUAAAGCUAACCUUGAAAUGAAAAGGCACCAAUUCAUCUUUGAAUUAAUAUCAAUUGUGAAGUGAAAACCCAUCCCAGUGAAUGAUCCUAGAGCCACUAUGCUAUAGUAGCUUUGUCUUUGCUACCCUAGUUCAUGGUGUAAUAGGUUAUAAAUUUUGUUGAUUACUCCCUGAGGACCAAAAUCAAGGGACACCAGCUAGACACGAAUCAAAUGACACCACUGUCAGGAACCAUUGAGAGGACAUGAAUCAGAUGAGACACCAAUUAGGAACGAAUCACCAAACAUAUCAAAUGCUGAAAUAGGCUAAAGCUGAACAAUGCUGAUAAUCCGACUCACUGUCAUCAUGUCCAUCUCAUGUCGGUACUCAUCAUGGGGAACAACUCCAUCAAUCAUCUUAGUGAGAUUGACGACCACUUUGUCAUCAGUGACCUCCUCUGGGAAGCAUAGGGACAACAAACUAGCUCGAUCUAGACACGGAGGAGUAAUCGCCAUAGAAUCAGAAGUGCUAGGAGCCCUAUCACUCAACUAUAACCAGUGAAAUAGAUGCCGAAGCUUAAUCUCUCUAUCUGUAUGAACCACACUAUCACUUUCUUCUAGACGAAGUCGAAUCUUUGUUCCUCUGACAAAGUAGUCAGCCAGACUCAUCCUAUAGGGUUGAAUAUGAUAAUCAAAUGGUGUGUGAGACAAUAGAGCCCUUACUCUCUCUUUGCGUAAUUGCGCCAUGUAUUGAUAAUCGGCCUCAAUAGGAAUGAACUCAAGUCCAAAUGUCAUAUCAUGGUCAAUGGCAGCUAUAAACUCAUUAGGUCCCUACUGACGUAGUCUUAACCUCAUGUCAGGUAAAAAAAACAUACCCUUCAUCAUAUCAAGAACCACUGUAAUGCUAUGUUGAUCAAAUGACAUAACUACAAAAUCUCUACAAAAAUCUUCAAUCUCAAGCGUCUAUAUCUCAUCAAAAGUAAACUCGAUCAGAAAUAGGUCAUCCUCACUAUGAUUAAUUUGAAGUAUUGUCUCGGAAGAGGCAAACAUAUCUCUAGUAGACUGUACAGUGAUGACCUACCCAUCAUGAAUGAACUUCAUCUUCUGAUGAAGAGAAUAAAUGAUAGCUCCAGCUCUAUGAAUCCAAGGUCGGCUUAAUAGCAAGUUAAAAGAUGUAUGAAUCCUUAAAACCUACGACAAAGUAGAAAAUGUGGCUGAACCAAUCUAUAAAUCAAUUACCAAGGUACCCAUAACCUCCCUCUUAGUAUUAUCAUAUACUUUGACUAUCUAAGUAGAAUGACCAAGGGCUGUAGCAAUGGUUAAAGGGCAGACAUUCAGGGCUGAGCCAUUGUCCAAUAGGAUAGAUGGAACUUUGUGGCCUGAACAACCAACUGUGAUAUAUAGAGGGCAUAUGUGGUCUAAACCCUCAGGUGGCAAAUCAUCAUCUGAAAACACAAUGCAAGUGGCCCUACCAGCUGUCAUCAUAUGAAUCAACACCUUUAGAGUGGUGGUAGUCUCUACCCUGAUCUGACUCAAGGCUCAAAUCAAAACAUCUCUAUGAGUACUAGAUGAUGCUAAUAAACUCCAAAUAAAAAUAUGAGCCUGAGUGCUCUGUAAUUGUCUCAAAACCUCAUCAUCCUCUCUGUAAAUAAAAGUAUCCUGGUGUCUGAUAACCAAAGGUGUAGAAUGAGUCAUCUGGAACAACACCCCAUUUGGGAUCAAACUGAAUGGUGUGGGAACCUAGGGACCCAAUGAAACCCCACUAACCUCACUACUGUCAUGCAAAACAAUCGGCUCGGGUAAUCUAUCAUCCCAACUUAACCUAUGUAUACUGUCAUCCUCUAUAAGGUCUAUGUGAUGGAUAUCUCCUGGAGGUGGAGACAUUGCAUGUGUAGAAUGGGUGGGAAGAGGGUUAGUGGUUACACUUGGCUGUCCCAAGUUAACCAAACUCUGGUCUAUCAAAUCCUGAAUAGCAUGUCUGAGAGCACUAUAGUGGUCUCUGUCAUGCCCUUGUCCUUGAUGAUAAGAACAGUGUAAGUCUAAUCUAAAGUACUAGCUUGGGUGCCAAUGGAGUCAAUAACUCACCCUCCAUGAGCUUUUGAAAAGCUUGACUCAAAGGCAUACCCAAUUGAGCAAACUGACGUGAUGGUCUUUGCACAUAAGUAGUGGUCUACGGGGCUCGAAGCCGAGUGUAUGGGACAGGAGGUCUCUCUGUGACAUGUGCAGCAAAACAGGCUAUGAGACUGGAUAUAGAUAAAUAGGAGUCAUGGGUCUAAAAGGAGUAGGUGGCCUAUACUGCACAUAAGGUGAUGGUGGGUAAUAGAAUCCAGAAGUCUGCCCAACUGUCGAAUAGCCUCUAAGAGGUCUCAUCCCUGCUGAACUGAUAGCACCAACAUCUUCUAAUCUCUAUCCUCCUAAAGGCUUCUUCCUCUUAGAGUCAAUAGGGGAAGACUUGAGCCACAAACCUCUAGUUAUGCCCUCCUUUAUAGCAAAUAAAGCCUGUACCAAAAAUCCAAAAUCCGUAUGAGGAAAUCCCAUCAAGUGCCUAGCAAACUUAGGCUAUAAGUUCCUCAUGAUCAUACUAAUUUGCUCAUUCUCUGAAGGACGAUCAAUAAUCUAUGAAAUCUUCUCCCUCCAACGGGAAAUAAAUGAGGUGACUGACUCAUCUAGCCUCUAUCUCAAAGCCUCUAACUCUCUCCUCGAGACAUCAAUGAUAGUGUUAAAUGCAAACUGUCUCAAAAACUCUUGGGUCAAAUCAUCCCAAGUCCGACGGCAUGAUACAUCCAAUGAAGUAAACCAACGUUUGCCGCACCACUCAGGGACAUAGGAAAAAGCAUAACCAUCUGAGCCUCAUCUAGUUCAUGGGCUCUCAUAACCAUAUUGUAAAGCCUCAAAUGGAUGCGAGGAUAGCCUAUGCCCGUAUAUCUCUCAAUCUCAUGCAUCUUAAACUUGGCCGGUAAACUGGACACCGGUGCUCCAUCAAAAUCCUCCCAAGUAAUGGCUCCGUCUAAAGCCCUCAUCUGCCUCAACCUUUACUCAAGUCUAUCCAUAUGUGUAUGUGGGUCCUCUGAGGUCAGGAUAGGCAAUGUGAUAGGAGGCGGGGCAACCUCAGUCUGACUAUGCAGAGUGAAAGGUAUAGGCUAUGGUGCUGACUGACUGGGUGGAGAAGUUGGUGGUACUAUAGUAUCAAACUAGGUACUCUCCUGAACUAGUACCUGUUAGGCCUACUGCCCAUCUAUCCUCUGGCCAAGGCUAGCUAAAGCUUCCUAGAUAGAAGUCAUGGCCGCAGCAAACUAGUCAACGGUAACUAUCUAUGAGUCCAUAUCCCUCUGAUCUGAUAUCUGGUUUGACUGAAAUAAUACUCUAGUCAAUCUACCUCCAACUCUAAUCCACGAAGGUGAAUCCAGAUUGGUCAUGGUAAACCCUCUUACAAAUAUGGAAACACUGGAUAAGGUGUAGUAUGAAGGUGACUAUGUAGGAAUCAACUGAUAAGUGCGCAGAAAUAUAGCCUAAAUGUACUCAAUGUGAUACUCAUCUCUGAUCAAACCAAAAGGAGACUACGGAGGGGAUAAUUGAACACAAUUGUGACCAAGGUGGCUCUGAAGGUCCACAGAUGCACCCACGUCUAGGAAUGAAAUCUUAAUUUGGUCUAAGCUAGCCUACAAGGUUGAGGUGGCUCUAUAAGAUAAAAUGGGUGGGUUAAAGAAUCUUUAGUAGAAGUAAUCGUAGCCUCCAACGGUACAUGCAACCCUCUGCACACCUUCGAGGAAACGGGGUGCUUCCAUGCAAGGUGGUCAUCACCUCCACACAUGCACUUCCUCGUUUUCCUAACGGUGAAGGCUCUCCCAUCUCUUAACACUUAGGGAUAAUCUAAAGUACGCGGUGAAGGAUGUGGGUGCAUCCGAAAAACCUAAGAUAUAAAGUGAGAUAGUAAACAUAGACAAGCAAUCAUACAAUCAUGUAGGGGUAAGGGUUGUCAUGCAACAAGCAGUCAUACCAAGCAGAUAGGUAUCAUAUAAACAAAGUCUUAUCUAGCAUAUGUGAGAGUGAAUCAUGCUGAAGUGAGCAAGUAAUCAAGUGAUCAUUCAAGGCAAUUAAACAUGUUAAGAUAUCAUACCAAACAAGCAAGCAGAUCGGAUCAUCUUACCUAAAAAAAUAUGUACCCUCUAAUUAAACAAUUAAACGCCACAUUUUCCUCAACUAGUGCUCAAGCUUGAUCCUCAAGAUUCCUAGUGGAGUCGACAAUUUGUGGACUUGCAUUUUUCACGUGCGUCCCCACUUAAUGGGAAGACUCAUUUUUAUUGGUGAAAAAUUAGUUUUAGAAAAUUUAGAGUCGCCACUUAUUUUAUUUUAUUUUAAAAAGAAAAAUAAAACAAGAAAGAAAACCCUAAAGAAGUGACUCCAUAGUUUUUGGCAAAAACGUGUUUUUGAAAAACUCGAGUCUAGAUCCAAGGAUCAAGUUACCUAUUGGGAAGGUACCUCUAAAAGGUGGCACCCCUCUAAGCCCUACAAAGGUCUCUACUGACUAAGUAGAGGGAAAUGAGGCAAUUAAUUGGUUGAUUGUAGAUACCUAGGUAGGCUAAGUGAUUUCAAAAAUAGCAUGUCAAACAAGAAAACCAAUCACAAAUCAUAAAUAAGAUUUAGGGUGUGUACUUGGAUUGCUUCUUAAGCACUAUCAUAAGGCAUCAAUGGUUAAUUUGGAAAAUAAAACACACAACAUGUAUUUUACCCUAGUCUCUUAAUCAAACAUGGCAAGCUAAACAAACAAUCAAAAAGAUAUGAUGAACAGGUUGACAAUCACAUACGAAGCAAUACAUAAUGAUCAUGUAUAAAGCAAUACAUAAUUUAUGGAAUUAAGAUACGAAGGUAAGAAGCGUACCUGGAUAGCAUAGGUAACUUGUAACGUGCUUCCUCAAGACAUGAGGGGUUAGAUAAUAAAUAAUAAAAUAAAGAAAUCCUAGCAUGCUUGUCAUCUAAUUAGCAUAGCAAAAAUGAUCAAAGUAUACGAAAUCAUCAAUUAUCACAUACAUCUUGUAUAUAAUUCCUAAAAAAAUAGAUAGAUAUGAUUACAACAAGUAGCAAAGGUGGCAGCAAAGAUGAGUUUUGAAAAAGAUUUUAUGUAGGGGUUUCACCAAUUCCACAAUUGAUAUACACGAAUCUAGCCUAGAAUUAUCCCAUUUAUUUGGGACCAUAAGCUUGGAUUUGUGUCUUACUCAAAACCAUAGUUUUUAUUGAAAAUUGAGAAAGAUGCGAACCGAUCAAAACAUGGUUGCAUAUUAUUUAAGAAAAUGAGAUUUUGAUUCUAAGGACUCUAAAUGUAUUUUUUUUAAUAAUAGAUUUUAAAUGGGAUAUUUUCAAAAAAUUAUUUUAUUUUAAAAUAAAAUAGAUUAAUUUGAAAACAACAAAACAUAAGAAAUAGAAUACCAAGCAAAACAAAAGAAAAUGAAAUCACAAAGUGAAAUUUUUGACAACCGAGCAAACUAAAGUGGUGAGAAUGGAGGUCAAUCUUCACUAUUUUUCGAUAGCCUCUGAAAAGUAAGUGGGAUAGGAGACUGCCAAAGCAAUAAUUAAAACUUAGAUCAAAUAAACCAACAAGAUAUCCAUCAAGAAUUAAUGACUAAGAUUUAAGAAACACAUCAAUCAAGAACUAACAUAAGACCGAAUAAACACACAAACACAUUUAAACUAAAAAAAUAAAUUAAAACUAAACUAAAUUAGAAUUUAAAACAUCGACUUUAUCUAACAUAAUUAUUUAAACUAUUAGAUUAAAAUUACAUACAAAUCUAAACUAAAAUAAAUAAAUAAAUAAGUAAAUUAAAACUAAACUAAAUCGAAAUUAAAAACAAGAUCUUUACCUAAGAGAUUUAAUUAACAAUUGAAUUAAAAUCACAAACACAUUCAAACUAUAGAAUAAAUUAAAACUAAACUAAUUUGAAAUUAAACUUUAUCUAAUAAGAUUAAUUAAACUAAUAAAUUAAAAUCAUCAACUAUUCCAAACUAAAGAAUAAAUUAUAACUAAACUAAAUCCAAAUUAAAAACAAGAAAUUUAUCCAACAUGAUUUAUUAAACUAAAGAAUUAAACUAUUAAAAUUCUGACUUUUCAAACUAAAACAAAGAAUCAAAAACUAAAGUAAAGAAUUUUAACUUACCUUUUUCAAGAUUCUUUUGCGUAGUGCAACUAUGAGAUUUCUUAAUGGAUGGCACAGCUGCAAGACUCCUCAAUGGAUGGUGCGGAUAAAGCGACUCCAAGACUCCUUAAUGGAUAGAUGACAGCCAUGUGUUCAAUGUGUAGAGAUUCCUAUGAUAGCAUGCUGGUUGUUGUCCUUUGUAUGUGGUUGUGUCUCCUUUCGUUUUACAGUGCAUGCUCCCCUUGAAAAGGAUCUCGUUCGUACGUGAAUCUGGUUGUCUCCCUUUUCCCUGUUCUCUCUUUUAUUUAUAUGGCAGCCCACUCCUUAUAUGGGUGCGUGAGGGUCCCCAAAAUUCCCUUUAGUACCGCCAACAUGUGGAAUGAAGUAGCGGCCACCUUCCUUUAUUCCUUUUUGAAUGCAUGUGGAUAUGGGAAGUGCAUAUAUGCAUGGAUCACUUAGAGAUUUCCUCAAGGAUGCAACCUGUGUCUUGUUUGGUAAGUGAUCAAAUCCCCCGCAAGCACAUGGUCAGAGAACAAAUCAAUUGCUACAAGGUUGCCCGUCAAUAACUUCGGUCCCCAAAAUUCCCCUUAGUACCACCAGCAUGUGGAAUGAAGUAGCGGUCACCUCCUUUAUUCCUUUUUCUUUCCUUUUUGAAUGCAUGUGGAUAUGGGAAGUGCAUAUAUGCAUAGAUCACUUGGAGAUUUCCUCAAGGAUGCAACCUGUGUCUUGUUUGGUAAGUGAUCAAAUCCCCCGCAAGCACAUGGUCAGAGAACAAAUCAAUUGCUACAAGGUUGCCCGUCAAUAACUUCGGUCCCCAAAAUUCCCCUUAGUACCACCAGCAUGUGGAAUGAAGUAGCGGUCACCUUCCUUUAUUCCUUUUUCUUUCCUUUUUGAAUGCAUGUGGAUAUGGGAAGUGCAUAUAUGCAUAGAUCACUUGGAGAUUUCCUCAAGGAUGCAACCUGUGUCUUAUUUGGUAAGUGAUCAAAUCCCCCACAAGCACAUGGUUAGAGAACAAAUCAAUUGCUGCAAGGUUGCCCAUCAAUGACUUCCCUUCAAAGACAAUUGGAGGAGCAAUAGUAAAGACUAUACAAAAACAAAUGUGUAUAGUGUACACCAGGAAAAACCAACCAAAGUUCAUAGCACUAUUCAUCCUCAUUGCACGAUAAAGAGACCUAUACCAUAACACAUAUGAAAGGGGGCAUCCAACCAAAACAUAGAUGAUUACGAGCAAAAAUAUUUUGGUACCCCUGCCUUUAAUCCAAUAAUCAGUCACUGCAAUAAUAUUGAAUACAAGACAAAGAACUAUUCCUAACCAACUCGUAAAAGCCAAAUACUGCAACCUUUGAGCAUCAAUCGAUACUGACUCAUGCCCAAUUGGUGUCUCAGCUGAUUUGUGUUCAGCUGGUGCUCCUUGAUUGAGGAAGUGAUCAACAAAAUUUAUACCUAUAACACCAUACACUAGGGUAGCAAAUACAAAGCUACUAUAGUAUAGUGGCUCUAGGAUCGUUCACUGGGAAUGAUGAACAAGCAAUCAAGGAUACCAAUUCCAAGUGAAUUGGUCUUGUUUCAUUUCACGGUUAGCUUAAGAAGUAAAACACAAAGUUUGAUUGGUAAAGGUUUAGACUUAAACUAACUAACUUAACAGAAGUUUGGAAUAAUUUAGGAAGAAAAGCAUUCCUUGGAGAUUUAGGUUCACUGGGGUGGUUCCUCAUGCAAAAGACAUAGCUCCGGUCAGAUGGUUCAUUUCCUCGCAUUAGAGAUUCAACUUAUAGUCAAUCCUCUAACCGGUGAUGUACAGAGACUCCUUCAAUUAGAUUUCACUUUAAUUCUCUCACUGAUACAACUUGCAAUGGUUCAUGCCUCUCACGAGCACUUACCAUUCAAGGUGAUCUUUAACCUUGGAUUCUCCUUCACAAACUCGCAAGAGAUAACUAAUGGAUGUCUCCUAGGAGUCCAAAAGCCUACCCAGUGUUGGUAANNNNNNNNNNNNNNNNNNNNNNNNNNNNNNNNNNNNNNNNNNNNNNNNNNNNNNNNNNNNNNNNNNNNNNNNNNNNNNNNNNNNNNNNNNNNNNNNNNNNAACCAAAACAUAGAUGAUUACGAGCAAAAAUAUUUUGGUACCCCUGCCUUUAAUCCAAUAAUCAGUCACUGCAAUAAUAUUGAAUACAAGACAAAGAACUAUUCCUAACCAACUCGUAAAAGCCAAAUCCUGCAACCUUUGAGCAUCAAUCGGUACUUCAUUGACUAUAUCAUUAUGGCUAAUAGGAAAGUACGAAUGCUAGUUUUUAUCUUCAAUUGGCAUCCCCUUUUUUAUAGAGCAUCUUCCAUCCAUUUUAUGUCAUUUUCUUUCCAUUCAUUUUAUGUCAUUUUCUUUCCAUUUCAAAUCUACCUCCCAAGCUACAAGUUCUUUUUUUUUUGUUGGAACCAUUCGAUGUGUCCAAUGGAAUAUCUACAACAGCAUCAUAUUUCUCAUUAAAUCCCAGGUUUGCAGAUGCAGUUAAAGGAACGCUCGACCUUGAUCCAGGAGUAGUAGCAACCUUCAACAAUGGAUUGACCUCUUCCUCAUCGAUCAGGUUCGGAUCGUUUUGGCGAAUCAUGUCUAUUUUUAGAGAUGGAGAGAGAAAAAAAGUAGAUAGUGUGUUUGGUUAGAGUGAAAACACACACCACAACAAGCUGCUACGCCUACAACACACCGAUUGCCCAUUUUUGUCUUCAAACCGUAAUCUGAUGCAUUUUCCACUCGAAUUCCAAUCUGGUUAUUCUUUAUGUCACCUACGCUAGUGGAGUUCAUUCUGCUGCUAUCUAUGUUCGUGGAAGAGAAAUGGCGAUGCAUCAAUCGGAGGGCAAUAUUAUUGAUGAUGCGGCAAAUGAUGGUGUGGACCCGCAUUUUUCAUGUGUGCCCCCACUCGAUCGGUGAGACUCGCUUUUUAUUUGUGAAAAAUUAAUUUUUGGAAAAAAGUUGGAGUCACCACUUUUUUUAUUUUUAUUUUAAAGGGAAAAUAAAACCCUAAACAAUGACUCCAUAAUUUUUGGAAAAGCUUGUUUUUGAAAAACCCGAGUCUAAGUCCGGGGAUCAGGUUACCUAUUGGGAAGGUACCUUUAAAAGGUAGCACCCCUCUAAGCCCUAUAAAGGUCUCUAUUGAUUAAGUGGAGGGAAAUAUGGCAAUUAAUUGAUUAAUUAUAGAUACCUGGGUAGGCUAAGUGAUUUCGAAAAAAUUGCAUGCUAAACAAGAUCAAAUCACAAUAAAGGAGAGUUAAGGUGCGUACCCGAACCGCUUCUCAAGCGCUAUCACAAAAUAUCAAAGUUAGUAUUGAGAUAUAGCACACAACAUGUAUUUUAUCCAAGCAAGUCAAACAUACAUCUAAGCAUCCAAGAAUCACGUCAAAUAUGGAUAUGGUCAUCAAUGGCAUACAUGUCCAUAGAGUUCUAAAAAAAACAACAAAAAAAAAAAGUGAGGAGGAGCGUACCUGGAUAGUAAGUUAAAGCACCUUUAUAGGAAACAAGUUUGCUUAAUAACAAGUGCGAAAUAAUCUCACAUACCACAAAGAGGAAGCACAAUCAAUCAAAUAUCAAGCAAACAAUAUUGAUGAGAAUAUCAUGAAUGUCGGGCCCCCACCAAAGCCCUAAUUGAUUUUGCAUGAGUUGAUUCUAUGAAUUCCAUUGUUUGGAAUCAUGGAGUUUGUUCAUGCUUGUUGAAAAUCAAGAAAAUCACAAAAAUAGUUGAAAAUAAAACAAAAUAGUGAAAACGCGUGCCGGAAAGAAAAUGACACAAAAAGAUUUGUUGAAAUUUGGAUUUUAAGCCUAGAAACUCCAAAGGAAGCUUAAAGAAAACUAGAGUCAUUUUGACGUGAAAUGGUUUUGAAAUCUAGAUUUAAGAUGUAUAAGAUCACAAAAAAGAAUGAAAAGAAACGUUAGGAGGAGUAUGAUAUGUGGUAAGGUGGCAAUUCUGUGGGUGGAGCCUAGAGAUAUGAUUGAAACUACAAUGCUGGUAUUGAAUCCCAAAAUACAUUCUGCCAUCUUUUAGCACUUUUCGUGGCUCCCUGUUGUUCAAAGUUUUGGUGACUUCCAGUGAGGGGUGAAGAGUUCCAAUAAACUUGAGUUGCUCCUGAGAAAUACGGAUUCUAGCGUAAUCAGCUUUCCCUAUCCGUGUCUUCCUUGGAUCCAUGAGCUCAAAUUGAAGCAAUUAUUGAAUGGGGAUUUUGACGGGCAUUUGAUAUCAAAGACAUUGCUAGAAGAGAGCUUGAGGGUUUAAUCAGUUUCUUCAGCACAUUGUCAAUCGACCUUUCCACUGUUUCACUCUCCUUGUUUGUGUUCUCACAUGCCUUAGCUGCUGGAAGUUGAGACAUCAAUUCAAAGGUUUCUUCAAGCUUCAUGCUGUCAACCUCUUCAGCCUGUGGACUAGUUUCAAUUAUGGUGUUUGUUUAUAGUGUCUUAUCUUCUGAACUAGUCUUAAUGAUCUUUAUAUAUUUGUAACACCUAGUACUAAUGAAUUAAAUAGGCAAUAAUGAUUAUUUUAGUACUUAACUUUAAGCUUGCUUAAUUAGAUGUUAAAACCAGUUUAGUGCUAAUCAUGUUUAAUUAUGAAUUAAACUUUGAUUAAGGUUAAGUGGGAUUAGUUAAUGAUCUAAGCAUGCUUAUUAGGUUCUUAGGGACUGAUUAGGGUUAUGAAAACCUAAAGGACUAAUGGGCAAUUAUGGGUUUUAUUUUUGAUAACUUGAAGGACUAAAGUGCAAAAUUAGGAAAUUGGAGUUACUGGAAUGCCACCUCCUACUUGGGUGGAUUGGUGGGGGCCAUGUGGGCUGCCACCUCGUGCUUAGCUGCAUGGAGACCCCUUUAUAAGGGGGCUGUAGCUCGUUUUGCACCAUUUCACUUGCAGCAACUUGGGUUAGAGAGAGAAUCUAGAGAGAGAAAGUGUAGAUUUGAGGUAAGCAAGUUGUUUAAUUUUGUAAUUUUCGUUUAUUUUGGUUCAUAAUGGUAUGUUGAAAAGAAUUAACGGUAAAAAUUGUGUAAAAGUUGAGUAUAAUUAGCUAUAAACCCGUUUUAGCUAAAAAUCACAAUUCAUUAAAGAUUAAAGUAUUUUAACUUUAGUAUUUUAUUAAUGGUAAGAUCAGCAUAAAUCUUUGUUUAAUUUGGUUUGAUUGAAAAAUAGAUUAGUAAACAUGUGAUGAAUUGGGUUAUUUGGACAUUUGGGAUUUGUUAAUAGGUUAGGCUUUAAGAAAAUCAAAAGAAUUAGUGUUUGGUAAUUAAUUAGGGAAAUUAAUAUGCAUUGUAAAUAUUGUUUAAUUCAAUUCAAAUUUGAUCUGAAAACAUGUAGGAUAUAGAUUAGAGAAUGUGAGAAUUAAAAAUUUGCAACAAUAAACUAUAUAAAUUUUCAUGGUUAGGAAACCUAAAUUAUGUUGUUUCAUUUUAGUUCCUCGUAAUAGGCAAAGAUCGCCUACUUAGAAGAAACACAAAAAGGAAGUCAGUGUAAGGUAGGGAAUUUUAUGUUAUUCUAUGGUGUAUCUGAUUUCUUUCCUUAAAUUAUUUGUUAGAAUUUUAUGUUAUUUCUAUGAUUUCAUAAAAUCUUUUAAAGUGUCAUUGCAUCUCGGUUUAUUGCAUUGAAAUGUUACCAUGAUGUUGGAAUGUAUAUUGGUAUGAAGAUUCGUGGUUUUGUGUUGUCGAAAUGGUUUAUGGUGUGAUUGCAUUGCAAGAAGGAUAUGGAAUUAUCACAGAUCAUAUUCAAAGAAUUUAUUGGUGGCGAAGUGCUUAUGUGAUGCUAUAGGCCUUAUCAUUUGAUAUAUUGUUUAUGUGGGACCGUGGGUCCUUGGGUGAAAGUCCCUAAAGCCCUCGAGGAAGACACUCCGAUGUGGGUGUAUGGGGUUGGUUCUGCCCCUGGGUUUUAGUCCCUAAAGACACGAGGUUGGUCCUGCCCUUGGGUAUGAGUCCCAAAAGACACGGGGUAUGACUUGCCCUUGGGUGAUGUCCCAGAAUAGUCAUUAUUAUAUUGAUCGAGUGUCUUGUGGAGCAUUGAUAUCUGCUGUGUAGAUUGUUGGGAGUCAGCAAUUUAUCAGUUGUGAAAGGAUGGAUGGGGAAAAGCAAUGAUGAAACCAACAAACACAUGCAUACAUGUUUGACAUGAUUACACAUUUGUUAAUGGUUAUGAAAUGUUUAUCAUGCAUGUUAUUAAACGUUUAAUUCAAGGUUUUUAAGGGUAUACUUAGGAUGGUUAUAAACUUUCCUACUGAGUUGUGAACUCACCCUAUCCCUUCCACCUCUAGAUGCAGGUCAAAAGACCUAUGUAGGAAAGAAUGCUUGAGCAAUGCUUUACUGUGAUUGGAUGUUGUUUGCUCAUAUUGAAAGUCUUUUGAGGCCAUGCCUUUUGUAUCAAGACUAAACCUUUUGUUGGAAUGAUGUAAUGUAUAUAUUUGUCCGAUACACUUGUAGUAUGGGCUACCCAUAGUAAACAAUGGGGUUUGGUAUAUGUAAAUUAAUGUUGUACAAGUUUCUUUUGUGAAAUAAAACAUAUUUUGUUAACUUAAUAGUCACAAUGUUUAAUACAGGAUGUAUUCUUUAUAACAGGUUUUCCAUAUCCUCUUUUUGAACAAAUUCAAGUAGGAACUCAACAUUUAAAUUUUUGAGAGCACUUAUACUGUAUUUGAGUAUCAAUUGUUUAGUUGAAGAAUAAAUAAUAAUAAAUAAAUAAAAAAUUGGGGUGUGACAAUAUUUGUCAUUCAGUUGAGCUUCCUGCAAGCUUGACUCUUCUGUUCCCCCCUCUUCAGAUGCAGCAUCAAUAUUGUUAGAGCAAGUGUCGGCAUCUUCUAUGACGUCCUUAUUAAUUUCUUCUGAUAUUUUAGAUACAGAGUUGGGGACAUCCACUUUCUUUUCACCACUCUAUUUCUGUAGCAUCUCUACUUCCAUUGCUUUUGUGAUGGGAAAUCUUUUAAAGUCUUUGCUGAAAUCUUCCGCAACCUAUAGGUUCACAUUUUUAGUCUACACUUCAGAAUUUGUCGUUCUAGGAUUUUCAUCGAGUAUUAUCUCAGAAUGCUGUUCCUUAUUAACCGAUUCAACUUCAAUGGAUACGACUGGAAAUUCCUUGAUGUCUCUCUCUUUCUCUAUGAUCAGUUCUUUGUUGUUUUCAUAUUCUUCUGCAGGUUUCUCAGCUCCCUCAGGCACCUCUACUGGCAGCUCCAUGAUUCUGUCAGUUUCUGUUAGAGAAUCUGAGCAUUUUAUUGCGGACGUGUUUCUUUGAUGCUCUAACUGUGAUACUUCAUCUAGAGUAAUGCAUUCUUCUUUUGGUGGUUCAUUCGGAUUAAUUUGCUAUAUGUUCUCAUUGAGCUCAAGCACCAAUCCAGAAUUUUCAAACUCCCUAAACUCUUCCUAUUGCAAGCAUAUUUCUUCUGCUGCCUUUGUGGCAAAAGAAACUUCUAAAUUCUCGUUUUGUGGGGUUUCAUCUUCCUUUGCCUUUCCGUCUUCUGAGUACCCAAUUGUUGGUGUAAUUUCAUGAUCCUAUUCUUUAGAAAGCAAUGUUUUGGAUGUUUCCUAAUGAUUAUGCAUUGAUCUCAUUAUUCACAAGGAACCGCAAUGCUAAAGCUUCCUCCACUUCAUUUCAUUCCCACUUCAUGGAACUUUGUUGAUCCAACAAUAUGCUGCAUCCACAUAAUAACAGCACACUUGGUUCGGUUUGGAGACAAGCAAGUCCUCUAGUGCAGCCCAGCGAUGCAUCAAUAGAUAUUUGUCAACACUAACUACCAUAUUCACAGCAUUUUGUCUUUGGUCUUGGAGAAGAGAAAAUAAAUCUACACGGGUACGAUAAUUUAGUCUUCGACUNNNNNNNNNNNNNNNNNNNNNNNNNNNNNNNNNNNNNNNNNNNNNNNNNNNNNNNNNNNNNNNNNNNNNNNNNNNNNNNNNNNNNNNNNNNNNNNNNNNNAGAAAAUAAAUCUACACGGGUACGAUAAUUUAGUCUUCGACUUAUUUCAAUAUUAAAAUUGCUGGGACAGAAUAUUAUUCAUCUGCGAGCAACUAAAAUUGUAGAACUGUGCAGAUAUCAGUUCCUGUAUCUUCCUCUGAAGAAUUUGGAGAUGCCUUUUCCUUAGGUCCAAUUCACAAACCUAAGCAUGAAAACAAAUCAUCCUCUCCGAACUAAACAAGAAUGGUGACAAGAAACAAUACAAUAUCAUACGGUUUAUGUUCUUAAGUAUUGAUUGUAUAUAAGCAUCAAGUUGUUUGUUCCCUCUGGUGAUAGAUAAAAGACCUUUUCCAGGAGUUACUCCUUCAAUCUGUCCAUCUUUAUUUAGAAGCUGCAGCAUAACCAAGAAUUCUGGAAUUUUUAGUAUGAUGAUAGGCUAAGGGAAGCAUCCAUAUAUACACGAUCUGCAAUCAUUAUGCACAAUGUAUCUAAGUUAGGUGACUAGCGGCUCUUGUCUAACUUUUCUUCAUCUUCCUCGUCAUCACGCGAGAGAUGCCUUUCAAGGAGGUUCAUCAGCCUACUAAGGCACAAUCCCUGAAAACUAAAAUGGGUUUUGCACCAACAUACAAGCUAGCAGUUUCCAGAAUGGUCUCCAUGACCUGUGCUGUUUUCAAUUAGGUUUUUCAUAGUAUCACCAUAAAACUGAUCAAGUUAAGCAGCCAGAACAAGUGCAGAUCCCCUAACGCGUUAAUGAGCUUUCCCCAUUCCCUUUAAAUUUUCGUCCUCAAGUGUAUCCAUUAAUACCAUUGAAAUUCAAGAACUUCCUUAUUUACCAUGAGUGGAAAACAGUCUGCAUAGAACUUUCUGAAUCCACCAAUAGAUGAAAUUGAACUUUUGACAUCUUCUCAGUUGGUUGAAGGCCACAUGGACGAACAUACAUUUCCCCAUAAUCUCUCAUCUUGAGAUUGAACAGAAUACUGCACAAGCAUGGGUUGCACUAGUCAAAGCUGGGUCGCCAUCGAAAUGCUUCAAUAUAUCACAGAAGAUAUCACUGCUCAAGGAAGCCAUGUUGUCAACCUGUGAAACUGACUUUUCCAGUCCUCUAAUCACCAUAGAUUAAACUGAAAACAGUUGCAAGCUUCCAUCUUCAUACUCAACUGUACCAUCAAUGAGCAUUUUAGGCAUUGCAAGCAUUCUUCCAUGAAGAUAGUAGCUGCUUCAGUGGGUUUUCUAGAGCAUUUUGAUACCCAUCCUCAAGUUAGAGAUAGACAAGCCAGCACCUAAGCGUAUCAAUCAUCCUUGAAAAUCCAAACUUCAAGAUGGUAGGCAGUAUUAGAUAUCCUAGUAGCCGGGGAGGAGCAUACUAGGCUCCUUCAAAUUGAUGAGUGGUGGGACCAGGAAUUGGAACUGGUUACUGGCCCAGAACAGAAGGUUGGAGGAUCAACACGGAGCUCAUGAGGUAACCAGAUUAUUUUCCAAGUUGUGGUAUAACCUGCUCCUUCACCUUCAAGUUUUUAAGCUGAGCCACCUAAUGGUAAAGCAAUUCCCCACAAACUUUUCCUAGAAAGAUAUGCGCAAGGGUUGAUGUACUCUUCCAAAUAUGCCUUCCCCUGCUCGUAGAGGAUCAUUGUAGAGAUAUCUAGCAGAGUCACGUAAAAACUACCAUUACCAAUGCAAGCAAUCAUCACCCUCUUGUUUGGCACGACCUAUGCAUACCCAAGAGUGACACCUACUAACCAACCAAUUGAUCCGUAUUGCAAUUGGAACUCAUAUCUGCAUCCCCUAGGCAAUUUCAGUUUCUGACAGUUAAACCAAGAAUCUCUAGUCUCAGCAAUGACAGCAGUCUCACUUGACAACAUUUUCUGUAUAUCCUGGAACAGAACAUAAACCCUCAAAGGCUCCUUGGGAUCAGACUUAGGAGACUGUCCCUCAGGAACAUAGACUCUAUGGUAGUUCUCAUAAGCAGUGAUAUUGCAUUUGAGUCUCUUGGAGAGUGACUUGAGGAAAUUGAUUCUGAUGACUUCUCUAAACAAUGGGUAUCUUGUUUGAACCCUUAAAUUCAUUACUUGACAGGUUCAGAUGUGUCCCCAUGGAAGAUGAAACUGAAUUUGGAGGUAACAUACUCAUCGAUGAUGAGAAACCAAUUCUAGAAGCCUGCUUCUCCAAAGAUUCAUCUUUUAAAAUUCCUGGAAUGGCAUUUCACUUUUCAACCUGUACAGCAAGGAAAGAAGACAAACUCUGUGGGGUAGACAGUUGGGAUUUUUGCUGCUGCUUAUUAGUUUGAUCAGCUGGUUCCUAUUUUACAUAAGCCAUUGACAAGAUCUGCUCUUUAUUUGUUGAUGAUUGCCAAGGAACAGAACUCUGUUGCAAUGUCGAACUAUUUGAUGGAUGAGGAAAAGAUCCACCACAUGCACUCUCUUGGGAUCAGUAACAGAACUCUGCCUCUCAAAUUUGGGGCACACUCAUUGGAUUCAUGGCUUGAUUCGUUCCUCCUUUCUGAGUUAAACCAAUAUUUUGGUGAAGGGACGCUCGUCUCAUUUGGGAAUCAUGAGGUUGUUGUUUUGUAGAUGUUGUUGAAGUAUUAACAUUAGUGCCUGUAUAUGAGUGAUAAUUACCACCAACACUCCCAUAUAUAGUAAAAGGUGUCUGUGAAAUGUGCAGAUGCUGCUUCUGUUGCUGAGGCUGCUGCUACUGCUGCUAUUGCUGCUGUUGUUGCUGUUGGUGCUACUGCUUUCAUGCAUGAGCACUAGAGGAAUAUUCAUCAGUCAGACAAAGAGACAGACAGUGAAUACCUUUCAGAAUGACACUUGCUUUCUNNNNNNNNNNNNNNNNNNNNNNNNNNNNNNNNNNNNNNNNNNNNNNNNNNNNNNNNNNNNNNNNNNNNNNNNNNNNNNNNNNNNNNNUCUAAUAUCCUCUUCUUCGAUCAUAAGUAAAACCAUCCAGCAAAUGUUUCAGUACAUGUACUGCAUCCUCAUACCUUAGCACAACCAUUCGAUGAUUUUAGACCAUAAAUUACACAGCUAAUUGCGCUCACAUUUGAGAAAGGAAAUUCCCAACAAGAUCGCUUUGGAGUAUACCCUUGAUGCUGAAAGGCAUGAAAGGAAUGUAGCUUUUGAUUCAGAAAUUGAAGCUUGAGUUGACUUUGAAUAGGAAAUGAAUAGGCGGGAAUUGGAUAUACUAAUGCAUCUUAACAUCGAUCCAUUGUUAUUGUCAUCAAGAACUUCAUCUAUUAUUUAUGCAACUUCAACAACCUCUUCAUAAACAGGUAGAUCAUUCAAGCCUGAGAAGAUAUGUUCUGAAUAUAUGCAGUUAUAAGUUGGAUACUUGACUAUUCACAAUUCAACUAGUAGAAAUGUUGACAUUCCUGCUCUCCAUUAAGGAAGAAAAGCCUCAGAGCACGCUGGACAUGAGACUCUGUUUUAGAAGAGAUCUGAACGUAGGUUCCUGUUUUGUUCAGAAUUGCUCUUUAUGGGCAUGAUCCAAUCUUCAUAAGAAGGAAGAAAUGAAGCCAUAAGACAUUUGCUUUUUGGUACCAGUCUCUACACUAGGGUAAGGCACUGCUGUAAAGUGCUUUUUAAUAGGACAGCUGCGUGCACUUGCUCUUUGAAAGCAUGAAACAGAACAUGAAUUAACAGAGAGUUGAUAAUAACAUAGAUGGUUCGAAAUAAGCUCUUAUCGCCUGCUUGCCCAACUCCGGAACCUUCACAUUUUUUUCUUGACAAUGACUUCUGAUUCACUUCAAAACUAUCACAUACUUUUGAGCGUUUGAAGCAUGAAUCGUGAUGUUCAAAACCUUUAUCAUGACAAAGAUCACCAUCCCCAUUGUUACCUUUUUCGCUGCAUACCUCUUUCAAUAAUUAGUGUCGUCAUCCUUCUAAACAAAACUAGAAAUGAUGGUAGUCCAGGAAACUACAUUGCAGAUUGGCAUUCACAAAAAUUCCUUCACAGCUUGAUCCGUAUCCCUGCAUUCGGCAUACCAAUUAAUGAUGGCAGUCCCCACAAAAAACAUCUUCUCCUGCACCACAUUUAAUUACUCAUCCUUGUAUCUCUCUUCCAAACUCAAGUUCUUCAAGUUCGGCACAAGUUGUUAAAGUGCUUGAAAACGUAAAACUAUUUAGCGUAAAAAAAAUCUUCAACACAUUUAGCAGAAAAGAUCUAAAGCAACCCAAUUUUCCUUAUUUUUAACAGCCUCAGAAACGAUAGCAUUCCAGCAAACCACGUUCUCACAUAAAACGUCUUGAAAGACCCAUAAAACAUCUUCAAAGCUACAAAGCUUCGUAAACAAAUCAAUCAUUUCAGCCUGAACAUACCCAUUUGAGAAGAACCCAUUUUUCAGUGCAAGUGAACAUACCAGUUCACCAUACAAAGGAGACUCUAAGGCAAUACAAGCCGAAAGAACACUCGCAUAAGUGAACUGGUUGGGGUCAAAUCCUAAAAAAACGCAUCUUACAAAAAUUCCUCCACGAAUCCUCAAAUGAAAAGUUCUGGUUGCAACCUGAAAUCAAAAUAUCCCAAGAAAUAACAUUUGGGUGAGUUUUAUCAAACAAUUUGGGCGCAUGAACCAUGGAAUUGGAUUUACAGUACCAAUCCAUUAAAGAAUCGACCAUGAAGGUGUUAGAUUGUAGAAUAACAAUUUUGAGCAAAUGGGCAUACAAGAUCUUUGUAUUUCUGAGGAUGCAUCGUUCUGAUUUUGUAUAAUUGCUGAAAAUGUGAAAAUGGUCAAAUGGUGGAAGAACUUCUGGAGGCUAUUAUGAUGAGCGAGGGGCUUCAGCAUCUGCAACAGCAUUAUCAGGGAAGCCAAGUCCUGUAGGUGGGCCAUCUUGGAUAAGAAGAGAGACAUAGCUCCAUUAGCCAUCACAAGAAGAGGAAUUGAUGAUACAUGUCAAGGGUAAGCAGCCACCCUUUAAUGAAUGCUAUGACAAAGCCUCCAAUGAACGUCGAUACCAGCUGUAUAAAUUUCCCUACCUUCUCACCCAUGGCAUCUUGUAUUAGAAUAGUGUCUCCAAAUAUCCUUCCGAUAGCCUCUCCUGAGUUUGCUUCCUUAUCAAAGGAAGCAAUAUCUUGUCUCAAUAUAAUUUUCAAGUACAGACUUCUAAUUCUUGCAGCCUGCCUCUCCUCUGUGACCAUCCAGCAAGCCGCUUGAAAGAAUGCUGCUCUGCCAGCCUCCACAGCCAAGUAAACAAAUUUCAGAGAAACCUUGGAUANNNNNNNNNNNNNNNNNNNNNNNNNNNNNNNNNNNNNNNNNNNNNNNNNNNNNNNNNNNNNNNNNNNNNNNNNNNNNNNNNNNNNNNNNNNNNNNNNNNNGGUUCCCAAAAAGUAUUACCANAGAGGCAUACAUAUUCCCAUUCCCAACAGCACUUAUUGUGCCGGUAAUCAUCAACAACAUAUCAGCAGAAUCUGCACAAGAGAACAGUUUGUGAAAUGGAACUGUGCUGGGCUUCCCCUCUUCCUUGAUCUUCUCCAAAUCUUGUUGUUUCCCAUUCUGGCCAGAGCUUUUCACAGUCUCUGUUUCAAAUGCUCCCCUGCUUGAUAUUGUGGCUUCAUGCAUAUAUGUCUUUUUUUCAUUCAAGUCAUUCUCCUCAACCAUAAUGCUACUCCUAGAUACUUACAAGUUCUAAGAUAGCAACUACUUUAUCUGGAAGGGAUCAGACUUCAAACUUCAGUUUUUCAUGCGUCAAACACAAUUCUAACAGUAAGUUGAUAUAGCGAAUCUGGAUAUCCUAGUAAAUGGGUUGAAUUUUCUCUAAGAAAUUGAAGCCAUCCAACUGCUCUGUUCUUUAUAGUGGGAACUAAUGAGAUACAGUAAGCCAUCUUUGCCUCUGCUUUACAAGUCAAACUGCUUUCUCCGACACUAUUAUUCUUACGGUCAGAAGCACUUGGGGAAUUGGAAGGGAUAAAGGUGGUGUUGGGCGAUGAUAAUGUGAUCAUUCGAAAGCAAGAGAAUAUAUUAACUUGGCUUUAACCCAUUUAACUAUGCUUGCAAAUAACCUCUGGAGCUGCGAUUCUGUACGGGCCAUUGAAUUCUAUAGGGUUAGAAAAGCCAAAUCUGAUGCCAAUAAGACGCUACCUCCAGUCUCCACAAUCCAUUACAAUACUUCGGAAUCAAUUAUCCAAUGUUUGAGUAGGAUCACCGCACGGUUCAUCCCUCAUAUCGACACUUAUAUCACUCCUCAACGUAUACCCAAAUACAAGAGCAAGGGUUCGAACACCAUGCAGGGAAAAGAAUAUAGAUAAAAUAAAAAAUUGAAGUAAAACUUGGAGAAGGAAAAGGCAGAAGGUGUUGAUCAAUAAACAUAGAUAGCCCCCACUUCAGAUAUUAAUCCAUGGGCUAAAAACAAAGGGAAAAAUGCAGAAUAUGAUUUAAAUGGAAACCCAGCAAGAUCACAUUCAGACAUGAAGUUAUCUACUUCCGAAGUCAUCAAUGACAUAUAAAAUAAUCAAAUUCAAAUAUGGCAAAGAAGUAGAUGACCAAUCUCAGCAAAACAACUUGUGGCCCUUAAUGUCCGCACCAAUCAACAAUAUAUUAAAUAUUUAGAAACGAACACAUGGAGAAAUCGAACAUGAGUAAGAAUUCCAAGAAUAACCAGAAACGUACCUGGAAGAACCUUGGCUGCAAUCACCUCUCUCCCGCUCUUGUGUGCUUUUCUUUCCAAGACAAAUCAAGAAUCUCCCCUCUUUUUUUUCAACAUCCUCUCUCACAUAUAUAUAUCACCUCCCAAAACCUAAAAUCUGUUCCCGAAAAGGAAAAUUCUCCUAUUUCCUUUUUCAUUUUCUUCUUUUCCUUUUUUUUCAAUCUCCUUAUUCGAAAGCAAUCUUCCCAAUUUCAAAUUCCCCUCCAAAAACCUUCCAAGGAGAGUCCCACUUUCCUUAAACUCCAAUGGUAAGUUUUCUUGCAAAAGCAUGAAAUUUUUUAGAGUAAAUAAUUGAAUGAAUAACUAAAUAAAUAAACAAAUUAGAAAAUAGUAAAACAAUAAUAAAUACAUAAGUUAAGGAAAAUAACAAAUAAAAAAAACGAGUGAUUGAUAAUCACAAAACUAAAACUAAAAAUAAAAAUAAACAAAUAAAAAAAAACUGAGCCCUUCGAGCCAUGCCAACACGCAAGUCAUACAAGUCACGCUAAAAAUGUCUUAAUAGGCCCAGUGUGCCUAAAUGGGCCUAAGAUGAGACUAAAUGGGCCUAGGGUGGUACCUAAUGGGCCAAGUGUAUCUAAAAGCUAUCCUAAAAAAGCAAGAAAAGCCUAAGUCUUAAUUAGGGCUGUCAAGGGUCAUAAUAAGGGGUCAGAUAGUCUCUCAACCAAAGUCUCCGAUGUGACUCAAAAAAGGUAAGUAGUGCGAGUAGUAAUGGGCCACCAAGAAGCUACUGUGGAGCACCAGAUAUUAAUUUAAAGACAUGUGCUAAAGGGAUAAAAUUGAGAGUCUACAGAUGGGAGAACUCCAAUUGGUGCUAUCUUGGUCCAGAUAUCAAGAUGAUGCACCUGAAGAUGAAUGUUCAAAUGAUGUUCCUCAAAUGAUGCCUUGUUGAUGGAGAUCUGUCACUAUCCAGAUACAAAAACUGUUGAUCAACUCUUCUAGAACCUAGUAGAUGAUGAUCCAAAAAAUAAUAGAGAGCUCGUUCUCCUAACCUCUUUAGAAUGCUAAAAAAUAUCCCAUUAAACCUAAUGCAUGAUGAUCAAAUCUAUGAAUCUGUUGUGGAUAUGUUCUUGAUGUGUUUUUUCCGAAAAUUCAAGAUGAUUCAAAAAAUAAAUCAAUAAUGAUCAAAAAAGAGAUAUAAUGGUGAGAAUUGAAAUUGGAUAUUUGAUGAUAGAAUCGAACAUGAUCAAAUCUCCCCAGUCAGUGUGUCAUGAUUACGAUGAAUUGCAGAGAAUGAUAAUGGCGGUGAUGAUCAGUAUCAAAAGUUGGUCUAUGUGUGGCUUCAAUGAGUUGUUUUUUUAUGGAAAUGUGGUGCAUUGGUGUAGAUAUGCAGAAGACUACUAUAAAUAAGGCUUGUCUCCUCCAACUGAUGGCGCCCCUAUGGAGGUGAUGCUCACUGCUGGCAGAGACACACCUGUUUAGAAAAUACCUAGCUUCCGAAAAGAAAAAAAAAAACUUCUGAUAUGUGGUGAUGAAUCUGAUGACGAUGAGAAAUUCCUGGUGAUGAAAGAAGAUGAAUUUGAAGAAUCCUACUAAGAACUCUUGAGAAUUCCAAAAUGGUUGUGAUUUGAUCUUAUCAUGCUUGAUGUACUUUCUGUAAUGGAAUCUUGAAAUCUCUAAAUCCCUAGGAGAAAAGUUUAGUUGUUACUCCUCCCUUGCUUUUUUUUCGCAAGAUGUCAUUCCAACUGUUACUCUGUGGUGUGAUAUGCAUGUUAUCCCUUGCUUCUUUUCGUGUGACGUCAUCAUGUGAAAGUGUGUUGAUUCUCCCUACUAAUGGUGAUGCUCUCCAAAGAGUCAAUGCAUGGGGAUAAUUCAUCCCACAAUCCUCUUGUACUCCUAAAAUAAUGCUCCUCACGAUGUCCAGGAUGAAAAACACAUCAUCUCCUCUUGUACUUUCCUCCUGAAUCUCUUAGAAUACUCCAGAAAAAUGCUCUAUAACGAGUGACCAUCAUCUUCCUGCAACAUGAUAGUCUCCUCCCGAUGCCUUGCUAGUGACCUAUGUUCUUUAUGAAAUUUUGAGCUUCUAGAAUUCUCCUCCAAUGUUCCAUAACCCCCCACUAGAGCCUUCCAAAGAGCCUCUAAAAAUGUGUGAUCUCUAGCGCCACCUCCUCAUGUGACAACCCUCACCAACUUCAAAUGCAUGCAUGCCCCUCACGUGUGAAUUAUCUAAGAUGUGUGGUGAUCACAAUGUUUUCUGUGGACAUGUAAUGGUGCUUUUUAGGACAUCUGGUGAAGGUUCUCCCAAGUUUAUGAUAGUGUCCCUCAAAAUGGAUCCAUGUAUGGUGAUGGGAAUUCUAUAGAAGACACGUGAUGCUCCUAUCAUGGUAAGAUGAUCGUCCACUGAUGAUAUCAUCCUCAUAGGGUUCCCAAUAGUAGUGUACAUGGAUCAUUGUGUCUUAAAAAAAAAUGGAAUCAACAUCGCACAAUUUCCCCUAAAAGAUAAAUAAGUAAAUAUACUAAAUAAAUAAAUAUGUAAGUAUUGAUUCAUGCAAUUAGGAAAAACUAAAAUCUCAACUCUCAUGCCAUUUUCUAAAAAAAUGAAUAGGUAAAUGAAUAAAACUAAUAAAAUAAUAAUAAUAAUAAUAAUAACAAUAAUGAUAAUAAUAAUAAUAAUAAUAAUAAUAAUAAUAAUAAACUAAAAAAAAUCAAACAUGUGCUAGUCAUACAAGCCAUGCAAUUAUACUUGAAAGGUGACCUAAGCAAGACUAGACAAACCUAAGUGGGCCAAGCUGUGCCAAAAUGGGCCCAAGUGAGUCUAGGUGGGCCCAAGUGAGUCUAGGUGGGCCUAAGUGAGUUUAAGUGGGUCUAAGGUGUCAAAAAUGGGCCCAAGUGAGCCUAGGUGGGCCUAAGUGAGCCCAAGUGGGCCAAGUGCACCUAAAAGCUAUCCUAAAAAGGAAGAAAGAAACCUAAGUCUAAAUUAGGGCUGCUAAGAGCACAAUGAGGGGUUAGAUAAAUCCCUUAACUAAAGUCUCUAAGGUGGCUCAAAAAAGUCAAGUAGUAUGAGUAGCAACAGGCCACCAAGGAACUACUGUGGAGCAUUGGAAGUGAACUUAAAGAUAUGUGCUGAAGGGAUAUAAUGGAAGGUCUACACCUUGUCAAUAUCUUGGUGAAGGGAUCCACCAGGUUCUCCAUAGAUGGUAUCUUGUCAACCAUCAAGUCACCCUCUAAACCAUCUUAACACUUUAGAGCAUAAGCACAUAAUCCCUCGUUCUAAAAAAAUACUUGAGUGUGUCCUUGACAUAAUGCAUUUUUCUUAUUCUUGUAUUCCCUAAGAACUUUAAACCCAAGAAUAUAUUGUGCCACUUCUAGAUUUAAAUCUAGAACCGAGUAGACAACCAAAUCUCGACUAAUGACAAUACUCCUACAUCAUUCUCAAAAAGUAGAUUGUCAUCUACCUACAAGAUCCUAGAACUCUACCAUGUUUCCCUGAAAUUUCUUGUACACACAAGGCCCUUUGCUAUGAAAAUAUUUGGUUACAUCAUAUAGAUGCUAAUAUCAAGAUAAUCGUUUAAGAACACUAUCUUGACAUCCUAUUGCAAUAUGUCAUAAAUGAGAUACACCGUAAUGGGUAAGAGUACUUUGAUGGAUCUGAAUAUGGCUACUGGUGAAAAAGUUUCCUAUAUUUGAAACAAUGUUUCGAACUAUAACCUUUAGCUAUAACUUAGCCACAUAUAUCUCAACUUUUCAUCUACUCAUUUGUUCCUCUUGUAGAACAACUUACACCUAUGGGUUUUAUCUCUUUAGGUGCUUCUACAGGAACCCAAACUACAUUAGAAUCAUAAGGAUUCUAACUCUGCCUCUGUAGCUUUUGCCAAAGAUGUGCAUCCACAUCACUUAUUGUUUCAUCAUAAUCUAUGGGAUCAAUCUCAUGUUCCUUUAGAAUGGUCUCGAAAGACUCUCCUAAAUACAUGAAUUGGUCUGGUUGUUUAACAACCUUUCCACUACAAUGAGUCAUCAAUGUACUAGAAAUGGAAAUGGUUGGUACUGGAUCCAUAGUAUCUUGUGUAUAGUGGAACUAUCUUCUAGUAUUCUCCAAUCUAUAUUAUUGUUUGCCUAAUUACAUGUCAUAUAGUCUUCAUCAGAAAUCUGGUAUUUGUAGCAACAAACACCUUUUGAUAAUCCUGACUAUAAAGUAAUAAUCCCUAAAUCCUCUUGAAUAUCAUAUAAACCGAUACAUCUCUUUAGAAAAAGAGGUAUUAUAUAGUCUUUAAGAUAUAUCCCCAAAGAAUAUGGGAAGUAAUGAGAAACCAAUCAUCGAUCUCUCUAUGUCUAUAAAAGUUCAAUAUCUUCUUUCUAUUACUCCAUUUUGCAAUGGAGUCCUUGGUGCACACAAUUAGGAUAUCAUCUCAUGCUCUAUAUGGAAAUGAUUGAACCUACUAGACACACCACCUUUAUCUAACCGAAGAGCCUUGAUAUGUUUACUUAAUAGGUUAUCCAAUUCUACCUUAAAUUCAAUGAAUUUAUCAAAGGCAUCAGACUUCUUAUCUACAUAUCCAAACCUAGAGUAUUUAUUAGUAAAAUAAUCAAAUACCCAUAUUUUCCAUGCACAAACACAAAAAGGUUCAUACACGUGAGUAUGCACUAACUCCAAACAUUCCUUGGUUCCAUGUCCUUUAAAAAUAAAGGGGUCUUUUUGUCAUUUUGCCACAUAUAUGGGAUUCGUAGAUUGAAAGAUCUUCUGAAAUAAAAAAGUCUAGACUUAAUUGUCAAAAUAUUGUGUGAAUGGCCGAAUACCUUGGCCUUGAGUUUUGUAUAUUAUAUAUAGACUUUACAAGGAUGCUUUACAUGGAAAGCAAAUAAAAGCAAAUAAAUUCCAACAUGAUUCUAGCCCUAUACAUGUAAACUAUAAUCUGUCAAAUAAUAUAUGCUAACUGUACAGAAUAAUAAAUGGAGAAAUAAGGAAACAAUUGUGGGCUAAAAUAAGGAAAGAAGGGUGGGUUAAAUUAAGGAAAGAAGUGUGGACAGCUUGUGGGCUAAAAUAAGGAAAGAUGUGGACAGCAAGUGUGGGCUAAAAUAAGGAAAGAAAGGACAGCAAAGCUGUCCUUUGACAUUAAUUAGUCUUUGGAUCCUAUUUAGAUUAAUAUGACCUAGGCUUUGGAAGCCAAAUGUUUGAUUAGUGUUUGGUUCUUUCUUUUAGUGAGAUUUUACUAUUCUCAUUACUUGGAAAAAUGAUAAUGGAGUCUCACAUAAAAAAGGUAAUACCUCCCACUAGCUUGCACAACUAACCUUGCAACUGAAGCUAAGGUAAGUAUAAUCCCAUCAUGUGACCUUCUCACUUGUUGAAAAACCCUGUAAAGAACUACAGAUAGUGGACCUAGAAUCUAUUCACCAUAAUUGGUGAAAUCCACCACUAUUUACUUAACAAUGAGAAUAUGAUGUGUAUUUGCCUAUCCUUAGGCACUCUGAGCAUUCUUUUUCUAGUGUCUUAAAAGGUCACAAAGGAAUCAAUGCCCAUGAGUUUGUUCUCUCAUUCAUUUUCUUGAACUUUCUUUAUUUGGUGUUCUUCUUCUUCUUCUUUUUCUUUUUCUUCUUGGUAGAAGAGCCUUAAGAACCUUGACUUCCAUAUGAACACCCUUCCACUCUUUGAAAAUCUUCUUACCCAUCCCAAAGGAAUUUGGUAAGAUCUCUAAGAUAACAUGAAUCCUGGUGUUUAUAAUAGUCUUAAGGGCAACUUGUUUAGUUGACUUCCCUUUAUCACCAAAUAACCCUUGCAACUUUAAAGAGAAUAUCAUAGACAAUGGCAAUAGACAUGUGUUACUUUUGCAACACAUUAUCUAAAGAUCCAAGUAUGAAAGACUUGGUCUUUUGACCCGUCUUAUGCCACCUUUGAUAUGUUUCUCUUACUUUAUGAUAGGUUUGUUCAAAGUAAAUAACAAACUCUACCAAAAUCAACUUCUAUGCAAUUAAUACUAUAUCUAGAUUAUUUUCAGUUUAUAAUUAGGUCUAAUUUAAACAAAAGAUAAUAGGUGAUAGGUUAAAGACAUGACAUCCAUAAUAAAUAUAAUAAUUCCAUGCAUUAAUAAAAGGGACUGAGCAUUCAAGGCAAGUUGGUAAUUAAUUUAGAAAAAAUGUACUGCUCUCAAACUACAUGUCCUUUUGCAAGGUAUUCUAGUAUCAUAAGAAUCAAGCUUACUUUAGGCAAGUCAUGACUCUUAUUACUAGGGUAGAGACCCUCUCUAAUUGAUCAACUUACCUUAAACUUUAAAAGUUAUCCUAAGGCAUUAAUCAACAUACCCUUUUUAUUUAGCACUUAGCCCAUACAAGUGGGAGCACUUUAGGUGAUUCUACCACUUCAUGUCUAAGUUAAGUGUGUAACCAAGAUUGUUAACAUCAAUGUUACAAGUGAAGAGUUCCAUCUUCAGGAUUGACUACUCCCAUUACAAACAUAUAUAGUCUCGUCUAUAAUGGAUAGUCCAUAUCCUUUGAUUCCUUGGGUCACGCCAUCUUUAGGAUGAUGAUUCACCCAAAAUCAUUGAGCUCAAUCUUGGAGGCUAUGGGCUUGCCUAUGGCCGACUCCCACUUAAUAUUUUGGAAUAGAGACUUUAAGAUAGUUACCAAGUCAGUGCCUACUACUUUUUUAAAGAUGUGGAGUGGAUGUAAACAUAGUUUACACCACAACCACAUAUAGGGGUGCCCAAGACAUGCGCUAAAGAAGAAGGCUAACAAAUUAGAAUCUAGAUCAAAUGUUUAACUAUUUAUAGGUUACCUGAAAAGGACAAGAGGCUAUUUCUUUUAUAGUCCAAUUGAUCAAAAGGUGUUUGUUACCACAAAUGCUAGAUUUUUGGAAGAAGACUAUAUGGUGAAUAAAUAAAUAAGAAGUGAUUUAGGGUGGUCUAAGACUAUUAAUGAACCCAUUAUCAUAAGAGCGAUACAUGAUUUAUUAAACCAUAUACCAAGUAAACCUACUGAUUCUAGUACUCCACCAGAGCCUCAUUGUAGUGGAAGGAUUAUUCAAAAUGAAAUAGGUUUAUAUUCUUGGAAGAGUCUUUCGAGACAAUCCUUGAGGAGUUGAAACUAGUCCCAUAAAUUAUGAUGAAACAAUGGCUAACAUUGAUGCUUUUUCAUGGAAUGAGGCUGUGAAAUCUGAGAUAGAGUUUAUGUACUCUUAUUAGGUUUGGUCUCUUUUAGAAGCAACUAAAGAGAUAAAACCCAUACAGUGUAAGUAGAUCUAUAAGAGGAAGAGAGGAGUCGAUGGAAAGUUUGAAACCUUGAAAGCAAGGCUUGUUGUGAAGGGUUAUAAUCAAAAACUUGGUUUUGAUUAUAAGAAAACUUUUUUGCCAGUAGUCAUGCUUAAGUCCAUCAAGAUACUCUUGUCAAUUGCAGUUAAUUUGGAUUACAAAAUUUGGCAAAUAGAUGUUAAGACUACCUUUCUUAAUGAGCUUCUUGAGGAAGAUAACAAUAUGAUACAAUGUUAGCCCAAGGGUUCUCCUAAUCAGGUUUUGAUGAUAACAAACCAUGGUUAAGUGGCUAAUUAUUUUUAAUGGUAAAGAAUCUCAAGUAUAAUUUCGGAAAUUCAUCCAAGGACCAAAUGGAUGCAAGACCGAGAUUAUUGGAAGUCCCUUGAUCAUAGGAAAUGAAUGUAAGAUGAAUGCAUGGGUGCACUUAAGGUUUUCAUGCCAUUUCAUGCAUCUUUGAAAAACUCGGUUUAUUCUUUAAACUUUCAAAUUCAUUCAAACCCGAGUUUUAUCAAAUGUACCUUAGGCAAAAUGUUUUAAAACUGGCAUAUUGUGGACCCGCAUUUUUCACGUGCGUCCCCACUCGAUAGGCGAGACUCGCUUUUUAUUUGUGAAAAAUUAAUUUUAAAAAAAGUUGGAGUCGCCACCUAUUUUAUUUUUAUUUUAAAGGGAAAAUAAAACAAGAAAGAAAAACCCUAAAAAGUGACUCCAUAGUUUUGGAAAAAACAUGUCUUUGAGAAACCCGAGUCUAGGUCCGGGGAUCAGGUUACUUAUUGGGAAGGUACCUCUAGGAGGUAACACCCCUCUAAGCCCUAAAGAGGUCUCUACUGACCAAGUUAAGGGAAGCGUGGCAAUUAAAUGGUUGAUCAUGGAUACCUAAGUAGGCUAGGUGAUUCCAAAAACAUAACAUAUCAAACAAGAUCAAAUCACAAUUAAGGAGAGUUAAAAAUGCGUACCUGGACGGCUUCCCAAGCGCUAUCAUAAAACAUAAGAGAUUAGUUUGGAGAUACAUCACACAACAUUUGUUUUAUUCAAGCAAAUCAGGCAUAUAUCAAGACAUUCAAGAAUCACGUCAAAUAUGGAUAUGGUCAUCAAUGACAUACAAGUCCAUAGAGUUCUAAAAAAAAUAGAUGAGAAGAGAGCGUACCUGGAUAGCAAGCUAGUACUCCUCUAUGGGAAACAAGAGCAUCUCAACAAUAAAUAUUAAGUGAAUUCAAGUAUUUCAUCAAGAAGAAUCAAAAAUCAACAUAUCAAGUAAACGGUAUUGAAGUGAGUGUUAUGAAUGUCGGGCCCCCACCAAAGCCCUAAUUAAUUUCGCAUGAGUUGAUUCCAUAAAUUCCAUGACUUGGAAUUAUGGAGUUUGUUCAUGCUUUUUGAAAAAUCAAGAAAAUCGAUUGAAAAUCAAAUAAAAUAGUGAAAACGCGUGCCGGAAGGAAAAUGGCAGUGAGAGUGUGUUAGAAUCUGGAUUUUAUACCUAGAAAGGAUCUAAGACGAAUUUUUCAAAGCCGGGAAUGUUUAGUUGAACAAGGGUUCAAAAAUUCAAUUUAAAACAGUAAGUUCCCAAUCAAAGAAGCAAAUAGAGGAGGAGGUGUGUGUAGCAAGGUUGCCAUGAAGUGAAGCUGGGAAAUUCUGGAUAGAAGGGACCGAUUCACUGCAAAAGUGUUCAACUGUCAAAUGCUUCAACUUAAAAGACAUCUUGAUUUGUAAGCUCAACUGGAUUCUCUUCAACAGAAGUCAAAUACUAAAUAAAAGGUUCGGAAUUUCCAAUUUUCUGCAUUGGGAGGUUCCCUGUAUCAUGCUAGUUUUCAAUUGAUUAAGCCUUUCAACUUUUACCUCAAUCUGCCAUAAUAUAGUUCGAUUCAUGUGGCCUGUGGUCAAAUAAACCAUUUUCUGCAUACUUAAGCUUCCUGUGUGAAGACUUCAUUACUUGGAGAGACAUCCUGACUACUUCGAAUACAUGAUUCAAAUUCUGCUGUUUGCUGAGGAAUUCCAUUAGAGAGCAAGAAUGUUUAGAUACCGUUCUUAACUUCUGUCACGCACGGAGACUAUUUUCUUUCUGUCUUAAACAAUCUGUACUGAACUUGGUUUUCAUCUUUAAUGAUGGUGUUUGAUCUGUAUUUCUAUUAAAAGCUCUACCAAUUCCAUAACAGUUCCAGAAUUCUGUAUCAAUUGGUCUCUUAGCUGGACAAACGAAUAAAGUCUGUAUGUGCUUCCUAUUUAUUCAUCAAGAGCAAACUAAGGAUACCCUUGAUGUGAUAGGCAGCUAGAUCAGUUUCAAUCUCCACAGGUACAGAAUCCUUUUGCUGUCCUGAACCCCAUUGCUUUGAGGUCAAAUUCCAUAUCUGAAGGUAGAACUUUCUGUUCCUGCUGCAAUUGAGACUACGAAUUAUGCAACUUCUGGGGAGUCAACUCAGUUCGAAAGAAUUGCAGGUGUUCAUUAUGUGCAAGGGUCUGAAGUUGUUGCAAUCCUUCCCACUUCCUGACAAGCUCGACAGUGUUGAAGGAAUUCUUGAGAAUCUGGAACAUAUCUGUGAGUAAUCUUGGAAACAAUUGGGCAAUCUGUAGGCUCUUCACUUGCUCUCUUCACNNNNNNNNNNNNNNNNNNNNNNNNNNNNNNNNNNNNNNNNNNNNNNNNNNNNNNNNNNNNNNNNNNNNNNNNNNNNNNNNNNNNNNNNNNNNNNNNNNNNNNNNNNNNNNNNNNNNNNNNNNNNNNNNNNNNNNNNNNNNNNNACCAAAAUUAUCGAUGACAGUGUUCAGGAAGUAAGGCUCAUCAUGGGAAGUCUUUCUCUUGUAAGGCUUAAUUAUUCUCUAGUUGCAGCUUCGUCCAGAGCAUCAGUAACCCUUUUCUUGACAAAGAUCACCAUCCCCAUUGUUACCUCUUUCACUGCAUAUCUCAUUUAAUAAUUGGUGUCGUCAUCUUUCUGAACAAAACCAGAAAUGAUGGUAGUCCAGGAAACUACAUUGCAGAUUGGCAUUCACAAAAAUUCCUUCACAGCUUGAUCAUUAUCCCUGCACUUAGCAUACAAAUCAAUGGUGGCAGCCCCCACAAAAGAAAGUCUUCUUUUCAGUCCCAAACCAAUCAUCCUCUGUAUUCUGGCCAUAUAGGAAGCCUUUCCGAUUGUAAAUCUCGAACAGCAUCACUCAUAACCUCCAGUUCUGAACUCUCGGGGUACAGCCUCUUCAUUAAGCAUUUGUUGUUUCCUUCCCUCACUAGAAGUUUUUCUUUUAGUGCAGAUUAAUGCCAACUGUAUGAACACCACAACAAAAUGAAUCUUCAUGACUUUGGAAUUUGAUUUUUGUUCAAAUUCACCAAUCUCAGCAGAAGUUUUACUGUAUUCUUCAAAAAUCAGAUCAGCCUUAACAGUCAGUUUUCCUUGCUCAAGUAAUCAAGCAAAAUUGCCCCACAUGAAUAGAAGAUGCCACAAGUUUAGCAGUGUCAUUCUUAUUAGCACAACUUUCUCCAACAGCUGGUGGAGUUUGAAUGUGGAAGUGAAACUAAUAUAUCAGCCCCAAACAACUUACUACCAUCUGAUACACAAGGAUUUCCAUUAUCUACUGGAUAAGGAAAGUGAUGUUUACUUAAAAGAACAUAUGAAACUGAUAAAUUACAAUUACCACCGAGUCGUACCAUAUCUGGUUGCUUUGGGACAUCCGGGCAAUUAACCUUUUUCUUCCUUGUAAACUGACAAAAGGUCUCAUCCACAUUUCCAAUUGCUUUACUAUCACAGCUAUAAGAUACUUGCUGCAACCCAGUUACAUGCUCAUCGGACAUGGUAUCAAGAUUCAAAUCAAUAUAGAAACUCUACCCCACUUUACUUUAAUAGCCCUUAGUUAGACCUUCUUUAUUCAAAUUUUCACAUUCUUGAACAGCAUCAAGAGCAUCCCCUGCUUUAUUGAGUGAUCUUGCAAUAUUUAAUGAUAUGUCCUUUUGAAUGGAUUUCAAUAUGGAGCUUAAAAAGGUGUUGAUUGCGNNNNNNNNNNNNNNNNNNNNNNNNNNNNNNNNNNNNNNNNNNNNNNNNNNNNNNNNNNNNNNNNNNNNNNNNNNNNNNNNNNNNNNNNNNNNNNNNNNNNUUUGCUUGGAGAUCAUCAACAAAAGGACAAUCAAGGUAAAGUGAGCCAUCUGAUUCGUAUUCAUGUUGGUCAGAUGCUAACUUGCUGGUGUAUUCUUUCAAGCUAAGCGAGCUUGUUGGUGUGUUCUAUUGAACCGGGCGACGCUAUAUUUACUCUCAAAUUUAGAUCUUUUAACCUGAGUUCAGAAUUAGUAGCGUCAUUGGAAAGAGUAGAAGGCGACUCAUCAUCAACUGAAAAUAGUAGGGAAUGCAGACAGGAGGAAUUCCAUAGAACCUGAAGAAACCUUUCUCUAGGUUGACCCAACAAGUUGACAGGGAUAUCUCGAAUGUGUUCCUCCUUUUAAGACAUAUUCUUUAUGAGAAAACAGGCGUGAGCAGAAAGAGUAGAUUCUCUGAUCUCAACUUCAUUUCCGAUAUCAGAUAUUCGAUCCUCCAGUCAUGGUACUGUUGUUUCAACAAUUCACAAGCAAAUAACAAUACGCUAUGACACUUCAAUUGUCGAAUAACCAGUAGAUUUGCCUGAUAUUUUAUCAAUGGUGGAAUCAGGUUCCUUCUCAUGGGCAUCAGAAGCCAACUUGUUUUCUGCAACUGGUGGGAUGAACAAAGAAGCAUGCUCUCAGGUUGAGUCAGGUACAAAUCCUACUGCAUUUCCUUCCAUAGUUUCAGAAGAAAAUCUAGAAUGGGACUUUUAUACUUUGUCAACUGGUCCAUUUCAAAUGAUUCCCUUCAGAACCUUGCUUUCUCUGUUCUGUCUCCUUUUCUGUUCCGACUCAAAAUUUCAACUGUACGAUGGUGUGAUGCAUUUGAUUCUCAUCUGAAGGAAAGAAAAGAAUUUGUAUGUGAUUCUAUUCAUUUAUCAAGAACAAGCUGAUGGUCAAUCCUGAAACCCAACCAUUUUCAGAUAAUUCAAACUCUACUACAAGUUGAUCGUUCCCUUUUUCGAUUGGAAGUUAUCCUCAGAUACCUUUCAUUUUCAUGAGUAGUUUAUGCACCAAAAUUAUCGAUGACAGUGUUCAGGAAGUAAGGCUCAUCAUGGGAAGUCUUUCUCUUGUAAGGCUUAAUUAUUCUCUAGUUGCAGCUUCGUCCAGAGCAUCAGUAACCCUUUUCUUGACAAAGAUCACCAUCCCCAUUGUUACCUCUUUCACUGCAUAUCUCAUUUAAUAAUUGGUGUCGUCAUCUUUCUGAACAAAACCAGAAAUGAUGGUAGUCCAGGAAACUACAUUGCAGAUUGGCAUUCACAAAAAUUCCUUCACAGCUUGAUCAUUAUCCUUGCACUUAGCAUACAAAUCAAUGGUGGCAACCNNNNNNNNNNNNNNNNNNNNNNNNNNNNNNNNNNNNNNNNNNNNNNNNNNNNNNNNNNNNNNNNNNNNNNNNNNNNNNNNNNNNNNNNNNNNNNNNNNNNNNNNNNNNNNNNNNNNNNNNNNNNNNNNNNNNNNNNNNNNNNNNNNNNNNNNNNNNNNNNNNNNNNNNNNNNNNNNNNNNNNNNNNNNNNNNNNNNNNNNNNNNNNNNNNNNNNNNNNNNNNNNNNNNNNNNNNNNNNNNNNNNNNNNNNNNNNNNNNNNNNNNNNNNNNNNNNNNNNNNNNNNNNNNNNNNNNNNNNNNNNNNNNNNNNNNNNNNNNNNNNNNNNNNNNNNNNNNNNNNNNNNNNNNNNNNNNNNNNNNNNNNNNNNNNNNNNNNNNNNNNNNNNNNNNNNNNNNNNNNNNNNNNNNNNNNNNNNNNNNNNNNNNNNNNNNNNNNNNNNNNNNNNNNNNNNNNNNNNNNNNNNNNNNNNNNNNNNNNNNNNNNNNNNNNNNNNNNNNNNNNNNNNNNNNNNNNNNNNNNNNNNNNNNNNNNNNNNNNNNNNNNNNNNNNNNNNNNNNNNNNNNNNNNNNNNNNNNNNNNNNNNNNNNNNNNNNNNNNNNNNNNNNNNNNNNNNNNNNNNNNNNNNNNNNNNNNNNNNNNNNNNNNNNNNNNNNNNNNNNNNNNNNNNNNNNNNNNNNNNNNNNNNNNNNNNNNNNNNNNNNNNNNNNNNNNNNNNNNNNNNNNNNNNNNNNNNNNNNNNNNNNNNNNNNNNNNNNNNNNNNNNNNNNNNNNNNNNNNNNNNNNNNNNNNNNNNNNNNNNNNNNNNNNNNNNNNNNNNNNNNNNNNNNNNNNNNNNNNNNNNNNNNNNNNNNNNNNNNNNNNNNNNNNNNNNNNNNNNNNNNNNNNNNNNNNNNNNNNNNNNNNNNNNNNNNNNNNNNNNNNNNNNNNNNNNNNNNNNNNNNNNNNNNNNNNNNNNNNNNNNNNNNNNNNNNNNNNNNNNNNNNNNNNNNNNNNNNNNNNNNNNNNNNNNNNNNNNNNNNNNNNNNNNNNNNNNNNNNNNNNNNNNNNNNNNNNNNNNNNNNNNNNNNNNNNNNNNNNNNNNNNNNNNNNNNNNNNNNNNNNNNNNNNNNNNNNNNNNNNNNNNNNNNNNNNNNNNNNNNNNNNNNNNNNNNNNNNNNNNNNNNNNNNNNNNNNNNNNNNNNNNNNNNNNNNNNNNNNNNNNNNNNNNNNNNNNNNNNNNNNNNNNNNNNNNNNNNNNNNNNNNNNNNNNNNNNNNNNNNNNNNNNNNNNNNNNNNNNNNNNNNNNNNNNNNNNNNNNNNNNNNNNNNNNNNNNNNNNNNNNNNNNNNNNNNNNNNNNNNNNNNNNNNNNNNNNNNNNNNNNNNNNNNNNNNNNNNNNNNNNNNNNNNNNNNNNNNNNNNNNNNNNNNNNNNNNNNNNNNNNNNNNNNNNNNNNNNNNNNNNNNNNNNNNNNNNNNNNNNNNNNNNNNNNNNNNNNNNNNNNNNNNNNNNNNNNNNNNNNNNNNNNNNNNNNNNNNNNNNNNNNNNNNNNNNNNNNNNNNNNNNNNNNNNNNNNNNNNNNNNNNNNNNNNNNNNNNNNGAUACUAAGCCUCUCAAAGUAGAAGAACUCUUCUAUGCUAGGUAAUGGAUCCCAAUAUAUGAAAUGAAACAGAGCCUUAAAAACUGAAGCUUCCAAGUAUACAGAUUCAGAAUCUUCUUGCUUGUAAGUGCCUCUACGAAAGCCUAUCACAAGCUAAGGUAGUUGCUACAAUAUUUACAGCAGCAUCUUCACGGAGAUUAGACUCACAUAGCUGCCUGGACCUACCUGGACUGUACCAAUCUGUUGAGCAGAUACUAAGCCUCUCAAAGUAGAAGAACUCUUCUAUGCUAGGUAAUGGAUCCCAAUAUAUGAAAUGAAACAGAGCCUUAAAAACUGAAGCUUCCAAGUAUACAGAUUCAGAAUCUUCUUGCUUGUAAGUGCCUCUACGAAAGCCUCUGUCACAAUUUCGUUCUCUUGAAAGCCCACAUGAUCUAGUAAUUCUGAAGCAAAGGAUAACAUGGGUUCUUGCUCUGAAAAAAAGAUUACAUCUUUUAUGACCAGUAUGAAAUCAGCAACAGGUAAGAACUCUACUUGAUGUGUAACAUAAAUCACUACUUUCGAACCCAAGAGACACAGCAAAUAUUCUUUAAAGAAAUUGGUUCCUGCGCGAGCAUCCACAGCACUAUAACUGUCUGAUCACCAAAUGAGAGAACCUCCAGAUUCUUUUUCAAGGAAUAUGCAUCAAGAACCCUUUCAUACCUUUCUCUGUCCAUCUUCUUAUUAAACAAGAUGUUCUCUUCUAUUUUACCAUUCUGUAUCUAAGGAGAUUGAGUAAUACAGGCCUUCCCAAUGUAUCAGUCUUCCUUACACUUUUAAUGGAAUUCUCCCCCCUUCCGAUUACAUGUCCAAUCUCGUCAAAUGGACGCAAAGCUCUUACAAUUAACAUCUGAUCGUGAUGCUCCAUAACCAGAAUGUACUAGUAGGUUGGAUGAAUAAACUGGCCAUAUAUUGCCCAAGUCUGAACAGCCCCGAAAUUCUGGUAUACGUGUAGCAGCUAAGACAUGAGAAACAGAUCUGGCAGACACCAUAGUUUACAUUAGGAUAGAAUUUACCAGCAGGAUAUUUGGGACAUCCGAAGGGAUAAUGAUGUUAGGAGGGGCUUCUAGUACAGUAAUGUCAAGAGAAAUUUCUUCUUUAGGAGUGAACCUUUAGAAAGGUAACAACAAUGGACCAUAGUCUCUUGUUUCAGUGAUCCGAUUUCGCCGCAAGAUUGAGAUAGCAUGACCAUUGUGAUUAUAAUUGGAAACACCUUGCUUUGGAACAUUUCAAGGAACAGGGACAUGCUUUUGUCAGCAUGGUGAUUCAGAUUAUUUCCUUUAUAUCUGGACACUUCUCAUAUACAUGUGUCAUUGCUGUUCCUAGAAUAAAUAUCUUCAUCCAUGUCAAGGCCUUUCUUUACCAUGAACGUGUGGUUUGAUUGGAUUCUUCUUAUAUUUGCUAAGUUUGCAUAAGCAGGAAACACAUUGGCAAAGGUGACUAUAUCAGGUUUCAAAUUUGACUCUGACAUCAUUCUUUCAUAGAGUAAUGUUGCCUUCUGAUCAUAACCAUUGAAUGAGUUCCAGGAAACCAAACUUCUGUCAGAUAAUUCCCCUUUAAAUAUGGUCUGAGCACACCCAAUUCUAUUACACUUUGCAUAUAUAUUGACCAUAGCUGUUCCAAGACAGAGGUCAAAAAUUAACCUCGUACAAAUCAAGUACCCAUGAAUGCUUUUUUUUUUAGAUCAAGAUUCCCAAUUUGUCCACAAACCAACAAUAAACCUAAAAAAUGUGAUUCAGUUUGGAAACAAAUCUCCAGCGCUUUUCAUGGAUAAGAAAAAGGUUGAAUGCUUCAGCCCAAUUACCAUUAUGUGCAUAUGCUGUAAUCAACGAAUUCCAAGACACUAUAUCUCCUUUUAACAUGUCACACAAAAUGCGUCUCUCAAAAUCUAUCUUUCCAAUCUUAAUAUAUAUUGAAAUGGAGGAAUUCAAUUAGAAACUCAUGAAUCAAUGCUCCUUUUUCAAGUAUCCCGAUUUCACCACAAGCCAUAAUUUCAUGAAAUGCAGAAUCCAAAGAAAGUAAUAAAACCACAUCUAGUCUUUGCUCAAAGAGAACCAACAGUUCAUCAUAAAACCCAAUUGAUCCAAAACAGGAAACUAAGGAAUUAAUCAAAUCUUCAUCUCUGGACAUUUCUUCAAACACACCGUAAGCACCUCAAACAGAUUCAAAUACCGUACAGGAAGAGGGAUAGAGAACAAAUAAAAAAAAUAGAUGUUGAACCCGGAGAAGAAGAGAGUGGAAGACUUUGGUCAAUAAACAUAAAUAGCUCCACUUCAAAUAUUAAAUCCGUGGGCUAAGGACAGGGGGCAGAAUGCAGAAUGGGAUUUAAACAAAAAAAGAACAUGAUCAAAUUCAGGCAUGGAGUCAAUGAAUUUCAGACGACAUCAAUGACACAUAAGAGAAUCAGAAUCCAAAACAGGGCAAACAAGUGAAUAACCAAUCUCAACAAAUCAGUUUGUGGCCCUUUUCGUCCACACCAAUCAGUGGUAUAUUAAAUAUUCAGAAACAAAUGCACGGAGAAAGCGAAUAUGGAUAAUGAUUCCAAGAAUGACGAGAAGCAUACCUGGGCAGCCUUGGUUGCAAUUGCUCUCUUUUCCAAUUCCUUUGUGCCUUUUCCUCUAGACGAUCUCACCAGAAUUUCCCCACCAAGACUCCAAUACGUGCUCCCUCCUCUUUCUCCUUUUUCCUUUUUUUAAAUCUUCCCAUUCAAAGGCAAUCUUUCCCUUUUCAAAUUCCCCUCCAAAAACCUUCCAAGGAGAGCCCCACUUUCCUUAAACUCCAAUGGUAAGUUUCCUUGCAAAAACAUGAAAUUUUUUUAAAGUAAAUAAUUGAAUGAAUAACUAAAUAAGUAAACAAAAUAGAUAAAUAAAUAAAAUAAAAUGAAAUAAAGUAAAAUAAAAGUCUUAAUAGGCCUAGUGUGCCUAAACGGGCCUAAGGUGAGACUAAUGGGCCAAGAGUGCCUAACCGGGCCUAGAGUGCCUAAGUGGGCCUAAGUAGGCUACCCUAAAAGCUAUCCUAAAAAAGAAAGAAAAGUCUAAGUCUAAAUCAGGCCUGCCAAGGGUUACAAUAAGGGAUCAAAUAAUCCCUCAACCAAAGUCUCCGAGGUGACUCAGAAAAAGGUAAGUUGCACGAGUAAUAAUGGGCCACCAAGGAGUUACCGUGGAGCAUUGAAAACGAAUUUCGAAGACAUGUGCUAAAGGGACAAAAUUGAGGGUCUACACAUAUUUAUUCACCUAAAGACCUUGCCUAAGUAGUAGAAAAUAAAGGAAUUUAAAAAGGAAGGUUUUCGAGGCCAAAAGGCUCAACCGGUCGAGGCUAUGGCCAACUAGCUCAACCGAUUGGGGAACUGGUCGACCGGUUAACCCUGUCCGGUCGAGAACCGGUCGAGGAGUGUCAAAAACACUCUCUCUCAUCCAGUAGCCUUCUCUUCCUGGUUGAGGUUCACACCCUUCCCGGUCGAGGCAACGGUAACCUAUCAAAGCAUUUAAUGCGCAACAGUUAUUGAUCCGGUCAACCCCUAGCUCGACCGAUCGAGGGUACCUUUUGCUAUUUUUGACUCCUGAGCUUAGAAACCUAUAAAUUAAGAGCUCCACUUCAUUUAUGAAUAAGAGAACACUUGCAAUCAAUUAUCUACCUACCUGUUCUUGAUCAAAAAGCUCUCAUUUCUUUCUUGGUGCAUUAAAUCAUCAUUUACAUACUCCUUAGUGCACCUUUGUGAAUCAUCCUAGCCUUGUUUUGUAUUUGAUCCAUCCUUGAGCUAGGUUGAGUGUUUUAUUCUUAUAAAAGCCAAGCAUUUAAGCCUUUGAGAGGUGUAAUUCUUGAAGAGAUUGUGUAAGAGCCCAUUGGAGCCAGAAUCCAAGUGUAAGAAGAUUAGAAGCUUGGUUGAAGCUUCAAGUUAGUGGAACCCUCACUCGGUAAGGAGAUUGAGGAGAGUGGACGUAGGCAAGGAAGUGCCGAACCACUAUAAAACCCGAGUUUGAAUUCUCUAACUCUAUCUCUUUACUUUCACUUAUAUUGUGCUUGAAAUUGUUGUUAUUGAAAAGAUUUUUUAAAAACCCAAUUCACCCUCCUCUUGGGUGUUUUUCUUAAUUAAGCAUAGCCUUUAUUUUCUCAUACAACUAUAUGCAGGGAAGCAUGGUGACCCUUCUAAUCUUGUAUGUGGAUGACAUACUAUUCAUUGGAAAUGAUGUAGAAAUGGUAUCUUUAGUAAAUAUUUGGUUAUCUACUCAAUUCCAAAUGAAAGAUAUAAGUGAGGCCCAAUAUAUUCUAGAAAUCAAGAUAUUGCAAGAUAGAAAGAACAAGAACAUUUCAUGUUAGUCAGGUACUCUAUGCAAAAUUCUAAGAAGGGUAUGCUACCUUUUAGCAUGAAAUGCCACUUUUUUAGGAUCAAUCUCCUAAGAUGAUUGAGGAGAAAGAGAGCAUGAAGGUGAUACCUUUUUCUUCCAUAGUGAGUAGCCUUAUGGAUGUUAUGUUAUGCACUAAACCUCACAUACAUUAUGCAAUAAGUAUAGUGUGUAGAUACCAAUCUAAUCCCAAUCAAGAGCAUUAAAUAACGGUUAAGCAUAUACUCAAGUAUCUUAGGAGAAAAAAGGGAUUAUAUGCUUGUUUAUCAAAGCGAUGAGUUAGUACCCAUAAGAUACACAAUUUCAAAAUUUUAGUUUGAUAUAGACUCUUGUAGGUCCACUUUAGAUUACGUGUUUAGACUUGGUGAUAGGGUUGUUAGUUGGAGAAGUAUCAAGUAGUCAUGCAUUGUUGACUCCACUAUGGAAACUGAAUAUAUAGUAGCUUCGGAAGCAAUUAAAGAAGUUGACUAGCUAAGAGAGUUUGUAAUGGAAUUGGGGGUACCAUGAUUUUACCGAACACCAUGGCAUUGUUUUGCAACAAUACUGGGGUGGUAACAUUAUCUAAAGUACUAAGGAACCAAUAGAAGGGAAAACACAUUGAGAGGAAAUACCAUCUCAUUAGGGAGAUAGUAUAAAAAUGUGAUAUAAUAGUGGAAAAGAUUGCAUUUAAGGAUAACCUAGAAGAUCCCUUUAUUAAGACCUUACAAGCAUGAGUAUUUGACUCUCAUAGCGAUGUUUAUGGUGUUAGAUGUAAUCCUAGUCUACUUAAGGCUAGUGGGAGAUUUUUGGGUUUUAAGCCUUGUAUAGUGAGACAUAUUGCAAGAUUUGUUAUGUAAUAUAUCAUUCCUAUUCAUUCAUUGGUAUUGUGUGCAUUAAUAGUUUCUCUCUUUAUUAUUUUGAUGGAUACUUAGUCAAAUCAAUUCGCUUUGUACACAGUUCAGGUGUAAGUGGACACAUAGAGGACACAACUAUGGGUUCCUUGUAGACUGAUACUAUUGUUUACAACAUUUCAUGAACUUGAGUAGUUUAGUAAUAUUAUGGUGUGCUACCUCCCAUGUAGGUGGGAUGACCUAUCUUAGUUUUCAAAGUGGAACUCUAAGGUGGUAUGUUAGUGUGUAUGGUUACACAUUGAACAUGACCUAUGGAGAACUUGUUUAUUACUAUCUAAGUGACAUGUGUUCUCCUAGCUACUAUCUUGUAGGAGUCCUUAACCUUGAGAGGUACUUAGGCUAAUGUUUGGAUUAGUGAUCACUUUGAGGCACAUACGAGUGAGACCCACAUAGAGGUUAUAUAUUGUUGUGAUCUUGGGUGACUGCUAAUUUAGCAUGUAGUUUGUGUAUACUCAAGAUGAAAGUUGUGAUAUCCCACUAGGGACAAUAUAUUCCCUUCCAACAAUUAUAGGGUGCAUGAUCAAGCUAAAUCCUUGGUCAAGAUAAUGUCAUUUGAGUGGUGAAAUCAUGUUUUAUCCUCUUAAGAUAUGAUAAAAUUAUUUUAUCAUACCAAAGGUGAAUUUGCAACACGAAGGUAAAGAUGUUAUUUAUUAGUAAAUAACACAUAUCAAUUAAAUUACAUAUAUCAAUUCAUAGGGAAUAAAUACAAGGAUUAGUAGGUUGUGGGAUAGCUAUUAGCUUCAUAUAGUUGGAUCUUAUUAGUGGAGUGCAGUCAAUUGACUUUAGUGGUGUGAUCAAUUGACUAUCAAAUUUUGUUUGAUUAAUUUUAUGGGAGCCACAAUUAGAUGUUUCAUUGGUCCUCGAUCGAGCUACCUUCAUAGAUGUAAUCUUUGUGCACGAAAUUUGAGACUUUAAGGGACUUAAUUUAUAGAUUGGAUUUGUUUUCUAAUAUGGAAAAAGCAUUUUGGUCUUUUCUCCCCUUAGUAUAUAAGGAAACAUGGGAAACCAAAAUAGGUCAUUCCUCUCAUUUUUCACCUCCUAUAAAUUAUUAGAAACCAAAAAACAAACAGUUUCCCUUUCGUCCCAAGAGCAAGUCUAACUCAAAUCUUGCAAAGCAUCAUCGCCCACUCAACGAUACACCAUCGUAGGAUUGAAUGGAAGAUUGUGGACAUUGGAGUUAUAGUUCGUUCUGCACCAAAGACAAGGAAUGAUCUCAUUUUUUCUAGUUAUUUUACUAUAAAAGGAUAUUAGGUUAGCUACUUACUUGGUUAGAAAUUUUAAAUUACCUACCCUAUAUAUGUCUUUAGAUCCAACAUUUAAAUGUCAACAUUUUCUACAACAGAUCAAUUCCUCUAAUUGUAAAAUAACAUUUUCUCAAUAAAAUAUUUGUUUUAUAAGAAUAUGAAAUCAUUUCUAAAAGAAAGAAUAUCCUCUUCCAACAAUAUUAUAUUUGGAGCUCAGAAAUUUUGAUAGAGAAAAGUCAACAUGAGUUAGAAGGCUACCAAAAUCAUCGACAUUUUGUCUAUGGUCAAGCCUACACAUUGUUUCCAAUCCCUUGUUGAUCAAUAAACGUCGACAACCUGCCAAAUGGGGUUGUGCAUCGUUGAAUGUUUGAAUGGUUAUUUUUAUGGGAGAAUUGUGUUUUGGGCCUAACUGGGCCCAAAAAUUAAGAGAUGGUCCAUCUAACCGACCCAUUUAAGCUGAAAACCCAUAGGAAGUGUCAAAAUUAAAAAGAAGGAUAUGCACUUUUAUUAAUUCCAAAAAUAACCUUUGCUGAUUAUGAAAAAAAAAAAAUAAUAAACAAAAAAAUCCAGGUUGGAAUUUUGCCCUAAUUUUGGUGUCUCUUCAGAUUUCAAGCCUAGAAGCCGUUUUCUUCUCUUCGUCCCGAGUUCCUCCAUCGCUUGCAUCUCAAUCUCUGCGGCUCUUUGGAAUUUUGCCCUAAUUUUGCUCUCUUCAGCAUUUCAAGCCUAUAAGCCAUUUUCUUCUCUGCCUAGAAGUCAUUUUCUUCUCUGCCUAGAAGCCAUUUUUUCUGUUCCUCCCGAGUUUCUCCAUCUCUUGCAUCUCAAUCUCUGCGGCUUUUUGGAAUUUUGCCCUAAUUUUGGUCUCUCUUCAGCAUUUCAAGCCUAGAAGCCGUUUUCUUCUCUUCCUCCCGAGCACCUCCAUCUCUUGCAUCUCAAUCUCUGCGGCUCUUUCAUUUUUUCUCGCAUUCGUCUCUCUCGAAAAUUUGAAUAAGGUAUGGAUUUCAGUUGGGUCUCUCUUGUUGCAUAUUUGAGGUUAGUAGAUUGCCUAAAUUUUGGUCUCUCUUCAGCAUUUCAAGCCUAGAAGCCGUUUUCUUCUCUUCCUCUCGAGCACCUCCAUCGCUUGCAUCUCAAUCUCUGCGGCUCUUUCAUUUUUUCUCGCAUUCGUCUCUCUCAAAAAUUUGAAUAAGGUAUGGAUUUCAGUUGGGUCUCUCUUGUUGCAUAUUUGAGGUUAGUAGAUUGCCUAAAUCUCGACCUAAAUUUUCUUAGUCCAAAUCUCUAAACUGUGUUCAACUUGAUCUCCGGAGUUCAAGUUACUGUUCCCAUUCAAUAAUUGACUUCUUGGUUGGCUACUAUUAUUCGAACGCUGAGAAAAUAAUGAGAAAAAGAAAGGAAAAUUUUUGAACCAUAAUUUUUUCUUUAAGCCUUGAGAAUACAGAAAAUGCACUUUACCUGCAACUCAUGAUUCAUGGCUUAAUCGAUCUGAUUUUAUUUUUGUAAUUUUUUUUAGAUUUUUUUUUUCAUGCUAUUUGUAUAUUUUAAAUUCAAAAAAAUAUUUGUGAAAAAUUGUCAUAUAUACUUGAACAUAAUUUAUAAUUGUUUAAUUGGUUGCUAGAAAACCAAGAGAGGAAAAAUGGAAAGGGGAAAUGGAAAACCUAAAAACCCUAAAGUUUUCUUAUGGUGUCUUGGCUUGAGAUGUAGGCACAAGUAACAGAUUUAUCUCUUUUUAUCUAUUAGUUUUUUUUACCCUUAAACCUUAAAUGUGUUAAACUAUUGCUUAUGGUUUUGUAUGAAUCAUCUAAAGUAGGGCAUGAUAGUUUAGAAGAGAAUUUUGUAUUUGUUACAUUUUUUAGGCUAUUAUCUCUUCAUAUUAUUUUGAAAAGCAACGCUUUAUAAUUAAUAUUUAAAUAUCUCCAUUCUCUUUGAAUAAGUUUGUAGGCAUGUCUGAUAUAGUAGUACCAACAGAAAUUGUCUAAGGGUUUGAGUGAGAAUGAGAAUUUGUUUUCUACCUAGUGUAAGUAUAGGUCAGAGCUUAAUAAAACGUGGGGGAUUAUUUCCUAUUGAAUGUCUUAUAGUUCCAUAAUUCCAAUGUUUUUGGUGUAUAUAUAUAUAUAUAUAUAUAUAUAUAUAUAUAUAUGUUCUGGAGUAUUAUGUCGAAUCAGACACAAAAUCCUCCUACUUUACUAGAUAUUGUUGUGAUGUUCUGUCUUAAAGUUCCAAGUAUUGACACGAUUAUAUUAUUAGCAUAGGUAAGUAGUAGUGUCAAAUUGGGUAGCACUAAAGUAGUUGGAGAGAGAGGUUUUUGCUUAUAAAAAUGUGAACUAUGAAUAUAUAAGUAAAGGGGAAUGAUAGGGAAAAUAAGUUAGAGAUUUGUUUUUUUUCCUUUUAUAGCCUUUCUUAGUUUUUAAUUUAAUGAUUUUUUUUUAAUCUAUUAAUUUCAAUCUUUUAAUUUCCAUUUCAGUUUUACAUUUCUCAUUUUUGUUUUUUAUUUUUAUUAUUAUUUUUAGUUUUGUUUAGGUUAGGUAGUAUUUAUCAGUCCAAGAGAAGAGAGAAGCUCGGUCUUCAUAUCUUAGUUCAACUCACCGUUUGUUUAUUAGUGCCUAUCUUAAAAUAAUCUUACUGUUGACAAUGGUUAGAAUAAUCAAAAGGAGCAACAAAAAUUAUUUUUUAAGAUUUUAAAGUUACAUUUUUUUGUAUAUAUAUUUUUUAAAAUAUAACUUUUUCGUAUGGGAACAUAGUAUAUUGUGAGAUGAAAAAACUUUUAAGAUCACAUUGAAUAUGCAUUAUUGUUUGUUCAACAAUAUAAAUUUGUGCUUUAUUUCAAUAGAUUGAUGGAUGCCACAAAUAGAAUAUACUGUUAUAUUUUCGUGGGAGGCAAACUUGUCCAAAAAAAUGAUGGCCUUUGGGAAUAUGUUGGUGGAAGAAGCAAAGGUAUUCACAUUUAUAAAGGAAUGACAUUUGAAGAAUUCACUCACAAGGUCUUAGAAAAAUUUGACAUUUCCCUUCAUGUGAGGAGGAUGCACUACACCCUCAAGUUUAACCCUAGAGUCAUCCAAGAUUUAGAAGAUGAGGAUGACUUGGAUAACGUGGUUUCCCACAGUGAUGACUUUGCAAAUGUGUACAUAGUCGAGUCACCCGGUGUGGAAGCCAUAGAGGCAAAUAUACCGAAUACACAAUUGGCACUUGGGUAAUGCGUUUUCACUUGGAUGUCUAUUUAAAAUUUUAUGAAUAUCAAUUUUACGCAUUAUGUAGUCUAAUUUUGGUUAUGAAUGUAAAUGCAGAGGUCCACAUCCUACGUUUCCUUCGUCUAAUGCAUCAUGCGAUGCAAGUCCUAAUACUAUGAUGUUAUCAAGAGGUUUUGCAUCUUGUUGUGCAAAUAGUGAGUACACCCCUUUGGAAUCGAAUCGGUUUCGUGAGGUAAUAUUAGGUUCUGGACAUACAUUUAAGAAUGCAGAUGAGUUUCGGAAUGCAAUAUACCAAAUGUCAUUAGCUAGAAGGUUUCAAUACAAGUACAAGAAAAAUUCACCUACUCAUAUGUCAGUAAAGUGUUCGGUUGAGGAUUGUCCUUGGAAGAUAACAACUCAUGCUGUUGAAGGAAAUGAAAUAUUGCGAGUUUAUACUUACCAAGUUAAUCAUAAUCAUAUAGCUCAAGAUGAGUGUUCAUCUAAGGUGCGGGUUUCUUCCAAGAGAGGUGUUGUUGUUGUUGAAGACGUGUUUAGAACAACUCCAGAAUACCUUCCUCGACAAAUUUGCAAGGAUUUUGAACGUGAUCAUGGAGUUCAAUUGACUUAUAACCAAGCAUGGCAUCUUAAAGAGAAGGCAAAAGAGCAUGUAUAUGGAUCUCCACGUGCAUCCUACGCGUUUUUGCCUUGGUUAUGCCAUAGGCUAAGGGAAAUUAACCCUGGAACUAUUGCCGAGUACACUUCUCAUGAAGGUCACUUCAAGCAAUUGUUCAUUGCCCAUGCAUUUUCAAUUCAAGGGUUCACCAUGGGGUGUCAACCAGUAUUGGCUAUUGAUUCUUGCCACCUAAGUGGUCCAUACAAAGGAGCUCUUUUGUCUGCCAUUGCAUAUGAUGCAGAUGAUGGAAUGUUCCCUCUAGCCUUAGGUGUGGUUGGUUCAGAAAAUUAUGAGGAUUGGUAUUGGUUCUUGGAGAAAUUGAAGGGGAUCCUAGAUGGUCAAGAAGUAAUUAUUAUAUCAGAUAGACAUCAAGGGAUAUUGCGUAGUGUUUCGGAGUUGUUUGGGGUAGAAAAUCACGCCUAUUGUUAUCGACAUGUGAAAAAGAACUUUUCAAGCUUCUUCAACAGGCAAAAAAUUAGGGGAAAGAAAGGGAAAGAAGAUGCUUUGUUGCUUUUAGACAACAUUGCAUAUGCUCGGUUGGAUAUAGACUACAAUGAGGCAUUUGAAAAACUUGUGCGUUUUAAUGGCGACCUAGUAAGGUGGGUUGCGGAGAAUAGUCUGGAGCAUUGGGCGAUGUCAAAGUUCCUUAAAAAACGUUGGGAUAAAAUGACAACUAAUAUUGCAGAGUCCUUCAAUGUGUGGUUAAGAGAGGAACGACACCAAACAAUUUAUACGUUGUUGAUGAUGCACAUGGAUAAGCUUGUAGCCAUGUUGGACACCCAUAUGCGUGAUACAGAUAAGUGGAAGAGCGUGGUUGGACCCAAAACAGAGGAAAAGCUAAUGUCAAAUAUCACGAGAUCUGCUCCGAUUACUGUGAUGCCCUAUUUGGGUGGGACGUUCAAGGUUUUUACUGGAGAUGUUUAUUUGGUUGUGGAUAUGCAGCAACAUAAGUGUACAUGUCUAACAUGGCAAAUGUCCGGGUUGCCAUGUCCACAUGUAUGUGUUGUGAUCCGCACAUUGAGACACGAUGUGUAUGACUAUAUCGACCCAUGUUUUAAAGUCUCCACCCAACAUUUGAUUUACUCGGGUCAGUUUCAACCAUUACCAACACACAACAUGCCUAAAGUUUGUGAGGCUGGGACUUUGCAAGAUGGCCAAGGCAACGUAUUUCCUAGUCUCCAACCCCCGCAAGUGAGACGUCCUCCAAGAAGACCCCGGAAAAGGCGUAUUGAGUCACAAUUUAGCCAUAAGAGAGCUAUUCAUUGCUCUCGAUGCAAUGGCAUAGGUCACAAUCGGUCUAAAUGUAAUAAUCCAUUGCCGUGACAUGUUCAUUUCUUUGCUUGUAAGGUUUUCAUUUUGUGUACGAUCCCUCAUUGUUCCAUUAUUUGCUUUAUGGUCAUGGGGUUGUUGCUUUUGGAUGUUAUGUAUUGUCCUUAUUAUAGACACGAUGCACUACUUUUUUAUUUUAUUUUUUAUAAAACUACUUUUUAAUUUUCAUUAUUUGGAGUUGCUUUCAUUACUGAUUUAAUUUGAAAUUGCACUUUCAAUGUGGUAUCCUUUAACUUGAUGUAUACUAUCACUUCCCUAUUUUAAGUAUGUCAUACUCACAUCAUUGGAUGCGUGUAUUUUUCUUGUCACUUAGCUGAACUUUCAUAGUAUUGUACUAUACUUGUUGUCUAGUUAUUCAGUUGGUCAGUUUAGCUGUGCAUAACAUUCUACUUUUCUAUGCCCAAUGAUGCAGUUAUAAUAUUAACAAUGGCUGGUAAUGGCCUAGAUGGUUCUGCUGCCAGUUCACUCCCACUCUCGGUAUGGUUCAUCAUACUUGCUUAUCUUUGUUGUUUUUUGCAUUCUUCUAUUGCCAACAUACUAUUUGAGAGGUUUUCGCUUCUCGGUAGAGUGCCACAAGAACUUAUAAUCUAUAGUCAUGCAAUUUUAAUGUAUUGUGAGAACAUAAAUCAGAAUGCAUGUUGGUAUCAAAAUGGGUAAAAUUUCAUUUUAUGAUAUUUUACAUAUUUGAAUUGGUGUGAACAAAUGACUCCCUUGUUUAUAUAUAAUCUGAAAUCAUUUUAUGAAAUUUUCAUUUUCAGAUACCUUUUAAGUUAGUAUAUAUAUAUAUAUUAUGCAUGAAAUUUAAGUGAUUUCUUCAUCUCCCUUAUUAUAGUUACCAUGUAUCAGUUAUGUUGGAAAGUUCUCUAAUAUUGAAGUUUUAACAAUUCAACGUUUAUUUAUUAAAUACUAUUAUAUCAGCUUUGUAAGUUGUCGGGCAAUAUUUGUGUACAAUUUGGUAAUAUAGAAAAUGUGGUUCACUAACGCCAUAUCAAAUUAUGCUUUAGGGAUCUAAUGGUCUUCGCUAUACAGUUGUGGGGAUAGGCAAAAACCAUGUCCUCUAGGAGGAGGGAGGAGGGUAGAGGAAGGGAUAAAGAGAGGUGUUCUGGUAGGAAUGGUGAUGGGGAUGGGAUUAAUGCUAAUGGAUAUACUAAAAGUAUGUUCGGUUAUGUCACCUCAAACCAUAUUUUAUAAAACCUAUAAAAGUUUUAAGUCAAAAUGAACUUUCUUACCUAGUGUAAUGAUUGGAUUAAGUGAAUGUUGUUUCUUCUACGAAAAAAAAUAAUUUCUACUUCGCAAGAUAUUUUAGUUAUUUAGGUUUGUGCAAUAAUUUAUGAGAGAGAAGGAAGAUAUCUUAAACCUUUUCCCAAUCAUAGACAUGUAACCGUAGGACUUGAGAUUUUGGGUCCUUUACAAUCAAUUUGAAAUCUUCAUUCCACUCAGGGUCCAAUGUCUUCAUCUUAAUAGAGGUUUUCUUUGCUGGAAGCCUCUCCCCACUUAGAUUGAGUUUAACAUAAGGAUCGGAUGCUCCAAGGAUGUCCAUCUUCAAGAGUUUGCGUGCCCGUACAACCUUUACAUGUAAUAACCCCACAGGCUUCUUGAUAGGUGCUCUAUCAAAAUCAAAAGAAAAUAAAUAGAAGGAUAUAUUUUAAUGCUAAUCUACGUUAGAAGUUACAAGCUAAAUCUGAUCUGACAAUUGAAAACCUCUGUAUUUUUUCUUGGACCCUUUUCCUCAUAUGCAAGAACAUAUUGAUUGAAUUUCAAGUCAUGACUCAUGAGCUCAAUGCUAAGUGCUAAAAGCACCCAUAUGUGGAAUUUGCCCAACCAUGUAAUGAGGAUGAUGAAUAAACUGCUGUUUCUGGUUCUACUACUACUAGAUUAUUUCACAGAGAAAACUCAUAAUUCCAUAUUGAAAACUUACANNNNNNNNNNNNNNNNNNNNNNNNNNNNNNNNNNNNNNNNNNNNNNNNNNNNNNNNNNNNNNNNNNNNNNNNNNNNNNNNNNNNNNNNNNNNNNNNNNNNNNNNNNNNNNNNNNNNNNNNNNNNNNNNNNNNNNNNNNNNNNNNNNNNNNNNNNNNNNNNNNNNNNNNNNNNNNNNNNNNNNNNNNNNNNNNNNNNNNNNNNNNNNNNNNNNNNNNNNNNNNNNNNNNNNNNNNNNNNNNNNNNNNNNNNNNNNNNNNNNNNNNNNNNNNNNNNNNNNNNNNNNNNNNNNNNNNNNNNNNNNNNNNNNNNNNNNNNNNNNNNNNNNNNNNNNNNNNNNNNNNNNNNNNNNNNNNNNNNNNNNNNNNNNNNNNNNNNNNNNNNNNNNNNNNNNNNNNNNNNNNNNNNNNNNNNNNNNNNNNNNNNNNNNNNNNNNNNNNNNNNNNNNNNNNNNNNNNNNNNNNNNNNNNNNNNNNNNNNNNNNNNNNNNNNNNNNNNNNNNNNNNNNNNNNNNNNNNNNNNNNNNNNNNNNNNNNNNNNNNNNNNNNNNNNNNNNNNNNNNNNNNNNNNNNNNNNNACCCUAACACUCACACUUCACAGUCCACAUUCCAACUUGUUAUGAGGCUCCAAGUUUCUUUUCUCUUUCCCUUGCUUUUUCAUCAAUAAAUAAUCCAACUAUUCAAGUUUGCAUACCCUUUUCUUGGUUAUUUCCUUUUUUAUUUUUAUAGGUAACCCUUACCUCUUUAGCCACUUGAGCUAGGUCCCCAGGGCAAAAUGAUCACAAUUAUUUAUGGGGACCUCAAUGGUAUUGAGACAUUAGGCUUCUUUUUUGCUUCACUUUCUAAGUGAUUUAAAUAUGAACGUGGAGAGCCAUGCCUUGCCAAUUUCUCAGUGCCUUGGACUCUGGACAUACCUUUUUUUCGGGUGGCAAAUUCUGUAUUAUUUUUUGUCUGUAAGAUUCAAACAAUUGACUGAAGCAAGGUGCAUAGCUCUCUAGACACUUCAUAUAUCAGUAUUUUGAACCAGUUACGGAAAUUCAUUUACGCUGAUUCAAGCACUGACCAAGCAAACUGAUGUGGCAAACUUGUACCCAAUGUGGCUUUUGCCAGGAGCAGUACAAACAUUUAAAAUUGCUCAUGUAUAUCUUCUUGCAAAAUCCUUACGACAAUGAAAAUAAUUCUAUAAGUUAACAAAAAAAAAAAAACAAAAAGUCAUAACACAUAACUUUUUAAUGUAUUAUAUUACAAUUAUGUGGUGAAACAUAAUUACAAUUUCUUCACCUGUAAAUGGGUACGCAGCCAAGCUGUUGAAACUCUAGUUGAGUCUUGCCUUAUAUUACAAUUUUCAUUUUUUAGGCAAACAGGAAACUUGUAAUUAAGCAGGAUAUUAUAAGUGUAUGUUGUGAACUAUGUUUUGGUUUGAAGACUGAUGCAUUGGCAUAACACAUAACUUAAUGCUAGUUACUAUGCUAUGGUAAUGAAGGAGAACUGCUGUUGAAGUUCCAAGUGUAACAAGUAGUGUCAUAACUUCUACUUGAAACUAUGUUCGAUGUUUCUUACCUUAGUUGAUGUUCUUGUUGUAUUGGGCAUCUACCGGUUGGAGUUUAUGGUUUCCAAACUCCUCUUCAUUCAUUUAAUUCUCCAACACUCAUGGAUUCAUCUUAUUUAUUAUUGUUUUCAAGCGUAAAGAUACUCUUUGUUUACUAUUCUACAAAAAAUUAUGUAGUAGCAUUUCAUAGUGUAUCAGUACCUAAUUUGAAAUGCCCACUUCCUCUAUUCUGCAAAUUUUAGAUUAUUAUGCCCAUUGAAUCAGAUUCAAGCCUCAAAACUUUCACAAGUUUAGAUUAAUAGUCCUAGGUUUCAUUUAUUUUCCCAUGAAUCCUCACUCAGCUAACAACUUAGGUGUGAAUGAACUUUGGUCAAACACAUGAUUCGUGGUAUCAAAUGAUAGUGUACAAUUCUUCAAUGAUAGUUAUUACCAUGUGGGAAUACUCUCAACAGAAAAUUGGAUUCCAAACCUUGUCCAUGUUCAAUGGCAGUAGCAAAGUGCUUGCUCUAGCAGUUCCUCUAGAUUUUGUGUAUGUCAGAAGUAUCAAAAGGAGCAGGUUAAACCCCUUUUAAAUAGCCAGAAGAAUGAAAAGAACAGGGAAAACAAAGAGACCUCUUUGAGUUUUUUCUCUUGCUCACAUCCAUGAAUGCAAGGCCCUUAGCAGCCACCAUGUUGUUCGGUAUAGUGGAAAACACUUGGGGGAAUACAAUUAUUGUAAAGAUGAUUCCUGACACAAAACCCAGUGUGUGCGAGGGAAUACGAAUACAAGGCCUUUGAGUUUGUGAGCUUUUAUUUCCACCUCUCAAGCAUUUUAUUGUAAGCAUGUUAAGGCAAUGAAAGAAAUCUGCUUUUCCAUAGCAUUUUCUAUUUACUCCAUUUGUUCGUUGUUGUUGAAUAUCACAAAUUCAUUACCAAGGAUUUUUGUUCUAUCAAGUUGUCUUACAAUCUAAAUGGGAAUUAAAUAGGAUUAUUCAUUGAUUUGUUGAUGGUUUCUUUCUCUAAUAGAAUUAGUCAAUUUAUUUCCAUAAAUUGAUUUGAUUUCUUUCUUUUAUAUAUCAUGUAGUAUUCUCAUAUUUAUUUUUGUACUUUUAUAGUCUAUUCUAUACAUUUUUACUGUUAUUGGCUAUUCUAUAUAGGCUUAUUCAUAAAUUUACAAUCCUCCCUCUUACAAGAUAUCUCAUUGUCAGUAGCACCCAACCCCAUCUAAUGUCUUACCCUGCUGUAUAUUAUUUCUAAAUACAAGCAGACAAAUCUUUGUAACUUUGAGAAAUGACAGCUUUACUUUUUCACUUAUUUUUUGCAUUACCAACUGCAAGAAUGUUGCUAUUCCUAACAUGUCCAUGUUGUCAAACAUUGCAUGCAGGGCACAUCAAUGUUUACGCGAUGCUCAGCUGCAAGAUUUAAGAAACUCUGCAACCGGUUACCAGAGGAAAAAAUACAAGCCAUAAGAGACCUCCAAUUUGGAGGUCUCUUAAACUUAAACUGCACAGAGGUGCGCCACAACAUCUGUAUCUUUCUAAUCCAACAUUUCAAUGUUGGAUUUAGACAUAUAGAGUUCUCAGCCCAGAAACACUAUCCUAUUACAGCCACCGAUGUUGGCCUCAUUUUCGGCCUCCCAACAGAAGGGCGGAUUUUGCAGGUGACCUCUACAUCAUCAGAGCAUCCAUUUGGGGCUAUUCGGGCAUGCGAGGAGAAACUCCUGGACUUACCUGUAGGCUAGGAGUUCCGUAGAGCAUUCAUUUACUACGUAUGUGCCACAUUGUUGGCCCCCACGUCUAGGCUCAAUGGUUGUCGUAACUUGUGGCAUACCAUCCAUGAGGAUGGAUUCCGAAAUGACAUUAAUUGGGCCCAGUUUGUGCUUGACCAACUGGUUGAGGGAAUUAGGCGAUACCAACAAUCUAAGACCUCUUGGGUACAUGGCUGUGUUUUAUUUCUACAGGUAGUGAACUUAUUCAGUCUUUGUCUUCCAUUUUGUUAUAUAAUUUUAUUGCACAACAUAGUCACAUUUGCCUACUGAUGUUUGUAUUUAUUAUGCAGCUGCAUUAUGUCAUUAAAUUCCAAAUUCCUUCAGUCCAAGUCCCCAUUACAGUGCCCCCAGCAUUGGCAUGGACUGAUGAUUUGAUUAAGCGACGACUAGUCGCUGAGAUAAAGGAGUUUGGAGCAUUUGGACAUGCUGAGAUUGAUUUUGUAAGUUAUGCAUGCAUAAAUAUAUUGUCAUUACUAGCAUAACACUCAUUAUUUAAGUACUAAUCUUCAGUGCUAAUUAUAGGCGUCCCAGAGAUCUCUAACCGUAGAGAGAACUAUGAAGCCAGAGACUAAUGUGGACCAUGACACAAAUGUUGAUGCUGAAUCACUAACAUCUGUAAAUAUGAAGACCAAAUCAAGUGCACCAAUGCCAAUUGCUGGUGCAGGAAUCACUAACACAUGUUAUACUGGAAGCUUGGAAAGUCAUAGCUCGGCACCUUCUGGGACUUCACAAGGAUCCAUGGAUAUAGGAGAUGCUUUAGAGCAACCAUCAACUCACUGCAUGACAAGGAUUAAGUCAUUGCAGCAAUGUGCAUCUGUCAUCAUUGAAUUGGUAAAUGAGAAGGUAACUUAUCAAUCCUACUUUAGAAAUCAACUCUCCUUAUUUUAUCCUGUAAUAAAUUAUUUUGUCGUUUAAAAGUGCAAGCAUGGUUUCUGGGUGGCACUGGACUAAAUCUGCCCCCACACUGAAUAACUCUAGAUCACUUGUUCAAAUUUGUUUCUCCUGUAGGUCUUUUUAAUUUAGGAUAUUGUAUAGGAAUCAUCAGUUAAAUAACCAUUGACCAAUCAUUGUAGAGCCACAAUCCUGGCUCCAUAUAAAUGGAUUGGGAUCCCCAUAAGCUUUGGUGUGACUUAGUAUCUGAGGUUAAAUCUUUUCUUGCCUGAUUGGAAGUGAUCAGUAUAUUUAGCAUCGACUAAUUUUGUUUUUUGUUUAAAACAUGAAAAUUUUUGUGUUAAGAACAAUGUGUCAAGUAAAUUCAUAGAUGCAAUGUCUCAUGAUAAAGUAGUAUUUGAGAGCUCAUUUCCAUAUAGACAUUAACUUAUUAUUGAUUCCUGGUCUCUAUAUGUGUGCCACAUGCAUACUGGUUUGUGGUAGACUCGCCUUGUGGUAUGUUUUAUAGUACCAUGUAUUAUUUCUGCUGAUACAAAUUUUUUUUAACUAACAAUUUGUAUAUCUUUAAAUGACUACAUUGUCUCUUUUUCAUCAAAAAGAUUGAGGCAUGCCCAUCAUUACCACCUGAAGUAUAUUGAAACAAGUCAACAACACUCCUACAUGCCUCCUUGAUCUAGUGUGUGCCCAGUUUAGUUUUAACAUAUUGUUACUACCAUAAUGUCACUGUAAACUCCAUUUCGCUACACAUUGACGUUUCUAUGUUUGCCAACGAACUGUUUUUUAUCAUAUGUUUCUACCUUGCAUCAUUCAAUAAGAACAUUCUUUUUUGGUAGAUUGUUUUAUUAGAAAACAGGGAGUUCUGGUUUUGAUGGUAUUUUUUGCUAUGGCAGGUUCAAAAAAUGGGAUCAGUUGGGAGGUCAAUUGAUGUUGCAAGUUUUAAGAAUUAUGAAGAAUUAUGCUAGGCAAUUGAAUGCAUGUUUGGAGUUGAAGGUGUGCUAAACAACGAGAAAGGCUCAGGUUGAAAAAUGGUGUAUGUGGAUUAUGAGAAUGAUGUACUUCUUGUUGGGGAUGAUCCCUGGAAGUAAGUUCUGUUUUGUUGUUUUGUGCAUGCAUGCACUGAUAGAACCCAGAUCUACUGAACCCCCACUAUACCAUUAUAGUAACUAGACCAAUACAUUAUCAUAGUAAAAUUAACCAGAAAUAAAGUCAGUAUAUACCUACAUUUUUAGGAUCAUUUUGCUGGCAUUCUGGUGGGGACUGUUUAUAGUUCACUUUCUUGCUAUAUCUUGCUUUCACAGCUUAUGUUUUUAGUAGUUUAUGUUUUCAUUUGGAACAACUAGCACUAUGGGUUCGAUUCUGCAGUUAGACAUAUUUCCAAUGCUUAUCAAUGUUCCUCUGCCAGUGAGUUUGUUGGUUUUGAAUCUAUUACCCAUCACCACAAAGGAACUUCUGUUACAAAUCAUAAUGCUUUAAACGAAGCCUUAAGAAUAUAUUAAUGUUCAUCUCUAGACAUCCAUAUUCUAGCCAUGGUUGGGUCUAUGCGUUGUUCUCUCCUUACCCAUUGGGGCAUAGGUUACUUCCAUAUUUCACCUAAUGCAGAAGGCACUUUUUAAUCACCACUAUGCUAUUUCCUGUACAGGGUUGCCAUUCUUCGCUAUUUAGAUUUCUUAACGAAAAUUGAGAAUUGAAACUGAUGAAAGAAAAAAGUGAUUGAUGAGAAAUUAAACCAAGUGGAAUGCUAUAUCUUGUGGUCCUAGACUCUGCAAUGGUUCAUCCCUAGACAAAAACAUGUCCUUCCCAUGUGCUUUUGAAAGAUAUAUCUUCAGCUUUUAGAUUCUCUCUGUUUUCGUAUUUAUUGCAUCUUUUGCAUUUCAAUAGCCUAUACUUUGCUGUUGCAUAUUGUGCAUUUAUAUGGGUUUCCAUGAUUCCUUUUGCAUGUUUACACCUCUACUUCCACUCUUCUAUAGAUACUUNNNNNNNNNNNNNNNNNNNNNNNNNNNNNNNNNNNNNNNNNNNNNNNNNNNNNNNNNNNNNNNNNNNNNNNNNNNNNNNNNNNNNNNNNNNNNNNNNNNNCUUCUAUAGAUACUUUUUUCUCAGAUUUAGGCCCUAUCUUCUUUCAGAUGAAUUAUUUUUAAUGAAAUUACCUCUGUAUUUCAGACCAUUGAGAUUCUUUUCAGCAAAAAGAUAUUAUUGAACAUGGAGGUUAGUUGACACUCUCCUUUUAUUGCUAUGCUAAUUCACAGAUGAUAGUUUCAAUUUUUUUCCCAUUCAAUUUUUUGUUCAUUGCUAUCAAUUUGACGAUUUCUGUUUGAUUCUAUUGUACAUCAUUGUUAACUGUAUGAAAGCAUGCUUAUUGUAGAGGCAUUUAUUAAAAUAUUAAAAUUUAAUUUUUUUUGUAAUAGGAUCUAUCAUUUCAUCCAACUAGAAGAGUUUCUCCAAUUCUAUGCAUUUUUCUAGAAUACACAGACAAUUCUGACCUUUCAAGCCAUUAAAUUGAAAUCUGGCUUACUGAUGCAAAAGAAUUACUAAUUUAAUCAAAGUAGUUUUUUUAUCACUUGCAUUAUUUUUUCUUUUCUAGAUCUUAUCAGCUCAGUUUUUGUGCUGACAUAUAGACUGGUUCAUAAAUUCAUGUUUCCCUAGAAGAUUGAAUUCAGAAGUCUCAAUUUCUUGAGAUGUGAAAGCAUGCCAGAUAAAUGGUGUCCCUUGUUAGGCAAUGUUAGUGGAAACUUUAUCAUUUCAUUCAAGAGAACUUUAUAUUUGUUUUGACUUCCCAUGUUGGUUGAAUGCAUUCCCUGGACUUGGUUAGUUUAUUUUCUGUUCUACUUCAAUCCAUACCAAAACCAAACAAUAGAAACAAGGUGAAAAUGACAGGACAGUUAGAUGUUACAGGACAACAAUGAACCCUUCAUGCAAUUCUGGAAUUGUUAAUAAAAUUUUCUAUCCGACUAAAUUCUUGUAAUCAGAAAUAUUAAGCUAAUAUUGGUUUUUGCAUGAUCCUGAUUCCUUUAUGGAAUUUUAUGUCAGUAGUUUUAAUUCUUUGGUGUCACCACAUUUUUAAGAUAUCUCAAUUUACAGGGCUAUACUCCAAUCUUCUGUGUUGGUGUUUUGGAUUCUCUGGCAGUGGAAUUGAAGGCGACAAAGGAUUUCUCCAAGUUAUAUGCUGGCAUUUGCAAUACUUGGGUAUAUUGCUUUCGUUCCAGAAUCCGUCAACACCCGAGCCUUUUCUCAUCUUCUCACUUUUCUGGGCCAUAGAUAUCCCAAGGUAUGUGGUGCACACAAAAUAUUAUCACUUUUACUGAAUUUUAAACCCUCAAAAUUUUGCCUCUCAAUUAUAUAAUAAACUGUCCCUUACUGAUGGAUUGGUUUUUUGCUAUCUCCCUUAGAUCCGGAAGGCUUCUGCUGAACAAGUUUACUUUGUCCUCCUACAAAAUGGAGAGCUUGUGAUAGAGGAUAAGAUGGAGAAAGCGCUUGAAUUAUUUCCAAAACUUGCUGGGAAGGUGAUAUAGAAGAAGCAAAACAGCGACGAUUAGAGUUGCAUGAUAUGGCUGGUCUAGAAACAGGGCUACUUCCCAAAAUUGGGAAUGGAGCAUCAAACAGGGAUGGUGAGAAGAGGCCAACAGCCAGUGAUGAGAAUGCAUCAUACUCUUCCUUAGUUGGGUCAACUUGGUUCUGAUUGACUUGAAUUAAACCAUCCUUCAUGUUUGUUGUACAUUUUCAUCACUUCUCUUCACCUUAGACAUCUACCUCUCUAGCUUUUCCUGCAUGUCGCACAAUUUGCGUGACAUAAGUCUUGUUUGGAUAGACUUAUUGGAAGCGCAAGGCAUUUUUUUUUUGUUAUACACAAUAUUUUUAUGUGUCAUUUUAGCUUCUGCUGUUCAAUAGAAGUCGGUGAACGUUUCGAAGGGAAAGUCAUAUCACUUGAAAAAUUCGUCUAAAGCCUCUAGCGACUUAGGGAAAGUUUCAGAGUGUCGGAGCCCAUAACUUAAUUGAAGCACAUGAGCAUGCCAUCACAUGUUGCCAGUGUCACACGACGUGCCCACAAGUCAUGCAGUGCCUGUUGGCAGUGUCGUGCCCACCCGAUUUGCCAUUGAAUAUCUGAUCACUUGUUGUUGGUUGUUCCAAUGGUGAAGAUGGAAACCUUGGCUUCAUCAGGGGCUCAUCAUCAAUCCUGGCAACCUUGGGUGUACACAGCCUUAAUGCAGGCUUAGGCAAUCUGGGUGCUGAAAUGCAAAUGGCUCUAGCUUAGGCCUUUUGUUUUUACUUUUGUUUGAUUGAAGUUGGAAUGUAGUGUAUGAAUUAUAAAUGCAAUUCUACAUGUGAAACUAGAAUAGGAACCCUUUUAGUAGAUGUAAUGCUAUGGAGGUUGAUGUACCACUGUCAGAAAUUAAAUCAGUUGAUAUUUCUGCCAGAGCAAUUACUUCCUUCAUUUGACAAAGAGGCCUUCGGUGGUGGCUUUAUAUAAGAGGGCAAGAUGUGUAGGUGAAACCAAGUUGCGUGCUUGCAUUCCUUAAUUGGAAGGGAGAAGGAAAAGGAUUACAAUUCAGGAAUCCAAAGCCCCGAAGGGAAAACAAAAGGAUCUCGACGAAGAAUGAUCUUGCAAUAAGGGUAGAAUUAUGACUAAUUGAUCUCAUCCAUCAACUGUCUAUAGUCAUAAGAAAAUACGCCAUUAUUCUUUUAGAAAAUUGCACUAGAAAAUAUGCCAUGAAUAUCCAUUCCUUUCGUUUCUCUACUCUUAUGCCUUAUACAUCGUCAGACUGCAUGUUCAUGGGGGUUUUGAACAAAAAUAACUUGUUUUCAAAAAAUAUUCUCUAAAGUAAAUCCCCUAUCAAAAUAAAUUCUAAAUUGGUGUUUCUCAAUCAUGUGGAUGCCAUGUGGUUUGAGAUCUUUUUUUUUUUCAUAUAUAUAUAUAUAUAUAUAUAUAUAACAUUUUUUUUGUGUGGCUUUUUCCCUUUUUUGUCCUAGGUUUUUUUUGUGGGCAAAAUUGCUCAUGGCUUGGUAAUAAGAACCCACUUUGCCCUUGGGUUAGUUGGGUGGAUAUUGGCUUGAUUGAUUAUAAUAAUAAGGUUUUUCAGAGACUUAUAGUCAAUAUUUGUGUUUAAAUUAUCAAUGGACUCCUACUUUAGUAUUGGGAACUAGCAAGGUCAGACAAGAGAAAAGGGAAACUCAAGAAUAAUCCAUAAUCACUUGAAAAUUAUUAGUCUUUAUUUUGGAAGUUAUUAUGUAUGAUUUUAAAAAUUAUUAUUAACCAUUCUCAGAAUACAGUAGCUCCACACCUUAAAAGUAAUCAUUCGGCACAUCGAAAAAUGGCGAUCAUCAUCCCAAAAUUUUGGACUAAUGGGAAUGACACCGUUCAAGCACAAAACACAUUUUCAUCACUAAGUACUUGGUUAAAAAGCAAAUCUAUCAAGUCAAUUCUCAUUAGAUUACAGGCAAGUUACCUCUAUAAUUUCUAAUUUACAACUGUUACAAUUAUUGACGCACGUGUUUGUCAUACAAAGCAAGAUGUCUCUCUUGCUGGGAUUCCUGAACUGAAGCAGCUUAACCCCAUAAUGAUGUUUUGUAAGUUCUUCCAUAAGUUUCAGCACAAUGAAUUUUGUAUAGUCCUCUAGGUUCGUAUGUUGGCUGUUGUUGUUCCUCAUGUUUGGAAAAAGUAAGAUAGACACCCUUGUACACCCUUGUACUUUUAGUACAUUGGCCUUGUACACUUAGUGUAAAUGCCUUGUACAGUUAUAGAAAUUCAACCUAGAUCAUACAACAUAACUAGUGCAUAUGGCUGGGUUAACCACGUUCCAAUGUCAUGGCUCACCGAGUUGGGGAAAAAUGACACCAAAUCGAGGUUCCUAUUCAUCAUAAGCGCGCUAUUUCAUCCAAUGAAUGUGUACGAAGGGAAAUGAGGAAUGUCCCCCUUAGAAAAAAUAAAUGAGCAAGCAAUUUUUUCAAAAGCAUUUCAAAUCCUUCAAGAUAGGCACCCUUGUACACACUUGUACAGUUAGCACAUUUGCUUUGUACACUUAGUGUAAAUGCCUUGUCCAGUCACCAAAUCCCUAAUAGGUACAUAUUUUCAAGUGAAUAUGGGUGGGUAACCAAUGUUUCCAUUACCAUGGACUAGGGAAAAUGACACAAAAGGUUACCCUAAUUUCGGUUCAUAUUCAUCAUUACUAGGGAAGCUAAUAGGAUGAAUGAACAUGGUAGACAUCAAUUAAAUUGCAUGCAAUGCAUGUGUUAUCAAGCAACAUGUGUGAGGAUUGUUCCCCACGUUUGGAAAAAGUAAGAUAGACACCCUUGUACACCCUUGUACUUUUAGUACAUUGGCCUUGUNNNNNNNNNNNNNNNNNNNNNNNNNNNNNNNNNNNNNNNNNNNNNNNNNNNNNNNNNNNNNNNNNNNNNNNNNNNNNNNNNNNNNNNNNNNNNNNNNNNNUAGGCUUUAGAUGCUAUGAAUGACUCUAGGUCAAAAGCUUAGGGCUCUAAAUGCUAAUAAUGACUCUGGGUCAUGAAUGAAAAUAACAACUCUAGGUCAUAAAUAAGAAGAAUGACUUUAGGUUGUGAGAUCGAGGCUCUAAAUGCUAAGAAUGACUCUAGGUCAUAAAUAAGAUUAACGACUUAGGGUCGUGAGCUCAGGGUUGUAAAUGCUAAGAAUGACUCUAGGUCAUGAAUGAGAAGAACAACUCUGGGUCGUGAGCUCAGGGCUCUAAAUGCUAAGAAUGACUCUGGGUCAUAAAUAAGAAGAACGACUCUGGGCCGUGAGCUUAGGGCUUUAAAUGCUAAGAAUGACUUUGGGUCAUAAAUAAGAAGAAUGACUCUAGGUUGUGAGCUCAGGGCUCUAAAUGCUAAGAAUGACUCUAGGUCAUGAAUAAAAAGAACGACUCUGGGUCGUAAGCUCCGGGCUCUAAAUGCUAAGAAUGACUCUGGGUCAUAAAUGAAAGAAGAACGACUCUGGAUUGUGAGCUUAAGGCCCUAAAUGCUAAGAAUGACUCUGGGUCAUAAAUAAAAGGAACGACUUUGGGUCGUGAGCUCAAGGCUCUAAAUGGAUUGCCGAUCAGGAUGCUUUCCGGCUCAUGGUGUUGAGUAGAGGCCACUCGUAAGUGGCUAGAAUGAUGAAAACAAAACAUCUCAGGGAUGUGAAGGAUACAAACGACUUCGGAUUAUGAGCUCAGGGCUUGGAAUGCCAUGAAUGACUUUGGGUCAUAAUACAAUGAGUAACUCAGGGUUAUAAUGAAUAGCUUAGGGCUAUCUAAACAGCUCAGGGUUAUGAGCUCCAGGCUCAGUGACUGAUCUGCUAGAAGGAGAGUGCAAUACGCAAACUCCAAGUCAAAUCACUCAUGGGUGACCAAAUGAUGAAGGCUUAGCUCAGGGCUGGAAAGACUCUGGGUCUUAAGAAAAUGAUAGCUCAGGGCUACCAGGCUCAAGGCCUAGAAGGAAUGGAUAGCUCAAGGCUAUAAGACUUAGGGUCUAGAAGAAGGAUAACUCAAGGCUACCAGGCUCAAGGCUUAAGAAGAGAGUGAUAACUUAGGGCUAGGAGACUCAGGGCUUAAAAGGAUCGAAUAAAAAAAACUAACUCAAAAGUGGAUAGGAAGUAAAUGGGCUCAAAGUCAUAUACUCAAAAUGCCAAGGGUCGGACUACUAAACUUAAGAAGGGAAAUAUGCCCCAGUAUCUAGGGUGCUUGCACUACUGAAACAACUAGUAAAUCAAUCAUUAGUUGAAAUCAAUGGGUUAGAAACCAAUGCAUCAUCACAAACCUCUAAAAAAUCUAAAUUGAAAGAACUUUCUAUGUCUAAAAAGUUGCUCUGUCGAUGAAUCUCAAAAGGUAAAUCUCAAAGCGUGUAUAUCAUGGCUCAUCUAAAAGAAAAUCUCAAAGGGCACAAAACACUGCUCAUUUGGAUAAUCCAAUCUGCAAAGUAACAAUGGAAAAAACAAUCUAUUUCAUGAGCAUCUAGCUAAAUGAUCCACCCAUGCUUUUCGAGUGAAACCUGAUGUGAUCCAUCUCUAUCUGAACAAAUCUAUGUAGGGAGGUCCUGAUAUAGUCAAUCGUCAGAAGCUCUAGACUAGUACUUAAUCUAAAAUUAAGUUGGUCAUUGUCUUAAUCUCAAGAAUACUCAAAGAAAAUGGGAAAUAUGCCCCAAUAUGAGAUCUGAUGUCAGAGUCAUAAGGUAAAUAAGCAACAACGAUCAUCUAUCUAUGUACCGCUACCUGAACAUAGUCUCGCCAAGGAGAGGGGAAUAUGCCCCAGUAUGGCUAUCUAAUGUCAAAAUCAUGAGGUAAAUAACUAACAAUGAUCAUCCAUUUAUGCACAAUCUCAUCAAGGAGAGGGGAAUAUGCCCCAAUAUGGAUGUCUAAUGUACAACAAAGAAUCCGUCAAAAUCAAUCAAACAUCUCUAUAACCAUAAAUAAGGAUAUCCAUACCGUCCAACAACAACUAGAAACCUCAGAGAAAGAGGAAAUAUGCCCCAACGUGGAUAUCUGAUGCAUGACAAAAUGAUGAAUCUGAUAUCAUCAAUGAAUUGUCUCCAAACUCAAAAAUCCAUCAAACAUCAAUAUGCUAAGCAAGAGAGAGAAACCAAAUGCUUCCAAAAGUAUCUCCCAUAAGAGAAAACAUAGUAACGACUAUGCUUCAACCAAUCUACAAAAGCUCAUCCAAGUGAAAAUUGUCAAAGAUAAUGUCUAAUCUCAUGGCCUUAGGGUGGUCUUAAGACACGAGACGUAACAUAGGCCAGGGUGAAAAGGCAAAGAAACGAAAGAAAACUAGGCUCAAAUAUCUAAUGAUCAAACCCAUACCCUCGUGUAUAGUGUACAAUGCAUAGGAGAAUCUCAUGAACAUGUGAACUUAAGAGGAGUCGAUGAGAUUAUUGAUGGUGAAAUGAGAAAGGAGGAGAAAUGGUCAAACCAUUAGCAAGUCAUGUAAAUGAUGUGAAGAAAGGUGUCAAAUCGGGAGAGUAUAUAGGUGUUGGAAUGGCACAAAAAAGGGAAUAAAUAGUGGGAAAGAAGUGAUGGGAAAUCAAAUGAAGGUAGUGAGAAAGUAAAAAAAAUGAAUGAUGAGCAACACAUAUUAGUACAAUAGAGGUAAUCAUAUCACCCAUAAUGGAGUAGUAGAGAAGACACCGAUUCAAAGAACUUAGUGAAAGGUUACUGAACUCUCAUACCUAUAAAGUAUAUCUACUCUGAUCCAAGAAACAAAUGAUCUAAUAAAACUCUCUCUCUAGAGCUAAUAGGUGAUCUGCUCUGCCUCGAGAUUUCACAAUCAUAUCAUCAACAUAAACUUCAACAACCCUAUGCCUCAUGUCAUGAAACAAGGUAGUAGUGGCCCUCUGAUAAGUGGCUCUUGCAUUCUUCAACCCAAAUGGCAUAAUCCUGUAACAGUAAGUGCCUCACUCAGUAAUAAAGGUUGUCUUCUCCAUAUCCUCUGGAGCCAUCAAAAUCUUAUUAUACCCUGAAAACCCAUCCAUGAAAAACAACAUCGAAUGGCCUACAGUGUUAUUGACCAAAAAAUCAAUUUGUGGGAAAGGAAAAUCAUCUUUAAGGUUAGUUUUAUUAAAGUCUCUGAAGUCAACACAAACUCUAACUUUGUCAUCCUUUUUGGGAAUAGGGACGAUGUUAGCCAACCACUCUGGAUACUCAACCAUUGAUAUAAAUCCAACAUUGAGUUGUUUCUUAAUCUCCUCUUUCACCUAUAGACUCCAACGUGGGUGCAACCGUCUCAAUUUUUGCUUAAUCGGUCUGGCAUAUGGCAAAAUAAGUAAAUGGAACUAGACUAUAGAGGGAUUGAGACCAGACAUGUCCUCAUAAGACCAUGCAAAGACAUCCAAGUAUGACGUGAGUAAAUGAAUAAGUCUAUCACUUUCAUAUAUAGAUAGGGGCGAACCAAUCUUCAGCUCUCUAGGCUGGUCCUCUAUGCCAAAAUCAACAGUCUCAACAUCUCCUAUAACAAGUGAAACUCUCUCAUCUAUGGGAUCUGAGUCAUGAUCAAAAGAGUCUAUAUCUAAAUCGAGUUGUGCAAUCUCAUCAUCUAUAUCAAAUAUCUGUGGAGUGGGUGAGUGGGGUGCAGAUAUAGAGAUACUAUUACAAGAGACAAGCGAAUACUAAAAAAAUACUCAAAUCCAUAAAUGAAACAAUAGAAACAUCGUUAGAGUAGGAGACAUAUCCCGAUAAAACAUCAAAAGAAAGAGGUAGGUCUACAAGGUUGGACACUUCCUCAACUGGGCUAACAAUGCUCUCAAACAAACUAUUAUCAUCCUCUAAAAGCUCUAGAACAAGAAUAGUCUGAGUCUCUUCAACAACCUUAGUGGUGGACACCCCAAAUGAUUACUACUCAAAAAGUGUUAUUUCAUAGCUUGUAAUUAACUCUUUUAAACAUUUUUGAGUAGUAGUUAUCACCUUUUAACCCAAUUAACAUAUUAAGGACCCUUGCAAUCAAUUCUAAUCAAAUUGUGUUAAGUUUUGGUGUUUUUGUUAGUAAUUUGAUCACCAAAACAAUCCGAGAUUGAGGAGAGUUCUUUGGAAUCCCUACAAAAGAUGUCCGAACAGGGCGUCCGGACACACCAUCGGAGGGCGACGGAAUGUGGGUUAUGGCAGGCUGUCGGAAUGACGUAGCAAGGCUUAGUAAAUGAUCCGGACAACACAUCCGGAAUUCUGCUCCGCCGACAUUCCACCCGAAUGUCUCACAUCCGGAAAUCUUUUUCGCCGACAUUUCAUCCGGAUAUUUCACAUCCGGCGCUUGACGCCGGAUGACCGGAUAUUUCACACCCGGCCUAAUGCCGGAUGGCCGGAUAUUUCGUACCUAGCUUGACGCCGGAUGGGAGAGGAGGGCGUUUCAACUUCCCCAGUCAGACAUAUCCGGAUCUUCUGAUAGCGCUUACUCGGAGAGUUUCGCAGCCAUUUUGCACAGUGCCACGGUGUUCUCCUGAAGCUUCCUGAUAUGUCCAACCGACAUUUUGAGAUAUUUUUCUACACAGUGCCGCGGUGUUCUCCUGACGCUUCCCGAUAUGUGCGACCGACAUUUUGAGAUAUUUUAAGAUAUUUUACUUUAGAUAUUUGAUGUUUAAAUCCCCAAACUCUCCUUGUAACCCACCUAUCAUAGGAUUCCUUAGUUAUUAAGUUUGGAAAAAAAGGUGAAUAACCUCUUAUAUAUAGUUUGUAAUUUUCUUUAGAAAAUGGUAUAUAGAAAAUAUGUAGAUCUGGGAGCUUGUUCUCAGAGAUGCAUCCUUUGUACAGUUUUGGGAAGGAAGUAAAAUACAGAGCACUUGCUCUGCUUUUCAUAUAUAUUUUUGUUUUCUCGUUCUUUUUAUUUCUAGCCAAUCAAACUCUGAGGAUUUUUCCUCAGAGGAUGAGAGGCUAGGCUCUUUGUCUCUUGGAGUGAAGAAAGCCGGGUAAGUUUCCACAUGCAUAAAUUGGAAGUUUUGUUGUUUUAGUUUUUAAUGAAGAGAAAGUGUAACCUGUUAAUGGUUUUUAUCUUUUUAGUUAACUUAAAACGUCUUUAAAUCACCUAGGCCAACACUUGGUAAGGCAAGUGAUCUCCAUCCAUUGAGAUGCACUAGUUUAUCUCUUGCGAGCCUUUGGGAUGUGGUUUGAAGGUAGGAUUUUCUAGAAUAGCCAACACUUAGUAAGCUUUUGGACUCCAAGGAGACAUCCAUUAGUUAUCUCUUGCGAGCUUUUGACGGAUAAUCCAAGGUUAAAGAUCACCUUGAAUGACAAGUGCUAGGUGAGAGGUAUGAGUCAUUGCAAGGUGCAUCAGUGAGAGGGAUUUAGUGUUUGAACCCAUUAAGGGGAAGCAUCUGUACAGCACCGGUUAGAGAAUUGACUAUAUGUUAAUUCUCUAAUGCGAGAAAAAGAAACAAGUGACCGGAACUUCCUUUUUGUACAAGGAACCUGAGCCUAGUGAUCUAAACUCCAAGAAACACUUUUCUUUGUAAGUAAAAUCAAUUACUAUUUUUGGUUAGUUUAAAACCAAACCUUUUUCCACCAAAAAUUAUGUUUUCUUUUAAAGCUAACCUUGAAAUGAAAAGGCACCAAUUCAUCUUUGAAUUAAUAUCAAUUGUGAAGUGAAAACCCAUCCCAGUGAAUGAUCCUAGAGCCACUAUGCUAUAGUAGCUUUGUCUUUGCUACCCUAGUUCAUGGUGUAAUAGGUUAUAAAUUUUGUUGAUUACUCCCUGAGGACCAAAAUCAAGGGACACCAGUUGGACACGAAUCAAAUGGCACCACUGUCAAGAACCAUUGAGAGGACAUGAAUCAAAUGAGACACCAAUUGGGAACGAAUCACCAAACAUAUCAAAUGCUGAAAUAGGCUAAAGCUGAACAAUGCUGAUAAUCCGACUCACGGUCAUCAUGUCCAUCUCAUGUUGGUACUCAUCAUGGGGAACAACUCCAUCAAUCAUCUUAGUGAGAUUGACGACCACUUUGUCAUCAGUGACCUCCUCUGGGAAGCAUAGGGACAACAAACUAGCUCGAUCUAGACACGGAGGAGUAAUCGCCAUAGAAUCAGAAGUGCUAGGAGCCCUAUCACUCAACUAUAACCAGUGAAAUAGAUGCCGAAGCUUAAUCUCUCUAUCUGUAUGAACCACACUAUCACUUUCUUCUAGACGAAGUCGAAUCUUUGUUCCUCUGACAAAGUAGUCAGCCAGACUCAUCCUAUAGGGUUGAAUAUGAUAAUCAAAUGGUGUGUGAGAUAAUAGAGCCCUUACUCUCUCUUUGCGUAAUUGCGCCAUGUAUUGAUAAUCGGCCUCAAUAGGAAUGAACUCAAGUCCAAAUGUCAUAUCAUGGUCAAUGGCAGCUAUAAACUCAUUAGGUCCCUACUGACGUAGUCUUAACCUCAUGUCAGGUAAAAAAAACAUACCCUUCAUCAUAUCAAGAACCACUGUAAUGCUAUGUUGAUCAAAUGACAUAACUACAAAAUCUCUACAAAAAUCUUCAAUCUCAAGCGUCUAUAUCUCAUCAAAAGUAAACUCGGUCAGAAAUAGGCCAUCCUCACUAUGAUUAAUUUGAAGUAUUGGCUCGAAAGAGGCAAACAUAUCUCUGGUAGACUGUACAGUGAUGACCUACCCAUCAUGAAUGAACUUCAUCUUCUGAUGAAGAGAAUAAAGGAUAGCUCCAGCUCUAUGAAUCCAAGGUCGGCUUAAUAGCAAGUUAAAAGAUGUAUGAAUCCUUAAAACCUACGACAAAGUAGAAAAUAUGGCUGAACCAAUCUAUAAAUCAAUUACCAAGGUACCCAUAACCUCCCUCUUAGUAUUAUCAUAUACUUUGACUAUCUAAGUAGAAUGACCAAGGGCUGUAGCAAUGGUUAAAGGGCAGACAUUCAGGGCUGAGCCAUUGUCCAAUAGGAUAGAUGGAACUUUGUGGCCUGAACAACCAACUGUGAUAUAUAGAGGGCAUAUGUGGUCUAAACCCUCAGGUGGCAAAUCAUCAUCUGAAAACACAAUGCAAGUGGCCUUACCAACUGUCAUCAUAUGAAUCAACCCCUUUAGAGUGGUGGCAGUCUCUACCCUGAUCUGACUCAAGACUCAAAUCAAAACAUCUCUAUGAGUACUAGAUGAUGCUAAUAAACUCCAAAAAAAAUAUGAGCCUGAGUGCUCUGUAAUUGUCUCAAAACCUCAUCAUCCUCUCUCUAAAUAAAAGUAUCCUGGUGUCUGAUAACCAAAGGUGUAGAAUGAGUCAUCUGAAACAACACCCCAUUUGGGAUCAAACUGAAUGGUGUGGGAACCUAGGGACCCAAUGAAACCCCACUAACCUCACUACUGUCAUGCAAAACAAUCGGCUCGGGUAAUCUAUCAUCCCAACUUAACCUAUGUAUACUGUCAUCCUCUAUAAGGUCUAUGUGAUGGAUAUUUCCUGGAGGUGGAGACAUUGCAUGUGUAGAAUGGGUGGGAAGAGGGUUAGUGGUUACACUUGGUUGUCCCAAGUUAACCAAACUCUGGUCUAUCAAAUCCUGAAUAGCAUGUCUGAGAGCACUAUAGUGGUCUCUGUCAUGCCCUUGUCCUUGAUGAUAAGAACAGUGUAAGUCUAAUCUAAAGUACUAGCUUGGGUGCCAAUGGAGUCAAUAACUCACCCUCCAUGAGCUUUUGAAAAGCUUGACUUAAAGGCAUACCCAAUUGAGCAAACUAACGUGAUGGUCUUUGCACAUAAGUAGUGGUCUACGGGGCUCGAAGUCGAGUGUAUGGGGCAGGAGGUCUCUCUGUGACAUGUGCAGCAAAACAGGCUAUGAGACUGGAUGUAGAUAAAUAGGAGUCAUGGGUCUAAAGGGAGUAGGUGGCCUAUACUGCACAUAAGGUGAUGGUGGGUAAUAGAAUCCAGAAGUCUGCCCAAUUGUCGGAUAGCCUCUAAGAGGUCUCAUCCCUGCUAAACUGAUAGCACCAACAUCUUCUGAUCUCUAUCCUCCUAAAGGCUUCUUCCUCUUAGAGUCAAUAGGGGAAGACUUGAGCCACAAACCUCUAGUUAUGCCCUCCUUUAUAGUAAAUAAAGCCUGUACCAAAAAUCCAAAAUCUGUAUGAGGAAAUCCCAUCAAGUGCCUAGCAAACUUAGGCUGUAAGUUCCUCAUGAUCAUACUAAUUUGCUCAUUCUCUGAAGGACGAUCAAUAAUCUAUGAAAUUUUCUCCCUCCAACGGGAAAUAAAUGAGGUGACUGACUCAUUUAGCCUCUAUCUCAAAGCCUCUAACUCUCUCCUCGAGACAUCAAUGAUAGUGUUAAAUGCAAACUGUCUCAAAAACUCUUGGGUCAAAUCAUCCCAAGUCCGACAGCAUGAUACAUCCAAUGAAGUAAACCAACGUUUGCCGCACCACUCAGGGACAUAGGAAAAAGCAUAACCAUCUGAGCCUCAUCUAGUUCAUGGGCUCUCAUAACCAUAUUGUAAAGCCUCAAAUGGAUGCGAGGACAGCCUAUGCCCGUAUAUCUCUCAAUCUCAUGCAUCUUAAACUUGGCUGGUAAACUGGCCACCGGUGCUCCAUCAAAAUCCUCCCAAGUAAUGGCUCUGUCUAAAGCCCUCAUCUGCCUCAACCUUUACUCAAGUCUAUCCAUAUGUGUAUGUGGGUCCUCUGAGGUCAGGAUAGGCAAUGUGAUAGGAGGCGGGGCAACCUCAGUCUGACUAUGCAGAGUGAAAGGUAUAGGCUAUGGUGCUGACUGACUGGGUGGAGAAGUUGGUGGUACUAUAGUAUCAAACUAGGUACUCUCCUGAACUAGUACCUGUUAGGCCUACUGCCCAUCUAUCCUCUGGCCAAGGCUAGCUAAAGCUUCCUAGAUAGAAGUCAUGGCCGUAGCAAACUAGUCAACGGUAACUAUCUAUGAGUCCAUAUCCCUCUGAUCUGAUAUCUGGUUUGACUGAAAUAAUACUCUAGUCAAUCUACCUCCAACUCUAAUCCACGAAGGUGAAUCCAGAUUGGUCAUGGUAAACCCUCUUACAAAUAUGGAAACACUGGAUAAGGUGUAGUAUGAAGGUGACUAUGUAGGAAUCAACUUAUAAGUGCGCAGAAAUAUAGCCUAAAUGUACUCAAUGUGAUACUCAUCUCUGAUCAAACCAAAAGGAGACUACGGAGGGGAUAAUUGAACACAAUUGUGACCAAGGUGGCUCUGAAGGUCCACAGAUGCACCCACGUCUAGGAAUGAAAUCUUAAUUUGGUCUAAGCUAGCCUACAAGGUUGAGGUGGCUCUAUAAGAUAAAAUGGGUGGGUUAAAGAAUCUUUAGUAGAAGCAAUCGUAGCCUCCAACGGUACACACAACCCUCUGCACACCUUCAAGGAGACGGGGUGCUUCCAUGCAAGGUGGUCAUCACCUCCACACAUGCACUUCCUCGUUUUCCUAACGGUGAAGGCUCUUCCAUCUCUUAACACUUAGGGAUAAUCUAAAAUACGCGGUGAAGGAUGUGGGUGCAUCCGAAAAACCUAAGAUAUAAAGUGAGAUAGUAAACAUAGACAAGCAAUCAUACAAUCAUGUAGGUGUAAGGGUUGUCAUGCAACAAGCAGUCAUACCAAGCAGAUAGGUAUCAUAUAAACAAAGUCUUAUCUAGCAUAUGUGAGAGUGAAUCAUGCUGAAGUGAGCAAGUAAUCAAGUGAUCAUUCAAGGCAAUUAAACAUGUUAAGAUAUCAUACCAAACAAGCAAGCAGAUUGGAUCAUCUAACCUAAAAAAAGAUGUACCCUCUAAUUAAACAAUUAAACGCCACAUUUUCCUCAACUAGUGCUCAAGCUUGAUCCUCAAGAUUCCUAGUGGAGUCGCCAAUUUGUGGACUUGCAUUUUUCACGUGCGUCCCCACUUAAUGGGAAGACUCAUUUUUAUUGGUGAAAAAUUAGUUUUAGAAAAUUUAGAGUCGCCACUUAUUUUAUUUUAUUUUAAAAAGAAAAAUAAAACAAGAAAGAAAACCCUAAAGAAGUGACUCCAUAGUUUUUGGCAAAAACGUGUUUUUGAAAAACUCGAGUCUAGAUCCAAGGAUCAAGUUACCUAUUGGGAAGGUACCUCUAAAAGGUGGCACCCCUCUAAGCCCUACAAAGGUCUCUACUGACUAAGUAGAGGGAAAUGAGGCAAUUAAUUGGUUGAUUGUAGAUACCUAGGUAGGCUAAGUGAUUUCAAAAAUAGCAUGUCAAACAAGAAAACCAAUCACAAAUCAUAAAUAAGAUUUAGGGUGUGUACUUGGAUUGCUUCUUAAGCACUAUCAUAAGGCAUCAAUGGUUAGUUUGGAAAAUAAAACACACAACAUGUAUUUUACCCUAGUCUCUUAAUCAAACAUAGCAAGCUAAACAAACAAUCAAAAAGAUAUGAUGAACAGGUUGACAAUCACAUACGAAGCAAUACAUAAUGAUCAUGUAUAAAGCAAUACAUAAUUUAUGGAAUUAAGAUACGAAGGUAAGAAGCGUACCUGGAUAGCAUAGGUAACUUGUAACGUGCUUCCUCAAGACAUGAGGGGUUAGAUAAUAAAUAAUAAAAUAAAGAAAUCCUAGCAUGCUUGUCAUCUAAUUAGCAUAGCAAAAAUGAUCAAAGUAUACGAAAUCAUCAAUUAUCACAUACAUCUUGUAUAUAAUUCCUAAAAAAAUAGAUAGAUAUGAUUACAACAAGUAGCAAAGGUGGCAGCAAAGAUGAGUUUUGAAAAAGAUUUUAUGUAGGGGUUUCACCAAUUCCACAAUUGAUAUACACGAAUCUAGCCUAGAAUUAUCCCAUUUAUUUGGGACCAUAAGCUUGGAUUUGUGUCUUACUCAAAACCAUAGUUUUUAUUGAAAAUUGAGAAAGAUGCGAACCGAUCAAAACAUGGUUGCAUAUUAUUUAAGAACAUGAGAUUUUGAUUCUAAGGACUUUAAAUGUAUUUUUUUUAAUAAUAGAUUUUAAAUGGGAUAUUUUCAAAAAAUUAUUUUAUUUUAAAAUAAAAUAGAUUAAUUUGAAAACAACAAAACAUAAGAAAUAGAAUACCAAGCAAAACAAAAGAAAAUGAAAUCACAAAGUGAAAUUUUUGACAACCGAGCAAACUAAAGUGGUGAGAAUGGAGACCAAUCUUCACUAUUUUUCGAUAGCCUCUGAAAAGUAAGUGGGAUAGGAGACUGCCAAAGCAAUAAUUAAAACUUAGAUCAAAUAAACCAACAAGAUAUCCAUCAAGAAUUAAUGACUAAGAUUUAAGAAACACAUCAAUCAAGAACUAACAUAAGACCGAAUAAACACACAAACACAUUUAAACUAAAAUAAAUAAAUUAAAACUAAACUAAAUUAGAAUUUAAAACAUCGACUUUAUCUAACAUAAUUAUUUAAACUAUUAGAUUAAAAUUACAUACAAAUCUAAACUAAAAUAAAUAAAUAAAUAAAUAAGUAAAUUAAAACUAAACUAAAUCGAAAUUAAAAACAAGAUCUUUACCUAAGAGGUUUAAUUAACAAUUGAAUUAAAAUCACAAACACAUUCAAACUAUAGAAUAAAUUAAAACUAAACUAAUUUGAAAUUAAACUUUAUCUAAUAAGAUUAAUUAAACUAAUAAAUUAAAAUCAUCAACUAUUCCAAACUAAAGAAUAAAUUAUAACUAAACUAAAUCCAAAUUAAAAACAAGAAAUUUAUCCAACAUGAUUUAUUAAACUAAAGAAUUAAACUAUUAAAAUUCUGACUUUUCAAACUAAAACAAAGAAUCAAAAACUAAAGUAAAGAAUUUUAACUUACCUUUUUCAAGAUUCUUUUGCGUAGUGCAACUAUGAGAUUUCUUAAUGGAUGGCACAGCAGCAAGACUCCUCAAUGGAUGGUGCGGAUAAAGCGACUCCAAGACUCCUUANNNNNNNNNNNNNNNNNNNNNNNNNNNNNNNNNNNNNNNNNNNNNNNNNNNNNNNNNNNNNNNNNNNNNNNNNNNNNNNNNNNNNNNNNNNNNNNNNNNNNNNNNNNNNNNNNNNNNNNNNNNNNNNNNNNNNNNNNNNNNNNNNNNNNNNNNNNNNNNNNNNNNNNNNNNNNNNNNNNNNNNNNNNNNNNNNNNNNNNNNNNNNNNNNNNNNNNNNNNNNNNNNNNNNNNNNNNNNNNNNNNNNNNNNNNNNNNNNNNNNNNNNNNNNNNNNNNNNNNNNNNNNNNNNNNNNNNNNNNNNNNNNNNNNNNNNNNNNNNNNNNNNNNNNNNNNNNNNNNNNNNNNNNNNNNNNNNNNNNNNNNNNNNNNNNNNNNNNNNNNNNNNNNNNNNNNNNNNNNNNNNNNNNNNNNNNNNNNNNNNNNNNNNNNNNNNNNNNNNNNNNNNNNNNNNNNNNNNNNNNNNNNNNNNNNNNNNNNNNNNNNNNNNNNNNNNNNNNNNNNNNNNNNNNNNNNNNNNNNNNNNNNNNNNNNNNNNNNNNNNNNNNNNNNNNNNNNNNNNNNNNNNNNNNNNNNNNNNNNNNNNNNNNNNNNNNNNNNNNNNNNNNNNNNNNNNNNNNNNNNNNNNNNNNNNNNNNNNNNNNNNNNNNNNNNNNNNNNNNNNNNNNNNNNNNNNNNNNNNNNNNNNNNNNNNNNNNNNNNNNNNNNNNNNNNNNNNNNNNNNNNNNNNNNNNNNNNNNNNNNNNNNNNNNNNNNNNNNNNNNNNNNNNNNNNNNNNNNNNNNNNNNNNNNNNNNNNNNNNNNNNNNNNNNNNNNNNNNNNNNNNNNNNNNNNNNNNNNNNNNNNNNNNNNNNNNNNNNNNNNNNNNNNNNNNNNNNNNNNNNNNNNNNNNNNNNNNNNNNNNNNNNNNNNNNNNNNNNNNNNNNNNNNNNNNNNNNNNNNNNNNNNNNNNNNNNNNNNNNNNNNNNNNNNNNNNNNNNNNNNNNNNNNNNNNNNNNNNNNNNNNNNNNNNNNNNNNNNNNNNNNNNNNNNNNNNNNNNNNNNNNNNNNNNNNNNNNNNNNNNNNNNNNNNNNNNNNNNNNNNNNNNNNNNNNNNNNNNNNNNNNNNNNNNNNNNNNNNNNNNNNNNNNNNNNNNNNNNNNNNNNNNNNNNNNNNNNNNNNNNNNNNNNNNNNNNNNNNNNNNNNNNNNNNNNNNNNNNNNNNNNNNNNNNNNNNNNNNNNNNNNNNNNNNNNNNNNNNNNNNNNNNNNNNNNNNNNNNNNNNNNNNNNNNNNNNNNNNNNNNNNNNNNNNNNNNNNNNNNNNNNNNNNNNNNNNNNNNNNNNNNNNNNNNNNNNNNNNNNNNNNNNNNNNNNNNNNNNNNNNNNNNNNNNNNNNNNNNNNNNNNNNNNNNNNNNNNNNNNNNNNNNNNNNNNNNNNNNNNNNNNNNNNNNNNNNNNNNNNNNNNNNNNNNNNNNNNNNNNNNNNNNNNNNNNNNNNNNNNNNNNNNNNNNNNNNNNNNNNNNNNNNNNNNNNNNNNNNNNNNNNNNNNNNNNNNNNNNNNNNNNNNNNNNNNNNNNNNNNNNNNNNNNNNNNNNNNNNNNNNNNNNNNNNNNNNNNNNNNNNNNNNNNNNNNNNNNNNNNNNNNNNNNNNNNNNNNNNNNNNNNNNNNNNNNNNNNNNNNNNNNNNNNNNNNNNNNNNNNNNNNNNNNNNNNNNNNNNNNNNNNNNNNNNNNNNNNNNNNNNNNNNNNNNNNNNNNNNNNNNNNNNNNNNNNNNNNNNNNNNNNNNNNNNNNNNNNNNNNNNNNNNNNNNNNNNNNNNNNNNNNNNNNNNNNNNNNNNNNNNNNNNNNNNNNNNNNNNNNNNNNNNNNNNNNNNNNNNNNNNNNNNNNNNNNNNNNNNNNNNNNNNNNNNNNNNNNNNNNNNNNNNNNNNNNNNNNNNNNNNNNNNNNNNNNNNNNNNNNNNNNNNNNNNNNNNNNNNNNNNNNNNNNNNNNNNNNNNNNNNNNNNNNNNNNNNNNNNNNNNNNNNNNNNNNNNNNNNNNNNNNNNNNNNNNNNNNNNNNNNNNNNNNNNNNNNNNNNNNNNNNNNNNNNNNNNNNNNNNNNNNNNNNNNNNNNNNNNNNNNNNNNNNNNNNNNNNNNNNNNNNNNNNNNNNNNNNNNNNNNNNNNNNNNNNNNNNNNNNNNNNNNNNNNNNNNNNNNNNNNNNNNNNNNNNNNNNNNNNNNNNNNNNNNNNNNNNNNNNNNNNNNNNNNNNNNNNNNNNNNNNNNNNNNNNNNNNNNNNNNNNNNNNNNNNNNNNNNNNNNNNNNNNNNNNNNNNNNNNNNNNNNNNNNNNNNNNNNNNNNNNNNNNNNNNNNNNNNNNNNNNNNNNNNNNNNNNNNNNNNNNNNNNNNNNNNNNNNNNNNNNNNNNNNNNNNNNNNNNNNNNNNNNNNNNNNNNNNNNNNNNNNNNNNNNNNNNNNNNNNNNNNNNNNNNNNNNNNNNNNNNNNNNNNNNNNNNNNNNNNNNNNNNNNNNNNNNNNNNNNNNNNNNNNNNNNNNNNNNNNNNNNNNNNNNNNNNNNNNNNNNNNNNNNNNNNNNNNNNNNNNNNNNNNNNNNNNNNNNNNNNNNNNNNNNNNNNNNNNNNNNNNNNNNNNNNNNNNNNNNNNNNNNNNNNNNNNNNNNNNNNNNNNNNNNNNNNNNNNNNNNNNNNNNNNNNNNNNNNNNNNNNNNNNNNNNNNNNNNNNNNNNNNNNNNNNNNNNNNNNNNNNNNNNNNNNNNNNNNNNNNNNNNNNNNNNNNNNNNNNNNNNNNNNNNNNNNNNNNNNNNNNNNNNNNNNNNNNNNNNNNNNNNNNNNNNNNNNNNNNNNNNNNNNNNNNNNNNNNNNNNNNNNNNNNNNNNNNNNNNNNNNNNNNNNNNNNNNNNNNNNNNNNNNNNNNNNNNNNNNNNNNNNNNNNNNNNNNNNNNNNNNNNNNNNNNNNNNNNNNNNNNNNNNNNNNNNNNNNNNNNNNNNNNNNNNNNNNNNNNNNNNNNNNNNNNNNNNNNNNNNNNNNNNNNNNNNNNNNNNNNNNNNNNNNNNNNNNNNNNNNNNNNNNNNNNNNNNNNNNNNNNNNNNNNNNNNNNNNNNNNNNNNNNNNNNNNNNNNNNNNNNNNNNNNNNNNNNNNNNNNNNNNNNNNNNNNNNNNNNNNNNNNNNNNNNNNNNNNNNNNNNNNNNNNNNNNNNNNNNNNNNNNNNNNNNNNNNNNNNNNNNNNNNNNNNNNNNNNNNNNNNNNNNNNNNNNNNNNNNNNNNNNNNNNNNNNNNNNNNNNNNNNNNNNNNNNNNNNNNNNNNNNNNNNNNNNNNNNNNNNNNNNNNNNNNNNNNNNNNNNNNNNNNNNNNNNNNNNNNNNNNNNNNNNNNNNNNNNNNNNNNNNNNNNNNNNNNNNNNNNNNNNNNNNNNNNNNNNNNNNNNNNNNNNNNNNNNNNNNNNNNNNNNNNNNNNNNNNNNNNNNNNNNNNNNNNNNNNNNNNNNNNNNNNNNNNNNNNNNNNNNNNNNNNNNNNNNNNNNNNNNNNNNNNNNNNNNNNNNNNNNNNNNNNNNNNNNNNNNNNNNNNNNNNNNNNNNNNNNNNNNNNNNNNNNNNNNNNNNNNNNNNNNNNNNNNNNNNNNNNNNNNNNNNNNNNNNNNNNNNNNNNNNNNNNNNNNNNNNNNNNNNNNNNNNNNNNNNNNNNNNNNNNNNNNNNNNNNNNNNNNNNNNNNNNNNNNNNNNNNNNNNNNNNNNNNNNNNNNNNNNNNNNNNNNNNNNNNNNNNNNNNNNNNNNNNNNNNNNNNNNNNNNNNNNNNNNNNNNNNNNNNNNNNNNNNNNNNNNNNNNNNNNNNNNNNNNNNNNNNNNNNNNNNNNNNNNNNNNNNNNNNNNNNNNNNNNNNNNNNNNNNNNNNNNNNNNNNNNNNNNNNNNNNNNNNNNNNNNNNNNNNNNNNNNNNNNNNNNNNNNNNNNNNNNNNNNNNNNNNNNNNNNNNNNNNNNNNNNNNNNNNNNNNNNNNNNNNNNNNNNNNNNNNNNNNNNNNNNNNNNNNNNNNNNNNNNNNNNNNNNNNNNNNNNNNNNNNNNNNNNNNNNNNNNNNNNNNNNNNNNNNNNNNNNNNNNNNNNNNNNNNNNNNNNNNNNNNNNNNNNNNNNNNNNNNNNNNNNNNNNNNNNNNNNNNNNNNNNNNNNNNNNNNNNNNNNNNNNNNNNNNNNNNNNNNNNNNNNNNNNNNNNNNNNNNNNNNNNNNNNNNNNNNNNNNNNNNNNNNNNNNNNNNNNNNNNNNNNNNNNNNNNNNNNNNNNNNNNNNNNNNNNNNNNNNNNNNNNNNNNNNNNNNNNNNNNNNNNNNNNNNNNNNNNNNNNNNNNNNNNNNNNNNNNNNNNNNNNNNNNNNNNNNNNNNNNNNNNNNNNNNNNNNNNNNNNNNNNNNNNNNNNNNNNNNNNNNNNNNNNNNNNNNNNNNNNNNNNNNNNNNNNNNNNNNNNNNNNNNNNNNNNNNNNNNNNNNNNNNNNNNNNNNNNNNNNNNNNNNNNNNNNNNNNNNNNNNNNNNNNNNNNNNNNNNNNNNNNNNNNNNNNNNNNNNNNNNNNNNNNNNNNNNNNNNNNNNNNNNNNNNNNNNNNNNNNNNNNNNNNNNNNNNNNNNNNNNNNNNNNNNNNNNNNNNNNNNNNNNNNNNNNNNNNNNNNNNNNNNNNNNNNNNNNNNNNNNNNNNNNNNNNNNNNNNNNNNNNNNNNNNNNNNNNNNNNNNNNNNNNNNNNNNNNNNNNNNNNNNNNNNNNNNNNNNNNNNNNNNNNNNNNNNNNNNNNNNNNNNNNNNNNNNNNNNNNNNNNNNNNNNNNNNNNNNNNNNNNNNNNNNNNNNNNNNNNNNNNNNNNNNNNNNNNNNNNNNNNNNNNNNNNNNNNNNNNNNNNNNNNNNNNNNNNNNNNNNNNNNNNNNNNNNNNNNNNNNNNNNNNNNNNNNNNNNNNNNNNNNNNNNNNNNNNNNNNNNNNNNNNNNNNNNNNNNNNNNNNNNNNNNNNNNNNNNNNNNNNNNNNNNNNNNNNNNNNNNNNNNNNNNNNNNNNNNNNNNNNNNNNNNNNNNNNNNNNNNNNNNNNNNNNNNNNNNNNNNNNNNNNNNNNNNNNNNNNNNNNNNNNNNNNNNNNNNNNNNNNNNNNNNNNNNNNNNNNNNNNNNNNNNNNNNNNNNNNNNNNNNNNNNNNNNNNNNNNNNNNNNNNNNNNNNNNNNNNNNNNNNNNNNNNNNNNNNNNNNNNNNNNNNNNNNNNNNNNNNNNNNNNNNNNNNNNNNNNNNNNNNNNNNNNNNNNNNNNNNNNNNNNNNNNNNNNNNNNNNNNNNNNNNNNNNNNNNNNNNNNNNNNNNNNNNNNNNNNNNNNNNNNNNNNNNNNNNNNNNNNNNNNNNNNNNNNNNNNNNNNNNNNNNNNNNNNNNNNNNNNNNNNNNNNNNNNNNNNNNNNNNNNNNNNNNNNNNNNNNNNNNNNNNNNNNNNNNNNNNNNNNNNNNNNNNNNNNNNNNNNNNNNNNNNNNNNNNNNNNNNNNNNNNNNNNNNNNNNNNNNNNNNNNNNNNNNNNNNNNNNNNNNNNNNNNNNNNNNNNNNNNNNNNNNNNNNNNNNNNNNNNNNNNNNNNNNNNNNNNNNNNNNNNNNNNNNNNNNNNNNNNNNNNNNNNNNNNNNNNNNNNNNNNNNNNNNNNNNNNNNNNNNNNNNNNNNNNNNNNNNNNNNNNNNNNNNNNNNNNNNNNNNNNNNNNNNNNNNNNNNNNNNNNNNNNNNNNNNNNNNNNNNNNNNNNNNNNNNNNNNNNNNNNNNNNNNNNNNNNNNNNNNNNNNNNNNNNNNNNNNNNNNNNNNNNNNNNNNNNNNNNNNNNNNNNNNNNNNNNNNNNNNNNNNNNNNNNNNNNNNNNNNNNNNNNNNNNNNNNNNNNNNNNNNNNNNNNNNNNNNNNNNNNNNNNNNNNNNNNNNNNNNNNNNNNNNNNNNNNNNNNNNNNNNNNNNNNNNNNNNNNNNNNNNNNNNNNNNNNNNNNNNNNNNNNNNNNNNNNNNNNNNNNNNNNNNNNNNNNNNNNNNNNNNNNNNNNNNNNNNNNNNNNNNNNNNNNNNNNNNNNNNNNNNNNNNNNNNNNNNNNNNNNNNNNNNNNNNNNNNNNNNNNNNNNNNNNNNNNNNNNNNNNNNNNNNNNNNNNNNNNNNNNNNNNNNNNNNNNNNNNNNNNNNNNNNNNNNNNNNNNNNNNNNNNNNNNNNNNNNNNNNNNNNNNNNNNNNNNNNNNNNNNNNNNNNNNNNNNNNNNNNNNNNNNNNNNNNNNNNNNNNNNNNNNNNNNNNNNNNNNNNNNNNNNNNNNNNNNNNNNNNNNNNNNNNNNNNNNNNNNNNNNNNNNNNNNNNNNNNNNNNNNNNNNNNNNNNNNNNNNNNNNNNNNNNNNNNNNNNNNNNNNNNNNNNNNNNNNNNNNNNNNNNNNNNNNNNNNNNNNNNNNNNNNNNNNNNNNNNNNNNNNNNNNNNNNNNNNNNNNNNNNNNNNNNNNNNNNNNNNNNNNNNNNNNNNNNNNNNNNNNNNNNNNNNNNNNNNNNNNNNNNNNNNNNNNNNNNNNNNNNNNNNNNNNNNNNNNNNNNNNNNNNNNNNNNNNNNNNNNNNNNNNNNNNNNNNNNNNNNNNNNNNNNNNNNNNNNNNNNNNNNNNNNNNNNNNNNNNNNNNNNNNNNNNNNNNNNNNNNNNNNNNNNNNNNNNNNNNNNNNNNNNNNNNNNNNNNNNNNNNNNNNNNNNNNNNNNNNNNNNNNNNNNNNNNNNNNNNNNNNNNNNNNNNNNNNNNNNNNNNNNNNNNNNNNNNNNNNNNNNNNNNNNNNNNNNNNNNNNNNNNNNNNNNNNNNNNNNNNNNNNNNNNNNNNNNNNNNNNNNNNNNNNNNNNNNNNNNNNNNNNNNNNNNNNNNNNAGCUUUGCCCAAGAUUUCUCAUAGCUCUCCUCAUUCUUGACUUGCUUUGGUGAUCAAAAUACUAACAAAAACACCAAAACUUGCACAAAAUGAUCAAAAUUGCUUUAAAGGAUCCUUAACAUGCCAAUUGAGUUAAAAGGCCUAAACUACUACUCAAAAGUGUUAAAAAGGAUUAAUUAAAGGCUAUCAAAUAGCACUUUUUGAGUAGUAAUCACUCCCCCCAACCGACAUAUUGCUAGUCCCUUAGCAAUAUAGGAGAGAAAAAAUGAAAAUAAAUAGCUAAUUAUACUAAAAUUUACAACAUCAUGCUAAAGGAAAAUAAUUCUCAAGUGGCAUGAUGAUCUAUUUCUCACAUGAAUCAUUAAAGAAAUACAAACCCAAAUCUCAACAAGAGUCAUAACAAACUAUGCUAAGCAUUGUCAAUCAAGGGAGUGCAUUAUGCAAACUGAAGUUUUAAAAUCAUUUCACUUUCUAAGAACUAAACUUCAAUCUUCCACAAAAAUCUAUGUGUAUUGGUUCCUUAGAUUCCGAGAAUAAUAUGCUACUAAUCUCACCCCCCAACCUAUCUCUUUUCAACACUUUAGCAAACUGACCAAAAUCAAUAAGAAAAGAACACACUUUCAUCUUUUUUUUUUUUUUUUUUUCAAGGUAGCUUUAUGGGGUACUCUUUCUGACUUGUCCAUGUAAUGGGGGUCCAUCGAUGACUCCCAACCAAUUAAGGUUUAGGGCACCAAGUUUUAAGGAUCUUUCAACCACUAACUCCUCGGAUUUUUCCCCGGACUUUUAAGAAUGAAUUUCUAAUACCCAAGCAUCUACCAUAUGCUAACUCUACCUAUUCACCCUUGUAACGAGCAUUGAGGUCGGUGUCUCCCAACCAAUUAAGGUUUAGGGCACCAGGCUUUAAAGAUUUUCACCAUAUACCCCUCAGACCUUGCUCGGGUUUCAAGGCAAGCAAACAACUUUCUUUAUUUCAAAGGCUCAUUGGCCUUUUGCAGGGUGUUUCAAUUUUUAUCAAAUGAGGUCAAAUAUACCAAGUCCCAAAAAUAUACUAAGUCAAGAGGGAAAUAGCUUUUCAUGUUAUAAUCAGAAACUAAUGUGCACAGUGUGUGGAUAGCUUAAAGUGGAAGAACUCAAUUCAAUUACAGUAGAAGUUUCAACAAUUGAACUACUUUAGUAAGCAUAAUCCAUACUCUAAGUCAAGUGAAAAACAACAGUUCAAUUUCUCUUGGUUUAAUUUGAAAAUUUUUCCUCAAAAUUCAUGGAGAAUAGAGUAACAAGAGUAAAAAGUAAAAACUACAACUAAUUAACCAAUAUAAUUGCAAUACCAAAAAGGUUUAGACUACUUCCUUCCUCAUAACCCCCAACCGAACUGAGCAUUGUCCUCAAUGUGAUUUGAGUGACUGUAAUAAAAGGGAGGAAGUGGUACCUCCAUGCUGAUAUCAAAUUCGAAUAUUGAUUGGGGAAAACCACAUGUUUCAAAAAGAAUAGAAUAUGUGAGAAAAGGAAAUAAGGAAACUUUAAUGCUAACUUUUAACAAGAAAAAUUCAACUUGUAUUACUUUGAGUUCAUUUGAUUACAAUGCUAAAGACAAGUAACACAAGGAAUCCCAUAUAUAAUACCAAAAUACUGGGAUUUCAUUUCAACUAAAACAAAACAAACAUGCAUAAAAACAUAAACAGCAAAUAUAUAUAAUGUCUGAUGAGUGGGGUGAUGGUGCUAAGCAGAAGGAUCUGCCUCCUCAGUAGGUGGAUCAGUUGGGGCUUCGGGCUCUGGAGCUUGAGACUCUGAAGGCUGAGAGUGUGGCUCUGGUAGAGUCUCAGUGGAGGGCUCUACAGCUUGUGGCAGAUCGAAAUGGACUUGAAGCUGCCUUAGGAUGGCAGCUUGUUGAGCCUGAGAGGCUAACAUCUGCUCCUGGCAUGCUUUGAUGGCUGCCAACUCCUGAGCAAGAUUGCUCUGAGAAGCUGUAAGAGUCUCCAAUGCACGGCACAGCUCUCGAUAUUCGGAUAUAGGGAUGGCCAUCCUCGGCUCAGCUGAUGUGGAUGGCUGUGAUGGAGCAGGUGCAGCUGGUGGAGCUCGAGGGAUGGCAGGAGUGGCAAGUGUUAUACCUUCAGGUAUAUGUCUUGGGGAGGCUCUUCUUGCUGCUGGCUGAGGCUGCCCAGGCUGACAAUUUUGUAGGCCGUCAUAUUAUUCCAUUUAUCAAGGGUAAAUGGCUCACGGCAAAUUCUCUUUCUUUCCUGCUGAGGCUCAGAGGGGUAUCCGAGAUGUUCCAAAACUUGGCAUAGCAGCCGUGGGAAGAGGAGUGGAAUGCAAUCUGCUCUUUGAAGCUUCUUCUUGUGAACCUUUUCCUCAAAGUAUAGAAGGGCUGCCAUGAUCAGAUGAUGAGGCCCAAAGAAGAAUCCUUCUGACAUCUUGUACAAGGCUUCUAGGAGAAUUCCCCUUCUUUGGGUCCAAUGCUGCAGGGGAUAGAUAUUAUGCCUCAAAAAGGCAUCAAUCAAAAACAUCACUGGAGGUAGCUCCCCCCUCAGCAAAUGUGAUCGAUUUGCAGCUCCUCUGGUUAGUGUGCGAACCAUCUCUAACUCAGUAGGAUUUGCCCAAGCUUUAAAAUUGUCGAAUUGAGUUGGCUCAAAAGGAAUUUGCAGAGCUUCAGCAAUAUGUCUUGCUCCCAAAAUACCAUGUCUUCCAUCAAUUAUAAAAUGAAUCAAGGUUGGAUUUCUUACUUCUUUGGUUGUCAUGGUCUGGUAGAAAUCCGUGACUACCCGGGGAUAGAAAAAAUCCCUUGGAGCUAGCAGAUGCUCCAUAUGAUAUCUCCUCAGCAGCUGGAAUGAUUGGGCAAGCUCUGGCCUCACUCUGAAUGCUGUUAAAUCGAAGCAAAGUUCAGAAUGGAAUGCCCGAGUUCGGCAAUCCAGGUUUCCUUCGAUUGGGGGCUGAGGCAACAUUGGCCUUCGGAUCACUUCUUCCAGAGGUGCUUCAACUGCAAUUUGGGGCUCUGGAAUUGGCGCUUGAGGCUCCUGAACUUUUUCUUGGGGUGCCGGAGAUGGUACCGGCGAUGGAAUUGGAGUUGCUUCUGGUGAGAGAAUUGGCGAGGGAACCGGUGACGGCACUGGAAUUUGUACCGGUGAAGGAUUUGGUGAAGAUACCGGAGAUUGAACCGGUGUUAGCUUUGGGGAUUUCUCAGGGGAUUGCUCAGUCAAAUCAAUUGGUUCAGAGCUCUCAACCCUGGUUUUCUUCUUUAAUGGCUGACCGCCUGACCUUGUUAAAUAUCGCCUUGCCGGCGGCUUUGGUGGCGCCGGCUUCACUGGAGGAGGGUUUGGUCUCAACGGCGAAGGCUUUAGAGCAGGUUUUGGAACAAAACCUGGGCUUGGCUCCUUUCGCAGACUCCUUUUGCGGUUCGAAGGGGAUGAAGACUUUGCCCCUCGCGUUCGUGCCAUUUUGGGAUAUCGAUCUUUGGCCGGCGCUGCUAAACGGAGAAGACGACCGGAGAAACGGACGGCGUGGCUUGGCGAAGAAGAUGAAGGGGCUGCGAGAAUGGUGCUCUAAUUUUUGAAACCCUUUUCGCAGCACUUUUGACCGGUAUAAAUAGGAAAAACGGAAGCCCAGGGGUCAGUUUAAGUUUCGCAACAAAACGCCAAUUUCGCAGCAACUUGCCAUUUUCACAGCAACUUCGCAGUGAGUUUCGCAGCUGCGAAAUUGAUGUCACUGUGCUGCGAAGUGGCACUCGUGUGCCAAAACCACUUUCGCAAUUGCGAAAUGCCCUGCGGAAUGGGACUUUUGGUGCGAAAUCACGCUUUUCCAUUUCGCAAUGGGUUUCGCAGCUGCCAAAUGGAUGCUACUGUACUGCGAAGUGGCACUCGUGUGCCAAAUCCACUUUCGCAGCUGCGAAAUACACUCGCAAAGGCUUCUACAGUGCUGCGGAGUGGUUUGGUAACAAAAAUCACAUUUCGCAGAGGUUUCCUUCACCCUGCGAAAUUUCGCAGAGCUCUGUUUUUCCCCUGUUUUUGCUCUGUUUCGGCUCCAAUUUCGGCCCGAUUUUUUUUCUUUUCAAUCCCCUUGAAAUUUCUUCCACCUGGGAUCAUAUAAAACGAUUAAAACACACCUAAAAACAUGAUUUAAAAUCAAAAACUAAGAUCAAAAGUAUGGAAACAACUUGAAAAUUUACAAAAUUUACAAAAAUUUUGGACUGUGGUAAAACCACGCCCAGCAAACCCUUUUCACUUAAGCUUUUUGAGGUUCAAGGAGGUUGAUUGCCUCCUUUUCUGAUUUGAAUGACUCCAUGAAUGGCUUAAGACGAUAUCCAUUGACUCUAAAGCUGUCCUUGCCAUUGGAAUUCAAUAAGUCCACCACUCCAUUGGAAUAUACUCGGUGAAUAACAAAUGGACCAAUCCACCUUGAUUUGAGCUUCCCAGGAAAGAUAUGGAGUCUUGUGUCAUACAUCAGAACUUUUUGCCCUUCCUGAAAUUCCUUGUUGGAGAUGAGUUGAUCAUGCCACUUCUUCAUCCUCUGUUUUGCAACUUUGGAAUUGAUAUAAGCAUUAUUUCUUAAUUCCUCCAUCUCAUUAAGGUCUAGAAAUCUCUUUUCUCCGGCCUUGAUCAAGUCCAUAUUCAGCUUCUUUAUUGCCCACCAAGCCUUGUAUUCAACUUCCACAGGGAGAUGGCAUGCUUUACCAUAGACAAGACGAUAGGGAGACAUCCCUAGAAUAGUCUUAUAAGCUGUUCUAUAUGCCCACAAUGAAUCAUGAAGCCUAAUAGACCAAUCCUUUCUGUUGGAAUUCACCACUUUCAUCAAGAUAUUCUUUAUUUCCCUGUUAGCUAGCUCAACUUGCCCGGAAGUCUGAGGAUGAUAAGGUGUGGCCACCUUAUGCUUCACUCCAUACUUGGAUAACAGAGCUUCAAAAGGUUUAUUGCAAAAAUGAGCACCUCCAUCACUGAUUAUGGCCUUGGGCACCCCAAAUCUUGAGAAAAUGUUCUCUUUAAGAAACUUGAGAACCACCCUGUGAUCAUUUUGCUUACAGGGGAUUGCCUCAACCCAUUUAGAAACAUAAUCUACCCCCACCAAGAUGUAAGAAUUACCAAAAGACAUUGGGAAAGGUCCCAUGAAGUCAAUGCCCCAAACAUCAAAUAUCUCUACUAUUAGAAUGGGGUUCAUAGGCAUUUGAUUUCUUUUUGUUAGCUUUCCAAGCCUUUGGCAUCUAUCACAAUUCCUACACAUGAUAUGGGCAUCUUUGAAAAGAGAGGGCCAAGUAAACCCUGAUUGCAAUACCUUCAUGGCUGUUUUCUGAGAGGCAAAGUGGCCUCCACAUGCAUUCUCAUGACAAUGAGAUAGAAUCCCUUGCUGCUCAUCUUCAGGGACACACUUCCUAAUAAUCUGAUCUGCACAAUACUUAAAGAGAAAGGGCUCUUCCCAAUAAUAAGAAUGAAUUUUGGCGAAGAAGUGCUUCUUGUCCUGUGCAUUCCACUCACUUGGAAUUUCACCAGUUACUAAAUAAUUAGCAAUAUGAGCAUACCAAGGAGUUUUCACUAGGAACAUAAGUGAUUCUUCAGGAAAAUCAUCAUUGAUAGGUAAGGGAUGGGAAUUAUGUGCUAUAACUAACCUUGACAAGUGGUCAGCUACUACAUUCUCCACUCCUUUCUUAUCUUUGAUUUGAAGAUCGAACUCUUGUAACAAAAGAAUCCAUCUAAUCAACCUUGCUUUUGCAUCUUGUUUUGUCAAUAAAUACUUCAAGGCUGAAUGGUCAGUGAAGACAAUUAUGAAAGACCCCACUAAAUAAGCUCGAAAUUUGUCCAAAGCAAAUACCACAGCUAACAAUUCUUUCUCUGUAGUUGUGUAGUUCCUCUGAGCUUCAUUUAGUGUUUUACUUGCAUAGUAAAUCACAUAGGGCUUCCCAUCUUCUCUUUGGCCAAGCACAGCUCCUAUAGCAAAGUCACUGGCAUCACACAUCAAUUCAAAAGGUAACUGCCAGUUAGGGGCUCUCACUAUUGGAGUUGUUGUUAAAAACUUCUUCAGUUGAUCAAAGCUAUGCUGACACCUUUCAUCCCAUAUAAACUUAGCAUCCUUAGCUAACAGCUCACAAAGAGGUUUUGAAAGACUUGAAAAACCUUUUAUAAACCUCCUAUAGAACCCUGCAUGGCCAAGGAACUGCCUUACUCCUUUCACAGUUGUUGGAGAUGGUAAUUUGGCAAUAAGCUCCACUUUUGCUUUAUCAACUUCAAUGCCUUUUUCAGAAAUGAUAUGGCCAAGGACAAUUCCUUGACGUACCAUAAAAUGGCAUUUUUCCCAAUUCAGCACCAGAUCUUUUUUCAAUGCAUUCUAUGAAGAACUGCUUCCCAAUUAACCAAGCACUCCUUCAAAUGUACCUCCAUAUACGGUGAUGUCAUUCCAUGAAGACCCUCCAUAAUUCUUCUUCCACCAUAUCANNNNNNNNNNNNNNNNNNNNNNNNNNNNNNNNNNNNNNNNNNNNNNNNNNNNNNNNNNNNNNNNNNNNNNNNNNNNNNNNNNNNNNNNNNNNNNNNNNNNNNNNNNNNNNNNNNNNNNNNNNNNNNNNNNNNNNNNNNNNNNNNNNNNNNNNNNNNNNNNNNNNNNNNNNNNNNNNNNNNNNNNNNNNNNNNNNNNNNNNNNNNNNNNNNNNNNNNUCCUAGUGACAGCAUUCAGCUUCCUAUAAUCAAUACACACCCUCCAACCUGAAGUGAGGCGUGUAGUAAUUUCUUCUCCUUUUUCAUUCUGAAUCACUGUGAUCCCUGACUUCUUUGGUACCACUUGAGUAGGACUCACCCAAGGGCUAUCAGAAAUAGGGUAAAUGAUUCCUGCUUGAAGUAGCUUCAGCACCUCAGCUCGCACCACCUCUUGUAGAUGAGGAUUCAACCUUCUUUGAAAUUGACGAAUUGGCUUUGCUUCCUCCUCCAUAUAUAUAUGAUGAGUACAAACUAAAGGACUAAUGCCUUUCAAAUCAGAUAUUUGCCAUCCUAUUGCCUUCUUACACCUCUUGAGAACUUCCAUUAAACAAUUCUCUUGAUGACUGGUCAGAGAUGAGGAUAUCACAACAGGACAUUGAUUAUUUGCUUCAAGAUAUGUAUAUUUCAGCUCCACAGGUAAAGGCUUCAGAUUGAGUUUUGGAAUUUCUUCUUCAACAGCUGCCUCCUCUUCUUCAUUGAACAAAGGUAGAAUUCCUUCUAUCUUUCUCCAACUUUGUAGAGUAGCAAGCCCAUUAGGAGAUUCAGAAAAACCUUCCUCAAUAUCUACAAGACUUUCAUUCAACUUGUCUUGCAUAUGUUGAUUGCAGUGCUCCUCCACCAAAGUAUCAAUAAUACAUAGCUCUUCUGGACCUUCUUCUUCCUCAGGAGUGAUUUGCUUUUUAGACAUAUAGAAAAUAUUUAGAUCCAGUGUCAUAUUACCAAAAGUGAGUUGCAUAAGCCCAUUUCUACAGUUGAUGAUUGCAUUUGAAGUAGCAAGAAAUGGUCUUCCAAGGAUGAUAGGAACUAAAUUAGCUUCCUUUACAGUAGGAUCUGUAUCAAGAACAACAAAAUCUACAGGAUAGUAGAAAUUAUCUACUUGAACCAAUACAUCCUCAAUUACUCCUCUUGGAAUUUUCACUGAUCUAUCUGCCAAAGAUAAAGUGAUUGCUGUUGGCUUCAACUCUCCAAGUCCCAGUUGCUUGUAGACAGAAUAUGGAAGCAAAUUCACACUUGCUCCCAAGUCUAGCAAGGCUUUCUCAACUACCUUUCCUCCAAUCAUGACUGAAAUGGUAGGACUUCCAGGGUCUUUAUACUUCAAAGGAGACUUACACUGUAAAAUUGCACUUACUUGCUCAGUCAAGAAGGCUUUCUUGUUUACAGUCAACCCUCUUUUAAUAGUACACAAGUCCUUAAGGAAUUUUGCAUACGUAGGAACUUGUUUGAUCAUAUCCAGCAGUGGAAUAUUAACUUUCACUUGUCUCAAUACUUCUAGGAUUUCAGCUGCAUUUCUAACCCCCUUUUUCCCCUGUAAUGCUUGAGGAAAAGGUGGAAAAGUUGAUUUCUUCAGCAUUUCUUCCUUCAAAAGCUCCUUCUCUGGAAUUACUUUCAUUGUUGCAUCAGAGUCCUUCUUUUCUUCACUGAUCUCACUCUCUUUAUCUUCCAUUUCCUUCCCUUUCUUCAUCUUUUCUUCUUUCUCAACAUGUGGCUUGGGUGUUGGAUGCUCAAUUUUUUUACCACUCCUUAGAGUGAUCAAAGCUUUCACAUCUUUCACCUGUGAUGAUUCUCCCUCACGGCUUUCCACUUCAUGGACACCUUUAGGAUUUUGGUGAGGUUGAGAAGGAAAUCUUCCUUUUUCUUGCAGUGUAUUCAAAUUUGUAAGCCUGGAGAUUGAAUAUUGGAUGUUAUCAAAUUUUUGAUUCAUAUCAUUUUGCAUUCCAUCCAUCCUUUGAUCAAGUCGAGCAUUGGUGGAUUCUUGCUUUCCAAUAAAAUCUCCCACUACCUUGCUGAGAUUAGCUAUUAUUUGUUCAAUACUUGAAGAUUGCUGAGAUGGUGGAUCUGGCUGUUGGUAUUGAGUUGCUCUGGCCUUCCAUGAGAAAUUUGGAUGAUUCCUCCAACUUGAAUUGUAGGUAUUUCCAUAUGGUGAAUUGUUAUUAGGCCUAAAUUGUCCAACAACAUUUGCUUGAUCUCUAUACAUUUCCCUUUCAGCUGAAAUUGCAGGGCACUCCUCCACCAAAUGUUCAAACGAUUGACAAUUGGGACACAACUUCACUUGCACUGGUGCUUCAGCAACAGCUUGCACUUCAUGUAUUCUUUUCAGCUCCAGCUCUUCCAAUCUUCUUGUCAUAGCUGCCAACUUUGCUUUCAUGUCAUCAUCUUCUUUCAAUUUAUACAUCCCAGCCUUUGCAUUGUAAGCAUUCAACUGAGACUUCAUCUUUCCCACUUCUCCUUUGGUUGGUUCAUCCCAUCCCCUUGAAACAUCAGCUACAUAGCUCAAGAAAUCCAUAGCUUCCUCUGGAUUUUUGCUCAUGAAAUCUCCUCCACACAUUGUCUCGAGGAGUUGCUUCAUUGAGGAGGACAUACCAUCAUAAAAAUAACUCACCAGUAGCCAAGUAUCAAAGCCAUGGUGAGGACAAGCAUUUAUAGCUUCCAUGUAUCUUUCCCAACACUCAUAGAAUUUCUCAUUCUCUUUAGCUGAGAAGUUUGAAAUUUGCCUUUUCAAGCCAUUUGUUCUAUGUGUAGGAAAAAAUUUCUUAAGGAACUCAGCUUGUAAAUCAGUCCAAGAGCGGAUACUCCUUGGCCUUAAAGAAUUAAGCCAAAUUUUGGCCUUAUCCUUUAAAGUAAAAGGAAAUAACUUAAGCCUCAUCAAGUCAAUUGAAGCUCCUCCCUCUUGGAAUGUAUUACAAACAUCUUCAAAUUCCUUGAUGUGUGCAUACGGAUUCUCACUUUCCAUCCCAUGGAAAGUUGGUAGAAGUGGAACAAGAUAUGGUCUGAUCACUAGCUGCUCUGUAGGGGGCACUAUACAUGAUGGUGCACUCAUACGAGGUGGAUGCAUACGGUCCCUCAUUGAUCUGAAUUCAUUGAGAUUGUCUUGACGACCUUGGUGACUAUGCUGAUCUUCAGGUGCAGCCUCCAUGAUAUUCAAGAUUACUUCAAAUUCUCCUCUCUGAGGUGUAUCACACUUAACAAGCCUACCUCCAAUGUCUCGUAUCCACUUGGGCAUACACAACUAGUAUUCAGCUGCAACUUAAAUAAAAACAGAGGACAACAAGAACAGAGGACAACAAGAAAAACAGGGCUACAAUAGCAAAAUUAAACUAGACUAAAUUUUAAAGAGAUAAACUUAGAUUGUAAAUAAACAAAGAGAGAAUGAAAAUUAGUAAAGUGAAAGAAACUUUACCAACUUGUGAUGAAAAUCACAAGUGCUCAACAAUGGUAUCACAAUGAACUUGACACUCAUUCCCCGGCAACGGCGCCAUUUGAUUCAUGCCCAAUUGGUGUCUCAGCUGAUUUGUGUUCAGCUGGUGCUCCUUGAUUGAGGAAGUGAUCAACAAAAUUUAUACCUAUAACACCAUACACUAGGGUAGCAAAUACAAAGCUACUAUAGUAUAGUGGCUCUAGGAUCGUUCACUGGGAAUGAUGAACAAGCAAUCAAGGAUACCAAUUCCAAGUGAAUUGGUCUUGUUUCAUUUCACGGUUAGCUUAAGAAGUAAAACACAAAGUUUGAUUGGUAAAGGUUUAGACUUAAACUAACUAACUUAACAGAAGUUUGGAAUAAUUUAGGAAGAAAAGCAUUCCUUGGAGAUUUAGGUUCACUGGGGUGGUUCCUCAUGCAAAAGACAUAGCUUCGGUCAGAUGGUUCAUUUCCUCGCAUUAGAGAUUCAACUUAUAGUCAAUCCUCUAACCGGUGAUGUACAGAGACUCCUUCAAUUAGAUUUCACUUUAAUUCUCUCACUGAUACAACUUGCAAUGGUUCAUGCCUCUCACGAGCACUUACCAUUCAAGGUGAUCUUUAACCUUGGAUUCCCCUUCACAAACUCGCAAGAGAUAACUAAUGGAUAUCUCCUAGGAGUCCAAAAGCUUACCAAGUGUUGGUAAUUCCAGAAAAUCCUACCUUGAAGUCACCUACCAGAGGCUCGCAAGGGGUAAACUAGUGCAUCUCCACGGUUGGAAAUCACUUGCCUUACCAAGUGUUGGCCCAGGUGACUCCAAGGUGUUUUAAGUUAACUAAAAACAUUGAAAUCACUAAAGGAUUUCACUUCCUCUUCAUUACUAGCUAAAACCACAGAGCUUUGCAUUCUUGCACUUGGAACCUUCCCCGGCAACCUUAGUUCCAAGGAAUUGGAGGUUUAGUUACUCAUUCUCUGGGGAAAACUCCUCAGAGAAUUCAUAACUUAGAAAUAAAAUGAAAAUACAAAGUGAGAAGGUAAGGCAGUAGAAAAAAAAGACUUUACUUGCUUACCAAAUGGUUACAGAAGGAACUCCUCUCUGAGAACAGGCUCUCGAGAGGUAUAUAUAUCAAAACAAUAUAAAACUAAUUGUUACUAAGAUAUUUGGUCUUUUUACUAACUUAAAAACUAAGGAAUCAUGUAAUUGGUGGUUUACAAGGAGUAUUUUGGGAUUUAGACAACAAAAAUCUAAUGGAAAAUAUCUCCCAAUGUCGGUAGCAAGCUUCGGGAGGCUUCAGGAGCCAUUUCGCAGGUGAAAAAUGAGGUCUGCGAAAUUUCGCAGACACCCAAGAGGGCUGCGAAAUUAUUUCGCAAGACCAAGCUAUCUUCACCUGGCUGCAAAGUUGGCUUCCACCUUGAAGUUUCCAGCUCCCUUCUCGCGGCAUGGUUCGUGCAUCGUCAGAAGGAGAAACACCUUACUGUACAAAAGUGCUGCGAAAUUCUCGCAACAAAAGGCUGAUUCCGCAACACUUUAGAGUGACUGGCUUGUAAUGGCUGCAACUUCUUCAUUUCAACUCCGAAUCGUGCACCGUUUGAAGCAUUGGAUUGUUGACUUCCUGAGCUUUGAAAUGGUAUAUAGCUUGCAUCAUUUGGACUUCAGAAAGUGCUCCAAAAGUGGCUGCUACAACUGUCAUCAAGAAUAGGCUUCAUGGCAGAUUCUCUUUGCUUUUUCUCCUUGCAAUCCGAAUUCACUCUUGGCAAUUGAAUUCUAAGCUUUGCCCAAGAUUUCUCAUAGCUCUCCUCAUUCUUGACUUGCUUUGGUGAUCAAAAUACUAACAAAAACACCAAAACUUGCACAAAGUGAUCAAAAUUGCUUUAAAGGAUCCUUAACAUGCCAAUUGAGUUAAAAGGCCUAAACUACUACUCAAAAGUGUUAAAAAGGAUUAAUUAAAGGCUAUCAAAUAGCACUUUUUGAGUAGUAAUCAGAUACUUCAUUGACUAUAUCAGUAUGGCUAAUAGGAAAGUACGAAUGCUAGUUUUUAUCUUCAAUUGGCAUCCCCUUUUUUAUAGAGCAUCUUCCAUCCAUUUUAUGUCAUUUUCUUUCCAUUCAUUUUAUGUCAUUUUCUUUCCAUUUCAAAUCUACCUCCCAAGCUACAAGUUCUUUUUUUUUUUUUUUGUUGGAACCAUUCGAUGUGUCCAAUGGAAUAUCUACAACAUCAUCAUAUUUCUCAUUAAAUCCCAGGUUUGCAGAUGCAGUUAAAGGAACGCUCAACCUUGAUCCAAGAGUAGUAGCAACCUUCAAGAAUGGAUUGACCUCUUCCUCAUCGAUCAGGUUCGGAUCGUUUUGGCGAAUCAUGUCUAUUUUUAGAGAUGGAGAGAGAAAAAAAGUAGAUAUUGUGUUUGGUUAGAGUGAAAACACACACCACAACAAGCUGCUACGCCUACAACACACCGAUUGCCCAUUUUUGUCUUCAAACCGUAAUCUGAUGCAUUUUCCACUCGAAUUCCAAUCUGGUUAUUCUUUAUGUCACCUACGCUAGUGGAGUUCAUUCUGCUACUAUCUAUGUUCGUGGAAGAGAAAUGGCGAUGCAUCAAUCGGAGGGCAAUAUUAUUGAUGAUGCGGCAAAUGAUGGUGUGAACUCGCAUUUUUCAUGUGUGCCCCCACUCGAUCGGAGAGACUCGCUUUUUAUUUGUGAAAAAUUAAUUUUUGGAAAAAAGUUGGAGUCACCACUUUUUUUUUUUUUUAUUUUAAAGGGAAAAUAAAACCCUAAACAAUGACUCCAUAAUUUUUGGAAAAGCUUGUCUUUGAAAAACCCGAGUCUAAGUUCGGGGAUCAGGUUACCUAUUGGGAAGGUACCUUUAAAAGGUAGCACCCCUCUAAGCCCUAUAAAGGUCUCUAUUGAUUAAGUUGAGGGAAAUAUGGCAAUUAAUUGAUUAAUUAUAGAUACCUAGGUAGGCUAAGUGAUUUCGAAAAAAUUGCAUGCUAAACAAGAUCAAAUCACAAUAAAGGAGAGUUAAGGUGCGUACCCGAACCGCUUCUCAAGCGCUAUCACAAAAUAUCAAAGUUAGUAUUGAGAUAUAGCACACAACAUGUAUUUUAUCCAAGCAAGUCGAACAUACAUCUAAGCAUCCAAGAAUCAUGUCAAAUAUGGAUAUGGUCAUCAAUGGCAUACAUGUCCAUAGAGUUCUAAAAAAAACAACAAAAAAAAAAAAGUGAGAAGGAGCGUACCUGGAUAGUAAGUUAAAGCACCUUUAUAGGAAACAAGUUUGCUUAAUAACAAGUGCGAAAUAAUCUCACAUACCACAAAGAGGAAGCACAAUCAAUCAAAUAUCAAGCAAACAAUAUUGAUGAGAAUAUCAUGAAUGUCGGGCCCCCACCAAAGCCCUAAUUGAUUUUGCAUGAGUUGAUUCUAUGAAUUCCAUUGUUUGGAAUCAUGGAGUUUGUUCAUGCUUGUUGAAAAUCAAGAAAAUCACAAAAAUAGUUGAAAAUAAAACAAAAUAGUGAAAACGCGUGCCGGAAAGAAAAUGACACAAAAAGAUUUGUUGAAAUUUGGAUUUUAAGCCUAGAAACUCCUAAGGAAGCUUAAAGAAAACUAGAGUCAUUUUGACGUGAAAUGGUUUUGAAAUCUAGAUUUAAGAUGUAUAAGAUCACAAAAAAUAAUGAAAAGAAACGUUAGGAGGAGUAUGAUAUGUGGUAAGGUGGCAAUUCUGUGGGUGGAGCCUAGAAAUAUGAUUGAAACUACAAUGCUGGUAUUGAAUCCCAAAAUACAUUCUGCCAUCUUUUAGCACUUUUCGUGGCUCCCUGUUGUUCAAAGUUUUGGUGACUUUCAGUGAGGGGUGAAGAGUUCCAAUAAACUUGAGUUGCUCUUGAGAAAUACGGAUUCUAGCGUAAUCAGCUUUCCCUAUCCGUGUCUUCCUUGGAUCCAUGAGCUCAAAUUGAAGCAAUUACUGAAUGGGGAUUUUGACGGGCAUUUGAUAUCAAAGACAUUGCUAGAAGAGAGCUUGAGGGUUUAAUCAGUUUCUUCAGCACAUUGUCAAUCGACCUUUCCACUGUUUCACUCUCCUUGUUUGUGUUCUCACAUGCCUUAGCUGUUGGAAGUUGAGACAUCAAUUCAAAGGUUUCUUCAAGCUUCAUGUUGUCAACCUCUUCAGCCUGUGGACUAGUUUCAAUUAUGGUGUUUGUUUAUAGUGUCUUAUCUUCUGAACUAGUCUUAAUGAUCUUUAUAUAUUUGUAACACCUAGUACUAAUGAAUUAAAUAGGCAAUAAUGAUUAUUUUAGUACUUAACUUUAAGCUUGUUUAAUUAGAUGUUAAAACCAGUUUAGUGCUAAUCAUGUUUAAUUAUGAAUUAAACUUUGAUUAAGGUUAAGUGGGAUUAGUUAAUGAUCUAAGCAUGCUUAUUAGGUUCUUAGGGACUGAUUAGGGUUAUGAAAACCUAAAGGACUAAUGGGCAAUUAUGGGUUUUAUUUUUGAUAACUUGAAGGACUAAAGUGCAAAAUUGGGAAAUUGGAGUUACUAGAAUGCCACCUCCUACUUGGGUGGAUUGGUGGCGGCCAUGUGGGCUGCCACCUCGUGCUUAGCUGCAUGGAGACCCCUUUAUAAGGGGGCUGCAGCUCGUUUUGCACCAUUUCACUUGCAGCAACUUGGGUUAGAGAGAGAAUCUAGAGAGAGAAAGUGUAGAUUUGAGGUAAGCAAGUUGUUUAAUUUUGUAAUUUUCGUUUAUUUUGGUUCAUAAUGGUAUGUUGAAAAGAAUUAACGGUAAAAAUUGUGUAAAAGUUGAGUAUAAUUAGCUAUAAACCCGUUUUAGCUAAAAAUCACAAUUCAUUAAAGAUUAAAGUAUUUUAACUUUAGUAUUUUAUUAAUGGUAAGAUCAGCAUAAAUCUUUGUUUAAUUUGGUUUGAUUGAAAAAUAGAUUAGUAAACAUGUGAUGAAUUGGGUUAUUUGGACAUUUGGGAUUUGUUAAUAGGUUAGGCUUUAAGAAAAUCAAAAGAAUUAGUGUUUGGUAAUUAAUUAGGGAAAUUAAUAUGCAUUGUAAAUAUUGUUUAAUUCAAUUCAAAUUUGAUCUGAAAACAUGUAGGAUAUAGAUUAGAGAAUGUGAGAAUUAAAAAUUUGCAACAAUAAACUAUAUAAAUUUUCAUGGUUAGGAAACCUAAAUUAUGUUGUUUCAUUUCAGUUCCUCGUAAUAGGCAAAGAUCGCCUACUUAGAAGAAACAUAAAAAGGAAGUCAGCGUAAGGUAGGGAAUUUUAUGUUAUUCUAUGGUGUAUCUGAUUUCUUUCCUUGAAUUAUUUGUUGGAAUUUUAUGUUAUUUCUAUGAUUUCAUAAAAUCUUUGAAAGUGUCAUUGCAUCUCGGUUUAUUGCAUUGAAAUGUUACCAUGAUGUUGGAACGUAUAUUGGUAUGAAGAUUCGUGGUUUUGUGUUGUCGAAAUGGUUUAUGGUGUGAUUGCAUUGCAAGAAGGAUAUGGAAUUAUCACAGAUCAUAUUCAGAGAAUUUAUUGGUGGCGAAGUGCUUAUGUGAUGCUACAGGCCUUAUCAUUUGAUAUAUUGUUUAUGUGGGACCGUGGGUCCUUGGGUGAAAGUCCCUAAAGCCCUCGAGGAAGACACUCCGAUGUGGGUGUAUGGGGUUGGUUCUGCCCCUGGGUUUUAGUCCCUAAAGACACGAGGUUGGUCCUGCCCUUGGGUAUGAGUCCCAAAAGACACGGGGUAUGACUUGCCCUUGGGUGAUGUCCCAGAAUAGUCAUUAUUAUAUUGAUCGAGUGUCUUGUGGAGCAUUGAUAUCUGCUGUGUAGAUUGUUGGGAGUCAGCAAUUUAUCAGUUGUGAAAGGAUGGAUGGGGAAAAGCAAUGAUGAAACCAACAAACACAUGCAUACAUGUUUGACAUGAUUACACAUUUGUUAAUGGUUAUGAAAUGUUUAUCAUGCAUGUGAUUAAACGUUUAAUUCAAGGUUUUUAAGGGUAUACUUAGGAUGGUUAUAAACUUUCCUACUGAGUUGUGAACUCACCCUAUCCCUUCCACCUCUAGAUGCAGGUCAAAAGACCUAUAUAGGAAAGAAUGCUUGAGCAAUGCUUUACUGUGAUUGGAUGUUGUUUGCUCAUAUUGAAAGUCUUUCGAGGCCAUGCCUUUUGUAUCAAGACUAAACCUUUUGUUGGAAUGAUGUAAUGUAUAUAUUUGUCAGAUACACUUGUAGUAUGGGCUACCCAUAGUAAACAAUGGGGUUUGGUAUAUGUAAAUUAAUGUUGUACAAGUUUCUUUUGUGAAAUAAAACAUAUUUUGUUAACUUAAUAGUCACAAUGUUUAAUACAGGAUGUACUCUUUAUAACAGGUUUUCCAUAUCCUCUUUUUGAACAAAUUCAAGUAGGAACUCAACAUUUAAAUUUUUGAGAGCACUUAUACUGUAUUUGAGUAUCAAUUGUUUAGUUGAAGAAUAAAUAAUAAUAAAUAAAUAAAAAAUUGGGGUGUGACAAUAUUUGUCAUUCAGUUGAGCUUCCUGCAAGCUUGACUCUUCUGUUCCCCCCUCUUCAGAUGCAGCAUCAAUAUUGUUAGAGCAAGUGUCGGCAUCUUCUAUGACGUCCUUAUUAAUUUCUUCUGAUAUUUUAGAUACAGAGUUGGGGACAUCCACUUUCUUUUCACCACUCUAUUUCUGUAGCAUCUCUACUUCCAUUGCUUUUGUGAUGGGAAAUCUUUUAAAGUCUUUGCUGAAAUCUUCCGCAACCUAUAGGUUCACAUUUUUAGUCUACACUUCAGAAUUUGUCGUUCUAGGAUUUUCAUCGAGUAUUAUCUCAGAAUGCUGUUCCUUAUUAACCGAUUCAACUUCAAUGGAUACGACUGGAAAUUCCUUGAUGUCUCUCUCUUUCUCUAUGAUCAGUUCUUUGUUGUUUUCAUAUUCUUCUGCAGGUUUCUCAGCUCCCUCAGGCACCUCUACUGGCAGCUCCAUGAUUCUGUCAGUUUCUGUUAGAGAAUCUGAGCAUUUUAUUGCGGACGUGUUUCUUUGAUGCUCUAACUGUGAUACUUCAUCUAGAGUAAUGCAUUCUUCUUUUGGUGGUUCAUUCGGAUUAAUUUGCUAUAUGUUCUCAUUGAGCUCAAGCACCAAUCCAGAAUUUUCAAACUCCCUAAACUCUUCCUAUUGCAAGCAUAUUUCUUCUGCUGCCUUUGUGGCAAAAGAAACUUCUAAAUUCUCGUUUUGUGGGGUUUCAUCUUCCUUUGCCUUUCCGUCUUCUGAGUACCCAAUUGUUGGUGUAAUUCCAUGAUCCUAUUCUUUAGAAAGCAAUGUUUUGGAUGUUUCCUAAUGAUUAUGCAUUAUGAUCUCAUUAUUCACAAGGAACCGCAAUGCUAAAGCUUCCUCCACUUCAUUUCAUUCCCACUUCAUGGAACUUUGUUGAUCCAACAAUAUGCUGCAUCCACAUAAUAACAGCACACUUGGUUCGGUUUGGAGACAAGCAAGUCCUCUAGUGCAGCCCAGCGAUGCAUCAAUAGAUAUUUGUCAACACUAACUACCAUAUUCACAGCAUUUUGUCUUUGGUCUUGGAGAAGAGAAAAUAAAUCUACACGGGUACGAUAAUUUAGUCUUCGACUUAUUUCAAUAUUAAAAUUGCUGGGACAGAAUAUUAUUCAUCUGCGAGCAACUAAAAUUGUAGAACUGUGCAGAUAUCAGUUCCUGUAUCUUCCUCUGAAGAAUUUGGAGAUGCCUUUUCCUUAGGUCCAAUUCACAAACCUAAGCAUGAAAACAAAUCAUCCUCUCCGAACUAAACAAGAAUGGUGACAAGAAACAAUACAAUAUCAUACGGUUUAUGUUCUUAAGUAUUGAUUGUAUAUAAGCAUCAAGUUGUUUGUUCCCUCUGGUGAUAGAUAAAAGACCUUUUCCAGGAGUUACUCCUUCAAUCUGUCCAUCUUUAUUUACAAGCUGCAGCAUAACCAAGAAUUCUGGAAUUUUUAGGAUGAUGAUAGGCUAAGGGAAGCAUCCAUAUAUACACGAUCUGCAAUCAUUAUGCACAAUGUAUCUAAGUUAGGUGACUAGCGGCUCUUGUCUAACUUUUCUUCAUCUUCCUCGUCAUCACGCGAGAGACGCCUUUCAAGGAGGUUCAUCAGCCUACUAAGGCACAAUCCCUGAAAACUAAAAUGGGUUUUGCACCAACAUACAAGCUAGCAGUUUCCAGAAUGGUCUCCAUGACCUGGGCUGUUUUCAAUUAGGUUUUUCAUAGUAUCACCAUAAAACUGAUCAAGUAAAGCAGCCAGAACAAGUGCAGAUCCCCUAACGCGUUAAUGAGCUUUCCCCAUUCCCUUUAAAUUUUCGUCCUCAAGUGUAUCCAUUAAUACCAUUGAAAUUCAAGAACUUCCUUAUUUACCAUGAGUGGAAAACAGUCUGCAUAGAACUUUCUGAAUCCACCAAUAGAUGAAAUUGAACUUUUGACAUCUUCUCAGUUGGUUGAAGGCCACAUGGACGAACAUACAUUUCCCCAUAAUCUCUCAUCUUGAGAUUGAACAGAAUACUGCACAAGCAUGGGUUGCACUAGUCAAAGCUGGGUCGCCAUCGAAAUGCUUCAAUAUAUCACAGAAGAUAUCACUGCUCAAGGAAGCCAUGUUGUCAACCUGUGAAACUGACUUUGCCAGUCCUUUAAUCACCAUAGAUUAAACUGAAAACAGUUGCAAGCUUCCAUCUUCAUACUCAACUGUACCAUCAAUGAGCAUUUUAGGCAUUGCAAGCAUUCUUCCAUGAAGAUAGUAGCUGCUUCAGUGGGUUUUCUAGAGCAUUUUGAUACCCAUCCUCAAGUUAGAGAUAGACAAGCCAGCACCUAAGCGUAUCAAUCAUCCUUGAAAAUCCAAACUUCAAGAUGGCAGGCAGUAUUAGAUAUCCUAGUAGCCGGGGAGGAGCAUACUAGGCUCCUUCAAAUUGAUCAGUGGUGGGACCAGGAAUUGGAACUGGUUACUGACCCAGAACAGAAGGUUGGAGGAUCAACACGGAGCUCAUGAGGUAACCAGAUUAUUUUCCAAGUUGUGGUAUAACCUGCUCCUUCACCUUCAAGUUUUUAAGCUGAGCCACCUAAUGGUAAAGCAAUUCCCCACAAACUUUUCCUAGAAAGAUAUGCGCAAGGGUUGAUGUACUCUUCCAAAUAUGCCUUCCCCUGCUCGUAGAGGAUCAUUGUAGAGAUAUCUAGCAGAGUCACGUAAAAACUACCAUUACCAAUGCAAGCAAUCAUCACCCUCUUGUUUGGCACGACCUAUGCAUACCCAAGAGUGACACCUACUAACCAACCAAUUGAUCCGUAUUGCAAUUGGAACUCAUAUCUGCAUCCCCUAGGCAAUUUCAGUUUCUGACAGUUAAACCAAGAAUCUCUAGUCUCAGCAAUGACAGCAGUCUCACUUGACAACAUUUUCUGUAUAUCCUGGAACAGAACAUAAACCCUCAAAGGCUCCUUGGGAUCAGACUUAGGAGACUGUCCCUCAGGAACAUAGACUCUAUGGUAGUUCUCAUAAGCAGUGAUAUUGCAUUUGAGUCUCUUGGAGAGUGACUUGAGGAAAUUGAUUCUGAUGACUUCUCUAAACAAUGGGUAUCUUGUUUGAACCCUUAAAUUCAUUACUUGACAGGUUCAGAUGUGUCCCCAUGGAAGAUGAAACUGAAUUUGGAGGUAACAUACUCAUAGAUGAUGAGAAACCAAUUCUAGAAGCCUGCUUCUCCAAAGAUUCAUCUUUUAAAAUUCCUGGAAUGGCAUUUCACUUUUCAACCUGUACAGCAAGGAAAGAAGACAAACUCUGUGGGGUAGACAGUUGGGAUUUUUGCUGCUGCUCAUUAGUUUGAUCAGCUGGUUCCUAUUUUACAUAAGCCAUUGACAAGAUCUGCUCUUUAUUUGUUGAUGAUUGCCAAGGAACAGAACUCUGUUGCAAUGUCGAACUAUUUGAUGGAUGAGGAAAAGAUCCACCAUGCACUCUCUUGGGAUCAGUAACAGAACUCUGCCUCUCAAAUUUGGGGCACACUCAUUGGAUUCAUGGCUUGACUCGUUCCUCCUUUCUGAGUUAAACCAAUAUUUUGGUGAAGGGACGCUCGUCUCAUUUGGGAAUCAUGAGGUUGUUGUUUUGUAGAUGUUGUUGAAGUAUUAACAUUAGUGCCUGUAUAUGAGUGAUAAUUACCACCAACACUCCCAUAUAUAGUAAAAGGUGUCUGUGAAAUGUGCAGAUGCUGCUUCUGUUGCUGAGGCUGCUGCUACUGCUGCUAUUGCUGCUGUUGUUGCUGUUGGUGCUACUGCUUUCAUGCAUGAGCACUAGAGGAAUAUUCAUCAGUCAGACAAAGAGACAGACAGUGAAUACCUUUCAGAAUGACACUUGCUUUCUUUCACUUACACCAAGUUCAGAUCCUGAUUAUAUAUUUCAGGAACGGAUCUCUCCGAAAAUGAUAUCAAGUUCCAUUGUAAUCUAGUAAUAUCAGCCCGAUUAAGUCUAUUUUCAGUAACUGGCAGUCUCUCAUUGAGAUGUCCUAGAUAUUCCAAAUCAACAUGACGAUCUCAAGGUCUAAUAUCCUCUUCUUCGAUCAUAAGUAAAACCAUCCAGCAAAUGUUUCAGUACAUGUACUGCAUCCUCAUACCUUAGCACAACCAUUCGAUGAUUUUAGACCAUAAAUUACACAGCUGAUUGCGCUCACAUUUGAGAAAGGAAAUUCCCAACAAGAUCGCUUUGGAGUAUACCCUUGAUGCUGAAAGGCAUGAAAGGAAUGUAGCUUUUGAUUCAGAAAUUGAAGCUUGAGUUGACUUUGAAUAGGAAAUGAAUAGGCGGGAAUUGGAUAUACUAAUGCAUCUUAACAUCGAUCCAUUGUUAUUGUCAUCAAGAACUUCAUCUAUUAUUUAUGCAACUUCAACAACCUCUUCAUAAACAGGUAGAUCAUUCAAGCCUGAGAAGAUAUGUUCUGAAUAUAUGCAGUUAUAAGUUGGAUACUCGACUAUUCACAAUUCAACUAGUAGAAAUGUUGAUAUUCCUGCUCUCCAUUAAGGAAGAAAAGCCUCAGAGCACGCUGGACAUGAGACUCUGUUUUAGAAGAGAUCUGAACGUAGGUUCCUGUUUUGUUCAGAAUUGCUCUUUAUGGGCAUGAUCCAAUCUUCAUAAGUAGGAAGAAAUGAAGCCAUAAGACAUUUGCUUUUUGGUACCAGUCUCUACACUAGGGUAAGGCACUGCUGUAAAGUGCUUUUUAAUAGGACAGCUGCGUGCACUUGCUCUUUGAAAGCAUGAAACAGAACAUGAAUUAACAGAGAGUUGAUAAUAACAUAGAUGGUUCGAAAUAAGCUCUUAUCACCUGCUUGCCCAACUCCGGAACCUUCACAUUUUUUUCUUGACAAUGACUUCUGAUUCACUUCAAAACUAUCACAUACUUUUGAGCGUUUGAAGCAUGAAUCGUGAUGUUCAAAACCUUUAUCAUGACAAAGAUCACCAUCCCCAUUGUUACCUUUUUCGCUGCAUACCUCUUUCAAUAAUUAGUGUCAUCAUCCUUCUAAACAAAACUAGAAAUGAUGGUAGUCCAGGAAACUACAUUGCAGAUUGGCAUUCACAAAAAUUCCUUCACAGCUUGAUCCGUAUCCCUGCAUUCGGCAUACCAAUUAAUGAUGGCAGUCCCCACAAAAAACAUCUUCUCCUGCACCACAUUUAAUUACUCAUCCUUGUAUCUCUCUUCCAAACUCAAGUUCUUCAAGUUCAGCACAAGUUGUUAAAGUGCUUGAAAACGUAAAACUAUUUAGCGUAAAAAAAAUCUUCAACACAUUUAGCAGAAAAGAUCUAAAGCAACCCAAUUUUCCUUAUUUUUAACAGCCUCAGAAACGAUAGCAUUCCAGCAAACCACGUUCUCACAUAAAACGUCUUGAAAGACCCAUAAAACAUCUUCAAAGCUACAAAGCUUCGUAAACAGAUCAAUCAUUUCAGCCUGAACAUACCCAUUUGAGAAGAACCCAUUUUUCAGUGCAAGUGAACAUACCAGUUCACCAUACAAAGGAGACUCUAAGGCAAUACAAGCCGAAAGAACACUCCCAUAAGUGAACUGGUUGGGGUCAAAUCCUAAAAAAACGCAUCUUACAAAAAUUCCUCCACGAAUCCUCAAAUGAAAAGUUCUGGUUGCAACCUGAAAUCAAAAUAUCCCAAGAAAUAACAUUUGGGUGAGGAGUUUUAUCAAACAAUUUGGGCGCAUGAACCAUGGAAUUGGAUUUACAGUACCAAUCCAUUAAAGAAUCGACCAUGAAGGUGUUAGAUUGUAGAAUAACAAUUUUGAGCAAAUGGGCAUACAAGAUCUUUGUAUUUCUGAGGAUGCAUCGUUCUGAUUUUGUAUAAUUGCUGAAAAUGUGAAAAUGGUCAAAUGGUGGAAGAACUUCUGGAGGCUAUUAUGAUGAGCGAGGGGCUUCAGCAUCUGCAACAGCAUUAUCAGGGAAGCCAAGUCCUGUAGGUGGGCCAUCUUGGAUAAGAAGAGAGACAUAGCUCCAUUAGCCAUCACAAGAAGAGGAAUUGAUGAUACAUGUCAAGGGUAAGAAGCCACCCUUUAAUGAAUGUUAUGACAAAGCCUCCAAUGAACGUCGAUACCAGCUGUAUAAAUUUCCCUACCUUCUCACCCAUGGCAUCUUGUAUUAGAAUAGUGUCUCCAAAUAUCCUUCCGAUAGCCUCUCCUGAGUUUGCUUCCUUAUCAAAGGAAGCAAUAUCUUGUCUCAAUAUAAUUUUCAAGUACAGACUUCUAAUUCUUGCAGCCUGCCUCUCCUCUGUGACCAUCCAGCAAGCCGCUUGAAAGAAUGCUGCUCUGCCAGCCUCCACAGCCAAGUAAACAAAUUUCAGAGAAACCUUGGAUACUACAUCAACCACAUCUUUGUUGCUCUGGUUUUGUCCAAAAGAAUCAAUCCGGUUCCCAAAAAGUAUUACCAUAAGAGGCAUACAUAUUCCAUUCCCAACAGCACUUAUUGUGCCGGUAAUCAUCAACAACAUAUCAGCAGAAUCUGCACAAGAGAACAGUUUGUGAAAUGGAACUGUGCUGGGCUUCCCCUCUUCCUUGAUCUUCUCCAAAUCUUGUUGUUUCCCAUUCUGGCCAGAGCUUUUCACAGUCUCUGUUUCAAAUGCUCCCCUGCUUGAUAUUGUGGCUUCAUGCAUAUAUGUCUUUUUUUCAUUCAAGUCAUUCUCCUCAACCAUAAUGCUACUCCUAGAUACUUACAAGUUCUAAGAUAGCAACUACUUUAUCUGGAAGGGAUCAGACUUCAAACUUCAGUUUUUCAUGCAUCAAACACAAUUCUAACAGUAAGUUGAUAUAGCGAAUCUGGAUAUCCUAGUAAAUGGGUUGAAUUUUCUCUAAGAAAUUGAAGCCAUCCAACUGCUCUGUUCUUUAUAGUGGGAACUAAUGAGACACAGUAAGCCAUCUUUGCCUCUGCUUUACAAGUCAAACUGCUUUCUCCGACACUAUUAUUCUUACGGUCAGAAGCACUAGGGGAAUUGGAAGGGAUAAAGGUGGUGUUGGGCGAUGAUAAUGUGAUCAUUCGAAAGCAAGAGAAUAUAUUAACUUGGCUUUAACCCAUUUAACUAUGCUUGCAAAUAACCUCUGGAGCUGCGAUUCUGUACGGGCCAUUGAAUUCUAUAGGGUUAGAAAAGCCAAAUCUGAUGCCAAUAAGACGCUACCUCCAGUCUCCACAAUCCAUUACAAUACUUCGGAAUCAAUUAUCCAAUGUUUGAGUAGGAUCACCGCACGGUUCAUCCCUCAUAUCGACACUUAUAUCACUCCUCAACGUAUACCCAAAUACAAGAGCAAGGGUUCGAACACCAUGCAGGGAAAAGAAUAUAGAUAAAAUAAAAAAUUGAAGUAAAACUUGGAGAAGGAAAAGGCAGAAGGUGUUGAUCAAUAAACAUAGAUAGCCCCCACUUCAGAUAUUAAUCCAUGGGCUAAAAACAAAGGGAAAAAUGCAGAAUAUGAUUUAAAUGGAAACCCAGCAAAAUCACAUUCAGACAUGGAGUUAUCUACUUCCGAAGUCAUCAAUGACAUAUAAAAUAAUCAAAUUCAAAUAUGGCAAAGAAGUAGAUGACCAAUCUCAGCAAAACAACUUGUGGCCCUUAAUGUCCACACCAAUCAACAAUAUAUUAGAUAUUUAGAAACGAACACAUGGAGAAAUCGAACAUGAGUAAGAAUUCCGAGAAUAACCAGAAACGUACCUGAAGAACCUUGGCUGCAAUCACCUCUCUCCCGCUCUUGUGUGCUUUUCUUUCCAAGACAAAUCAAGAAUCUCCCCUCUUUUUUUUCAACAUCCUCUCUCACAUAUAUAUCUCACCUCCCAAAACCUAAAAUCUGCUCCAGAAAAGGAAAAUUCUCCUAUUUCCUUUCUCAUUUUCUUCUUUUCCUUUUUUUUCAAUCUCUUCAUUCAAAAGCAAUCUUCCCAAUUUCAAAUUCCCCUCCAAAAACCUUCCAUGGAGAGUCCCACUUUCCUUAAACUCCAAUGGUAAAUUUUCUUGCAAAAGCAUGACACUUUUGAAAGUAAAUAAUUGAAUGAAUAACUAAAUAAAUAAACAAAUUAGAAAAUAGUAAAACAAUAAUAAAUACAUAAGUUAAAGAAAAUAAUAUAAAGAGGAAGAUAACAAAUAAAAAAAACGAGUGAUUGAUAAUCAUAAAACUAAAACUAAAAAUAAAAAUAAACAAAUAAACAAAAACUGAGCCCUUCGAGCCAUGCCAACACGCAAGUCAUACAAGUCACGCUAAAAAUGUCUUAAUAGGCCCAGUGUGCCUAAAUGGGCCUAAGAUGAGACUAAAUGGGCCUAGGAUGGUGCCUAAUGGGCCAAGUGUAUCUAAAAACUAUCCUAAAAAAGCAAGAAAAACCUAAGUCUUAAUUAGGGCUGUCAAGGGUCAUAAUAAGGGGUCAGAUAGUCUCUCAACCAAAGUCUCCGAUGUGACUCAAAAAAGGUAAGUAGUGCGAGUAGUAAUGGGCCACCAAGACGCUAUUGUGGAGCACCAGAUAUUAAUUUAAAGACAUGUGCUAAAGGGAUAAAAUUGAGAGUCUACAGAUGGGAGAACUCCAAUUGGUGUUAUCUUGGUCCAGAUAUCAAGAUGAUGCACCUGAAGAUGAAUGUUCAAAUGAUGUUCCUCAAAUGAUGCCUUGUUGAUGGAGAUCUGUCACUAUCCAGAUACAAAAACUGUUGAUCAACUCUUCUAGAACCUAGUAGAUGAUGAUCCAAAAAAUAAUAGAGAGCUCGUUCUCCUAACCUCUUUAGAAUGCUAAAAAAUAUCCCAUUAAACCUAAUGCAUGAUGAUCAAAUCUAUGAAUCUGUUGUGGAUAUGUUCUUGAUGUGUUUUUUCCGAAAAUUCAAGAUGAUUCAAAAAAUAAAUCAAUAAUGAUCAAAAAAGAGAUAUGAUGGUGAGAAUUGAAAUUGGAUAUAUGAUGAUAGAAUCGAACAUGAUCAAAUCUCCCCAGUCAGUGUGUCAUGAUUACGAUGAAUUGCAGAGAAUGAUAAUGGCGGUGAUGAUCAGUAUCAAAAGUUGGUCUAUGUGUGGCUUCAAUGAGUUGUUUUUUUAUGGAAAUGUGGUGCAUUGGUGUAGAUAUGCAGAAGACUACUAUAAAUAAGGCUUGUCUCCUCCAACUAAUGGCGCCCCUAUGGAGGUGAUGCUCACUGCUGGCAGAGACACACCUGUUUAGAAAAUACCUAGCUUCCGAAAAGAAAAAAAAAAAACUUCUGAUAUGUGGUGAUGAAUCUGAUGACGAUGAGAAAUUCCUGGUGAUGAAAGAAGAUGAAUUUGAAGAAUCCUACUAAGAACUCUUGAGAAUUCCAAAAUGGUUGUGAUUUGAUCUUAUCAUGCUUGAUGUACUUUCUAUAAUGGAAUCUUGAAAUCUCUAAAUCCCUAGGAGAAAAGUUUAGUUGUUACUCCUCCCUUGCUUUUUUUCGCAAGAUGUCAUUCCAACUGUUACUCUGUGGUGUGAUAUGCAUGUUAUCCCUUGCUUCUUUUCGUGUGACGUCAUCAUGUGAAAGUGUGUUGAUUCUCCCUACUAAUGGUGAUGCUCUCCAAAGAGUCAAUGCAUGGGGAUAAUUCAUCCCACAAUCCUCUUGUACUCCUAAAAUAGUGCUCCUCACGAUGUCCAGGAUGAAAAACACAUCAUCUCCUCUUGUACUUUCCUCCCGAAUCUCUUAGAAUACUCCAGAAAAAUGCUCUAUAACGAGUGACCAUCAUCUUCCUGCAACAUGAUAGUCUCCUCCUGAUGCCUUGCUAGUGACCUGUGUUCUCUAUGAAAUUUUGAGCUUCUAGAAUUCUCCUCCAAUGUUCCAUAACCCCCCACUAGAGCCUUCCAAAGAGCCUCUAAAAAUGUGUGAUCUCUAGCGCCACCUCCUCAUGUGACAACCCUCACCAACUUCAAAUGCAUGCAUGCCCCUCACGUGUGAAUUAUCUAAGAUGUGUGGUGAUCACAAUGUUUUCUGUGGACAUGUAAUGGUGCUUUUUAGGACAUCUGGUGAAGGUUCUCCCAAGUUUUUGAUAGUGUCCCUCAAAAUGGAUCCAUGUAUGGUGAUGGGAAUUCUAUAGAAGACACAUGAUGCUCCUAUCAUGGUAAGAUGAUCGUCCACUGAUGAUAUCAUCCUCAUAGGGUUCCCAAUAGUAGUGUACAUGGAUCAUUGUGUCUUAAAAAAAAAUGGAAUCAACAUCGCACAAUUUCCCUUAAAAGAUAAAUAAGUAAAUAUACUAAAUAAAUAAAUAUGUAAGUAUUGAUUCAUGCAAUUAGGAAAAACUAAAAUCUCAACUCUCAUGCCAUUUUCUAAAAAAAUGAAUAGGUAAAUGAAUAAAACUAAUAAAAUAAUAAUAAUAAUAAUAAUAAUAAUAACAAUAAUGAUAAUAAUAAUAAUAAUAAUAAUAAUAAUAAUAAACUAAAAAAAAUCAAACAUGUGCUAGUCAUACAAGCCAUGCAAUUAUACUUGAAAGGUGACCUAAGCAAGACUAGACAAACCUAAGUGGGCCAAGCUGUGCCAAAAUGGGCCCAAGUGAGUCUAGGUGGGCCCAAGUGAGUCUAGGUGGGCCUAAGUGAGUUUAAGUGGGUCUAAGGUGUCAAAAAUGGGCCCAAGUGAGCCUAGGUGGGCCUAAGUGAGCCCAAGUGGGCCAAGUGCACCUAAAAGCUAUCCUAGAAAGGAAGGAAGAAACCUAAGUCUAAAUUAGGGCUGCUAAGAGCACAAUGAGGGGUUAGAUAAAUCCCUUAACUAAAGUCUCUAAGGUGGCUCAAAAAAGUCAAGUAGUAUGAGUAGCAACAGGCCACCAAGGAACUACUGUGGAGCAUUGGAAGUGAACUUAAAGACAUGUGCUGAAGGGAUAUAAUGGAAGGUCUACACCUUGUCAAUAUCUUGGUGAAGGGAUCCACCAGGUUCUCCACAUAUGGUAUCUUGUCAACCAUCAAGUCACCCUCUAAACCAUCUUAACACUUUAGAGCAUAAGCACAUAAUCUCUCGUUCUAAAAAAAUACUUGAGUGUGUCCUUAACAUAAUGCAUUUUUCUUAUUCUUGUAUUCCCUAAGUACUUUAAACCCAAGAAUAUAUUGUGCCACUUCUAGAUUUAAAUCUAGAACCGAGUAGACAACCAAAUCUCGACUAAUGACAAUACUCCUACAUCAUUCUCAAAAAGUAGAUUGUCAUCUACCUACAAGAUCCUAGAACUCUACCAUGUUUCCCUGAAAUUUCUUGUACACACAAGGCCCUUUGCUAUGAAAAUAUUUGGUUACAUCAUAUAGAUGCUAAUAUCAAGAUAAUCGUUUAAGAACACUAUCUUGACAUCCUAUUGCAAUAUGUCAUAAAUGAGAUACACCGUAAUGGGUAAGAGUACUUUGAUGGAUCUGAAUAUGGCUACUGGUGAAAAAGUUUCCUAUAUUUGAAACAAUGUUUCGAACUAUAACCUUUAGCUAUAACUUAGCCACAUAUAUCUCAACUUUUCAUCUACUCAUUUGUUCCUCUUGUAGAACAACUUACACCUAUGGGUUUUAUCUCUUUAGGUGCUUCUACAGGAACCCAAACUACAUUAGAAUCAUAAGGAUUCUAACUCUGCCUCUGUAGCUUUUGCCAAAGAUGUGCAUCCACAUCACUUAUUGUUUCAUCAUAAUCUAUGGGAUCAAUCUCAUGUUCCUCUAGAAUGGUCUCGAAAGACUCUCCUAAAUACAUGAAUUGGUCUGGUUGUUUAACAACCUUUCCACUACAAUGAGUCAUCAAUGUACUAGAAAUGGAAAUGGUUGGUACUGGAUCCAUAGUAUCUUGUGUAUAGUGGAACUAUCUUCUAGUAUUCUCCAAUCUAUAUUAUUGUUUGCCUAAUUACAUGUCAUAUAGUCUUCAUCAGAAAUCUGGUAUUUGUAGCAACAAACACCUUUUGAUAAUCCUGACUAUAAAGUAAUAAUCCCUAAAUCCUCUUGAAUAUCAUAUAAACCGAUACAUCUCUUUAGAAAAAGAGGUAUUAUAUAGUCUUUAAGAUAUAUCCCCAAAGAAUAUGGGAAGUAAUGAGAAACCAAUCAUCGAUCUCUCUAUGUCUAUAAAAGUUCAAUAUCUUCUUUCUAUUACUCCAUUUUGCAAUGGAGUCCUUGGUGCACACAAUUAGGAUAUCAUCUCAUGCUCUAUAUGGAAAUGAUUGAACCUACUAGACACACCGCCUUUAUCUAACCGAAGAGCCUUGAUAUGUUUACUUAAUAGGUUAUCCAAUUCUACCUUAAAUUCAAUGAAUUUAUCAAAGGCAUCAGACUUCUUAUCUACAUAUCCAAACCUAGAGUAUUUAUUAGUAAAAUAAUCAAAUACCCAUAUUUUCCAUGCACAAACACAAAAAGGUUCAUACAUGUGAGUAUGCACUAACUCCAAACAUUCCUUGGUUCCAUGUCCUUUAAAAAUAAAGGGGUCUUUUUGUCAUUUUGCCACAUAUAUGGGAUUCGUAGAUUGAAAGAUCUUCUGAAAUAAAAAAUUCUAGACUUAAUUAGUCUUUGGAUCCUAUUUAGAUUAAUAUGACCUAGGCUUUGGAAGCCAAAUGUUUGAUUAAUGUUUGGUUCUUUCUUUUAGUGAGAUUUUACUAUUCUCAUUACUUGGAAAAAUGAUAAUGGAGUCUCACAUAAAAAAUGUAAUACCUCCCACUAGCUUGCACAACUAACCUUGCAACUGAAGCUAAGGUAAGUAUAAUCCCAUCAUGUGACCUUCUCACUUGUUGAAAAACCCUGUAAAGAACUACAGAUAGUGGACCUAGAAUCUAUUCACCAUAAUUGGUGAAAUCCACCACUAUUUACUUAACAAUGAGAAUAUGAUGUGUAUUUGCCUAUCCUUAGGCACUUUGAGCAUUCUUUUUCUAGUGUCUUAAAAGGUCACAAAGGAAUCAAUGCCCAUGAGUUUGUUCUCUCAUUCAUUUUCUUGAACUUUCUUUAUUUGGUGUUCUUCUUCUUCUUCUUUUUCUUUUUCUUCUUGGUAGAAGAGCCUUAAGAACCUUGACUUCCAUAUGAACACCCUUCCACUCUUUGAAAAUCUUCUUACCCAUCCCAAAGGAAUUUGGUAAGAUCUCUAAGAUAACAUGAAUCCUGGUGUUUAUAAUAGUCUUAAGGGCAACUUGUUUAGUUGACUUCCCUUUAUCACCAAAUAACCCUUGCAACUUUAAAGAGAAUAUCAUAGACAAUGGCAAUAGACAUGUGUUACUUUUGCAACACAUUAUCUAAAGAUCCAAGUAUGAAAGACUUGGUCUUUUGACCCGUCUUAUGCCAUCUUUGAUAUGUUUCUCUUACUUUAUGAUAGGUUUGUUCAAAGUAAAUAACAAACUCUACCAAAAUCAACUUCUAUGCAAUUAAUACUAUAUCUAGAUUAUUUUCAGUUUAUAAUUAGGUCUAAUUUAAACAAAAGAUAAUAGGUGAUAGGUUAAAGACAUGACAUCCAUAAUAAAUAUAAUAAUUCCAUCCAUUAAUAAAAGGGACUGAGCAUUCAAGGCAAGUUGGUAAUUAAUUUAGAAAAAAUGUACUGCUCUCAAACUACAUGUCCUUUUGCAAGGUAUUCUAGUAUCAUAAGAAUCAAGCUUACUUUAGGCAAGUCAUGACUCUUAUUACUAGGGUAGAGACCCUCUCUAAUUGAUCAACUUACCUUAAACUUUAAAAGUUAUCCUAAGGCAUUAAUCAACAUACCCUUUUUAUUUAGCACUUAGCCCAUACAAGUGGGAGCACUUUAGGUGAUUCUACCACUUCAUGUCUAAGUUAAGUGUGUAACCAAGAUUGUUAACAUCAUUGUUACAAGUGAAGAGUUCCAUCUUCAGGAUUGACUACUCCCAUUACAAACAUAUAUAGUCUCGUCUAUAAUGGAUAGUCCAUAUCCUUUGAUUCCUUGGGUCACGCCAUCUUUAGGAUGAUGAUUCACCCAAAAUCAUGAUGAGCUCAAUCUUGGAGGCUAUGGGCUUGCCUAUGGCCGACUCCCACUUAAUAUUUUGGAAUAGAGACUUUAAGAUAGUUACCAAGUCAGUGCCUACUACUUUUUUAAAGAUGUGGAGUGGAUGUAAACAUAGUUUACACCACAACCACAUAUAGGGGUGCCCAAGACAUGCGCUAAAGAAGAAGGCUAACAAAUUAGAAUCUAGAUCAAAUGUUUAACUAUUUAUAGGUUACCUGAAAAGGACAAGAGGCUAUUUCUUUUAUAGUCCAAUUGAUCAAAAGGUGUUUGUUACCACAAAUGCUAGAUUUUUAGAAGAAGACUAUAUGGUGAAUAAAUAAAUAAGAAGUGAUUUAGGGUGGUCUAAGACUAUUAAUGAACCCAUUAUCAUAAGAGCGAUACAUGAUUUAUUAAACCAUAUACCAAGUAAACCUACUGAUUCUAGUACUCCACCAGAGCCUCAUUGUAGUGGAAGGAUUAUUCAAAAUGAAAUAGGUUUAUAUUCUUGGAAGAGUCUUUCGAGACAAUCCUUGAGGAGUUGAAACUAGUCCCAUAAAUUAUGAUGAAACAAUGGCUAACACUGAUGCUUUUUCAUGGAAUGAGGCUGUGAAAUCUGAGAUAGAGUUUAUGUACUCUUAUUAGGUUUGGUCUCUUUUAGAAGCAACUAAAGAGAUAAAACCCAUACAGUGUAAGUAGAUCUAUAAGAGGAAGAGAGGAGUCGAUGGAAAGUUUGAAACCUUGAAAGCAAGGCUUGUUGUGAAGGGUUAUAAUCAAAAACUUGGUUUUGAUUAUAAGAAAACUUUUUUGCCAGUAGUCAUGCUUAAGUCCAUCAAGAUACUCUUGUCAAUUGCAGUUAAUUUGGAUUACAAAAUUUGGCAAAUAGAUGUUAAGACUACCUUUCUUAAUGAGCUUCUUGAGGAAGAUAACAAUAUGAUACAAUGUUAGCCCAAGGGUUCUCCUAAUCAGGUUUUGAUGAUAACAAACCAUGGUUAAGUGGCUAAUUAUUUUUAAUGGUAAAGAAUCUCAAGUAUAAUUUCGGAAAUUCAUCCAAGGACCAAAUGGAUGCAAGACCGAGAUUAUUGGAAGUCCCUUGAUCAUAGGAAAUGAAUGUAAGAUGAAUGCAUGGGUGCACUUAAGGUUUUCAUGUCAUUUCAUGCAUCUUUGAAAAACUCGGUUUAUUCUUUAAACUUUCAAAUUCAUUCAAACCCGAGUUUUAUCAAAUGUACCUUAGGCAAAAUGUUUUAAAACUGGCAUAUUGUGGACCCGCAUUUUUCACGUGCGUCCCCACUCGAUAGGCGAGACUCGCUUUUUAUUUGUGAAAAUUUAAUUUUAAAAAAAGUUGGAGUCGCCACCUAUUUUAUUUUUAUUUUAAAGGGAAAAUAAAACAAGAAAGAAAAACCCUAAAAAGUGACUCCAUAGUUUUGGAAAAAACAUGUCUUUGAGAAACCCGAGUCUAGGUCCGGGGAUCAGGUUACUUAUUGGGAAGGUACCUCUAGGAGGUAACACCCCUCUAAGCCCUAAAGAGGUCUCUACUGACUAAGUUAAGGGAAGUGUGGCAAUUAAAUGGUUGAUCAUGGAUACCUAAGUAGGCUAGGUGAUUCCAAAAACAUAACAUAUCAAACAAGAUCAAAUCACAAUUAAGGAGAGUUAAAAAUGCGUACCUGGACGGCUUCCCAAGCGCUAUCAUAAAACAUAAGAGAUUAGUUUGGAGAUACAUCACACAACAUUUGUUUUAUUCAAGCAAAUCAGGCAUAUAUCAAGACAUUCAAGAAUCACGUCAAAUAUGGAUAUGGUCAUCAAUGACAUACAAGUCCAUAGAGUUCUAAAAAAAAUAGAUGAGAAGAGAGCGUACCUGGAUAGCAAGCUAGUACUCCUCUAUGGGAAACAAGAGCAUCUCAACAAUAAAUAUUAAGUGAAUUCAAGUAUUUCAUCAAGAAGAAUCAAAAAUCAACAUAUCAAGUAAACGGUAUUGAAGUGAGUGUUAUGAAUGUCGGGCCCCCACCAAAGCCCUAAUUAAUUUCGCAUGAGUUGAUUCCAUAAAUUCCAUGACUUGGAAUUAUGGAGUUUGUUCAUGCUUUUUGAAAAAUCAAGAAAAUCGAUUGAAAAUCAAAUAAAAUAGUGAAAACGCGUGCCGGAAGGAAAAUGGCAGCGAGAGUGUGUUAGAAUCUGGAUUUUAUACCUAGAAAGGAUCUAAGAUGAAUUUUUCAAAGCCGGGAAUGUUUAGUUGAACAAGGGUUCAAAAAUUCAAUUUAAAACAGUAAGUUCCCAAUCAAAGAAGCAAAUAGAGGAGGAGGUGUGUGUAGCAAGGUUGCCAUGAAGUGAAGCUGGGAAAUUCUGGAUAGAAGGGACCGAUUCCCUGCAAAAGUGUUCAACUGUCAAAUGCUUCAACUUAAAAGACAUCUUGAUUUGUAAGCUCAACUGGAUUCUCUUCAACAGAAGUCAAAUACUGAAUAAAAGGUUCAGAAUUUCCAAUUUUCUGCAUUGGGAGGUUCCCUGUAUCAUGCUAGUUUUCAAUUGAUUAAGCCUUUCAAAUUUUACCUCAAUCUGCCAUAAUAUAGUUCGAUUCAUGUGGCCUGUGGUCAAAUAAACCAUUUUCUGCAUACUUAAGCUUCCUGUGUGAAGACUUCAUUACUUGGAGAGACAUCCUGACUACUUCGAAUACAUGAUUCAAAUUCUGCUGUUUGCUGAGGAAUUCCAUUAGAGAGCAAGAAUGUUUAGAUACCGUUCUUAACUUCUGUCACGCACGGAGACUAUUUUCUUUCUGUCUUAAACAAUCUGUACUGAACUUGGUUUUCAUCUUUAAUGAUGGUGUUUGAUCUGUAUUUCUAUUAAAAGCUCUAUCAAUUCCAUAACAGUUCCAGAAUUCUGUAUCAAUUGGUCUCUUAGCUGGACAAACGAAUAAAGUCUGUAUGUGCUUCCUAUUUAUUCAUCAAGAGCAAACUAAGGAUACCCUUGAUGUGAUAGGCAGCUAGAUCAGUUUCAAUCUCCACAGGUACAGAAUCCUUUUGCUGUCCUGAACCCCAUUGCUUUGAGGUCAAAUUCCAUAUCUGAAGGUAGAACUUUCUGUUCCUGCUGCAAUUGAGACUACGAAUUAUGCAACUUCUGGGGAGUCAACUCAGUUCGAAAGAAUUGCAGGUGUUCAUUAUGUGCAAGGGUCUGAAGUUGUUGCAAUCCUUCCCACUUCCUGACAAGCUCGACAGUGUUGAAGGAAUUCUUGAGAAUCUGGAACAUAUCUGUGAGUAAUCUUGGAAACAAUUGGGCAAUCUGUAGGCUCUUCACUUGCUCUCUUCACUGAGUUACCCCAUUCUCUGAUACCUGGACCUGCCACCUCUUAUUUGCUUGGAGAUCAUCAACAAAAGGACAAUCAAGGUAAAGUGAGCCAUCUGAUUCGUAUUCAUGUUGGUCAGAUGCUAACUUGCUGGUGUAUUCUUUCAAGCUAAGCGAGCUUGUUGGUGUGUUCUAUUGAACCGGGCGACGCUAUAUUUACUCUCAAAUUUAGAUCUUUUAACCUGAGUUCAGAAUUAGUAGCGUCAUUGGAAAGAGUAGAAGGCGACUCAUCAUCAACUGAAAAUAGUAGGGAAUGCAGACAGGAGGAAUUCCAUAGAACCUGAAGAAACCUUUCUCUAGGUUGACCCAACAAGUUGACAGGGAUAUCUCGAAUGUGUUCCUCCUUUUAAGACAUAUUCUUUAUGAGAAAACAGGCGUGAGCAGAAAGAGUAGAUUCUCUGAUCUCAACUUCAUUUCCGAUAUCAGAUAUUCGAUCCUCCAGUCAUGGUACUGUUGUUUCAACAAUUCACAAGCAAAUAACAAUACGCUACGACUCUUCAAUUGUCGAAUAACCAGUAGAUUUGCCUGAUUUAUCAAUGGUGGAAUCAGGUUCCUUCUCAUGGGCAUCAGAAGCCAACUUGUUUUCUGCAACUGGUGGGAUGAACAAAGAAGCAUGCUCUCAGGUUGAGUCAGGUACAAAUCCUACUGCAUUUCCUUCCAUAGUUUCAGAAGAAAAUCUAGAAUGGGACUUUUAUACUUUGUCAACUGGUCCAUUUUGAAUGAUUCCCUUCAGAACCUUGCUUUCUCUGUUCUGUCUCCUUUUCUGUUCCGACUCAAAAUUUCAACUGUACGAUGGUGUGAUGCAUUUGAUUCUCAUCUGAAGGAAAGAAAAGAAUUUGUAUGUGAUUCUAUUCAUUUAUCAAGAACAAGCUGAUGGUCAAUCCUGAAACCCAACCAUUUUCAGAUAAUUCAAACUCUACUACAAGUUGAUCGUUCCCUUUUUCGAUUGGAAGUUAUCCUCAGAUACCUUUCAUUUUCAUGAGUAGUUUAUGCACCAAAAUUAUCGAUGACAGUGUUCAGGAAGUAAGGCUCAUCAUGGGAAGUCUUUCUCUUGUAAGGCUUAAUUAUUCUCUAGUUGCAGCUUCGUCCAGAGCAUCAGUAACCCUUUUCUUGACAAAGAUCACCAUCCCCAUUGUUACCUCUUUCACUGCAUAUCUCAUUUAAUAAUUGGUGUCGUCAUCUUUCUGAACAAAACCAGAAAUGAUGGUAGUCCAGGAAACUACAUUGCAGAUUGGCAUUCACAAAAAUUCCUUCACAGCUUGAUCAUUAUCCCUGCACUUAGCAUACAAAUCAAUGGUGGCAACCCCCACAAAAGAAAGUCUUCUUUUCAGUCCCAAACCAAUCAUCCUCUGUAUUCUGGCCAUAUAGGAAGCCUUUCCGAUUGUAAAUCUCGAACAGCAUCACUCAUAACCUCCAGUUCUAAACUCUCGGGGUACAGCCUCUUCAUUAAGCAUUUGUUGUUUCCUUCCCUCACUAGAAGUUUUUUUUUUAGUGCAGAUUAAUGCCAACUGUAUGAACACCACAACAAAAUGAAUCUUCAUGACUUUGGAAUUUGAUUUUUGUUCAAAUUCACCAAUCUCAGCAGAAGUUUUACUGUAUUCUUCAAAAAUCAGAUCAGCCUUAACAGUCAGUUUUCCUUGCUCAAGUAAUCAAGCAAAAUUGCCCCACGUGAAUAGAAGAUGCCACAAGUUUAGCAGUGUCAUUCUUAUUAGCACAACUUUCUCCAACAGCUGGUGGAGUUUGAAUGUGGAAGUGAAACUAAUAUAUCAGCCCCAAACAACUUACUACCAUCUGAUACACAAGGAUUUCCAUUAUCUACUGGAUAAGGAAAGUGAUGUUUACUUAAAAGAACAUAUGAAACUGAUAAAUUACAAUUACCACCGAGUCGUACCAUAUCUGGUUGCUUUGGGACAUCCGGGCAAUUAACAUUUUUCUUCCUUGUAAACUGACAAAAGGUCUCAUCCACAUUUCCAAUUGCUUUACUAUCACAGCUAUAAGAUACUUGCUGCAACCCAGUUACAUGCUCAUCGGACAUGGUAUCAAGAUUCAAAUCAAUAUAGAAACUCUACCCCACUUUACUUUAAUAGCCCUUAGUUAGACCUUCUUUAUUCAAAUUUUCACAUUCUUGAACAGCAUCAAGAGCAUCCCUUGCUUUAUUGAGUGAUCUUGCAAUAUUUAAUGAUAUGUCCUUUGAAUGGGAUUUCAAUAUGGAGCUUAAAAAGGUGUUGAUUGCGCAGAGUGUUUCUUGAAGCUGCUGUAGCUGAAUUUUCUCUCCAGUUUCUGGUGUGGGUUUGGUGCUUAUGUGAACCCUUAAUUCAUCGAGAAGCUGCCCGUACAGCUCUUGCAAAGCUUCAUAGAGAUCCCUACUUUCUCCUCUUCAAUUGUUUCUUCAAAAAUCGCUUCAUUAUUCUUUUUUUUGAGUGAAAUGGGAGAGAACUCUUCCAUGCUUUGUCUUCUCCCUAUUAUAUCUAAAAGCCUCAACGUGAGUGGGGGACACCUAGCAAUCGCGAACCAAUAAGGAGCGUACACUCUAAUAAUUUCCUCCAGAAGCGAUUGCUCUUUUUCAUGGUUUUGUUCUAUAAUGAUUUGAACAAUCCUUCCAGAAAUUGAACUUCUUAAGCGCAUCGUUUUACUUGGAGCUCUACUAGGAUGGGAUAUAAGAACGGCUUCAUGUAUUGGCAGCCAUCCUCUUUGUGGGAACAGUGAAAAGUACAAGGGAUUUCUAAUGUCAGCAUCAUAAACUCUUACAGUUUUUUCCCGGGCCAAAUAUUCCUCUGGAGCAUGCAAUAUAAUGUCCACUUGCUUGCAUUUCAAAAACAGAAAAUUCUGCUGCCAUGAGAAGGAAAUUGGUUAUUGACAGUGGUGAUUUGACCACAAGAGUCCAAUCUUGAAUAGGAUCAGAGCGAAUGUCUUUUGCAAUCUCUGUCGCUUGUAUGCCCAAGCAAAGCAUCCUCAAAUGUUGUCUUCAACUCAAAAGACUUGAGACCCCGAGCAAGCUGUUCUGCAUUUAGUCCCUCAUGUGCACUGCCUUGUGACUACAAUGGAUUGUGAAGGAGCUUCAGCUCUUAUUUUUCAAAGAUUUCAACAAAUCUGUGAUAUCCAACUUUUAGCUGGAAACGGUGGUACUAUUCUGAUCACAAGCUAAGGUAGUUGCUACAAUAUUUACAGCAGCAUCUUCACGGAGAUUAGACUCACAUAGCUGCCUGGACCUACCUGGACUGUACCAAUCUGUUGAGCAGAUACUAAGCCUCUCAAAGUAGAAGAACUCUUCUAUGCUAGGUAAUGGAUCCCAAUAUAUGAAAUGAAACAGAGCCUUAAAAACUGAAGCUUCCAAGUAUACAGAUUCAGAAUCUUCUUGCUUGUAAGUGCCUCUACGAAAGCCUAUCACAAGCUAAGGUAGUUGCUACAAUAUUUACAGCAGCAUCUUCACGGAGAUUAGACUCACAUAGCUGCCUGGACCUACCUGGACUGUACCAAUCUGUUGAGCAGAUACUAAGCCUCUCAAAGUAGAAGAACUCUUCUAUGCUAGGUAAUGGAUCCCAAUAUAUGAAAUGAAACAGAGCCUUAAAAACUGAAGCUUCCAAGUAUACAGAUUCAGAAUCUUCUUGCUUGUAAGUGCCUCUACGAAAGCCUCUGUCACAAUUUCGUUCUCUUGAAAGCCCACAUGAUCUAGUAAUUCUGAAGCAAAGGAUAACAUGGGUUCUUGCUCUGAAAAAAAGAUUACAUCUUUUAUGACCAGUAUGAAAUCAGCAACAGGUAAGAACUCUACUUGAUGUGUAACAUAAAUCACUACUUUCGAACCCAAGAGACACAGCAAAUAUUCUUUAAAGAAAUUGGUUCCUGCGCGAGCAUCCACAGCACUAUAACUGUCUGAUCACCAAAUGAGAGAACCUCCAGAUUCUUUUUCAAGGAAUAUGCAUCAAGAACCCUUUCAUACCUUUUAUUAGGAUUGAUUGUAUUAGUUGUUUUUUACUAGAAGGGUAGUUUUGUCAUUAUUGUAAGCUGAGCUAUUUUUGAGUUGUUUUGUUCAGUUUGUUGUUCAGUUUGUUUCGGUUUUUCUUGUUCAGUUUUGUUGAGCCAUUUUACUCUGUUAUAUAACAGAGCAGCCUUGUAUUUUGGGAAAGAGGAAUGAAGAGAAUUCUUUUCAUCUUUUCUCUCAAUUCUUUCUUCAGAUUUCUUUUUCUAACAUGGUAUCAGAGCGAUCCAUUUAGGGUUUCAAAUCCCUAAUUUCUAUUUUUUUCUUCUCUUUCUCUGUUCUUUGUUCUCGAUCGUGUUCAUGGCGAAAGGUGGAUCUGGUAAUGGUAAUCGCGGUGGCCAGGUGAAUUCUGAGAUUGUUGUUGUUGAAGAUUCGAGUAGUCCCUAUUUUCUUCAUAAUGGAGAUCAUCCAGGGCUCAAUCUUGUUUCAAAUCUUUUGACUGGAGCGAAUUAUCAUACCUGGCGUAGAGCGAUGCUGAUGGCUCUCACAACGAAGAACAAAGUUGGUUUUGUGGAUGGUACGAUUUCUAGACCUAUGUCUCAUGAUUUGAUUUACGGUGCUUGGAAUAGAUGUAACAGUAUGAUUUCUUCAUGGAUCAUAAAUGCUGUUUCAAGAGAAAUUGCAGAUAGUCUUUUAUAUUUGGAUUCUGCUUGUGANNNNNNNNNNNNNNNNNNNNNNNNNNNNNNNNNNNNNNNNNNNNNNNNNNNNNNNNNNNNNNNNNNNNNNNNNNNNNNNNNNNNNNNNNNNNNNNNNNNNCCCAAGCAAAGCAUCCUCAAAUGUUGUCUUCAACUCAAAAGACUUGAGACCCCGAGCAAGCUGUUUUGCAUUUAGUCCCUCAUGUGCACUGCCUUGUGACUACAAUGGAUUGUGAAGGAGCUUCAGCUCUUAUUUUUCAAAGAUUUCAACAAAUCUGUGAUAUCCAACUUUUAGUUGGAAACGGUGGUACUAUUCUGAUCACAAGCUAAGGUAGUUGCUACAAUAUUUACAGCAGCAUCUUCACGGAGAUUAGACUCACAUAGCUGCCUGGACCUACCUGGACUGUACCAAUCUGUUGAGCAGAUACUAAGCCUCUCAAAGUAGAAGAACUCUUCUAUGCUAGGUAAUGGAUCCCAAUAUAUGAAAUGAAACAGAGCCUUAAAAACUGAAGCUUCCAAGUAUACAGAUUCAGAAUCUUCUUGCUUGUAAGUGCCUCUACGAAAGCCUCUGUCACUAUUUCGUUCUCUUGAAAGCCCACAUGAUCUAGUAAUUCUGAAGCAAAGGAUAACAUGGGUUCUUGCUCUGAAAAAAAGAUUACAUCUUUUAUGACCAGUAUGAAAUCAGCAACAGGUAAGAACUCUACUUGAUGUGUAACAUAAAUCACUACUUUCGAACCCAAGAGACACAGCAAAUAUUCUUUAAAGAAAUUGGUUCCUGCGCGAGCAUCCACAGCACUAUAACUGUCUGAUCACCAAAUGAGAGAACCUCCAGAUUCUUUUUCAAGGAAUAUGCAUCAAGAACCCUUUCAUACCUUUUAUUAGGAUUGAUUGUAUUAGUUGUUUUUUACUAGAAGGGUAGUUUUGUCAUUAUUGUAAGCUNNNNNNNNNNNNNNNNNNNNNNNNNNNNNNNNNNNNNNNNNNNNNNNNNNNNNNNNNNNNNNNNNNNNNNNNNNNNNNNNNNNNNNNNNNNNNNNNNNNNUGUUUUGUUCAGUUUGUUGUUCAGUUUGUUUCGGUUUUUCUUGUUCAGUUUUGUUGAGCCAUUUUACUCUGUUAUAUAACAGAGCAGCCUUGUAUUUUGGGAAAGAGGAAUGAAGAGAAUUCUUUUCAUCUUUUCUCUCAAUUCUUUCUUCAGAUUUCUUUUUCUAACAUGGUAUCAGAGCGAUCCAUUUAGGGUUUCAAAUCCCUAAUUUCUAUUUUUUUCUUCUCUUUCUCUGUUCUUUGUUCUCGAUCGUGUUCAUGGCGAAAGGUGGAUCUGGUAAUGGUAAUCGCGGUGGCCAGGUGAAUUCUGAGAUUGUUGUUGUUGAAGAUUCGAGUAGUCCCUAUUUUCUUCAUAAUGGAGAUCAUCCAGGGCUCAAUCUUGUUUCAAAUCUUUUGACUGGAGCGAAUUAUCAUACCUGGCGUAGAGCGAUGCUGAUGGCUCUCACAACGAAGAACAAAGUUGGUUUUGUGGAUGGUACGAUUUCUAGACCUAUGUCUCAUGAUUUGAUUUACGGUGCUUGGAAUAGAUGUAACAGUAUGAUUUCUUCAUGGAUCAUAAAUGCUGUUUCAAGAGAAAUUGCAGAUAGUCUUUUAUAUUUGGAUUCUGCUUGUGAUAUCUGGAAAGAUUUGAAUGAUAGAUUUAAUCAGGGUAAUGGACCUAGAAUUUUUCAAAUUAAGAAGCAAUUAUCUGCUCUUAAUCAAGGUUCAUUGGAUGUCAAUUCAUAUUUCACUAAAUUGAAGAUUCUUUGGGAUGAAUUGAGGGAGUUUCAACCUGUUCCAGUAUGUCAUUGUGGUGGAUUGAGAGUCUGGACAGAUUAUCAACAUAGGGAGUAUGUUUUACAAUUUCUUAUGGGUUUAAAUGACUCUUAUGCUCAGAUUAGAGGACAAAUUUUGAUGAUGGAUCCCUUACCUGCUAUUAAUAAAGUGUUUUAUUUGGUUAUUCAAGAAGAACGUCACAGGAAUGUUGGUUAUUCUUAUUCUGGUUCUCACAAUUCUGAUCCUAUGACAUUUGGCUCUAAUUCUAAUGCACCAGCAGGAAGUUCAGGUGGCUCUAAAACUAGAAGGGAUAGAAUUACUUGUUCUCAUUGUGGUUUCCAAGGUCAUACCAAAGAUAAAUGCUAUAAACUUGUUGGGUAUCCACCGGGAUGGAAAUUCAAAAAUAAAGGCCCUAAUUCAAGCUCAAUGGCUAACAAUUCAGAAGUCCUCGAGUCUUUGAAUGCAGGUUCUUCUGAAUCCACUGUUUCUUCCCUCACUACCAUGCAGUGUCAACAAUUGAUUCAACUCUUAACCAACCAAUUAAGCUCUACUUCUUCAGCUUCCACAGAGAAUUCUUCAACAGGACCAUCAGUGUCUAAUUUUGCUGGUAAUAAAGUUAAAAUCCAAAAUAAAGGUUGGAUUAUUGAUAGUGGGGCCACCCAUCAUGUUUGCAAUGACAUUUCUCUAUUUGAUUCUUCUAUUGAUGUUCAAAAUGUCCGAGUUACUUUACCUACUGGUAUUACUGUCCCUAUUGAUAGAGUUGGUUCGGUCAUUCUUUCGAAGGAUGUCAAGCUUCUAAAUGUGUUGUUUGUGCCUACUUUCAGAUAUAAUCUACUUUCUGUGAGUGCAUUUACAGACACUUUAUCUCUUUCAAUGGUUUUUACUCCUGAUGCUUGCAUUAUUCAGGAACCAUCUCGGGGCAAGAUGAUUGGGAAGGGUAGCAGGAAAGGUCAGUUAUAUCAGCUGGAUUUUGACAGUUUUGUUGCUGAUAAAGCUUUUGUUGCAGCUUCUCGGAUUCCUACUUCUAAUAUUCUUUCUUUGUGGCAUUCUAGACUUGGACAUCCUUCUUUUAGUCGUUUAAAAGGUCUACAAUCUGUAUUGGAUUUUGAUUCAUCCUUUGAUCUUACUCCCUGCAAUGUAUGUCCUUUAGCUAAGCAGCGUUGUCUGCCUUACAUUUCUCUUAAUAAAAGAUGUUCUUCCACUUUUGAUCUUUUGCAUCUAGAUAUAUGGGGACCUUUUUCUGUUGGCAGUGUUGAAGGCUACAAAUUUUUCUUGACUAUAGUUGAUGAUUAUAGUCGAGUAACUUGGGUUUAUAUGUUGAAGAAUAAAUCUGAAGUUCAAAAAUAUAUUCCAGAUUUCUUUGCUUUUGUAAAGAAGCAGUUUGGUAAGGAAGUUAAGGCCAUAAGAUCAGAUAAUGCUCCAGAAUUAUUUCUUUCCAAUUUCUAUCAUUCUCUUGGUGUCAUACACUAUCGUUCUUGUGUUGAAACUCCUCAACAGAAUUCUGUGGUAGAAAGGAAACACCAGCAUAUUCUAAAUGUGGCCCGUGCUCUUCUUUUUCAGUCCAACCUUCCUGUCUGCUACUGGAGUGACUGUAUACUCACUGCAGUAUACUUAAUCAAUAGAACACCAAGUCCUUUUCUAAACAAUAAGACUCCUUUUGAAAUCCUACAUGAUAAGCUGCCUGAUUAUAGUCAUUUGCGGGUCUUUGGUUGCUUGUGUUAUGUUUCUACUUUGAAAGCUAACAGGACAAAAUUCUCACCUCGAGCCAAAGCAGCCGUUUUUCUUGGUUAUCCCUUUGGUUUUAAAGGGUACAAAUUACUGGAUAUAGAGACACGUUCCAUAUCUAUCUCUAUAAAUGUUAUUUUUCAUGAAGAGAUCUUUCCUUUUUCAAAGACAAAUCCCUGUUCUUCUCCUGAUAUUUCUUCUGAUUUGUUUCAUGAUCGAGUUCUUCCUUGUAUUGCUGCUGAUAAUGAUCAAUCUUCCUCAGUUCUUCCUCGUGUUGUUUCACAGCCACCUCUUCAAGUUGCUCCUUCUUCACGACCAACAAGAGUCUCCAAACAACCUUCAUAUUUGAAAGAUUAUCACUGCUCUUUAAUCAACUCUGUUGCUCAUGUUGAAACUCACUCCACUUCUCAUCCCAUACAACAUUUUUUGAGUUAUGAUAAGCUCUCUCCUUCUUACAAACUUUUUUCUCUCUCAGUUUCCAUUAUUUCAGAACCCAGCUCUUUUGCAAAGGCUGCUGAAAUACCAGAAUGGAGGGCUGCCAUGGAUUGUGAAUUAGAGGCUCUUGAGGAAAAUAAGACCUGGUCCAUUGUUAGUUUACCUGUUGGUAAGCACCCUGUUGGCUGUAAAUGGGUGUACAAAGUUAAACAUAAGGCUGAUGGUACCAUAGAACGGUAUAAAGCUCGUUUAGUGGCAAAAGGGUAUACUCAACGUGAAGGCAUUGAUUAUGUUGAUACUUUUUCACCAGUGGCAAAACUAGUGACUGUUAAAUUGCUUUUGGCUAUUGCUGCUGUUAAAGGUUGGCAUUUGUCACAAUUGGAUGUGAACAAUGCUUUCCUUCAUGGAGACUUGAAUGAGGAAGUGUAUAUGAAGUUACCUCCUGGUUAUAAUAGAAAGGGGGAGUCUUUGCCUUCGAAUGCUGUUUGUUUGCUUCAUAAAUCCUUAUAUGGUCUCAAACAAGCCUCAAGACAGUGGUUUUCUAAGUUUUCUACUGCCAUUAUGGGCUUGGGAUUCAGUCAAUCUCCUUCCGAUCAUUCUCUUUUCAUCAAAAAUGUUGAUGGCUUGUUCAUUGCUCUUCUUGUUUAUGUUGAUGAUGUGAUUAUAGCUAGUAAUAAUCAAGGGGCCAUUGCUGAUUUGAAAUCUGAGUUGAAUAAACUCUUCAAACUGAAAGGAUUUGGGUGAUGUCAAGUAUUUCCUUGNNNNNNNNNNNNNNNNNNNNNNNNNNNNNNNNNNNNNNNNNNNNNNNNNNNNNNNNNNNNNNNNNNNNNNNNNNNNNNNNNNNNNNNNNNNNNNNNNNNNNNNNNNNNNNNNNNNNNNNNNNNNNNNNNNNNNNNNNNNNNNNNNNNNNNNNNNNNNNNNNNNNNNNNNNNNNNNNNNNNNNNNNNNNNNNNNNNNNNNNNNNNNNNNNNNNNNNNNNNNNNNNNNNNNNNNNNNNNNNNNNNNNNNGAAGAUCUGUUACUGGUUUUUGUGUUUUCUUGGGGAAUUCUUUGGUGUCAUGGAAAUCCAAGAAACAACACAUUGUUUCUCGCUCUUCUGCUGAAGCUGAGUAUCGUGCUAUGGCCAAUACUUCUUGUGAGAUUACUUGGCUUCUUGCUCUUCUCAAGGACUUUGGUAUAGAUCAUUCUGCUCCUGCUCUUCUUUUUUGUGACAAUCAGUCUGCUUUACAUAUGGCUGAAAAUCCCGUGUUUCAUGAACGCACAAAACACAUUGAGAUUGAUUGUCAUCUUGUUCGAGACAAGGUUCAAAGUGGGGUUCUCAAGCCUAUGUUUGUUUCUACAGAACACCAGUUAGCAGAUGUUUUGACAAAAGCCCUUCAUCCCUCUUCUUUUAAGCUUCUUAUUGGCAAGAUGGGUCUAAAGAACAUCUUUAGUCCAUCUUGAGGGGGAGUAUUAGGAUUGAUUGUAUUAGUUGUUUUUUACUAGAAGGGUAGUUUUGUCAUUAUUGUAAGCUGAGCUAUUUUUGAGUUGUUUUGUUCAGUUUGUUGUUCAGUUUGUUUCGGUUUUUCUUGUUCAGUUUUGUUGAGCCAUUUUACUCUGUUAUAUAACAGAGCAGCCUUGUAUUUUGGGAAAGAGGAAUGAAGAGAAUUCUUUUCAUCUUUUCUCUCAAUUCUUUCUUCAGAUUUCUUUUUCUAACACCUUUCUCUGUCCAUCUUCUUAUUAAACAAGAUGUUCUCUUCUAUUUUACCAUUCUGUAUCUAAGGAGAUUGAGUAAUACAGGCCUUCCCAAUGUAUCAGUCUUCCUUACACUUUUAACGGAAUUCUCCCCCCUUCCGAUUACAUGUCCAAUCUCGUCAAAUGGACGCAAAGCUCUUACAAUUAACAUCUGAUCGUGAUGCUCCAUAACCAGAAAGUACUAGUAGGUUGGAUGAAUAAACUGGCCAUAUAUUGCCCAAGUCUGAACAGCCCCGAAAUUCUGGUAUACGUGUAGCAGCUAAGACAUGAGAAACAGAUCUGGCAAACACCAUAGUUUGCAUUAGGAUAGAAUUUACCAGCAGGAUAUUUGGGACAUCCGAAGGGAUAAUGAUGUUAGGAGGGGCUUCUAGUACAGUAAUGUCAAGAGAAAUUUCUUCUUUAGGAGUGAACCUUUAGAAAGGUAACAACAAUGGACCAUAGUCUCUUGUUUCAGUGAUCCGAUUUCGCCGCAAGAUUGAGAUAGCAUGACCAUUGUGAUUAUAAUUGGAAACACCUUGCUUUGGAACAUUUCAAGGAACAGGGACAUGCUUUUGUCAGCAUGGUGAUUCAGAUUAUUUCCUUUAUAUCUGGACACUUCUCAUAUACAUGUGUCAUUGCUGUUCCUAGAAUAAAUAUCUUCAUCCAUGUCGAGGCCUUUCUUUACCAUGAACGUGUGGUUUGAUUGGAUUCUUCUUAUAUUUGCUAAGUUUGCAUAAGCAGGAAACACAUUGGCAAAGGUGACUAUAUCAGGUUUCAAAUUUGACUCUGACAUCAUUCUUUCAUAGAGUAAUGUUGCCUUCUGAUCAUAACCAUUGAAUGAGUUCCAGGAAACCAAACUCCUGUCAGAUAAUUCCCCUUUAAAUAUGGUCUGAGCACACCCAAUUCUAUUACACUUUGCAUAUAUAUUGACCAUAGCUGUUCCAAGACAGAGGUCAAAAAUUAACCUCGUACAAAUCAAGUACCCAUGAAUGCUUUUUUUUUUAGAUCAAGAUUCCCAAUUUGUCCACAAACCAACAAUAAACCUAAAAAAUGUGAUUCAGUUUGGAAACAAAUCUCCAGCUCUUUUCAUGGAUAAGAAAAAGGUUGAAUGCUUCAGCCCAAUUACCAUUAUGUGCAUAUGCUGUAAUCAACGAAUUCCAAGACACUAUAUCUCCUUUUAACAUGUCACACAAAAUGCGUCUCUCAAAAUCUAUCUUUCCAAUCUUAAUAUAUAUUGAAAUCGAGGAAUUCAAUUAGAAACUCAUGAAUCAAUGCUCCUUUUUCAAGUAUCCCGAUUUCACCACAAGCCAUAAUUUCAUGAAAUGCAGAAUCCAAAGAAAGUAAUAAAACCACAUCUAGUCUUUGCUCAAAGAGAACCAACAGUUCAUCAUAAAACCCAAUUGAUCCAAAACAGGAAACUAAGGAAUUAAUCAAAUCUUCAUCUAUGGACAUUUCUUCAAACACACCGUAAGUACCUCAAACAGAUUCAAAUACCGUACAGGAAGAGGGAUAGAGAACAAAUAAAAAAAAUAGAUGUAGAACCCGGAGAAGAAGAGAGUGGAAGACUUUGGUCAAUAAACAUAAAUAGCUCCACUUCAAAUAUUAAAUCCGUGGGCUAAGGACAGGGGGCAGAAUGCAGAAUGGGAUUUAAACAAAAAAAGAACAUGAUCAAAUUCAGGCAUGGAGUCAAUGAAUUUCAGACGACAUCAAUGACACAUAAGAGAAUCAGAAUCCAAAACAAGGCAAACAAGUGAAUAACCAAUCUCAACAAAUCAGUUUGUGGCCCUUUUCGUCCACACCAAUCAGUGGUAUAUUAAAUAUUCAGAAACAAAUGCACGGAAAAAACGAAUAUGGAUAAUGAUUCCAAGAAUGACGAGAAGCAUACCUGGGCAGCCUUGGUUGCAAUUGCUCUCUUUUCCAAUUCCUUUGUGUCUUUUCCUCUAGACGAUCUCACCAGAAUUUCCCCACCAAGACUCCAAUACGUGCUCCCUCCUCUUUCUCCUUUUUCCUUUUUUUAAAUCUUCCCAUUCAAAGGCAAUCUUUCCCUUUUCAAAUUCCUCUCCAAAAACCUUCCAAGGAGAGCCCCACUUUCCUUAAACUUCAAUGGUAAGUUUCCUUGCAAAAACAUGAAAUUUUUUUAAAGUAAAUAAUUGAAUGAAUAACUAAAUAAGUAAACAAAAUAGAUAAAUAAAUAAAAUAAAAUGAAAUAAAGUAAAAUAAAAGUCUUAAUAGGCCUAGUGUGCCUAAACGGGCCUAAGGUGAGACUAAUGGGCCAAGAGUGCCUAACCGGGCCUAGAGUGCCUAAGUGGGCCUAAGUAGGCUACCCUAAAAGCUAUCCUAAAAAAGAAAGAAAAGCCUAAGUCUAAAUCAGGUCUGCCAAGGGUUACAAUAAGGGAUCAAAUAAUCCCUCAACCAAAGUCUCCGAGGUGACUCAGAAAAAGGUAAGUUGCACGAGUAGUAAUGGGCCACCAAGGAGUUACUGUGGAGCAUUGAAAACGAAUUUCGAAGACAUGUGCUAAAGGGACAAAAUUGAGGGUAUACACAUAUUUAUUCACCUAAAGACCUUGCCUAAGUAGUAGAAAAGAAAGGAAUUUAAAAAGGAAGGUUUUCGAGGCCAAAAGGCUCAACCGGUCGAGGCUAUGGCCAACCGGCUCAACCGAUUGGGGAACUGGUCGACCGGUUAACCCUGUCCGGUCGAGAACCGGUCGAGGAGUGUCAAAAACACUCUCUCUCAUCCAGUAGCCUUCUCUUCCUGGUUGAGGUUCACACCCUUCCCGGUCGAGGUCCGGUCGAGGCAACGGUAACCUAUCAAAGCAUUUAAUGCCCAACGGUUAUUGAUCCGGUCAACCCCUAGCUCGACCGAUCGAGGGUACCUUUUGCUAUUUUUGACUCCUGAGCUUAGAAACCUAUAAAUUAAGAGCUCCACUUCAUUUAUGAAUAAGAGAACACUUGCAAUCAAUUAUCUACCUACCUGUUCUUGAUAAAAAAGCUCUCAUUUCUUUCUUGGUGCAUUAAAUCAUCAUUUACAUACUCCUUAGUGCACCUUUGUGAAUCAUCCUAGCCUUGUUUUGUAUUUGAUCCAUCCUUGAGCUAGGUUGAGUGUUUUAUUCUUGUAAAAGCCAAGCGUUUAAGCCUUCGAGAGGUGUAAUUCUUGAAGAGAUUGUGUAAGAGCCCAUUGGAGCCGGAAUCCAAGUGUAAGAAGAUUAGAAGCUUGGUUGAAGCUUCAAGUUAGUGGAACCCUCACUCGGUAAGGAGAUUGAGGAGAGUGGACGUAGGCAAGGAAGUGCCGAACUACUAUAAAACCCGAGUUUGAAUUCUCUAACUCUAUCUCUUUACUUUCACUUAUAUUGUGCUUGAAAUUGUUGUUAUUGAAAAGAUUUUUUAAAAACCCAAUUCACCCUCCUCUUGGGUGUUUUUCUUAAUUAAGCAUAGCCUUUAUUUUCUCAUACAACUAUAUGCAGGGAAGCAUGGUGACCCUUCUAAUCUUGUAUGUGGAUGACAUACUAUUCAUUGGAAAUGAUGUAGAAAUGGUAUCUUUAGUAAAUAUUUGGUUAUCUACUCAAUUCCAAAUGAAAGAUAUAAGUGAGGCCCAAUAUAUUCUAGAAAUCAAGAUAUUGCAUGAUAGAAAGAACAAGAACAUUUCAUGUUAGUCAGGUACUCUAUGCAAAAUUCUAAGAAGGGUAUGCUACCUUUUAGCAUGAAAUGCCACUUUUUUAGGAUCAAUCUCCUAAGAUGAUUGAGGAGAAAGAGAGCAUGAAGGUGAUACCUUUUUCUUCCAUAGUGAGUAGCCUUAUGGAUGUUAUGUUAUGCACUAAACCUCACAUACAUUAUGCAAUAAGUAUAGUGUGUAGAUACCAAUCUAAUCCCAAUCAAGAGCAUUAAAUAACGGUUAAGCAUAUACUCAAGUAUCUUAGGAGAAAAAAGGGAUUAUAUGCUUGUUUAUCAAAGCGAUGAGUUAGUACCCAUAAGAUACACAAAUUCAAAAUUUUAGUUUGAUAAAGACUCUUGUAGGUCCACUUUAGAUUACGUGUUUAGACUUCGUGAUAGGGUUGUUAGUUGGAGAAGUAUCAAGUAGUCAUGCAUUGUUGACUCCACUAUGGAAACUGAAUAUAUAGUAGCUUCGGAAGCAAUUAAAGAAGUUGACUAGCUAAGAGAGUUUGUAAUGGAAUUGGGGGUACCAUGAUUUUACCGAACACCAUGGCAUUGUUUUGCAACAAUACUGGGGUGGUAACACUAUCUAAAGUACUAAGGAACCAAUAGAAGGGAAAACACAUUGAGAGGAAAUAUCAUCUCAUUAGGGAGAUAGUAUAAAAAUGUGAUAUAAUAGUGGAAAAGAUUGCAUUUAAGGAUAACCUAGAAGAUCCCUUUAUUAAGACCUUACAAGCAUGAGUAUUUGACUCUCAUAGCGAUGUUUAUGGUGUUAGAUGUAAUCCUAGUCUACUUAAGGCUAGUGGGAGAUUUUUGGGUUUAUAAGCCUUGUAUAGUGAGACAUAUUGCAAGAUUUGUUAUGUAAUAUAUCAUUCCUAUUCAUUCAUUGGUAUUGUGUGCAUUAAUAGUUUCUCUCUUUAUUAUUUUGAUGGAUACUUAGUCAAAUCAAUUCGCUUUGUACACAGUUCAGGUGUAAGUGGACACAUAGAGGACACAACUAUGGGUUCCUUGUAGACUGAUACUAUUGUUUACAACAUUUCGUGAACUUGAGUAGUUUAGUAAUAUUAUGGUGUGCUACCUCCCAUGUAGGUGGGAUGACCUAUCUUAGUUUUCAAAGUGGAACUCUAAGGUGGUAUGCUAGUGUGUAUGGUUACACAUUGAACAUGACCUAUGGAGAACUUGUUUAUUACUAUCUAAGUGACAUGUGUUCUCCUAGCUACUAUCUUGUAGGAGUCCUUAACCUUGAGAGGUACUUAGGCUAAUGUUUGGAUUAGUGAUCACUUUGAGGCACAUACGAGUGAGACCCACAUAGAGGUUAUAUAUUGUUGUGAUCUUGGGUGACUGCUAAUUUAGCAUGUAGUUUGUGUAUACUCAAAAUGAAAGUUGUGAUAUCCCACUAGGGACAAUAUAUUCCCUUCCAACAAUUAUAAGGUGCAUGAUCAAGCUAAAUCCUUGGUCAAGAUAAUGUCAUUUGAGUGGUGAAAUCAUGUUUUAUCCUCUUAAGAUAUGAUAAAAUUAUUUUAUCAUACCAAAGGUGAAUUUGCAACACGAAGGUAAAGAUGUUAUUUAUUAGUAAAUAACACAUAUCAAUUAAAUUACAUAUAUCAAUUCAUAGGGAAUAAAUACAAGGAUUAGUAGGUUGUGGGAUAGCUAUUAGCUUCAUAUAGUUGGAUCUUAUUAGUGGAGUGUAGUCAAUUGACUUUAGUGGUGUGAUCAAUUGACUAUCAAAUUAUGUUUGAUUAAUUUUAUGGGAGCCACAAUUAGAUGUUUCAUUGGUCCUCGAUCGAGCUACCUUCAUAGAUGUAAUCUUUGUGCACGAAAUUUGAGACUUUAAGGGACUUAAUUUAUAGAUUGGAUUUGUUUUCUAAUAUGGAAAAAGCAUUUUGGUCUUUUCUCCCCUUAGUAUAUAAGGAAACAUGGGAAACCAAAAUAGGUCAUUCCUCUCAUUUUUCACCUCCUAUAAAUUAUUAGAAACCAAAAAACAAACAGUUUCCCUUUCGUCCCAAGAGCAAGUCUAACUCAAAUCUUGCAAAGCAUCAUCGCCCACUCAACGAUACCAUCGUAGGAUUGAAUGGAAGAUUGUGGACAUUGGAGUUAUAGUUCGUUCUGCACCAAAGACAAGGAAUGAUCUCAUUUUUUCUAGUUAUUUUACUAUAAAAGGAUAUUAGGUUAGCCACUUACUUGGUUAGAAAUUUUAAAUUACCUACCCUAUAUAUGUCUUUAGAUCCAACAUUUAAAUGUCAACAUUUUCUACAACAGAUCAAUUCCUCUAAUUGUAAAAUAACAUUUUCUCAAUAAAAUAUUUGUUUUAUAAGAAUAUGAAAUCAUUUCUAAAAGAAAGAAUAUCCUCUUCCAACAAUAUUAUAUUUGGAGCUCAGAAAUUUUGAUAGAGAAAAGUCAACAUGAGUUAGAAGGCCACCAAAAUCAUCGACAUUUUGUCUAUGGUCAAGCCUACACAUUGUUUCCAAUCCCUUGUUGAUCAAUAAACGUCGACAACCUGCCAAAUGGGGUUGUGCAUCGUUGAAUGUUUGAAUGGUUAUUUUUAUGGGAGAAUUGUGUUUUGGGCCUAACUGGGCCCAAAAAUUAAGAGAUGGUCCAUCUAACCGACCCAUUUAAGCUGAAAACCCAUAGGAAGUGUCAAAAUUAAAAAGAAGGAUAUGCACUUUUAUUAAUUCCAAAAAUAACCUUUGCUGAUUAUGAAAAAAAAAAAUAAUAAACAAAAAAAUCCAGGUUGGAAUUUUGCCCUAAUUUUGGUGUCUCUUCAGAUUUCAAGCCUAGAAGCCGUUUUCUUCUCUUCGUCCCGAGUUCCUCCAUCGCUUGCAUCUCAAUCUCUGCGGCUCUUUGGAAUUUUGCCCUAAUUUUGCUCUCUUCAGCAUUUCAAGCCUAUAAGCCAUUUUCUUCUCUGCCUAGAAGUCGUUUUCUUCUCUGCCUAGAAGCCAUUUUUUCUGUUCCUCCCGAGUUUCUCCAUCGCUUGCAUCUCAAUCUCUGCGGAUUUUUGGAAUUUUGCCCUAAUUUUGGUCUCUCUUCAGCAUUUCAAGCCUAGAAGCCGUUUUCUUCUCUUCCUCCCGAGCACCUCCAUCGCUUGCAUCUCAAUCUCUGCGGCUCUUUCAUUUUUUCUCGCAUUCGUCUCUCUCAAAAAUUUGAAUAAGGUAUGGAUUUCAGUUGGGUCUCUCUUGUUGCAUAUUUGAGGUUAGUAGAUUGCCUAAAUUUUGGUCUCUCUUCAGCAUUUCAAGCCUAGAAGCCGUUUUCUUCUCUUCCUCUCGAGCACCUCCAUCGCUUGCAUCUCAAUCUCUGCGGCUCUUUCAUUUUUUCUCGCAUUCGUCUCUCUCGAAAAUUUGAAUAAGGUAUGGAUUUCAGUUGGGUCUCUCUUGUUGCAUAUUUGAGGUUAGUAGAUUGCCUAAAUCUCGACCUAAAUUUUCUUAGUCCAAAUCUCUAAACUGUGUUCAACUUGAUCUCCGGAGUUCAAGUUACUGUUCCCAUUCAAUAAUUGACUUCUUGGUUGGCUACUAUUAUUCGAAUGCUGAGAAAAUAAUGAGAAAAAGAAAGGAAAAUUUUUGAACUAUAAUUUUUUCUUUAAGCCUUGAGAAUACAGAAAAUGCAUUUUACCUGCAACUCAUGAUUCAUGGCUUAAUCGAUCUGAUUUUAUUUUUGUAAUUUUUUUUAGAUUUUUUUUUUCAUGCUAUUUGUAUAUUUUAAAUUCAAAAAAAUAUUUGUGAAAAAUUGUCAUAUAUACUUGAAAAUAAUUUAUAAUUGUUUAAUUGGUUGCUAGAAAACCAGGAGAGGAAAAAUGGAAAGGGGAAAUGGAAAACCUAAAAACCCUAAAGUUUUCUUAUGGUGUCUUGGCUUGAGAUGUAGGCACAAGUAACAGAUUUAUCUCUUUUUAUCUAUUAGUUUUUUUUACCCUUAAACCUUAAAUGUGUUAAACUAUUGCUUAUGGUUUUGUAUGAAUCAUCUAAAGUAGGGCAUGAUAGUUUAGAAGAGAAUUUUGUAUUUGUUACAUUUUUUAGGCUAUUAUCUCUUCAUAUUAUUUUGAAAAGCAACACUUUAUAAUUAAUAUUUAAAUAUCUCCAUUCUCUUUGAAUAAGUUUGUAGGCAUGUCUGAUAUAGUAGUACCAACAGAAAUUGUCUAAGGGUUUGAGUGAGAAUGAGAAUUUGUUUUCUACCUAGUGUAAGUAUAGGUCAGAGCUUAAUAAAACGUGGGGGAUUAUUUCCUAUUGAAUGUCUUAUAGUUCCAUAAUUCCAAUGUUUUUGGUGUGUAUAUAUAUAUAUAUAUGUUCUGGAGUAUUAUGUCGAAUCAGACACAAAAUCCUCCUACUUUACUAGAUAUUGUUGUGAUGUUCUGUCUUAAAGUUCCAAGUAUUGACACGAUUAGAUUAUUAGCAUAGGUAAGUAGUAGUGUCAAAUUGGGUAGCACUAAAGUAGUUGGAGAGAGAGGUUUUUGCUUAUAAAAAUGUGAACUAUGAAUAUAUAAGUAAAGGGGAAUGAUAGGGAAAAUAAGUUAGAGAUUUGUUUUUUUUUCCUUUUAUAGCCUUUCUUAGUUUUUAAUUUAAUGAUUUUUUUUAAUCUAUUAAUUUCAAUCUUUUAAUUUCCAUUUCAGUUUUACAUUUCUCAUUUUUGUUUUUUAUUUUUAUUAUUAUUUUUAGUUUUGUUUAGGUUAGGUAGUAUUUAUUAGUCUAAGAGAAGAGAGAAGCUCGGUCUUCAUAUCUUAGUUCAACUCACCGUUUGUUUAUUAGUGCCUAUCUUAAAAUAAUCUUACUGUUGACAAUGGUUAGAAUAAUCAAAAGGAGCAACAAAAAUUAUUUUUUAAGAUUUUAAAGUUACAUUUUUUUGUAUAUAUAUUUUUUAAAAUAUAACUUUUUCGUAUGGGAACAUAGUAUAUUGUGAGAUGAAAAAACUUUUAAGAUCACAUUGAAUAUGCAUUAUUGUUUGUUCAACAAUAUAAAUUUGUGCUUUAUUUCAAUAGAUUGAUGGAUGCCACAAAUAGAAUAUGCUGUUAUAUUUUCGUGGGAGGCAAACUUGUCCAAAAAAAUGAUGGCCUUUGGGAAUAUGUUGGUGGAAGAAGCAAAGGUAUUCACAUUUAUAAAGGAAUGACAUUUGAAGAAUUCACUCACAAGGUCUUAGAAAAAUUCGACAUUUCCCUUCAUGUGAGGAGGAUGCACUACACCCUCAAGUUUAACCCUAGAGUCAUCCAAGAUUUAGAAGAUGAGGAUGACUUGGAUAACGUGGUUUCCCACAGUGAUGACUUUGCAAAUGUGUACAUAGUCGAGUCACCCGGUGUGGAAGCCAUAGAGGCAAAUAUACCGAAUACACAAUUGGCACUUGGGUAAUGCGUUUUCACUUGGAUGUCUAUUUAAAAUUUUAUGAAUAUCAAUUUUACGCAUUAUGUAGUCUAAUUUUGGUUAUGAAUGUAAAUGCAGAGGUCCACAUCCUACGUUUCCUUCGUCUAAUGCAUCAUGCGAUGCAAGUCCUAAUACUAUGAUGUUAUCAAGAGGUUUUGCAUCUUGUUGUGCAAAUAGUGAGUACACCCCUUUGGAAUCGAAUCGGUUUCGUGAGGCAAUAUUAGGUUCUGGACAUACAUUUAAGAAUGCAGAUGAGUUUCGGAAUGCAAUAUACCAAAUGUCAUUAGCUAGAAGGUUUCAAUACAAGUACAAGAAAAAUUCACCUACUCAUAUGUCAGUAAAGUGUGCGGUUGAGAAUUGUCCUUGGAAGAUAACAGCUCAUGCUGUUGAAGGAAAUGAAAUAUUGCGAGUUUAUACUUACCAAGUUAAUCAUAAUCAUAUAGCUCAAGAUGAGUGUUCAUCUAAGGUGCGGGUUUCUUCCAAGAGAGGUGUUGUUGUUGUUGAAGACGUGUUUAGAACAACUCCAGAAUACCUUCCUCGACAAAUUUGCAAGGAUUUUGAACGUGAUCAUGGAGUUCAAUUGACUUAUAACCAAGCAUGGCAUCUUAAAGAGAAGGAAAAAGAGCAUGUAUAUGGAUCUCCACGUGCGUCCUACGCGUUUUUGCCUUGGUUAUGCCAUAGGCUAAGGGAAAUUAACCCUGGAACUAUUGCCGAGUACACUUCUCAUGAAGGUCACUUCAAGCAAUUGUUCAUUGCCCAUGCAUUUUCAAUUCAAGGGUUCACCAUGGGGUGUCAACCAUUAUUGGCUAUUGAUUCUUGCCACCUAAGUGGUUCAUACAAAGGAGCUCUUUUGUCUGCCAUUGCAUAUGAUGCAGAUGAUGGAAUGUUCCCUCUAGCCUUAGGUGUGGUUGGUUCAGAAAAUUAUGAGGAUUGGUAUUGGUUCUUGGAGAAAUUGAAGGGGAUCCUAGAUGGUCAAGAAGUAAUUAUUAUAUCAGAUAGACAUCAAGGGAUAUUGCGUAGUGUUUCGGAGUUGUUUGGGGUAGAAAAUCACGCCUAUUGUUAUCGACAUGUGAAAGACAACUUUUCAAGCUUCUUCAACAGGCAAAAAAUUAGGGGAAAGAAAGGGAAAGAAGAUGCUUUGUUGCUUUUAGACAACAUUGCAUAUGCUCGGUUGGAUAUAGACUACAAUGAGGCAUUUGAAAAACUUGUGCGUUUUAAUGGCGACCUAGUAAGGUGGGUUGCAGAGAAUAGUCUGGAGCAUUGGGCGAUGUCAAAGUUCCUUAAAAAACGUUGGGAUAAAAUGACAACUAAUAUUGCAGAGUCCUUCAAUGUGUGGUUAAGAGAGGAACGACACCAAACAAUUUAUACGUUGUUGAUGAUGCACAUGGAUAAGCUUGUAGCCAUGUUGGACACCCAUAUGCGUGAUACAGAUAAGUGGAAGAGCGUGGUUGGACCCAAAACAGAGGAAAAGCUAAUGUCAAAUAUCACGAGAUCUGCUCCGAUUACUGUGAUGCCCUAUUUGGAUGGGACGUUCAAGGUUUUUACUGGAGAUGUUUAUUUGGUUGUGGAUAUGCAGCAACAUAAGUGUACAUGUCUAACAUGGCAAAUGUCCGGGUUGCCAUGUCCACAUGUAUGUGCUGUGAUCCGCACAUUGAGACACGAUGUGUAUGACUAUAUCGACCCAUGUUUUAAAGUCUCCACCCAACAUUUGAUUUACUCGGGUCAGUUUCAACCAUUACCAACACACAACAUGCCUAAAGUUUGUGAGGUUGGGACUUUGCAAGAUGGCCAAGGCAACGUAUUUCCUAGUCUCCAACCCCCGCAAGUGAGACGUCCUCCAAGAAGACCCCGGCAAAGGCGUAUUGAGUCACAAUUUAGCCAUAAGAGAGCUAUUCAUUGCUCUCGAUGCAAUGGCAUAGGUCACAAUCAGUCUAAAUGUAAUAAUCCAUUGCCGUGACAUGUUCAUUUCUUUGCUUGUAAGGUUUUCAUUUUGUGUACGAUCCCUCAUUGUUCCAUUAUUUGCUUUAUGGUCAUGGGGUUGUUGCUUUUGGAUGUUAUGUAUUGUCCUUAUUAUAGACACGAUGCACUACUUUUUUAUUUUAUUUUUUAUAAAACUACUUUUUAAUUUUCAUUAUUUGGAGUUGCUUUCAUUACUGAUUUAAUUUGAAAUUGCACUUUCAACGUGGUAUCCUUUAACUUGAUGUAUACUAUCACUUCCCUAUUUUAAGUAUGUCAUACUCACAUCAUUGGAUGCGUGUAUUUUUCUUGUCACUUAGCUGAAAUUUCAUAGUAUUGUACUAUACUUGCUGUCUAGUUAUUCAGUUGGUCAGUUUAGCUGUGCAUAACAUUCUACUUUUCUAUGCCCAAUGAUGCAGUUAUAAUAUUAACAAUGGCUGGUAAUGGCCUAGAUGGUUCUGCUGCCAGUUCACUCCCACUCUCGGUAUGGUUCAUCAUACUUGCUUAUCUUUGUUGUUUUUUGCAUUCUUCUGUUGCCAACAUACUAUUUGAGAGGUUUUCGCUUCUCUGGUAGAGUGCCACAAGAACUUAUAAUCUAUAGUCAUGCAAUUUUAAUGUAUUGUGAGAACAUAAAUCAGAAUGCAUGUUGGUAUCAAAAUGGGUAAAAUUUCAUUUUAUGAUAUUUUACAUAUUUGAAUUGGUGUGAACAAAUGACUCCCUUGUUUAUAUAUAAUCUGAAAUCAUUUUAUGAAAUUUUCAUUUUCAGAUACCUUUUAAGUUAGUAUAUAUAUAUAUAUUAUGCAUGAAAUUUAAGUGAUUUCUUCAUCUCCCUUAUUAUAGUUACCAUGUAUCAGUUAUGUUGGAAAGUUCUCUAAUAUUGAAGUUUUAACAAUUCAACGUUUAUUUAUUAAAUACUAUUAUAUCAGCUUUGUAAGUUGUCGGGCAAUAUUUGUGUACAAUUUGGUAAUAUAGAAAAUGUGGUUCACUAACGCCAUAUCAAAUUAUGCUUUAGGGAUCUAAUGGUCUUCGCUAUACAGCUGUGGGGAUAGGCAAAAACCAUGUCCUCUAGGAGGAGGGAGGAGGGUAGAGGAAGGGAUAAAGAGAGGUGUUCUGGUAGGAAUGGUGAUGGGGAUGGGAUUAAUGCUAAUGGAUAUACUAAAAGUAUGUUCGGUUGUGUCACCUCAAACCAUAUUUUAUAAAACCUAUAAAAGUUUUAAGUCAAAAUGAACUUCCUUACCUAGUGUAAUGAUUAGAUUAAGUGAAUGUUGUUUCUUCUACGGAAAAAAAUAAUUUCUACUUCGCAAGAUAUUUUAGUUAUUUAGGUUUGUGCAAUAAUUUAUGAGAGAGAAGGAAGAUAUCUUAAACCUUUUCCCAAUCAUAGACAUGUAACCGUAGGACUUGAGAUUUUGGGUCUUUUACAAUCAAUUUGAAAUCUUCAUUCCACUCAGGGUCCAAUGUCUUCAUCUUAAUAGAGGUUUUCUUUGCUGGAAGCCUCUCCCCACUUAGACUGAGUUUAACAUAAGGAUCGAAUGCUCCAAGGAUGUCCAUCUUCAAGAGUUUGCGUGCCCGUACAACCUUUACAUGUAAUAACCCCACAGGCUUCUUGAUAGGUGCUCUAUCAAAAUCAAAAGAAAAUAAAUAGAAGGAUAUAUUUUAAUGCUAAUCUACGUUAGAAGUUACAAGCUAAAUCUGAUCUGACAAUUGAAAACCUCUGUAUUUUUUCUUGGACCCUUUUCCUCAUAUGCAAGAACAUAUUGAUUGAAUUUCAAGUCAUGACUCAUGAGCUCAAUGCUAAGUGCUAAAAGCACCCAUAUGUGGAAUUUGCCCAACCAUGUAAUGAGGAUGAUGAAUAAACUGCUGUUUCUGGUUCUACUACUACUAAGAUUAUUUCACAGAGAAAACUCAUAAUUCCAUAUUGAAAACUUACACCAGAGCGUCAAGAAUAGGCAUUUCAAGAGUUUGGGGGCAGAGGUAGAGGCUAGCCACUUGUCUUCUUAUAGUUUUCUGCUGACAGACAAAGAAAGUAAACAAACACAUUAAAAAUAUUAUGAGAAAAAUAUGAAACUUGAGUAUAAUCAAAACAAAGACAUUAACAAAAGAAAUAAGAAAAAGAAGAAGAAUGUUUAUAGCCACUACAAUUAGAAAAUUUAUACUUCAAAUAUUGUAGGCUAUUAAAAGACUUCCAACCAUAUGCACUUCAAAAACCCAGGGCAUCAAUAUGUACAAAUAAAUCAAUGGAAUAUCAAUAUGUGUUUAUGCAUGCAUAAGACAUAAAUCCAGAAUCCUAAUUAACUUUCUUAAGAAGUCAUAAAGGGGGGAAAAAUUGGGACCCUAACACUCACACUUCACAGUCCACAUUCCAACUUGUUAUGAGGCUCCAAGUUUCUUUUCUCUUUCCCUUGCUUUUUCAUCAAUAAAUAAUCCAACUAUUCAAGUUUGCAUACCCUUUUCUUGGUUAUUUCCUUUUUUAUUUUUAUAGGUAACCCUUACCUCUUUAGCCACUUAAGCUAGGUCCCCAGGGCAAAAUGAUCACAAUUAUUUAUGGGGACCUCAAUGGUAUUGAGACAUUAGGCUUCUUUUUUGCUUCACUUUCUAAGUGAUUUAAAUAUGAAGGUGGAGAGCCAUGCCUUGCCAAUUUCUCAGUGCCUUGGACUCUGGACAUACCUUUUUUUCGGGUGGCAAAUUCUGUAUUAUUUUUUGUCUGUAAGAUUCAAACAAUUGACUGAAGCAAGGUGCAUAGCUCUCUAGACACUUCAUAUAUCAGUAUUUUGAACCAGUUACGGAAAUUCAUUUACGCUGAUUCAAGCACUGGCCAAGCAAACUGAUGUGGCAAACUUGUACCCAAUGUGGCUUUUGCCAGGAGCAGUACAAACAUUUAAAAUUGCUCAUGUAUAUCUUCUUGCAAAAUCCUUACGACAAUGAAAAUAAUUCUAUAAGUUAACAAAAAAAAAAAACAAAAAGUCAUAACACAUAACUUUUUAAUGUAUUAUAUUACAAUUAUGUGGUGAAGCAUAAUUACAAUUUCUUCACCUGUAAAUGGGUACGUAGCCAAGCUGUUGAAACUCUAGUUGAGUCUUGCCUUAUAUUACAAUUUUCAUUUUUUAGGCAAACAGGAAACUUGUAAUUAAGCAGGAUAUUAUAAGUGUAUGUUGUGAACUAUGUUUUGGUUUGAAGACUGAUGCAUUGGCAUAACACAUAACUUAAUGCUAGUUACUAUGCUAUGGUAAUGAAGGAGAACUGUUGUUGAAGUUCCAAGUGUAACAAGUAGUGUCAUAACUUCUACUUGAAACUAUGUUCGAUGUUUCUUACCUUAGUUGAUGUUCUUGUUGUAUUGGGCAUCUACCAGUUGGAGUUUAUGGUUUCCAAACUCCUCUUCAUUCAUUUAAUUCUCCAACACUCAUGGAUUCAUCUUAUUUAUUAUUGUUUUCAAGCGUAAAGAUACUCUUUGUUUACUAUUCUACAAAAAAUUAUGUAGUAGCAUUUCAUAGUGUAUCAGUACCUAAUUUGAAAUGCCCACUUCCUCUAUUCUGCAAAUUUUAGAUUAUUAUGCCCAUUGAAUCAGAUUCAAGCCUCAAAACAUUCACAAGUUUAGAUUAAUAGUCCUAGGUUUCAUUUAUUUUCCCAUGAAUCCUCACUCAGCUAACAACUUAGGUGUGAAUGAACUUUGGUCAAACACAUGAUUCGUGGUAUCAAAUGAUAGUGUACAAUUCUUCAAUGAUAGUUAUUACCAUGUGGGAAUACUCUCAACAGAAAAUUGGAUUCCAAACCUUGUCCAUGUUCAAUGGCAGUAGCAAAGUGCUUGCUCUAGCAGUUCCUCUAGAUUUUGUGUAUGUCAGAAGUAUCAAAAGGAGCAGGUUAAACCCCUUUUAAAUAGCCAGAAGAAUGAAAAGAACAGGGAAAACAAAGAGACCUCUUUGAGUUUUUUCUCUUGCUCACAUCCAUGAAUGCAAGGCCCUUAGCAGCCACCAUGUUGUUCGGUAUAGUGGAAAACACUUGGGGGAAUACAAUUAUUGUAAAGAUGAUUCCUGACACAAAACCCAGUGUGUGCGAGGGAAUACGAAUACAAGGCCUUUGAGUUUGUGAGCUUUUAUUUCCACCUCUCAAGCAUUUUAUUGUAAGCAUGUUAAGGCAAUGAAAGAAAUCUGCUUUUCCAUAGCAUUUUCUGUUUACUCCAUUUGUUCGUUGUUGUUGAAUAUCACAAAUUCAUUACCAAGGAUUUUUGUUCUAUCAAGUUGUCUUACAAUCUAAAUGGGAAUUAAAUAGGAUUAUUCAUUGAUUUGUUGAUGGUUUCUUUCUCUAAUAGAAUUAGUCAAUUUAUUUCCAUAAAUUGAUUUGAUUUCUUUCUUUUAUAUAUCAUGUAGUAUUCUCAUAUUUAUUUUUGUACUUUUAUAGUCUAUUCUGUACAUUUUUACUGUUAUUGGCUAUUCUAUAUAGGCUUAUUCAUAAAUUUACAAUCCUCCCUCUUACAAGAUAUCUCAUUGUCAGUAGCACCCAACCCCAUCUAAUGUCUUACCCUGCUGUAUAUUAUUUCUAAAUACAAGCAGACAAAUCUUUGUAACUUUGAGAAAUGACAGCUUUACUUUUUCACUUAUUUUUUGCAUUACCAACUGCAAGAAUGUUGCUAUUCCUAACAUGUCCAUGUUGUCAAACAUUGCAUGCAGGGCACAUCAAUGUUUACGCGAUGCUCAGCUGCAAGAUUUAAGAAACUCUGCAACCGGUUACCAGAGGAAAAAAUACAAGCCAUAAGAGACCUCCAAUUUGGAGGUCUCUUAAACUUAAACUGCACAGAGGUGCGCCACAACAUCUGUAUCUUUCUAAUCCAACAUUUCAAUGUUGGAUUUAGACGGAUAGAGUUCUCAGCCCAGAAACACUAUCCUAUUACAGCCACCGAUGUUGGCCUCAUUUUCGGCCUCCCAACAGAAGGGCGGAUUUUGCAGGUGACCUCUACAUCAUCAGAGCAUCCAUUUGGGACUAUUCGGGCAUGCGAGGAGAAACUCCUGGACUUACCUGUAGGCGAGGAGUUCCGUAGAGCAUUCAUUUACUACGCAUGUGCCACAUUGUUGGCCCCCACGUCUAGGCUCAAUGGUUGCCGUAACUUGUGGCAUACCAUCCAUGAGGAUGGAUUCCGAAAUGACGUUAAUUGGGCCCAGUUUGUGCUUGACCAACUGGUUGAGGGAAUUAGGCGAUACCAACAAUCUAAGACCUCUUGGGUACAUGGCUGUGUUUUAUUUCUACAGGUAGUGAACUUAUUCAGUCUUUGUCUUCCAUUUUGUUAUAUAAUUUUAUUGCACAACAUAGUCACAUUUGCCUACUGAUGUUUGUAUUUAUUAUGCAGCUGCAUUAUGUCAUUAAAUUCUAAAUUCCUUCAGUCCAAGUCCCCAUUACAGUGCCCCCAGCAUUGGCAUGGACUGAUGAUUUGAUUAAGCGACGACUAGUCGCUGAGAUAAAGGAGUUUGGAGCAUUUGGACAUGCUGAGAUUGAUUUUGUAAGUUAUGCAUGCAUAAAUAUAUUGUCAUUACUAGCAUAACACUCAUUAUUUAAGUACUAAUCUUCAGUGCUAAUUAUAGGCGUCCCAGAGAUCUCUAACCGUAGAGAGAACUAUGAAGCCAGAGACUAAUGUGGACCAUGACACAAAUGUUGAUGCUGAAUCACUAACAUCUGUAAAUAUGAAGACCAAAUCAAGUGCACCAAUGCCAAUUGCUGGUGCAGGAAUCACUAACACAUGUUAUACUGGAAGCUUGGAAAGUCAUAGCUCGGCACCUUUUGGGACUUCACAAGGAUCCAUGGAUAUAGGAGAUGCUUUAGAGCAACCAUCAACUCACUGCAUGACAAGGAUUAAGUCAUUGCAGCAAUGUGCAUCUGUCAUCAUUGAAUUGGUAAAUGAGAAGGUAACUUAUCAAUCCUACUUUAGAAAUCAACUCUCCUUAUUUUAUCCUGUAAUAAAUUAUUUUGUCGUUUAAAAGUGCAAGCAUGGUUUCUGGGUGGCACUGGACUAAAUCUGCCCCCACACUGAAUAACUCUAGAUCACUUGUUCAAAUUUGUUUCUCCUGUAGGUCUUUUUAAUUUAGGAUAUUGUAUAGGAAUCAUCAGUUAAAUAACCAUUGACCAAUCAUUGUAGAGCCACAAUCCUGGCUCCAUAUAAAUGGAUUGGGAUCCCCAUAAGCUUUGGUGUGACUUAGUAUCUGAGGUUAAAUCUUUUCUUGCCUGAUUGGAAGUGAUCAGUAUAUUUAGCAUCGGCUAAUUUUGUUUUUUGUUUAAAACAUGAAAAUUUUUGUGUUAAGAACAAUGUGUCAAGUAAAUUCAUAGAUGCAAUGUCUCAUGAUAAAGUAGUAUUUGAGAGCUCAUUUCCAUAUAGACAUUAACUUAUUAUUUAUUCCUGGUCUCUAUAUGUGUGCCACAUGCGUACUGGUUUGUGGUAGACUCGCCUUGUGGUAUGUUUUAUAGUACCAUGUAUUAUUUCUGCUGAUACAAAUUUUUUUUAACUAACAAUUUGUAUAUCUUUAAAUGACUACAUUGUCUCUUUUUCAUCAAAAAGAUUGAGGCAUGCCCAUCAUUACCACCUGAAGUAUAUUGAAACAAGUCAACAACACUCCUACAUGCCUCCUUGAUCUAGUGUGUGCCCAGUUUAGUUUUAACAUAUUGUUACUACCAUAAUGUCACUGUAAACUCCAUUUCGCUACACAUUGACGUUUCUAUGUUUGCCAACGAACUGUUUUUUAUCAUAUGUUUCUACCUUGCAUCAUUCAAUAAGGACAUUCUUUUUUGGUAGAUUGUUUUAUUAGAAAACAGGGAGUUCUGGUUUUGAUGGUAUUUUUUGCUAUGGCAGGUUCAAAAAAUGGGAUCAGUUGGGAGGUCAAUUGAUGUUGCAAGUUUUAAGAAUUAUGAAGAAUUAUGCUAGGCAAUUGAAUACAUGUUUGGAGUUAAAGGUGUGCUAAACAACGAGAAAGGCUCAGGUUGAAAAAUGGUGUAUGUGGAUUAUGAGAAUGAUGUACUUCUUGUUGGGGAUGAUCCCUGGAAGUAAGUUCUGUUUUGUUGUUUUGUGCAUGCAUGCACUGAUAGAACCUAGAUCUACUGAACCCCCACUAUACCAUUAUAGUAACUAGACCAAUACAUUAUCAUAGUAAAAUUAACCAGAAAUAAAGUCAGUAUAUACCUACAUUUUUAGGAUCAUUUUGCUGGCAUUCUGGUGGGGACUGUUUAUAGUUCACUUUCUUGCUAUAUCUUGCUUUCACAGCUUAUGUUUUUAGUAGUUUAUGUUUUCAUUUGGAACAACUAGCACUAUGGGUUCGAUUCUGCAGUUAGACAUAUUUCCAAUGCUUAUCAAUGUUCCUCUGCUAGUGAGUUUGUUGGUUUUGAAUCUAUUACCCAUCACCACAAAGGAACUUCUAUUACAAAUCAUAAUGCUUUAAACGAAGCCUUAAGAAUAUAUUAAUUUUCAUCUCUAGACAUCCAUAUUCUAGCCAUGGUUGGGUCUAUGCGUUGUUCUCUCCUUACCCAUUGGGGCAUAGGUUACUUCCAUAUUUCACCUAAUGCAGAAGGCACUUUUUAAUCACCACUAUGCUAUUUCCUGUACAGGGUUGCCAUUCUUCACUAUUUAGAUUUCUUAACGAAAAUUGAGAAUUGAAACUGAUGAAAGAAAAAAGUGAUUGAUGAGAAAUUAAACCAAGUGGAAUGCUAUAUCUUGUGGUCCUAGACUCUGCAAUGGUUCAUCCCUAGACAAAAACAUGUCCUUCCCAUGUGCUUUUAAAAGAUAUAUCUUCAGCUUUUAGAUUCUCUCUGUUUUCGUAUUUAUUGCAUCUUUUGCAUUUCAAUAGCCUAUACUUUGCUGUUGCAUAUUGUGCAUUUAUAUGGGUUUCCAUGAUUCCUUUUGCAUGUUUACACCUCUACUUCCACUCUUCUAUAGAUACUUUUUUCUCAGAUUUAGGCCCUAUCUUCUUUCAGAUGAAUUAUUUUUAAUGAAAUUACCUCUGUAUUUCAGACCAUUGAGAUUCUUUUCAGCAAAAAGAUAUUAUUGAACAUGGAGGUUAGUUGACACUCUCCUUUUAUUGCUAUGCUAAUUCACAGAUGAUAGUUUCAAUUUUUUUCCCAUUCAAUUUUUUGUUCAUUGCUAUCAAUUUGACGAUUUCUGUUUGAUUCUAUUGUACAUCAUUGUUAACUGUAUGAAAGCAUGCUUAUUGUAGAGGCAUUUAUUAAAAUAUUAAAAUUUAAUUUUUUUUUGUAAUAGGAUCUAUCAUUUCAUCCAACUAGAAGAGUUUCUCCAAUUCUAUGCAUUUUUCUAGAAUACACAGACAAUCCUGACCUUUCAAGCCAUUAAAUUGAAAUCUGGCUUACUGAUGCAAAAGAAUUACUAAUUUAAUCAAAGUAGUUUUUUUAUCACUUGCAUUAUUUUUUCUUUUCUAGAUCUUAUCAGCUCAGUUUUUGUGCUGACAUAUAGACUGGUUCAUAAAUUCAUGUUUCCCUAGAAGAUUGAAUUCAGAAGUCUCAAUUUCUUGAGAUGUGAAAGCAUGCCAGAUAAAUGGUGUCCCUUGUCAGGCAAUGUUAGUGGAAAAUUUAUCAUUUCAUUCAAGAGAACUUUAUAUUUGUUUUGACUUCCCAUGUUGGUUGAAUGCAUUCCCUGGACUUGGUUAGUUUAUUUUCUGUUCUACUUCAAUCCAUACCAAAACCAAACAAUAGAAACAAGGUGAAAAUGACAGGACAGUUAGAUGUUACAGGACAACAAUGAACCCUUCAUGCAAUUCUGGAAUUGUUAAUAAAAUUUUCUAUCCGACUAAAUUCUUGUAAUCAGAAAUAUUAAGCUAAUAUUGGUUUUUGCAUGAUCCUGAUUCCUUUAUGGAAUUUUAUGUCAGUAGUUUUAAUUCUUUGGUGUCAACACAUUUUUAAGAUAUCUCAAUUUACAGGGCUAUACUCCAAUCUUCUGUGUUGGUGUUUUGGAUUCUCUGGCAGUGGAAUUGAAGGCGACAAAGGAUUUCUCCAAGUUAUAUGCUGGCAUUUGCAAUACUUGGGUAUAUUGCUUUCGUUCCAGAAUCCGUCAACACCCGAGCCUUUUCUCAUCUUCUCACUUUCCUGGGCCAUAGAUAUCCCAAGGUAUGUGGUGCACACAAAAUAUUAUCACUUUUACUGAAUUUUAAACCCUCAAAAUUUUGCCUNNNNNNNNNNNNNNNNNNNNNNNNNNNNNNNNNNNNNNNNNNNNNNNNNNNNNNNNNNNNNNNNNNNNNNNNNNNNNNNNNNNNNNNNNNNNNNNNNNNNNNNNNNNNNNNNNNNNNNNNNNNNNNNNNNNNNNNNNNNNNNNNNNNNNNNNNNNNNNNNNNNNNNNNNNNNNNNNNNNNNNNNNNNNNNNNNNNNNNNNNNNNNNNNNNNNNNNNNNNNNNNNNNNNNNNNNNNNNNNNNNNNNNNNNNNNNNNNNNNNNNNNNNNNNNNNNNNNNNNNNNNNNNNNNNNNNNNNNNNNNNNNNNNNNNNNNNNNNNNNNNNNNNNNNNNNNNNNNNNNNNNNNNNNNNNNNNNNNNNNNNNNNNNNNNNNNNNNNNNNNNNNNNNNNNNNNNNNNNNNNNNNNNNNNNNNNNNNNNNNNNNNNNNNNNNNNNNNNNNNNNNNNNNNNNNNNNNNNNNNNNNNNNNNAACUUGGCUUCAUCAGGGGCUCAUCAUCAAUCCUGGCAACUUUGGGUGUACACAGCAUAAUGCAAGCUUAGGCAAUCUGGGUGCUGAAAUGCAAAUGGCUCUAGCUUAGGCUUUUGUUUUACUUUUGUUGAUUGAAGUUGGAAUGUAGGGUAUGAAUUAUAAAUGCAAUUCUACAUGUGAAACUAGAAUAGGAACCCUUUUAGUAGAUGUAAUGCUAUGGAGGUUGAUGUACCACUGUCAGAAAUUAAAUCAGUUGAUAUUUCUGCCAGAGCAAUUACUUCCUUCAUUUGACAAAGAGGCCUUCGGUGGUGGCUUUAUAUAAGAGGGCAAGAUGUGUAGGUGAAACCAAGUUGCGUGCUUGCAUUCCUUAAUUGGAAGGGAGAAGGAAAAGGAUUACAAUUCAGGAAUCCAAAGCCCCGAAGGGAAAACAAAAAGAUCUCGACGAAGAAUGAUCUUGCAAUAAGGGUAGAAUUAUGACUAAUUGAUCUCAUCCAUCAACUGUCUAUAGUCAUAAGAAAAUACGCCAUUAUUCUUUUAGAAAAUUGCACUAGAAAAUAUGCCAUGAAUAUCCAUUCCUUUCGUUUCUCUACUCUUAUGCCUUAUACAUCGUCAGACUGCAUGUUCAUGGGGGUUUUGAACAAAAAUAACUUGUUUUCAAAAAAUAUUCUCUAAAGUAAAUCCCCUAUCAAAAUAAAUUCUAAAUUGGUGUUUCUCAAUCAUGUGGAUGCCAUGUGGUUUGAGAUCUUUUUUUUUUUCAUAUAUAUAUAUAUAUAUAUAACAUUUUUUUCGUGUGGCUUUUUCCCUUUUUUGUCCUAGGUUUUUUUUGUGGGCAAAAUUGCUCAUGGCUUGGUAAUAAGAACCCACUUUGCCCUUGGGUUAGUUGGGUGGAUAUUGGCUUGAUUGAUUAUAAUAAUAAGGUUUUUCAGAGACUUAUAGUCAAUAUUUGUGUUUAAAUUAUCAAUGGACUCCUACUUUAGUAUUGGGAACUAGCAAGGUCAGACAAGAGAAAAGGGAAACUCAAGAAUAAUCCAUAAUCACUUGAAAAUUAUUAGUCUUUAUUUUGGAAGUUAUUAUGUAUGAUUUUAAAAAUUAUUAUUAACCAUUCUCAGAAUACAGUAGCUCCACACCUUAAAAGUAAUCAUUCGGCACAUCGAAAAAUGGAGAUCAUCAUCCCAAAAUUUUGGACUAAUGGGAAUGACACCGUUCAAGCACAAAACACAUUUUCAUCACUAAGUACUUGGUUAAAAAGCAAAUCUAUCAAGUCAAUUCUCAUUAGAUUACAGGCAAGUUACCUCUAUAAUUUCUAAUUUACAACUGUUACAAUUAUUGACGCACGUGUUUGUCAUACAAAGCAAGAUGUCUCUCUUGCUGGGAUUCCUGAACUGAAGCAGCUCAACCCCAUAAUGAUGUUUUGUAAGUUCUUCCAUAAGUUUCAGCACAAUGAAUUUUGUAUAGUCCUCUGGGUUCGUAUGUUGGCUGUUGUUGUUCCUCAUGUUUGGAAAAAGUAAGAUAGACACCCUUGUACACCCUUGUACUUUUAGUACAUUGGCCUUGUACACUUAGUGUAAAUGCCUUGUACAGUUAUAGAAAUUCAACCUAGAUCAUACAACAUAACUAGUGCAUAUGGCUGGGUUAACCACGUUCCAAUGUCAUGGCUCACCGAGUUGGGGAAAAAUGACACCAAAUCGAGGUUCCUAUUCAUCAUAAGCGCGCUAUUUCAUCCAAUGAAUGUGUACGAAGGGAAAUGAGAAAUGUCCCCCUUAGAAAAAAUAAAUGAGCAAGCAAUUUUUUCAAAAGCAUUUCAAAUCCUUCAAGAUAGGCACCCUUGUACACACUUGUACAGUUAGCACAUUUGCUUUGUACACUUAGUGUAAAUGCCUUGUCCAGUCACCAAAUCCCUAAUAGGUACAUAUUUUCAAGUGAAUAUGGGUGGGUAACCAAUGUUUCCAUUACCAUGGACUAGGGAAAAUGACACAAAAGGUUACCCUAAUUUCGGUUCAUAUUCAUCAUUACUAGGGAAGCUAAUAGGAUGAAUGAACAUGGUAGACAUCAAUUAAAUUGCAUGCAAUGCGUGUGUUAUCAAGCAACAUGUGUGAGGAUUGUUCCCCACGUUUGGAAAAAGUAAGAUAGACACCCUUGUACACCCUUGUACUUUUAGUACAUUGGCCUUGUACACUUAGUGUAAAUGCCUUGUACAGUUGCAGAAAUUCAACCUAGAUCAUACAACAUAACUAGUGCAUAUGGCUGGGUUAACCACGUUCCAAUGUCAUGGCUCACCGAGUUGGGGAAAAAUGAAACCAAAUCGAGGUUCCUAUUCAUCAUAAGCACGCUAUCUCAUCCAAUGAAUGUGUACGAAGGGAAAUGAGGAAUCUCCCUCUUAGAAAAAGUAAAUGAGCAAGCAAUUUUUUCAAAAGCAUUUCAAAUCCUUCAAGAUAGGCACCCCUGUACACACUUGUACAGUUAGCACAUUUGCUUUGUACACUUAGUGUAAAUGCCUUGUCUAGUCACCAAAUCCCUAAUAGGUACAUAUUUUCAAGUGAAUAUGGGUGGGUAACCAAUGUUUCCAUUACCAUGGACUAGGGAAAAUGACACAAAAGGUUACCCUAAUUUCGGUUCAUAUUCAUCAUUACUAGGGAAGCUAAUAGAAUGAAUUAACAUGGUAGACAUCAAAUAAAAUGCAUGCAAUGAGUGUUAUCAAGCAACAUGUCUGAGGAUUGUUCCCCACAAUUGGAAAAAGUAAUAUAGACACCCUUGUACACCCUUGUACUUUUAGUACAUUGGCCUUGUACACUUAGUGUAAAUGCCUUGUACAGUUGCAGAAAUUCAACCUAGAUCAUACAACAUAACUAGUGCAUAUGGCUGGGUUAACCACGUUCCAAUGUCAUGGCUCACCGAGUUGGGGAAAAAUGAAACCAAAUCGAGGUUCCUAUUCAUCAUAAGCACGCUAUCUCAUCCAAUGAAUGUGUACGAAGGGAAAUGAGGAAUCUCCCUCUUAGAAAAAGUAAAUGAGCAAGCAAUUUUUUCAAAAGCAUUUCAAAUCCUUCAAGAUAGGCACCCUUGUACACACUUGUACAGUUAGCACAUUUGCUUUGUACACUUAGUGUAAAUGCCUUGUCCAGUCACCAAAUCCCUAAUAGGUACAUAUUUUCAAGUGAAUAUGGGUGGGUAACCAAUGUUUCCAUUACCAUGGACUAAGGAAAAUGACACAAAAGGUUACCCUAAUUUCGGUUCAUAUUCAUCAUUACUAGGGAAGCUAAUAGAAUGAAUUAACAUGGUAGACAUCAAAUAAAAUGCAUGCAAUGAGUGUUAUCAAGCAAUAUGUCUGAGGAUUGUUCCCCACAAUUGGAAAAAGUAAGAUAGAAACCCUUGUACACCCUUGUACUUUUAGUACAUUGGCCUUGUACACUUAGUGUAAAUGCCUUGUACAGUUGUAGAAAUUCAACCUAGAUCAUACAACAUAACUAGUGCAUAUGGCUGGGUUAACCACGUUCCAAUGUCAUGGCUCACCGAGUUGGGGAAAAAUGAAACCAAAUCGAGGUUCCUAUUCAUCAUAAGCGCGCUAUCUCAUCCAAUGAAUGUGUACGAAGGGAAAUGAGGAAUCUCCCUCUUAGAAAAAGUAAAUGAGCAAGCAAUUUUUUCAAAAGCAUUUCAAAUCCUUCAAGAUAGGCACCCAUGUACACACUUGUACAAUUAGCACAUUUGCUUUGUACACUUAGUGUAAAUGCCUUGUCUAGUCACCAAAUCCCUAAUAGGUACAUAUUUUCAAGUGAAUAUGGGUGGGUAACCAAUGUUUCCAUUACCAUGGACUAAGGAAAAUGACAAAAAUGUUUACCCUAAUUUCGAUUCAUAUUCAUCAUUACUAGGGAAGCUAAUAGAAUGAAUUAACAUGGUAGACAUCAAAUAAAAUGCAUGCAAUGAGUGUUAUCAAGCAACAUGUCUGAGGAUUGUUCCCCACAAUUGGAAAAAGUAAGAUAGAAACCCUUGUACACCCUUGUACUUUUAGUACAUUGGCCUUGUACACUUAGUUUAAAUGCCUUGUACAGUUGCAGAAAUUCCACCUAGAUACAACAGAACUAGUGCAUAUGGCCAGGUUAACCACGUUCCAAUGUCAUGGCUCACUGAAAAGGGGAAAAAUGACACCAAAUCGAGGUUCUUAUUCAUCAUAAGCGCGCUAUCUCAUCCAAUGAAUGUGUAGAAAUGGAAAUGAGGAAUGUCUAUGAGGAAUGUCACCCUUAGAAAAAUAAAAUGAGCAAGCAAUUUAUUCAAAACCAUUUGAAAUCCUUCAACAUAGGUAGCAUUGUACACACUUGUACAGUUAGCACAUUUGCAUUGUACACUUAGUGUAAAUGUCUUAUACAAUGGCAAAAAUUUGACAUACCUAAAACUAAUAGCGUGCAAAUGGGUGAGCUACCAUGUUCUAAUGUGAUGCCUAAGGGAAAAUGGGGAAGGGAAAAGGGGGAAGUGAAACCCAAUAUAGGUUCUUAUUCAUCAUUAUUGUCGUUGGUCAUCCAAUCAACAUGUAUGAAGUAAUAAAAUUGAACGAGAUGAGUGCGUGAUCAAGGAAUGUGUGUGAGGGAAUGUUCCUCAUCCUUUCAAAAUGGAAAUGAUUUUAAAACAUCGCAAAUACUUCAACAUAGGUACAUUUGUACACCUUUGUACAUUAAACACAGGUACCUUGUACACUUAGUGUAAAUGUCUUGUACACAUACAUAAAUUCCAUACAACCACUACUGAAUGUCUACUCAUGCAUAGGUUAAUCAUGAUUGCAAUCUUUUGGUUAAUAAAAUAAGGAAAAACUGAAGUCUCAAUUUGUUCCCUAUACUUUUGUAACAAUACAAGCAAAUUAAAAAAUAGCAAUCUGUCCAUUAAUGUGAAGCUAUUCGAAGUUAAUUCCAACUUUCCAGCUAGAAUUCAAAAGAAGAUUAUAUGCUAAGCAUGACAAAUUAUUAUUCAAACAUAUAUUUUAUUCAGUAAAAAGCAUGCCUAAAGAUGGGUUCCAUUCAACUAGUGAACAGCUUUUUAAACAUCACAUGUGGCACCAGGCCUAACAAUUGUCUAUAAUUUACGAGGAAACUCUGAAGAAGACCAAAAUGCUUCUAACUGUGGCUCACUUUUAGAGUACUCACCAUUUUCUCAUCCAAGCAAUUUCUUCAGAGCCAAACAGGGAGACAUUAUUUUCUUCUGUCCGCAAUUCUCCUUCUCAUCCAUUCUCUCCUAAUUCAGAACUUUCAUUUCUAAACCUGCUUCAAUUUAAUGCCAAUGAUUAGCAAUUUCAAGCUUCCUGUUUAUUCCUAUAAACACCAAAUAUUUCCAAUUAAAAUUACAUGAGAUAAAUGUGGAUGACAUUUACACCAAACUAAUUGGGCACAAAUUAAAUUUUUAAUUCAUUUUUUGCAAGAAUAUACAUUGAUCAACGAAAUAAGAAUUGUUUCAGAUACUAAUCAAAAAAACGAGAAAGGAAAAGUUGGGUGGAGUGGGCUAAGACAAGAAAAAUAUUCAAAAAGAAAAUUUAGGAAUUCAAGCAGAAAACAAAAGCUCGUGAUUUUGAUAAAAUCAAGAUAGCUAAUAGAAAUUUUAAUAGAAUGUGAAAUAGUCAUGAACUUACAACUAACACAAAGAGCAAGAGAGAUUCUGAGAGAGUGGAUCCUAAAUUAAUCUCAUGAUAUCAAUUUCUAUGAGCUCGAAGCCUAUAGAGCUUAUAAAGCCUUAUUACAAAAGUCUAUAGCCACAUGGAAAGACAAUAGGACCAAAAGUAGCAUUAACUAUGCAUGCAUCAUGUAACCAGGUCAAGGUAUACAAAACGAAAAGGAAAAAUGUAAAAAAUGGAAUAACCUAGAAUGUUCCAGAGGAACACAACACCUUAUGCAUAUACAUCUUGCCCAGUGUUUGUGAGCCAUAGAAUAAUAGUUACAUUUGAGGCUUUUUAGAGGUCUGGACUCAUCAAACAGAACGGAGGUCUUGCAUUGUCCAACUGGUGCACCAUAUGGCCCACAGCCCACUAAAACUGAAGCUGAUGGACUACAUAGAUGUUUGAUAUGCUAACAAUGAGUAGUCAAUUGGUGGACAUAGCAGUUGGUGGCAGCCAGUUUAUAUCUUCAUUGGCAGCCAGUUUCGUCAGGUUAACCAAUUUCUCUAUUUUCGAAAUAUUUUUGAUCCGAAGGAUAGCUAUUCUGGAUUAUUUGCAUCAUCACCGGACAAUCUUCUUCCCCAAAGCUCACCGUUUGGAUGAAACCCAUUUAUUCUCUCUGAACGAUGAUGAUAAAAUACCUACAAACGCCUCAACCUGAUAAAAUCAAAAUAUCAGCAAAUAAUUCAGACCACCAUCAUUUGGAUUUGGGAAUGAUCAUUGAUAAAAUACCUACAAAAGCUUUUCUGAAAUGCUCACAAUCCUCAGCUGCUGAAGAAAGCGAUUGGGGGACAAUUAAGGUCGGCAUCGUUUGUGUGUAUGUUGUUUACAGAGGGAGAGAAAAGGGUAGGAAGAUUCAGAAUUUUCACUCUGGUGACAUGGCAUUUCAAGUUUACCAGCUGUGAAACCCAUUAAUUUACAACCAUUUGAGUUGGAAAUGUAAAGGGCAUUUUCGUCUGUUAACAUCUGAUAUCCUUAUCAUUAAUUAGGGCAAUUAGAUGGACCUUCUCUUAAUUUUUGGGCCCAGUUGGGCCCAAAACACAAUUCUCCCUAUUUUUAUAUACUAAUACCUAUUUUAUUUAUAAUUAAAAAAUACCAAAAAAAAAAAAAAACCAAAUAGGAGCAUGAUGUCAUUUCCUGCUUGAACCUUAACUUUAACCUUUAGCCUUUAGCCAGAACUUUAUAUUUUUAUAAGCUUUUGACAGAUAGGGAAUGUGUACCAUAGAAUUCUCUUGGAAGAAAAAAGACUAUCCAUGAACCUAAGAGGGAUUCUUUUUCAAAUUAUAUACUAAACCGUCCACGAACCUCCUCGUAUUAAUAAAAGAUCAUGCAUGGACACGACUUCACCUUUUCAAAGAUAUUCAUCCCAUGUCCAUAAGAUGAUGUCUCCGAAGCACAGCCUUGAAUUCAGAAGCAGCAGUCUUGGCUUUGUCGCCUACUUCACAUACAUUCCUUAUGCUUUCCUCCCUCCUCUCCUCAUUCUCUUCCAUAUCUAUAUGCACUACUCAAACGCUUUCUCAUCCACAUUCAANNNNNNNNNNNNNNNNNNNNNNNNAUGAUAAAAUACCUACAAACGCCUCAACCUGAUAAAAUCAAAAUAUCAGCAAAUAAUUCAGACCACCAUCAUUUGGAUUUGGGAAUGAUCAUUGAUAAAAUACCUACAAAAGCUUUUCUGAAAUGCUCACAAUCCUCAGCUGCUGAAGAAAGCGAUUGGGGGACAAUUAAGGUCGGCAUCGUUUGUGCGUAUGUUGUUUACAGAGGGAGAGAAAAGGGUAGGAAGAUUCAGAAUUUUCACUCUGGUGACAUGGCAUUUCAAGUUUACCAGCUGUGAAACCCAUUAAUUUACAACCAUUUGAGUUGGAAAUGUAAAGGGCAUUUUCGUCUGUUAACAUCUGAUAUCCUUAUCAUUAAUUAGGGCAAUUAGAUGGACCUUCUCUUAAUUUUUGGGCCCAGUUGGGCCCAAAACACAAUUCUCCCUAUUUUUAUAUACUAAUACCUAUUUUAUUUAUAAUUAAAAAAUACCAAAAAAAAAAAAAAAAAAAACCAAAUAGGAGCAUGAUGUCAUUUCCUGCUUGAACCUUAACUUUAACCUUUAGCCUUUAGCCAGAACUUUAUAUUUUUAUAAGCUUUUGACAGAUAGGGAAUGUGUACCAUAGAAUUCUCUUGGAAGAAAAAAGACUAUCCAUGAACCUAAGAGGGAUUCUUUUUCAAAUUAUAUACUAAACCGUCCAUGAACCUCCUCGUAUUAAUAAAAGAUCAUGCAUGGACACGACUUCACCUUUUCAAAGAUAUUCAUCCCAUGUCCAUAAGAUGAUGUCUCCGAAGCACAGCCUUGAAUUCAGAAGCAGCAGUCUUGGCUUUGUCGCCUACUUCACAUACAUUCCUUAUGCUUUCCUCCCUCCUCUCCUCAUUCUCUUCCAUAUCUAUAUGCACUACUCAAACGCUUCUUCAUCCACAUUCAACACAAGCUGAUCAGCCAGACUCCCAUGGACAUUUCUCUCAGAUCAAGCCUCAUCACUGCUAUUUUCAUCUACUAGCUCAUAAUUGUCAGUGGCCUUCCAGGUUCGUUUUGGUCUCAUGCAGAGCAGCAAGAUGAGCACCCAAGUUGUCCAGUCCAGUAAAAAUGAGUCUCCCAACUGCUAUAAGCUACUUGCGUUGGCAUCCAGAAAAUGCAGGCAUUGAUGAUAUAAAGAGAGCUUAUAGACAGAUGAGCCUGCAAUAUCACCCUGAUGUUUGUGAUCCUUCCAUGAAGGAAGAAUCAACAAUGAUGUUUAUACAGCUGAAUGCAGCUUACAAGACACUGUCUGAUCCCACUCUACAAAUGCAGUAUGAUUAUGAUACGGGUUUGGCUGAUUCCAGGCAAAAAAAUGAAGUCAGAUACAACGAUGGCGAGAUGGGAAGAGCAAAUUAAUCCUUGAGAAGAGAAGGUCCAACUAUAGAAUGGUGCACGAGGAGAGAAGUUGGGGGAGCAGAAUGAGGGCUCGGAACAGUCAGGAAGAGGGAUGUGUUGGUAACUAAGCUUUUAACACUGUAAAUGAUUUUUACUAAAUUUCUAUUGAAUUUUGCUUCAACUUUGAUAUGGAUUGAUCCAAUUGACUUACAAUGCUUAUCACACGCCAUAAAUUAAUAUUCAACCACACAGAAAACCUCGAAAAAAAAGGGAAGGUCAAAAACCUAGAGCCAUAAAAGCUACCUCAAGGAUCCACUAAGAGGAAUAGGAGUUGAGUGUACAAGUCUUACCAGAAUUAAGAUCUACAAUCUUCUCUUAGACUUCCCCGAUCAAUUUGCAUUCCUCAAAUUUGAAUUACGAGAUCCUCAUGGUCUCAAUUGGUUGACAUAGCAACAAAGAAAACUGCACUUUGCUCUGGUUAUCGAUUGACUCACCCAUUUGCCAGUUUGGUCAGAUGCUUGCAGUUUCCUUUGGUGAUCUCAGUCCCAGAGUGCAUCUAUCAGCUACCUGCCAAAACUAGCCUCAAAUGAGCUUCACUUUCUAAAAGUGGCUCCUGAUUACAAUCCAACAUAAAAUCUCAAGCUUUUAAAUAAAUUUUUUUAUACAAAAGCACCCAUACAUGACAACAUUAUCAACAAGACUUGGGAAGCUAGUCCAUCAAGCCCCUUGAUCUAAGUAGAUGAGAUUAAGGUCUCCUUAAGCCGGUUUUAUUACAAUUGGAAUGGAACUGCCAACAUACAAACCUUAUAUUUCGACUAAUAUCCACAAAUGGUAUGAUUCUAUCUCAACUCAUAUACACAAACAUAGUAGAUCUAGUCCCUGCCUUGGAUGAUCUCUGCUAGCAUUAGAGAUGUCCUGUAAACAUUUUUCACAAUCAUGAUAAUUCGGGGCAAAAGUUGAAUUAGAUUGAUUGAACUCAUAGCUAUGGCACACCUAUGUAAAUCUGCUUGUUCCAAUAUACACUUUGCUACAAACUAGCAGCUGAGGCUUCAGGUGUGAACCAAGACAACCCUACAGAAAAUAGACAAUAUAUAAUCAUCGUCAAUUAACUCUACCAAAUAAUAUAAAUUGGUAGUGGGAAAAAUAAAAUGAGAAAAAGAGAUUAUAUGCACUUAUUUAAUGAUCUGAAUUUUAAAGACACCAAUAAAGGAGAUACUUAUACAUAUGCAUGUGGAAUAGCAAAAGCAUCAUCUGGGACCGGACAAUUCUUCAGGAUGAAGGCCUGGAGUGGAGUCAUUUAUAAUCCAAUUAUUAGAGGAGAAGUUGCAAUGAUUUAGCUCUCCGCAAAUUAUAUCCUCCUUUUUCCACUGUUCCCACCUUUCAGCCAAACCAUCACCUUCAAGCAUUUUGACCACAUGUGACAUCUUGGGUCGGUCUGAAGCUGUGUUUAGUGUGCAAAGGAGAGCCACCUGGAUUAGCUCCUCUACCUCCUCUACAAUGUAAUAGCCCUGCAGCUUAGAAUCAACCAGUGUUUCCAAUUUCUUUUUGUUCAACAGUUCCUUGACCUUAAAUUUUCCAAAAGAGCAGCAAAUAUACACAUAAGUCAGCAAUGGAAAAUAAGAUUCUGUAAAAAGCUUGUGCCAUGUAUAGGAUGUGAGAAUGAAACUACUGGAAAAAAGAGAUUCAGUGUUAACUGCGAGGAUUACAUUAAAUAAGUGUUUCGGCUUCCAUGGAAUUGAAGUUGUCAAAUUUUGUUUUGGGCAGCAUUCAAAUAUACAAGUUUAUAAUGCGAUAUGAAGGUAUGGCCAUAGUCACCAUAAAUGAAACAAAAAGGAUAAAGUUCCUAAUUGAAAUUCUAAAAUGCCUUAAAUCCAGAGUGUCAAGAAAAGAAAAAUAGACCCAUUCCAUGUGGUGAGUUUAUAGAAGGACUAAAAGAAAAUGAAAGUCAAUUUUAAAAGAAGUUCCUGUCAAGAAGUCUAUAUCUUACCUACUCAAAAAAAACUAAGCCUAUUACUAAGCUACCAACUUUCCUAAAAGCUGAGUAGAUAAAUAGACGGGGACAAUAGCAUUAGGAAACAUAUUAAGAUUCUCAUUACAGUAAUAACAAGCUCUGUUAGUUAAACAACUACUUUUGUGUUUUUUUUUUCUGUUUUUUUGCAAGAGGAUAAGCUGGAGUUAGUCACAAAUUGGUUAGAGCACUCUUUUCUAGCCCCCUAUAUCUAGAACCUUCCUACUCACUUUGCUCUGUAGGAUGAAUGAGAGUGACGUGAGCUUCUUCUUCUCUGCUCUGUUUCUCUUUUGUGAUAAAACACUCCAACACAAGAUCUCUAGCUUUGAUAUGAUUAAGCUACGAACUUCCCUAAAAGCUUAAGCUGUUAAGAUUUAAGCCACAAUAUGUACUAGGGCAACAUUCAUGUUACAAACAGACUGAAGAAAAAGAAAAUAAAUUCUAUAGGGAAAUUGGUUAGAUUGUAAUGGAAAGUAUUGUUGGGAUAAGGCAAUACGGAGAAAGGGCUUUUCAUUUUAACUUUCCCUCCAGUCUUCUCAUCACAUCAUUGGUCAAUCCUACAUUUACUUCAAUCUCCUUAGUGCAGCAUAAAGGGCAAGUACGAUUGCCUUUCUGUAGAAGUUCGUUACAAUUUUGAAUAAUGAUUGGUAGGAUAAUAGGGAAAGAUUGAGGCCCCUAUUAUGGGUAAUUUGUGUUCUUCCAUAUUUGUAGUUUUUUUUCCGUUUUAAUUUCUCUCUGUAUAUUUGUUAAAUAGGGAUAUGUUUAUGUAAAAAAGAUAUAGUUUUGAAUGAAUUGGAAAUAUCAUUUUCUCAGUUUCUUCAUGGUAUCAGAGCCUUGUUUGCUCUAAAACCCUAAUCUGUCCAUGGAUGCCCAAAGAGGAAACAGCCAUGAAAGAGUGUCGGAGAUACACUCUUUGAUGGGCCCCAUCGGUGCAUUCGACAACUCCCCACUCCACCUUACCGUUGAAAAACUGAAUGGUAAGAAUUACAGAGAGUGGGCUCAAGCAAUCAAACUCGUUAUUGACGAAAAGGGGAAGUUAGGGUUCCUUACCGGCGAAACACGACGACCACCUCUGACUGAUGUAGCUGCAUCCCAGAAAUGGCGGUCCAAAAACUCCUUCAUCACCUCAUGCCUGAUUAACUCCAUGAAACCAUCCAUUGGAAAGACUUACAUGUUCCUCCCGACGGCAAAGGACGUGUGGGAUGCGAUACGGGAAACGUAUUCAGAUGCUAAAAAUGCUUCCCAAAUCUUUGAAAUCAAGACGCAGCUUUGGCAGAUGAAGCAAGGAGAACGGAAAGUCACGGAAUAUUACAUCGAGAUGGUGGGUCUGUGGCAAGAUCUCAAUCUCAGCUGCGAAGAAGAGUGGGAGUGCACGGGGGACAGUGUGCGCUUCAAGAAGAAGAUGGAGAACUAAAGGUUCUUCGAGUUCCUAGCGGGGCUGAACCGCGAGCUUGAUGAUGUCAGAAGUAGGGUUCUCAGUCCCCGGCCGUUGCCCUCCAUCCGAGAAGUCUUCUCUGAGGUACGGCGAGAGGAAAGCAGAAGGAGAGUGAUGUUGGAUCUCUCCUUUAGGCUUGAAGGCUCAGCCCUUUUAACUCAUGGGCCUCAUGGGUCUCAUGGGCCUCAUAGGCCUUACACUGUUGCUGGACGUGGGCCUCAUGUUGUUGGAUCUAAUGGGCCAAGCCCAAGACAGUCCAAGAGGACUUAUUGUGAGCAUUGUAAGAAGUUGGGCCACACCAAAGACACUUGUUGGGCCCUACAUGGCAAACCUGCAGAUUGGAAGCCCAGACAACCUAAUAAAGCCCAUAGUCAUCAAGCCUCCUCCGAAACCCAGGCAGACAAAACUCCACCAGAAAUUUGUCAGUUAACCUCUAGUGUGGGGUUUAAUUCUGACUAGCUUGCGAAAUUAUAUGAGCUUUUUUCUAAUUUCCAAGCAUCUGGUCAGUCUUCUACCACUUUAUCCUCUGGUUCUUUGGCAAAAAAAGGUAUCUUUUUGACAGGACUUAGUACCAUGUCUCAGACUACUCCCUGGAUUAUUGACUCUAGUGCAUCUGAUCAUAUCACUGAUGCUCAUCAUUUAUUUUCUACAUAUUCUCCUUGUGUCGGUAAUUUAAAAGUAAAAAUUGCAGAUGGUACUUUAUCACCAGUUGCUGGCAAAGGGAGUAUUCGUAUUUCUGAGUCGAUUACUCUCAACCCUGUCCUACAUGUACCUAAUUUGUCUUGCAAUUUGAUGUCUAUUAGCCAAUUAACCAAAAUGUCUAAUUGCUCAGCUAAAUUCCUACCAUUUCAUUGUGUUUUUCAGGACCUAUCAUCGGGGAAGACGAUUGGCAGUGCUAAGGAAAGUGAGGGUCUAUAUUACUUCGACGAAACUGAUGUGCUUGGACAGAGUUCUCCUACUGUUUGUAAUUCUACAUCUUAUCCUAAGGACAGUGAACUUUUGUUAUGGCACAAAAGGAUGGGUCAUCCUAGUUUUCAGUACUUAAAAUAUUUAUUUCCCUCACUAUGUUCAAACAAAACUUUAUUGAAUUUUCAGUGUGAAGUGUGUGAACUUGCCAAACAUCAUCGGGCGUCUUUUCCUAAAUCUAAGUAUAAAUCAUCCAUACCAUUUACUCUGAUUCACAGUGAUUUAUGGGGUCCCUCACGUACCCCUAAUAGGACCCAUAAAAAAUGGUUUAUUACUUUUAUUGAUGAUCAUAUUCGCCUGUGUUAGGUAUAUUUGUUGACUGAUAAAACUGAGGUUCGAUCAGUCUUCAUAAACUUUCACUCUAUGAUACAAACUCAGUUUCACACCAAAAUUCAAAUUCUUCGUACUGAUAAUGGUACUGAGUAUUUUAAUCACUCCUUGAGCACUUACCUACAAGAAAAUGGUAUUAUACAUCAAAGUUCUUAUGUUGACACCCCUCAACAAAACGGGGUUGCAGAACGGAAAAAUAGACAUAUUCUUGAAGUUGCUCGUGCUUUGUUGUUUACAUCUCACAUGCCAACACAAUUUUGGGGUGACUCCAUUUUGACAGCCACAUAUCUUAUUAACCGAAUGCCUAGUCGGGUUUUAUCCUUUGUCACACCCCUCCAAAAAUUCCAAGAGUUUUUUCCUCAUUCGAGACUUAAUGCACACCUUUCACUUCGUGUCUUUGGGUCCACUGUGUUUGUCCACAUUCACGGACCUAAGCGGAACAAAUUUGAUCCCAGAGCGCUUAAAUGUGUCUUUCUUGGCUAUUCUUUCACACAAAAAGGCUACAAAUGCUAUGACCCAAUUUCACAGGAGCUAUAUGUUAGCAAAGAUGUCACAUUUUUUGAGCAUACUCCCUACUACUCGCUUCAGGGGGAGUCCAUGAGUGAAACUAGACCUUCCUUUGACUAUCUUGAUGUUGCUAUGUUUGAAUCCACUCCGUGCCUUAUAUCUAACCCUCCACCUGAUAUAGAAGGACACUUAAACUCAAGGGAAGAUAUGGAAUUACAAACAAAUAAGGAAACACUUGUCUACUCAAGGAGGCCAAAAUCGAAGUUCAAUGAGACACUCAUCUCCAAAGCACUAAAAGAGUCAGAACCGGUGAUAGUUCCAACCCCUCGGGAGUAUGGCUCCAAUUCUGAUCAGGUAAUAGAUGACUUACCUAUUGCUAUUAGGAAACAACCUCGUUCAUGUACUCUCCAUCCUAUCUCAAACUUUGUCUUAUAAUUCUCUCUCUACAAAGUGUCGUGCCUUUACAACUAACCUUGACAGAAUCCAGCUUCCUAAAAACAUUCAAGAAGCCUUUGAAAUUCCAGAAUGGAAAGAGACUGUGAUGGAAGAAAUAAGGGCAUUGGAAAAAAAUGAGACUUGGGAAGUGAUGAAUUUACCAAGGGGGAAGAAACCAGUGGGCUGUAAAUGGAUAUUCACAGUGAAAUAUAAGGUGGAUGGCACUGUAGAACGAUACAAAGUCCGCCUAGUUGCAAAGGGGUUCACUCAGACUUAUGGCAUCGACUAUACCAAGACAUUUGCACCAGUAGCAAAGCUGAACACUAUAUGAGUUCUUUUAUCCUUGGCAGCAAACCUUGACUGGCCACUCCAUUAGUUUGAUAUCAAGAAUGCCUUUUUGAAUGGUAAACUAGAAGAGGAAGUGUUUAUGAUGUUACCACCAGGGUUCUGUAAGGAAGAAGAAGAAACCAGGGUAUGCAAAUUAAAGAAAUCUCUUUAUGGUCUCAAACAAUCACCCAGAGCAUGGUUUGAUAGAUUUGCAAAGGUGAUUAAGAAUCAAGGAUACCAACGGGGACAAUCAGGUCACACUAUGUUCUUCAAACAGUCCAAUGAUGGAAGAAUGACCAUUCUAAUCGUGUAUGUCGAUGACAUCAUUCUCAUUGGAGAUGACACAGGAGAAGUGGAAAGAUUGAAGAAGGUCUUAGCCACAGCAUUUGAGUGAAAGAUCUGGGUCAAAUGNNNNNNNNNNNNNNNNNNNNNNNNNNNNNNNNNNNNNNNNNNNNNNNNNNNNNNNNNNNNNNNNNNNNNNNNNNNNNNNNNNNNNNNNNNNNNNNNNNNNAAAAGAGUCAGAACCGGUGAUAGUUCCAACCCCUCGGGAGUAUGGCUCCAAUUCUGAUCAGGUAACAGAUGACUUACCUAUUGCUAUUAGGAAACAACCUCGUUCAUGUACUCUCCAUCCUAUCUCAAACUUUGUGUCUUAUAAUUCUCUCUCUACAAAGUGUCGUGCCUUUACAACUAACCUUGACAGAAUCCAGCUUCCUAAAAACAUUCAAGAAGCCUUUGAAAUUCAAGAAUGGAAAGAGACUGUGAUGGAAGAAAUAAGGGCAUUGGAAAAAAAUGAGACUUGGGAAGUGAUGAAUUUACCAAGGGGGAAGAAACCAGUGGGCUGUAAAUGGAUAUUCACAGUGAAAUAUAAGGUGGAUGGCACUGUAGAACGAUACAAAGCCCGCCUAGUUGCAAAGGGGUUCACUCAGACUUAUGGCAUCGACUAUACCAAGACAUUUGCACCAGUAGCAAAGCUGAACACUAUAUGAGUUCUUUUAUCCUUGGCAGCAAACCUCGACUGGCCACUCCAUUAGUUUGAUAUCAAGAAUGCCUUUUUGAAUGGUAAACUAGAAGAGGAAGUGUUUAUGAUGUUACCACCAGGGUUCUGUAAGGAAGAAGAAGAAACCAGGGUAUGCAAAUUAAAGAAAUCUCUUUAUGGUCUCAAACAAUCACCCAGAGCAUGGUUUGAUAGAUUUGCAAAGGUGAUUAAGAAUCAAGGAUACCAACGGGGACAAUCAGGUCACACUAUGUUCUUCAAACAGUCCAAUGAUGGAAGAAUGACCAUUCUAAUCGUGUAUGUCGAUGACAUCAUUCUCAUUGGAGAUGACACAGGAGAAGUGGAAAGAUUGAAGAAGGUCUUAGCCACAGCAUUUGAGGUGAAAGAUCUGGGUCAAAUGUGGUAUUUCCUAGGAAUGGAGGUCGCCAGAUCAAGGAAGGGAAUUAGUAUUUCCCAAAGAAAAUAUGUACUUGACUUGUUGAUUGAGACUGGCAUGCUAGGAUGCAAGCCAAGUGAUACCCCUAUCAAGGCAAGAAACGGAAUGGAAAGUGACGGAAAGCCCGUGGAUAGAGAGAAAUAUCAGCGACUAGUAGGUAGACUGAUCUACCUUUCUCACAUUAGACCUGACAUUGCUUUUGCUGUAAGCGUGGUUAGCCAAUACAUGCACUCACCAAAGGAAAGUCAUCUAGAAGCAGUGUAUAAGAUCCUCAGAUACCUAAAGGGUUCUCUAGGGAGAGGACUAUUCUUUAAGAAGAGUGAUAGUAAGAAAGUAGAGAUCUAUACAGACGCAGAUUGGGUGGGAUCAACAGAUGACAGAAGGUCUACUAUAGGUUACUGUACCUAUGUCUGGGGUAAUUUAGUAACAUGGAGAAGUAAGAAGCAGAGUGUAGUAGUCAGAAGCAGUGCCGAAGCUGAAUUCAGAGCAGUUGCACAAGGUAUGUGUGAAGGACUAUGGUUGCAGAAACUGUUGGAAGAACUAUGCAUUACAGUAGAGCACCCCAUUAAACUCUAUUGUGACAACAAAGCUGCCAUUAGUAUUUCUUAUAAUCCUGUUCAGCACGACAGAACCAAACAUAUAGAAGUGGACAGACACUUUAUAAAGGAGAAAAUUGAGAAAGAGAUUAUUUACAUGACUUAUAUCCCUACAAGGGAACAAUUGACCGAUAUUUUCACCAAGGGGUUACAGAAAUCAAGCUUUGAAGACUUUAUUGGCAAGUUGGACAUGAUUAAUAUCUAUGAUCCAACUUGAGGGGGAGUGUGGAAGUCCGUUACAAUUUUGAAUAAUGAUUGGUAGGAUAAUAGGGAAAGAUUAAGGCCCCUAUUAUGGGUAAUUUGUGUUCUUCCAUAUUUGUAGUUUUUUUUUUUCCGUUUUAAUUUCUCUCUGUAUAUUUGUUAAAUAGGGAUAUGUUUAUGUAAAAAAGAUAUAGUUUUGAAUGAAUUGGAAAUAUCAUUUUCUCAGUUUCUUCACUUUCCUACUUUGAGUCUAGGCAUAUAGUAAGUGUAUUCUAUUGUGAACCCAACUCAAAAGAACUAGGAUAUAAAUGUAUUGGCACCAAGGUUCCACAUACAAUUUUCUGCUACUUAAAGAUUUCCAUUAUUUUACAUAUAAAUUUAUCAUGCAUCACUGGUUUGGCCACAGCCUGUCCUUUCUAAUUUGCUGUAUGUGCUUCCUCAUUUAGAACUUUUAAUCCCCAUCCAUCAUUUAUAAUAGGAAAAAAUAUAUUGAGGACAAAAAAUAAAGAACAGAACAGUUAUCUAAACCUUCCUUUUAUUUUCCCCUAAAACUGCUACACCAAGCUAACAGGAUGCUCUUGAUUGAAGAAGGAAUAAACCCAAGAAACAUUAAACAAAGGAAAAAAAAAAAAAAUUAAGGCCCAUGUUCCACAUGCUACUUCAUGAUGGAGAAGAAUAUGAUUUGCCAAUUUAUCAUCCGUACCACAAAAGCAAAACCAAUAUACAAGAGUAUAACCCCUUGCCCCUUUUGCAUCAGCCAGUCCAUGGUUGGAUCUUCUCACAAGCAGCUACCAACACAGAAAAGGCAACAUUGGAUGGGGUAAAAAAAAUUCCCAACCAGAUGAAUGAUGAUACCAGGAAGCUAAAAUUAGGCCAUGAUGAUGCUGCUGCAAAAGGGAUUUGAUAAAAAAAAUGUUCCAUUGAUAUUACAAACUUACACAUCCUCUUUCAUUUCCCUGAUAAAGGUAUGCCAGAAAAAUCCCCAUCGUCUCCAAAUCUCAAUCAUGAAAGCUUUUAGUGAACCCAUUCGAAUGUCCAGAACUACCAUCCAUCAAUUGAAAGCUAUCCAGGUUUCCCUACAAAAGGUCAAAGCAAAUAUAGAAGGGAACCAAAUCCUCAGGCGCACUUCCUCAAACCUCAUAUCAAGCUAAAACUUUGUCCUAUAAUCAUUACUUAAUAAAGAACUCAAGCUUGAAGAACGAUCUAAUCCUUCCUAGUAGACUUCCAAAGGCUUCAUCCUGAAGAACCCCCUGAGCCGCAGGUAACUAGUCCCUUCCAUCUUUCAGAACUUUUCCACUGAGAAAUUUCUCCCAAGCCUCGAAUGACCUGCCCUGCAAUCCCCCACCAACACACCCCAUGUGAAAAAAAAGGAUAAAAUCUCUACAACCACUUACCAAUCAAGGCUCCAUUAAAAACCAACAAAUUUUUAAUUCCUAUCCCACCAAAUUUUUCUGGCAUGAAAAAGUCACCCAGUUCACAAAAUGUGGUACUUUCUCACCUCUAGCCCAGUGAAAAUACCUUCAGAGCUUCUCUAAGCAUCUCAAAGGACUAUGUAAGGUAAAGAGACAUGCUUGAAAAGGUACUAUGAAUUAGAAUGAGACUACUUCACUUAGAUUACUGUAGCCCUUUGCCUGAUGCUGGCGAAUUUGCAGAUCUCUCAAUCACUGCAUUCUUCACUUCAAAAGAGGUCAGCAAUCUUCAGUCUCUAUUAUCACUACUCUUUCUAAUAUAUGGGCAAAAUAUCAUUAUCCUGAAGCAUGUUGUCCAGGAUAACUAAUGGUUGCAGCAUUGUCCCAUAUAUUCAAUCUAUAAUUGAUUUUUUCUUUUUGAGGUAUAUCAGUGCCAUGCCAGAAUUUCCAUUGAGGGGACUAUUGCUGCUGGUUGUUUCUCUCCCUAUUUGUGCUUCUAUUCACUCCUCUUCCUUCUUGGCUCAUGCUUCAGCCUGUGAAUGGGUGAUUGUUUACUGUUUGAAAGUUAUUGGAAUACAUACUAGUUGUUAUUCUCUCAGUGCCUAUUGUUAUUGUGAGUAUUGAUGGGUCCUCUACAAACAGUAGCAGGUCCUAGACUUAUUUGUGUUUUGGGCAUGCAACAGUUUAAAGAUCAUUGCCUUUUUUGUGUGUGUGCAUGUUCUGAUUCCCACUUUGUCUCAGUUCUGGAGAAAAAUUUUAUGACCCUUAUGAUAACACCACUUUGAUUUUAAGGCUUUUACACUAGGGACAGCAGCCUGAGAGAUCCACCAAGUUGUAAAUCACAUUAUCUUGUAAGUAUGGAUGCGUUUACCUAUGAAAAGUGUUACGAAAAACACUUGAAUGUUACAAAGUCAAAAUUUAUCAUUUGAUUUAUGUGAAAAACUGAAAAGAGUCCACUGGCAGAGUACCCUGAACCCUAGUCAGUUACCUAGAAGCAAUAAUUGAAAGCCCCAACACCCAACAUGUGGCAAAAGGACUUCAAGAACUCAAAGAACUACUUAAGAAAAUGCAUCACUUGAAGUUAUAAACUUAAAACAUAGAACAGAUAAUGGGAAGAUGGUAAAUGCAUACCCAACUGAGUAACAUAAGAUUGCUGGCCAAACGGGCAAGAUCAAAAGCCCUCUGCCCAGUGAUGAGCUCAAGAAGCAUGAUCCCAUAUCUGUAAACAUAAGUCUUCUCCGAAGACCUUCCAGUGAAGAGGUACUCUGGGGCAAUAUGCCCAAGUGUUCCAUGUACAGCCGUGGUAACACGAGUAUCCCUGUAGUCCAUGAGUUUAGCCAGCCCAAAAUCUGCAACCACUUCUUCGCUGGGGUUAUGACCUCUUUCUUUAUAUAUAUUGUCUUUUUUCUAGGGAAAUUCAUUCUCUAUCGACAAAUGUUGGUAUCAGCUAUUCUUCAAUGUCAAUACCACUCAUAAAAUGAGUUGUUUUCAAGGUUAAUAUUUUAUUCUCAUUAUUUUUUAUAAUGAGACCAUUAUUAGAUUCAUUAGGAUUAUUAUAUCUGGAAAAUAAUUAUACAUCAAUUUGUAGAUGAGUGUGCUCAUGCUUCCUCUCUGGAAUUCUUCUCUUCUGGCCACUUUCAAUUUGCUUUCUUGUUUCUUCACUUUUUUUUCUUCCACCAGCUCUUCUGCAAUUUUCCCUAGUUUCUUCCUUUUCUUGAAUGAUUCCCAAACACAAUUUCUUAAAUGUCCUUGAACAAGAGGUGCUUUACUUGUACUAUUUCAGCUUUUUUAUUCAUUUUUGCUAUGUUCCCUCUUGUUAGUGCUUUCCUGAAUUGUUCACCAUCCAAAUAGCAAAUUUUGUGGCAAUUCACUGCCAUGCUGAUGCAGGUGAAGCAUUUUUUUUCUCAUCCUUGAGACUCUGGGUGACUCUGGAAAUAGGUGCAUGAAAUAGUACCAGAUAUCUAAUAAAGCUUCAUUAUAAUCUCUUUUCUCAUAUAUCUAUAUAUAUAUAUAUAUAUAUAUAUAUAUAUAUAUAUAUAUAUAUAUAUCGUGGAUUUGCUUCAAUCCCCUUUGUCCUUUCAUUUUGGUAUAUUUUUCUGCAGGUUUCCAAUCACAUCAUUGGUUGUCCUAUAUUUACUUCAAUCUUCUUAGUGCUACAUACAGGAAAUGUUGAACAACUACUACUAUGAGCCUAGCCAAAACAAAGUGCCUUCUACUUGAAACCAUACCUAAAAAGUAGGACAAAUAAAAUGGUAAGUGGGUUCCACACAGGGAAAAUGCUUCUAAAAGAUUCCCAUUGUUCUAAAAAGGAACUUUACCAUGCCUCAAGAGUUUGACCCAGCCUUCUAUUUUCAACAUUUCCUUUCAACUUUUUCUUUUCCAAUGAGUGAAGAGAUAACACAUUAAAUUGUCAAACCGUCUGCCUCUUUUUCCCCAUAAAUUGCCAGAACAGGGUUCUUUUGAUUAAAGAAGGCAAAAUCCAUGAAACAAACAAACAGACAACAAACAACAGGGAAAAGAAAAAACAAAAGCAAAAACAAAAAGCCACAGAGGUCCAUAGAUCACAUGCUAUCUAGCAAUAAUUUGCCUAUUAUCGUCCUAAUUGCAAAAACACCACCACUUCACAAGGGUAUAAAUCCUUGGCAUCAGCUGGUCUAUGAUGAGAAUCUUCUUAUGAACAGCUUCUAGCAUUAGAAAGCUAAACUUGGAUGGCACACAAAAACCCCAACUGGCAGAUGUUAGCAUGGUAAGAUUAGGCCACGACAAUAAUAACCUAAAAGAGAAUUUGAAGAAAGAAUUUCCUUAGACUAUCUAAAGACUAACACAUCCUCUCAUUCUCCUGAUAAUAUGCCAAUAAAUGCAAGCUGGAAAACUCUACACCUUCUCCAACUCUCAAUCAUGGAAGCUUCUAGAGAACCUGAAAUUCUAAUGCCCAGAAACUACCCUCCAAGACAAUCAUCAGCCAGGUUAGUAAAAAGGCCUAAAUAAGCUUGAUAUACAUUGUUGGUCCACCAGCUAAUAGCUUAAACUUUUAGGAAAAUUAGUUGCUUAUCGGGGUAUUAAAGUCUUAUUUAGUGGGAGGUCAUGAAUUCAAUCCUAGAAACAUGAUUAUUCCCCACCUCAUCAAGCUCUAAGGAACAUUUGUAGCUUAAGAAACUACAUUUUCCUAUCAACUAUGAACAAGAUCCCUCUCUUUGGAACUUUUCCCCUAAGACACUUUUCCAAAGCAUAUUUUCUAUCUCUAACCACCAUAAUAACCCUCCAAAGCCUCUUUAGCUUUAUUAGAAAUAAAAAAAAAUUCUAGUCCUGGCCCAAACAUGUUCUUUAGUGUAAAAACAGUCGCCCAGCUAAAAAUGUUACAUGCUACCUGUCUCAACAGCAAACCCCCACCCACACAAAUAAAAGUAUCCCUUUAGAUCUUCUCUAACAGGAUCAUGGAUAGGCAAGCUUGAAAUGAACUAUGAAUGAGAGUCUACCCCCUAGAUAAAUAUGGCCUCUACCAUGACACUAGCUGCUAAUUCUAUCUCUAUCAUUGGGUUUUAUUUUAUUUAUUUAUUUAUUUAUUUUUAUAUAGGUACUAUCAUUGAGUUCUUCAAACCAAAGAAAGGACAAAAAUCUUAUACCCUAUGUAAUAAGAGUUUGCCCAAUUAUCAUUGUCUUGUCCGAAAGCACACUGCCUAGGGUAAAUGUUGGUUGCAAUGUUGCCCCCACAUAUUGAAUCUCAACUUACCAGAUCAUUGAUUCUUUCUUCUUGGGAUCUUAUCAACACAAUAAUUUCUAAUACUGGCAGUAGACUAUUGCUUCUGGUUGCUUUUCACCCUGUUUUUUAUUAUAUGUAAAACCGUGAAAGGUUUUUUGGAUAAACUUUUAUUUUAUUGCACUUUUUUAGAACACAGGCUACAUCCGUUUAAAUAACCAGGAAAUAGAUAAUUCCUAGGCUAAAAAUAAGGAAACCUAAAAAUGAAUCUGAUUCUAAUCCUAAUCUGAAUAAAACCUUUACUAUGUACAAAAAAACUAGAAUUCAAAUAAUUCCCCAAAUCAAGGAACCUAUCCAUUCUAAAAUUCCUUAAAUCAAGGAAUCCUAUCCAUUCCAAAAUUUGAGUCCAAUUUGAACUAGUCUAACCAAACUAACUUUCCAACACUCCCCUUCAAGUUGGGGCAUAGAUGUCUAUCAUACCCAACUUGUCCACAUUAUUUUCAAAGUUUUCUCUCGGAAUCCCUUUAGUUAAAACAUCCGCAAUCUGGCUUUUGGAUGGCACAUAUGUCAAGCAUAUUUCCCUUUGCUCAAUUUUUUCCUUAAUGAAAUGGCAGUCCACCUCAACAUGUUUUGUUCGAUCGUGGUGGACUGGAUUGUAGGAAAUGCUUAUAGUUGCCUUAUUGUCACAAUACAUCAUAGCUAGAGGAUGAAUUCUAAUCUUUAGUUCUUCUAAUACUCUCUUGAUCCACAAGACUUCACAAAUUCCAUGAGCUAUUGAUCUAAACUCAGCUUCAGCACUACUUCUCGCUACCACAUUUUGGUUUUUACUUCUCCAUGUGAUGAGAUUUCCAAACACAAAUGUACAGUAGCCAGAUGUUGACCUCCUAUCUUCUAUAGACCCUACCCAAUUUACAUCCGUGAAGGCCUCUAUUUUGAAUUGGUCGUGCUUUCCAAAUUGAAGUCCUUUUCUUGGGGUUCCUUUGAGAUAUUGUAAUAUUUUAUAGACAACAUUCAUGUGUGCUUCAUAUGGAGAAUGCAUGUACUAACUGACUGUACUUACUGCAAAAGCAAUAUCUGGCCUAGUGUGAGAGAGGUAGAUGAGCUUUCCAACCAACCAUUGGUAUCUUCCUUUGUCAACUAGAUCCCCUUUUUUAGCUAGGUCUAUCUUGUGUCUUACACCAAUCAGAAUGUCGCUAAGCUUGCAACCAAGCAUCCAUGUUUCCUUGAGUAAGUCUAAAGUGUACUUUCUUUGAGAAAUAGAGAUUCCAUUUUUAUUUCUAGCAAUCUCCAUCCCUAGAAAAUACCUUAGUACCCCAAGGUCCUUCACCUCAAACUCCUUAGCUAGGAUCUUCCUCAAAGCUUCAAUUUCUACAUGAUCAUUGCCUGUUAAAAUCAUAUCAUCAACAUAAACGAUGAGAACAGUUAUUUUACCCUGAUUAGUAGAUUUGUAAAACAUGGUAUGAUCUUAAUAUCCUUGAAGAUAGCCAUAUUGUUUUACUACUCUUGAGAGUCUUUUGAACCAUGCCCGGGGUGAUUGCUUGAGUAUGUAGAAAGCUUUCUUCAAUUAACAAAUUUUAUUGAAGCUUUCUUGUUCAAGUCCUAGUGGUACAUCCAUGUAAACCUCCUCCUCUAAUUUCCCAUUGAGAAAAGCAUUUUUUAUGUCCAGUUGUUGAAGAGGCCAAUCAUAGUUUGCAGCCAAAGAGAGAAGAAUUAAAUUGUGUUCAGUCUUGCCACCAAUGCAAAAGUCUCUUGGUAAUCUAUCCCAUAAGUCUUAGUAAAUCCUUUAGCAGACAAUCUUGCUUUGUACCAUUCCACCGAGCCAUCAGAUUUGUAUUUUACUGAAAAGACCCAUUUACAUCCCACAAUUCUUUUACCCUUCGGUAGGGUAACAAGUUCCCAUGUUCUGUUUUUUUUCAAAGCUUUGACUUCCUCCACAACCGCUACUUUCCAUCUUGGAUCACCAAAUGCUUUUUGUACAUUUUUUGGAAUUUCUAUGGAAGAAAGGUGAGGGGCAGAAGUAGAAAAAGAUGAGGAUAAUCUAUGAUAAGAGACAAAACUAGAUAUGGGAUGAAUGGUAUAAGAUCAAACACUUUUCUUAAGUGCUAUCGGGAGAUCUAAGUCACUAGGCACUGGGUCUACAGGAAGUGAGGAAUGUGAGAGUGAUGAAGAAUUAUCCAAACCUGAUUCAAGCAUUAUCUCCGAUGUGGCUUCAUGGCAAGGCAUGAGUGUAUCAAGUACUAUACACUUCCUUGAGUAGACUUUGAACUGUGGUGUAGACUAGGCUGUUGGUGGCAAUGCUUUAUCUUCCCCUGCAUUUGACAAUCUGUUAUGUACUGGAACUAUUGUUGGGUUUGAUUGAACGAAAGGAAUGGAUGGAGAGAUUUGAGUAGACACCGUAUUGGUUGCUGGGAGUGGACUAAUUUAGUAGACACUGGACUGGUUGCUAGGAGUGUAGGAACUGGAAAAGAAGAUUGUGGAAUUUUGCAUGACGAAGCUUCACAAGAAUUCUCCCCUUGAAUCAAAGUGUAAUAGGGCUACUGUUCAAAGAAGGUUACAUCUAUAGAGAUGCAUAGUUUCUAAUUAACAAGAUCAAAACAUCUAUAACAUCUUUUAGUUGUUGCAUAUCCUUAAAAAAAAAGCAUUUUAUAGCCUUAGAAUCAAGUUUACCAUGAUUAUGUGAAUGGACAUGUACAAAAAUAGUGCACCUGAAAAUUUUAAUUCAUAAAUCUUGGCAAAAUCGAGAAUCAAGGAAUGAAGCAAGAAACAACAAUGGGAAUUUUAAAAUUAAGAACUUUUGAGGGCAUCCUAUUGAUCAAAUAUGUUGCUAUAAGAAUAGCGUCCCAAAGUAUUUUUCUAACUUUCAUUGAAAAUAAUAAGGACCGAACAACUUCUAAGAGGUGUCUAUUCUUUUUUUCAGCAACUCCAUUUUGUUGUGGAGUAUCUACACAUGAUUUUUGAUGAAUAAUCCCAUUAGUUGAUAAAAAGUCUCUAAUAACAACAUUUAUAUAUUCACUACCAUUGUCGGUUCUAAGAAUUUUAACGGAUGUUUGAAAUUGAUUUUUGAUCAUUGAAUAGAAAUUUUUGAAGGUUUGAAAGACUUCAGAUUUUUCUUUAAGGAGGUAAACCCAACAAAUUCUUGAAUGAUCAUGAUGAAGGUAAUGAACAUUUUGCACCAAUUAGAAUUGUUACCUGAGAUGGUCCCCAAAGAUCACUAUGUAUGAGAGUAAAAGGUUUAGAGGGACUGUAAGGUUUAGCAGGAAAUACUAAUCUGGUAUGCUUUGCCAUUUGACACACUUCACAUUGAAAAUUGGACAACCUUUUAUUUUUGAAAAGUUUUGGAAACAAGAACCUAAGAUACAGAAAGCUAGGGUGGCCCAAUCUAUAGUCCCGUAACAUUAUUUCAUGAUCAAAAGGAAAAGAUAAAACACUGCUACCAGCAACAAUGGCUUGUCCUUACACAACUUCAUGGUCAUCAAAAUGGUAUAAACCUUCACACUCACAUGCACUACCAAUCGUCCUCCCCGAAGCUAAGUCUUGGAAAACAACACUAGUAGAUGAAAAUUUAGCUACACAAUUGAGAUCUCUCAUGAGUUUACUAAUGGACAAUAUAUUACAUGACAAAUUUGGGACAUGUAAGACUAAUUCAAGAGAAAAAAAUUUUGUCAGAGAGAUGGUUCCUUUUCCAGCGACCGGGGUAUAUGACCCAUCCAUUCCUUUUCUAGCAACAGGGGUAUAUGACCCAUCCACAAUUUGAACUUUCAUAUUACCAGCACAUGGCACAUAUGUUGUAAAUGAAGUGGAUGACCCCAUCAUGUGAUUUGUAGCUCCGAAAUCAAUGAUCCAAGGUUUAUAAGAAUUGGCUAAGGCACUGAAUGGGUAUUGAGUUCUACCUGAUUGUGCUUGAGAGCAAGAUGGUGAGAGAUCAGCAUUUGGUGAACCUGAGAUUGAAGUGGAUGCAGUUUGUGGAUUAAGGAGAUGUUGCAAGACCUCUAACUACUCCUUGGUGAAUGGUGAAGUGGCUGUUUGGUUGUUAGGGUUCUCAGAUUCACUAUGGUAGGCUUUGGAAUCACGGUGGGUCUUGGGUUUCUCCCAGCAGGUGGCUUUCCAUGGAUCUUCCAGCACGUAUCUUUUAUAUGGUCUCGUUUUCAAAAAUUUUCACACCAAGGACAAUCACCCUUUUUUCCUAGUUGCUGGUCAAUUGGUUGAAAAGCCGCCUCACCAUGAAUAACUAGGGCAGAAGUCUCAGAUUGGCUAGAUUGUUGUUCUCCCAAUGUCACUUUCGGCCUACUCUUUUCCCGUCGCACCUCAGAGAAGAUCUCCCUUACAGAUGGUAGUGGUUCUUUUCCCAAGAUUUGGCCUCGAACCUCAUCAAGUUCCUUAUUGAGUCCUGCCAAAAAAUCAAAUGCCCUUUCUUUUUCGAGAAUCUUGCAAUAAUGGGCAUUAUCUUCAGCACACUUCCACUCCAUAUUAGAGAAUAAAUCAAGUUCUUGCCAUGCAUUUGGAAGGAUAUUAUAGUAUUGUGUAACACUAUGACUACCCUGUUUAAUAUCUUUCAACUUAGUCUUAAUUUCAAACAUUUGGGUAGCAUUACCUAGAUCUGAAUAAGUCUCUUGGACUUCAUCCCAGAGGUCCUUGGCGGUAGGAAGAAAGAGGUAGGUUUGCCCAAUAGCUGUCUCCAUGGAGUUGAUUAACCAGGCCAUUACCAUGGAGUUCUCAGAAUCCCAGGUUUGGUACACAUGAUCUUCCGGCUUGGGUGCUUUGUUGGCACCUAUGAGAUAGCCCAACUUUCCUUUUACUCUGAUGAACAGCUUCACCGAUUGCGACCAUUUAAGAAAAUUACAUCCAUUUAAUUUAUGGAUCGUAAUUUGCAGGGUUGGAUUCUCUAUACUGCCUGGAUUUGUUGUUGGAACUUGUAGCUGUGAAGUCCCAGAUGAGGCAUCAUAUUCCUCCCUGUGAGUUGCACCAGUCAUAGUAGUCUUCACCAUCCUUCUACUCUUUUUUUUUUCUCUAGCUUUGAUACCAUAAAACUGUGAAAGGUUUUUUGGAUAAACUUUUAUUUUAUUGAAAUUUUUCAGAACACAGGCUACAUCCGUUUAAAUAACCAACAAAUGGAUAAUUCCUAGGCUAAAAAUAAGGAAACCUAAAAACAAAUUUGAUUCCAAUCCUAAUCUGAAUAAAACUUUUACUACGUACAAAAAAACUAGAAUUCAAAUAAUUCCCCAAAUCAAGGAACCUAUCCAUUUUAAAAUUCCUCAAAUCAAGGAAUCCUAUCCAUUCUAAAAUUUGAGUCCAAUUUGAACUAGUCUAACCAAACCAACUUUCCAACAAUAUGAUUUGUGUCCAAGCCAGUGUUUAUUGUUUUGGAGCCAUUGACACAAUGCUGUUUGUUCUUCUCCCACUGAUUGCAGAGUAUGAUUGGUCCUUUACAAACAUUGACUGUAUUGAGCUAAUUCAUCUUUCAGGCUUUCUAUUGUUUGUAAAUUAGGACCCAUUUUCUAUAUUUGAUACCCACUUACUCUCUGGAAAAGACUUCUGUGACCCUUAUGGUUACACUGCUUUGACUAUAUUCUUUGCCAUAGUUCACGUACAUAAUUCUACUCUUUUGAUUAGCUAGGAGCAUACAGCAUAGGGAAUUCAUGUUCAGAAACAGUGCAACAGAAUCAAAAGAAAAAGGAGAUGAUGGUUUUGGAAUGAGGUGCUGUGCAAUUCUGGAAGGUUGUACUGGUUCCCAAAGAAGAUGGCUAUGAAGAUGUUAAUGGAAUCCUGAUGUGAAGGAACCCUACGAAAUUAAGAACAUGUUUUACAAGUUAGAUGAAGUCAUAUUUAGUCAAUAGGGAAUAUUGAUCUCAGAAAAAGGAGUCAAUGUAAUCAUUGUCUGCGCAAUUUUGCUAUUUCUAGACCUAGGAUCACAACUUGACAGCAUUAUUCUCCAUCCCCUUGCCAUGUAUUGCCUCCAAAAACCUCCUACAAGUUCAUUGUAGGUAAAAGGAGUAAAAUGUCAUGGAUUUACAGUGAAAAACAUAAUGACUAUUGAAUUUCAGAGGCAAUACAAAUAUGAGUAGAGGAAAAACUAGAUAAUCCAUCUGAUUUACCUAAAAAAUAUAUAGAAUUCAAACUUUCAGUUUUUAAAAGAAAAAGGGCCCACUGUAUAAUAAUUGAUGGCUCAAGACCAGUUUCUAGUAUUGAAAACACAAGGACCUUGAAAACUUGAAACCAUGGUUUUGAGUUUUGAAAUGUUUCUGUCAGUGUAUAAAAGCUUCUGAUUUUUUUAGGAAUCCAAAAUGAAACCUAGAAGCAAAACAGAAUCUAUUCAUUUUUCUCCAAAAUUCACCUAAAUUUUGUAGAAACACAAAUUUGUGGAAACAUAUGAGAUAACUUGAGUUUAAUUUUCAUACCAUUUGAAAACACGGCUUUGCCAUCUAAAGUCUUUCACUAAAAUCAAUAGAAGAACAGGAGUCUGAGAGGUCUCUGAGUUGUGCAUCACUUUAACUUGUAAUUGUAACAACAUUAUUUUAAGCACUUGAAUGACGUCAAGGUUGAAAUAGAUCAUUGGAUUUCUGUGAGGGAAAGUAUGGAACAAAUUCACCUACUUGUAAUCUCUGAAUAACCCACCCCCAAUAUUAUAAACUAGAAGCCAUAGCUGAAAUCCCCAACACCAAACAAAUAUCAAAGAAGACUCAAAAGAGUUCAAAGAAGUAAAUAAAAGGAUGCACCACUAAGUUAUAAACUCAAACUAUAAAAAUCCUCAAAGGGAAGAUAGUAAAAGCAUACCCAAUCAAGUAACAUAACAGCAUCAUCAUUGGCAAGCCGAGCAGGAUCAAAAGCCCUCUGUCCAGUGAUAAGCUCAAGAAGCAUUACUCCAUAUCCAAAAACAUCAGUCUUCUCUGAAGACUUCCCAGUGGAGAGGUACUCUGGAGCAAUAUGCCCAAUUGUGCCACAUACAGCAGUGGUAACAUGAGUAUCCUUGUAGUCCAUCAGUUUAGCCAGCCCAAAGUCUCCUACUACUGCUUCGAACUCGUUGUCCAACAAUAUGCUUGCAGCCUUCACAUCACGAUGAAUAAUCUUAGGGUCACAAUGAUCAUGCAAAUAAGCAAGCCCCCUUGCUGAUCCUAAUGCAAUUUGUUUCCUUAUUGGCCAAUUAAGAGGUGAUUGUCCAUCAGCUCGCUCUGCAAUAAUGCAUCAAUAAGAUCAGAAGGGAAAAAAAAAAAUUAUAUGGUAAGUAAAGUUGGCCAUAGCUCUUAAAAUAGAUCUUUUAAAUUUUCAACCUUUUGAUUAGUGAUAUAGCCCACUCAUACUUUUCAAACUUCAGCCAACUCCAAUAUUUUCAGACAAUGUUUAAACAUGAAAAGACAAUACUCUGUAGUUUUCACAUCAAAGUAGAUUUCUAGGAGUUAGUUAGAUUCACACGUAGAGUUAUGCAUUUUUACAUGAGUGGCAAUGCUCAGGGCUAGAAUUCACACAUUUGCACUUGGCAUCGACAAAGGUAAACUACCAUUGCACCAGACAAAAUUUAAAUUAUGUUGACAAGGUUUUAGGUUUCAUUUUGAAUUUAGACAAAAUCAAAAUGACGCAAAGGUCAAAUUUAAAACCUUCAUUAUAUAUCAAGAGUUGGUAUACCAUAUGGAUUGGCAACCAAAAUGUCAAUGGAACAGAUGGCAUCAAAGGAAAAUGAAGUUUCGUUUAUUUUUGAAAAAAUAAAUCACAUGAAGAGACCAAUAACCAAUACCUCUCAAACAUGAUGCAACACUUCCAUUAACCAUAAAGGGAUAGACAAGCAACCGUUCUGUUGGUGUCAUGCAAAAGCCAUGUAGACGAAGUAGAUUCCGGUGCACAGCCAUGCUGAUCAUUUCAACUUCUGUCUGAAAUUGCAGUUCCCUACCAUGAAUACACUCCUUUUUCAGUCUUUUUACUGCCACUAGAGAACCAUCAGCUAAACUUCCUUUGUAAACUUUACCAAAUCCACCACUGCCCAGAAUGUUUUUGUUACUAAAAUUAUCCGUUGCAACUUGUAGUUCACGCAGGGAAAACCUUUUAAGCUGCCCCAAAUGAACUUCUGGAUCCUUUUCAGCUGCAAAAGAAAUGAAAACGAAUGAGAAGUGAAAAUUAAGUAACACUUCUUAUUGAUCAUUUUAACCCAUUUUCACUAAAACCACCAACCAGGUACAUCAGAAAAGUGCUCCUGUGGUUUCCUUCGUAGCCACCAGGCAAGUACUAUUCCAAGGGCAGCAAACAGAAGUGCAGAACCAGCAGCAACUCCUCCAGCAAUAGCUCCAGUGGCACCUCCAGCAAUAGCUCCAGUGGCACUGUUUUCUACAUCAAUGAAAUCCAAAAAAACAUAAAUAUAGUAUUAUUAUUUGUGAUAAUCAGAACAUUUGAACAUUAACUGAGAGAACCUCUAAAUAAUAAAGCAAUUCAUUUUUUUUCUAGAGUGAGUUAUAAGGUGUUCCAAGAAAAGUUAGAUUCUAAUUGAAUUUGAUAACUCACAAGUUCCUGUUUCUGAAAUUGAUUAAGUCCAAUCCACAUUCUCUAAAAGCUCAGAAAAUAGUUAACAAACAGCAAUUUAGGCCAAAGAAACACCAAAAUUUUCAAGAGAAACAAUAAUUGCGCAAAAAUGAUACUAUUAUUAAUUAUUAUUUGUGAUAAUCAGAACCUUUGAACAUCAACUGAGAACCUCUAAAUAAUUCUUUUCUAGAGUGAGUUAUAAGAUGUUCCAAGAAAAGUUAGAUUCUAAUUGAAUUUGAUAACUCACAAGUGCCUGUUUCUGAAAUUGAUUAAGUCCAAUCCACAUUCUCUAAAAGCUCAGAAAAUAGUUAAUAACCAGCAAUUUAGGACAAAGAAACACCAAAAUUUUUAAUAGAAACAAUAAUUGCUCAAAAAUGAUACUAUUAUUAUCAUUAUUAUUUGUGAUAAUCAGAACAUUUGAACAUUAACUGAGAACCUCUAAAUAAUAAAGCAAUUCAUUUCUUUUCUAGAGUGAGUUAUAAGAUGUUCCAAGAAAAGUUAGAUUCUAAUUGAAUUUGUUAACUCACAAGUGCCUGUUUCUGAAAUUGAUCAAGUCCAAUCCACAUUCUCUAAAAGCUCAGAAAAUAGUUAAUAACCAGCAAUUUAGGCCAAAGAAACGCCAAAAUUUUUAAUAGAAACAAUAAUUGCUCAAAAAUGAUACUAUGUUGAUGAAACUAAAUAAACCAUCCUCUGAAGUGAUUUUCUUAUAUUCACAUUCAUCAAUUAUAAAGUUUCUCUCUGCUUAUUUUCAAUUAUAUAUAUCAGAUAAAAGGAAAAUAAAAAAAGAUGGAUGAGUUACGAAACUAGAUAAAACUCAUGUACAGGAUGACUUGACCAGACAAGGGGGUAGAAGACAUGUCCAAUUGAAAGUGAAAGGAAAACAUAGCAAUGAAAACACAGAAGGGUCCAAUAUCAGCUACAACUUUGAGUUGAUACUUUCUUUUAAUCAGAUAAGUUGGACUUAAUACUAGUUAAAAACAGAAAAUAAUAAUGACAAACCCGAAGAAGUCGUUGGUGUUGGAGAAAUUGGUGGAGGUGGAAAAACUGGAAUUUGGUUUAGGUCAUUAUUGUUAAAACUGCAAAAUUGCAACACAGCAGUUAGCAUACGGAUUAGAUAGGUCACCCAAUAGUACUAUCAUAAAAAUGACAUUGCACCCAGUUUACCUGAUAGAAUAAAAUAAUGAAAAUGAGCCGUUAACUGGUAUAUCUCCUCUUAGGUGAUUGUUCGACAGAUCCCUGCAUCCACAUAAGAAUAUUAUAAUGUCAUAUACUUGCAACAAAAUCAUGUCAUUGGAAGCUAAGGGGAAAAAAUAGCUUCCUCUGGAUAGAACAUCAACUUGGUACUCACAGGACUUGCAGUGUCAUAACAGUAGUUAAAGACAUUGGAAUAGUUCCUGUCAAGGAAUUGUUGUUAAGCCGCCUAUUUCCAUGCAGACAGUUUACAAAAUAAACACUGUUAGGUUUCAUAAUAAUCAUUGAAAAGCAAACAACAAACAAAGCAAAGACACAAAAUCUGUUAGACAACCAAUUUUAUUGUAGCAUUUAGGUCCACAAUGUAUAUCAUAUUUUUAACACCCUCUCUCACAUAGGCAAACAGCCUCUUUUGAACUUACAUGUGGGCCCAAUAAAUUGGGGAAAUAAAAGUGUGAUGAGGCUCAAACACGAGAUCAUGCACACAUAAAGACCCGAAGGCAAACAACCACAAUCAACCUCUUUUGACCUUGCAUGUAGACUUAAUACAUGUGGACUCAAUAAAUUGGGGAAAGAAAAAUGCAAUGACGCUCAAACACAUGACCUCCCACCAAAUGAGGCUCUAAUACUAUGUUAGAUAACUAACUUUCCUAAAAGCUUAAGCUUGUAGGAUUUGGGUCCACAAUAUAUAUAUCAUGUUCUUUAACACAAUCAACAUAUACUUGCACAACAAAGAAAGCACAGAACUAAACAAAACUCUUUGCACAAUGGUUGAUGUAGGACAACCCUAGGAUGGUUGCCUACACUCAAAAGUAGGUGGGCUAGGGUUUUGAUUUUUGAGUAUAAGGGGAGGAACAAGGAAUAAAGUUUAUGGUAAAAAAAUAAAUAAAAUAAAAUAAAUAGAGAGAAAUAAGAAAUGAGGAAGAAAAAAUGGAAACCUUAGAGUCCCACUAAGGCCUUUCAGGAAUCUUACUUAGAAGAAAAAUUAAUGGAGUCUCACCAUUGAGGAUUGCAACACUUGCAAUGAAUAAAACAUAAUAUAAUUAAUAUCAAUCAAUUCAUCCCUUUUAUUUACAUUGAUUAGACUAUUUAUAGGCUUCUCUAAGAAAUCCAAAGUUUACUAGGACUCUAAUAACCUAUUAUGACUCUAAUUCUAAUUAUAACAUCCAAAGUCUAUUAGGACUCUAAUAACCUAUCAUGACUCAAAUUCUAAUUAUAUUAUGACUUAACUAGCUAAUCCUAAUUUGACUCCAACAAAUACUAAUCAUAAUUCAAUCCUAAUUAAUAUUAAUCCUAUUUAAAGUUUACUUAGGUCUUCCUUUUCCUCCUUGAAUAGACUCUAAAAGGCUUUCCACCAUCAAUUCCCCCCCAACUUGAAAGAACUUGACUCUAACGAGUUAGAUGCUUGAUACAAUUCAUAGAGAUCGGGGUUAAGCUUUUGAAAUUCUGUUGUCAUAAUCCAUGUAUUUUCAAAAUAUGGUUUGCCUCACCAUUUCACCAAAAAUUCUUGGUAUCCACCUUGUUGAGUAGACACACGUUGAUCAUUAAGAACAUACUCGAUCUCAAGACAUGGGCUAAGAGUAGGUGGUAAUUGAAGAUCCAAUUCUUCACUUGCCUUAUUUUGAUGGCAUGGUAGAUAAACAAAUCUUCCACAUUAGAUAUUGGACUAAAAUGCAAGUCUGAAGUGAGUUCUAACAAAUAUGCAUUCUCACCCAAUCGCUUUAGUAACCGAAAUAAACCCAUUUUCUUAGCUUGAAGCUUUUGAUAUGUGUCCGGAUGAAAUCUUUCUAGACGUAGAUGAACCAUUACUAGAUCACCUUCUUGAAACUGAAUAUAACUUUGAUGUGCAUCUAUUGUCUCCUUAUAGUUCUCAUUGCUGAUUUUGAUUUUUUUCUCGUAUCUUUUCAAAUUAACGCAUAAUAAGCACCCUUUUUGGUUGUGCGUCCUUUGACUUCUAAAUUGGUGGGGCUUCUUUCAUUAGACAAAAGAUCUUCUUAAGCCCAUUGUGUAUGAGAGUACAUGUAUUUUUUCAACCAUCAUGUUAAACUCUUCUAUCAAAAAGGCAAGGUAUUCCAAGUAAAAUAUGACUUACUUUUAUCGUUAAGACCUCACACCAUACAGACUAUUCAAAGUCCUUACCAAAAAGGAAUGUUACUAAGUAGCAAAAGCUUACCAAAAUAGAGGUGUCAUUAACCCAUGUUACUCAAAAUGGAUUUGGAAGCAUCUCUAUUUUAACGUUUAGCUUUUCAACGAGUUCUUGCAAAGUUAUGUUCAAACUGCUACCUCAAUCAAUGAUCAUGGUGCAUAAUCUCCCUUAGCAAGAAAUACUUUUCUGGAAAAUGCUACUAUGUCACCAAUCUUCUUCUCCUUUUACCUUUGAGACAACUAAUAAAGGUCGUAUUGCAAGACUACGUCCUUCUGCCAUACCAUCAUAGUAGUCACAUUAUUCACUAAGUUCAUUUCAUUGUGGGUUUAUUCUUCCUUUGGGUAACCCUCUAAUUCAGAUUUUGGUUCUUAAACACAAAAGUGUAAACCUUUGGUUGGGCACACAAUAGCAUGAUGACCAUGCCUACCACACUUAAAGCAUAAAGGAGUCAUAGUUAUUUUUGUCUCCGAUGUUCAUUGAAGUUUUACCCUUAUUAGCAUCUCUAGUAGGCACAUGUGAGGCUUGUUUAUUAUUGCCUUCACUAUUCACAUGAUUCGAAGUUUGGAAAUUUGUGGUGCCUAAAGGUUUACUUGUUGUCCAGUUGGAAAAAGUGCUCCCAAUUUGUGAAUUUGGAUGCCUGGAAGCUUGAAACUUUAGCCCUUCUUCUAUUUUGAGGGCUAGUUGAUAAACAUCGUCUAUGGUAUAAGUGUGUGCAGCUAUCAUCUCAAGUUGAAUCUUCAUUCGAAGUCCAACUUUAUAACGGGUUGCAAGUUGAGCAUCACUUUCCCGAACUGGAUUUCAAAUGCUCAAUUCAUGGAAUUUAUCUGUAUAUUAUUCAACGAACUAAGUAUCUUGCUUAAGGGAAAACAAUUUUGUGUACAUAAGUUGUUCAUAAUCAGUUGGGAGAAAGUGCUCCUUCAUCUUCAACUUCAUCUCUUCCCAUGUGUCUAUAGGUGGUUGGCCAAUUCUAUGAAGUUGAUUCUCAAUAUUAUCCCACCAUAGACAUGUUGCUUCUUUCAACUUUGCCUUCACAAAACAAACUUUUCUAUUUUCGGGCAUUGCAUAUCAAUCAAAGUAAUCUUCCAUCAACACAAUCCAAUCAAGAAAAGUCAUUGGAUUUAAUUUUCCAUAAAAUUCAACAACUUCAAGGUGUACCUUUUUUGUCAUACCAUCAUCUUGCUCAAAGAGUUUGCCCCUUCUUUGAUUCCUCAUCAUAAAAUUGUCUUGUUCUUCGCGUGAUCGACUUGGCAAUUGUCUAAACUGAUUACUUCUAAUUUCAUCUUCAAUUGGUUGUUUUUAUUUACUAUUUUCUAAUAUCUUCAUGAUCUCAUCAAGUUUUCUAUUUAAUUGUAUUAUAGCAUCUUGAUGGGAUUGUUGUGUGGCUAAAAUUUCCUCCAAGCGAAUUGUAGCGGCAUCUUGAUUGUUAGAAGUUUUUCUGGAACUCAUGAUUGCAUAAAUUGGUCCUCUCCUCAAUUGCAUAUGCCUUCAAGCCAAGAACUUUUACUCUAAUACCAAAACCAAAGUAGGACAACCCUAAGAUGGUUGCCUACACUCAAAAGUAGGUGGGCUAAGGUUUUGAUUUUAGAGUAUAAAGAGAGGAACUAUGAAUAAAUUUUAUGGUAAAGAAAAAAUAAAUAAAUAAAGAGAAAGAAGAACGAGGAAGAAAAAAUGGAAACCUUAGAUUCUCACUAAGGCCUUCUAGGACCUCACCUAGAAGAAAAAUUAAUGGAGUCUCACCAUUGAGGAUUUCAACACUUGCAAUGAAGAAAACAUAAUAUUAUUAAUAUCAAUUAAGUUAUCCAUUUGCUUUACAUUGAUUAACCUAUUUAUAGGUUUCUCUAAGAAAUUCAAAGUCUACUAGGACUCUAAUAAUCUAUUAGGACUCAAAUUCUAAUUAUAUUAUAAUUUAACUAGCUAAUCCUAAUUUGACUCCAACAAAUACUAAUCCUAAUUCAAUUCUAAUUAAUAUUAAUCCUACUUAAAUUUUACUUAGGUCUUCCUUUUCAUCCUUGAAUAGACUUUAAAAGGUUGUCCCCCAUCAGUGGUAAUGAGUUCUAAGGGAACCAAUCAACAGUUAUCCAAACAAUUGACUCUUGGACCACAUUAGGUUGUCCAAAAUAGAUGUUUACUCUCCAAAUGGUUGUAUGGAUUGGUUGAAAAAGGGAAGGAAUAAAUACAAUAAACUAGACCUAUCAAUUUGUAAUAUUUUCUCUAUCAUAAAAUACAACUAGAAGAAUGUAUGUCCUGCAUGUACAAAAGACAGUCACACCACCUAUAGAGAAGGAAAGGAGGAAUGGGAACUAAACAACCUACUAAUAAUUUCUGUUUAAGUUUACACCUAUGCCAUAUUACAAUUUAAUGCAAAAAGUUAGUUAUAAGGUAUAAAAGUGAACAGAGAAGACGCUUCCCUAAGAUCGUAUAAAUAAAUGAAGAUUAAAUUUGUACUUAAGAAAUCAAAAUAAUAAAAAUGCAAUAUGAUGUCUCAACCACAGUGGAAAUAAAGAGCUUCGAAUUUCUAUCAAAAUAGAAAUAUACUAUAUUAGACUCCAUAUGAUCAAUAAUUUAUGCUAAUGCAUUUCUUAAAAUUAAAUACAUGUGUAUCAAAUUUUUUAUCAUCAUGAUUAAAUGAAGCAGAGAACAAACCCAAAAUAUAUUUUUUAAAUGCAAUUGCCCUAAGUACAAGCAUCUGAAUUAUCAACGCUAAACUAGCUUAUUGUGAGCAAUCCUUUUAAUUAGUAGACACAAAAAGAAAUAUGAAGGAAGCUAAAUUAACUGGAAGGUAAGAAAAUUUAAUGAUCGAAGAAAGUUCCUGAAGGAUGUGUAUUCAUACAGGAAACGUAGUUUUGUAAGCUUGCCCAAUGUGUCCGGAAUUGUACCACUUAAAUUGUUCAUGUAAAGAUCCAAGCUCACCAAGUUUGUCAAAUUCCCAAGCUCCUUUGGUAUUUUUCCACUUAUGUUAUUACUGUAAAGUUCCCUGCCAUAAAAGUUUAAUUUUGAUCAUUCAUGGAUCAAAAAAAGAAGUAACAAAAGCAUAUUCCAAGCAUUUAAUUUUUAUUUUUUUUUAUAAAAAAAGGCAUAGAACAUCCAUAACCUAUAAUUCAAUAUAUAUAACAAUAAGCAGAAUCAAAUGGCCAACUCCAAGGGGUAGAUAAUAUAAAAUUGAGACUCAAAAGGCAUGGAUUGUAUGACUAGUGAAUGUAUAUAUAUUCAAUAUUUGCAAUAAUGGAUCAUGCAACUAAAAAAGAAAAGCAUGCAACAAUGGCUUCACAACAAAAGCAAUUGAAUUUCUACAUCCAUAACAAACUACAUGUAGACCCUCAAUUUUCUCCUCCAUGUACAUAGGAUACUAGGUAUAUUCUUGUGCUUCUCUUAUGCCCUAUUAAGUGCUUUUUCAAUACUCCACAAUAGUUCCCAAUGACCCAUUGCUAUUCAUGUAGCUUACUUGCUUGAGCCACUUUGGAGACUCUGAUUGAGGGAUUUAUGUGGCCCUUCAAUGUGACCAUUGGCAACCUCGAGUUAGAUCUAGGUUCUUUUUCCUUUUUCUCUUAGGUUAACCCUUUUAGGACAAUAUAUUUAGGCAUUUCCUAGGACACUAUGCCCACUUAGGCCCAUCUAGGCUCCCCUAUGCCCAUUUAGGCACCUCUUUAGGUUAGAUUCCACUUAGUUCACUGAGAGAUUUUUCCAUUUAGAUCACUUAGGUACAUUUUAGGUAAUUCCACCCAACCCACUUAGGUUCACUUAUAAGAAAGAUUCUUUAGGCUUAGUGCACUUAGGUUUGUUUUUUGAAUUGUGAUUACAUGAUUAUGAGUUUAAGUGAGUAUUUGGCUUAAUUUUUUUUUGUUUUUUUUUAUUGCUUGGAUUGAAUUUUCAAUAUUUAGUCGUGAGAUUUCAACUUUUCAUUUUUUUUUUAUCAUUAAUUACACUAGAUUAACAUUUGAAUUUUGAUUAUAGUGUUUAAUGUCUAUAUUAUUAUUAUUAUUUAUUUCUUUACUUAUCUAUUUUUUUAUUUACUUAUAAAUUUAUUUAUUUGUUAGAAAAUUGCAUGAGGUUCAAUUUUAGUUUUUUUUCCAAAAUUGCAUGAAUUGAUAUUCAAAUUUCCUUAUAAAUGGAUAUGAGUUAUUUUAUUUUUAUCGGGUUAUAAGUAUUUAGAUUUUAAGUUGUAGGCCUAGGCUAUUUUAUUGGAUUUGGGUUAGUUUAUUUUAAUUGGGUUUGGGCUAUUUCAUUUUUAGAUUGUGAGUAUUUAGAUUUUAAGUUGUGGGCUUGGGUUAUUUAUUUUAAUUGGACUUGGGUUAUUUUAUUUUAAUUGGGCUUGGGUUAUCAGUCCUCAUUUUGGGCUUUAUUUGUUUUGCAGGGGUCCAUGAGAUUUCUUGGGGAGGAAGUCUUGAAAACCAUACUUAAAGGGCACAUAAGCCCUAAGCAGGGGGGAGGAUAACCAAAGAGAGGCGAGGUACUGCUACUUUGUUUUUUAGUGUUCUUCUCUUACUUUUCUUAGGGUUCUUUCUUUCUUUAUUGUAUAUCAUUGGUGAGUGAAAGUUUUUCCUUAUCGUGUAUUUACCGGCUGUCCAUUUGUUUUCUUAUACUGUAUUCGUAUCUUGGAGUUGCCUUUGGAGGUUUGGAGAGUUGGGAUUGAUUUAGGGCUACAUUCAGGUAAGUUAUUUCUUCCUCAUCUCUUUAUUUGUAUCAUGUUUUUGUUCCUUUUAGGAUUUCUUAGAUUUAUCUUGUUUUAUAUUUAUUAUAUUUGUGAGCAUUUUGGUAGUUGAAUAUUUUAUCCUAUAUUUUAUUUAGAGCUCUAUCAAUUUAAUUUAUUUAUUUAUUCAUUAUAUUAUACAUUUUGUAUGUAAAUACAUUUGUCUAAAUUUUUCUGCUCAUCUAUAUGUUUGUCAUUUUUAUUUAUUAUUUUGUUGAUAUGUAUUGACAUAUGAUAUUAUAUGUAUUAUAUUUUAUUUCAAGUUUCCUAUAUUUGUGUAAAUUUUGUCCUAAAUUUUCUAUAAUUCUGUUUAUGUUAAUCUUGUUGUCUCAUAUUUCAUCUUGUUUUAAAUUUUUGUAACUGUUUAUGAGGUCUUGACUUUCCUUUCUUCUCCCUAAUUUCUUUAUUUACCGCAUGUUUAGUCUCUUCCUUGUCUUUUUCUUCUUUUCCAUCACAUGCAGUAUACAUGGCUAUUAGAUCUUUUGUCGAUUCUAUACUUCUAUUGUUGUAUUGAAUUCUUGUAGUCGAAGAAGCAUUUAUUACUUCAAUGUCGUCAUUUCUGACGUCACCAUUCCAUCGCAUUUUGUAGAUUGUAAUAACUUUCUUCAUCAAGGUUUUCCUAAAAUAAUGUGUCAUCGUUGAGGUAAGAAGAUGGUUCUAGUAAUUCUAUAGUGAGCUCGAUUAUAAAAUCUUGUUCUUCAAGGGUAACAAAAGGUUUUGGAGCAAUAAUGUGUUCUAAAGGUUUAUUUCUCCGUAUAGACAUGGUUUUUGUUUCUCCAAUGAGAUGAAAUAAUUUAUUUUAGGUUGGUCUAAGAUCAUAAAUUUGAAAAGCUUGAAAACAAGUAAAAGAUUCUAAAAAUUCAUUUGAACAGGUUAUUUCCCAUUCUAGUUCUUAUCGAGGAAUAAGCGGUUCUUUAUUGUGUUUUAUAUAAACAUGGUGAUAGGCUGGUACUAUUUAUCCAUUGGUUUGAAAUAAAGUUGGAAUGGUUUUAAAAGAAAUGUCGAUCUAUUUUUCGGUUUUGAAAAGAUAAGCUAAAAUAUUUUUUAGUUUUUCUAGAAAAUUUGUAAGGAUUUGAGAUACGUGGUUCAUGAAAAUAUUUUUUAAAAUUCCCUAAUCCAUAAACUGGGGUACAAGAUAAAAAAAAAAAAAAAAAUCUUUAUUUACAAUAGACAUAUUCACAUAAACUAAGUAUAGAACAAAUAAAAAAUCAGGGUCAUGAUAUGCCAUAUACCCUAUUUUUAUUUCGACAUUUUGGUUUUAAAAUGUUUGUAUAAAAGUUCUUGAUUUUUAAACACAUUUUUAUAUUGGGUUUGCAAAAAGAAAGUUUCAACUAAAGAGUAGUUAUCAACUCCAAUUAGGUUUUUAACAAGAAGUUUUUCAUAUUGUUUAGACAGAAGAGCUGAUUUCCUAAUUAAAUUAAGCAUUUCAGGUUGACUAUCUAAACAACUGGUUGACAUUGUACUGGUUUUCAAAUCUUUUAUCAGUCUUUCUUGAUUUUCUUGGAUUUUGAGGUUUGAAAUUUUUGGGUUUUUAAAGUAAUCAAUUGGUUUUGAAGGUUUUGUAAAUAUUGGGCUAAAGCUAACAUAGUUUUUCCAUAAGCAUAUUCUAAAUUUUGGUUUGGAAAACUUUGUGGUUUCAAAGACCAAAAAUUAUCUACUAUAACAUUAUGUUCUUUAAAAAGGUUUUGAGAAUAUAAAGAGUUAAACCUUAAGUUUGGAUUCAACACUUCGUUCAGACAUAUGGUUUCCUAUUGAAAGGUUCUAGCUCUAGUGGGUUUUCUUUGAGCCAUUUUCUUGUAAAAUAAAAUCAAUCAUUAGUAUCAUCAACAUUAUUAACAAUUACUUGUCUACUUAACCAAUCUUCUAAUAUAUUAUCCUUUCCCUUAAUAUGUUCAAAUUUAGGUUUAAAAUCAAUUAAAGAGUUUUGAAACUUUAUCCAUCUUUUGGUGGACAAUUUUGAAGAGUUUUUAUUUUCAAAAAACUUUUAAAUGUUCUCACAAUCAGUUCUUAAGGUAAAUUGUUCUUGAUUUAGAAAUAGUUGAAUUUUUUCUAAGACUAAGAUUAUUGCUUCUACUUCUAAGUCUGAAAACUAAGGUUCUUUUAAUAAUCAUUGAAAGUUCUACUACAAUAUCUACAAAACUUUUCUUCUCCAAUAUUAGUAAUUGCUAAAAGCAUGCCUCCCCAUUCUAUUUGACUAGCAUCAGUUUGAACUAUUUUGUAUUCGCUUUCUAACUAUUAGAAACAUAAAAUGUGAAACACAGCCAAACAAGCUCUUAAAGUUCAUUUCUCUAUGUGAAACCUUAAUGUUGGGACAGAAUCUGUAACCAGGAAAAAUAUGAAUUCUUAAUGUAAGUCAUGAACACAUAAGAAGAACAAAUGAGAAUAUUUAUCCCUUGAAACUUGAUACAACCGAACAUUAAACCACAUGCUUCUUUAUUGAAGAAAUUAUUAUUAUUAUUAUUAUCAUUAUUAUUGAAGUAACCAAUAGAAUUGUUGAAGUUUAUUUUCCAUUCUAAGGAGCAAGGCUAUAUAUUUCUACAAGAAACUAAAGUAAAGCUCAUAAAAAUAUGGGAGAAUUGUGUUUUCAACCCCGCUAGGUUGGGUAAUUGAGGUAAGGUCCUCCUAUCACUCGUGAUUAAACCAAAAACCCAAUGAAUGAGUAAAAAUUGAGAGGAAGGAUAUUGUCUUUAAAAAAUCCCUACAAAACCCUUGACUAUUAAAUGAAAAAACUAACUAAUCACCUCACAUUUCUCAUUCUCUCUUUGACUCUUUUACCCUUCUCUCACCUAUUUAAUAGUGGAACCAAGUUGAAUAAUUUUUCUUCAUCAAAUUGAAUAUGAAAUAUGGUUAAAAAUUAUUAUUACCAAAUGCAUUUUUGAAAUGAAUAACUUUUAAAUGCCUCAUCAAAUAUUAUUCUUUUUUCAAACUUACAUAAUAUAUAAUAAAUAUUUUUAAAAUAUGUUGAAAAUUUACAUAAUAUAUAAUAAAUAUUAUUCUUUAUUUCAAACUUAUAUUAUUUCUCAUAUAUAUUAAAUAAUUUUUAAACACCUCAUAAAAUAUUAGUAUUAUUUGUUUGUUCUAACUUGUAAAUUAUAUAUCAUCAAAUAUUUUUUUUUAUUUUUUAUAGAACAUAUAAUUUUUAGACACAUGAAAUACCUCAUGUGUCUAACUUGCAAAUUAGACACAUGGUGUUUAUUAUUUCUCAUAUUAUUUCGAAAAUAAUAUAAACACUCACAUGCAUAUAUAUAUAUAUAUCUAUUAAUCAAGAAGACAAUAUUUAUUUGAAUAAAGAUUUAAAUAUUUAAAACCAUUAAAAUAAAUAUUUUCUUAUUAAAGCAAUUUUUUCAAAGUAAUAAGAUAAAAAUCAUGCAAUCUUCAAAACUAUAAUUACAACAAAUAUUUUUAAUUUUAAAACUAAUUUCAUAAUUUAAAUUAAUGAUUUUAAAAAAUAAAAAUGUUAUAAAAAUAUUUUUUGUUUAUUUUUAAUUCCAUUUAAAUAUGAUUUUUUUAAUCUCUAUUGAUAACAAUGAAAUUAUGUUUAUAAAGACAAAAUAGUAAAAAUAUAUAUUUCAUUUAGUUUACUUAUAAUGAACAAUUCAAACACGAUUGAUUUUAAUUUUAUUUCCUAUAUGUUAAUUUUUGUACGGAAUGUCUUAAUGACAUAUUUUGGUAAAAAAAAAAAAACUAUCAAUAAUUGUCUUAAUGUCAAAUUCAAGUUGUUUAAAAUUGUACAAAACCUAUUAGGAGCCUUGUACACCCUUGUACACUUGGCACAUUUUCCUUGUACAGUUAGUGUAAUAUCAUUGUAUAAUGACACAAAUUUUAUAUUUCUCCUAAGUUAUAUGUCCAAGUAGGUGUACAUAGGUGUACAAUCCUUGGGUGACAAGGAAAAUAAAAAAGUGGUUUAGAAUUUAUUAAAAUCAUUCACAAAGGAUAAUCUUGUACACCUUUGUACAAUUAAUACAUUUUCCUUGUACAAUUAGUAUAAUACCCUUGUACAAUGACAUGAAUUUCAUAUCCCUUCUAAGUUAUGUGUCGACGUAGGAGUAUUUAACCAUGUUUCCAAUGGUUUAGUUGAGAAGAUGGUGGAUGACCUAAGGUUAAAUUUUUUUUUCCCCAUAUAUCAUUAUUGGGGAAAGUAUUGGAAUUGCCAUGUGGGAAUUAAAUAAAGUGCAUGACAUAUGUGUACAAUUCAUGAGUGAUAAGAAAAAUAAAAGAAUGACUCAUAAUCAAUUAUAAUAUUUCACAAAUGGUAGUCUUGUACACCUUUGUAUACUUAGUACAUUCCCCUUGUACAGUUAGUAUAAUACAAUUGUACAGUGGCACAAUAAAUGAAUAAAUGAUUUUUUUUUUUCAUAUAAAAAAAUAGUACUAAACAAGGUUUUCAAUUUUCAUUUUUAAAAAUAAUUUUCAUUUUUUUAAAUAAUUUUCAUUUUUUUAAUUAAACAUAUUUUUCAAAAAGAGACAAUAUAGAAAAUAAAAAUUAUUUUUAAAAAUAAAAAUAAAAAAUAAAAAAUAAAAACUAGAAAAAUAUUUUAAAACCAAACUCAAAUAUAAUCUAUAUAAUUUUUAACUAGUUGUUUUCAUUUAAAAUAAGUAAAUAUGUCUUUCAACCAUUUUAUAUAAGAAAAAUUCAAUUUUACUAUGUAUUGAUAUAAUCCACUUCUAAAAUUAGGUCAUAUGAAAAUAUUUUAAUUGAAUACUUAAAAUAAAAACUCUUCAUCCAUCCUCUUUCUUUCUUUUCCUUUUUCUUAUUUUAAUAAAUUUUCAAUUAAUUCAAACCAUUAAAAAAAAAAAUCCUUAGUAAACAAAUUUGUAACAUUUCAUAUAACUUAUAAUUAAAAGUCAUGUUCAAAAAGUUAUUAAAAUAAAGAAGGAAGAAGAUUAAAAAAAAUUAAACUUUUUAUUUUAUAAUAGUAAAAAUUUAAAAUACUUUUUAGUAUAAAAGAAAUUAAAAUAGUAAAUAUAUUUAUUUUAAACAGUGUUUUAAUUAUUAAAUUAUUUACUUCUAAAAUGUAAAAGAUAAAAAUAAAUGUAAAAGAUAAUUUUUAUUUAUUUAAAUUAAUAUUUUUUUAGAAAGUAUUUUCCAAAAUAGUCUGUGAAUCAUUAAUAUAAUUUUUGUUUAUUUAAAAUUUAAAAAUAAAAAAUAAAUAUUGAUUUUUCAAUUAUUUAUAAAAGAGUUUAAACAAAUAAUGAAAAAACUAAAAAUGGUUAAAUAAGAAAGAAUAGUGGCAUGUGAAGAAUGGUAGAAUAAAGACAAAAAUGAGUCAAAUGGGUAUUUUUGUCAAUUACUAUCUUAUAUCCUUGUAAUCAAUUAUGGGUGGUUGGAGGACUUUACCUUAAUUAUCAAACCUAUAUGGUUUGAAAACACAAUUGUCCCUAAAAAUAUUACCACAUAUCAAUGAGAAAUAAAAACACAAAAAUGAAACCUUGUAAUUUAUGGCUUUGGCUGUAAUGGGGGGAAAAGCGAUCAGAAGGGAACACAAAAGAUAACAAGCAUAUAUGCUUGAACAUCAAACAGAUAUGGCAAACAACUUUCAUUAUAAAAAUAUGACUCACAGAGAUUGCAAAUUUGUAAGCUGACCAAGCUGUGGAACCAGUUGACCGGAUAAAUUUGCAUUUCCAAGGUCACUGUGAGUAUACAGUUGGAAAAAUGUCAAUAUAACAGCCGAAAAAUAACAUAUAAAGACAACAUUGACUCCAAAUAGCAAGAAACAUUAUGGUUAUGUUUGGUUCCCGGAAAAUACUAAGGAAAGAAAAAAAAUACAAAGGAAAAUGAUUUUUUUAUGUUUGGUUGUCCUAUGAAAAAUAUCAAAGAAAAUCAAAUAUGAUUAAAACUAAUUAAAAACUUAUAUAUUUUUAAAUUAUUUAAUCUUUAUAUUAAUGAGUUAAAAUAAAUAAAAUGAGUUUGAAGUAACAAAAAAAUUAAUUUAUUCACUUUUAAUCUAUUUUUUUAUUUUCCUUCACUUUUUCUUUCCUUCUACUUUUCCUUUGUAUUUUCUUUCCCUUGCAUUUUCCUUCAAAUUUUCUGGGAACCAAACAUAGCCUAUAACUUGUUGCGUUUGGGUGAAAAAAUCUAACAAAAGUAAGCAUCUUACACUCUUGUAACACUUUUGUCACUGUUGCAUGUAACAUGAUACCAUCUGCAAGGAUUGACAAGGGUAGCAUUCCAACUUUGCAAAACAUUGUUAGGAUCUUCUAAAUUUGACUUCAACGCAUUCAAAGCAUCACCUGGUUCACAUGCAUGAGGCAAACAUCAGUCUGCAAGUACUUCAGACUGAAGGGAAAUUAUAUACAACACUCAGGCCUGUUCAUCAGAAUAAAGGGAAAUUUGGAAACCAAAAAAAAAAGGGUUCAGAUGGUUUUUUUUAUUUUAUUAAUUAGGAUGAAAAUUCAGCUGAAAAGGUGAGGAAUUUCAGAGCUUUGGAAAAAAACAUGUAUUAAACAUGAGGAACAUGUUUGCAAAUUUUGGAUUCAACUUCAAGUUUUAGACAAGUACAUGUUAGCAAACACACAAAGAAACAUAAAAAUAAGUAAAUAAAUAAAAAUUAAAAAGGGAAAUACACAUAAAUUUACGAAUUACAAGUCUGGUCAAUUGACCAAGCAAGUUAUUUACUAACAACUACCUAAAAAACUAGCCUUGCCACAAACAGGUCCCAAAGAAGUGGUUUUAAACUGCAGAAAAAGCAUUGCCAAACAGGGCUUUAGUGUAUUGCAACAUAAUUCUCAACCAAACAAAGUUGUCAACCAUGGAUUUUCCAAAUUCGAUUCCACAGCAAUCAAUAUCAAAUAUCCAAUAAAGAAAACAAGCAAACAAUUCAUCGCAUAAUCAUCUCCUAAAUCAAUUAAAACCUCCAAAUCUCCCUCAAAUUCACUAAAAAAGGAUGAGAGAACACACCUUCGGCAUUACCAGAGACCCUCAGAAACGCAGAGAACACUAAAAUCAAGGAAACAAAAACCGAACCGAAGAUCCCCGGCUCCAUAACCGCCACCUCUCCGCAGCUAGCACCCCAAACUCUUCAUCAACCACCCUCUGACGCACAAGCACUUUGUGGGUCAACCCAAGUCAACACUCACCCAACAGAAAGUCCUCAGACCAAAACUCCCCAGAAUUUCCCAGGAAAGGGAAGCCAUUUCCUUGAAUUUGAAUGCGUUGGAGAGGAUUGGCGGUGCCGCGGAGCAUAGAGGGAGACUUUGGUUACACUGGCCGAACAAACAGUCCCAGAUGAAAAAGUCCGGGGAUUUCCCGGGAAAAUGAAGCUAUAUUCGUUGAAGUUGAAUUUGCAGGAGAGAUUUGGGGGCGGGAGAGGGGGAGAUAGGAGAGGAGGAGAGUAGUGGUUAGCAAUGGCGGAGAGGGAGAGUCCAAGGGGGCAAUGGUGGCGAAGGGUGGAGGAAAUGG
rnacentral:lncRNA from 1 species